rnacentral:lncRNA from 1 species
UGAGCCUCAGGACGAAUGAUGGGUGUUUGCUCUUUGCUAUGAUUCUGUUUCUCUGGUGUGGUGUUUGCCGUGAUUCUGAUCUUGGCCUACUGCUGGGUGUGGUGUCUGCUGUGAUUCUGGUCCUGGCCUUAUGCGUCAGUUACUGUGUAUCAGACAGCAUUAAGAUAUGUACCUCAAAUAAUGUAAACGCUUAUUAAACAAAAAUUGUUACUGGUUUUCUGUUUCUGAUAUUUACAUAUGAUGUGGCAGUAUACUGAUGAAACGAAAUUAUCUGCAUCUUCCUACUUUUUACAUCCUUGAUGUUUUGUAUAGGCCGCUGGCCCUUCUCCUUCCAUGAUAUAUACUCCCUCCGUUUCUAAAUAUAAGAUCUUUUAUAGAGAUGUCAAUACGGACUACAUACGGAUGUAUGUAGACGUAUUUUAGAGUGUAGAUUCACGUAUUUUGCUCCGUAUGUAGUCCGCAUUGGAACAGAGGGAGUACCUCUAAUCUGACCUUUGUACAUUCCUUCCAUGAUAUAUAUUGUAAGUUUUAAUCUAAUUUUUGGUACCAUUACAUGACUCACAACAGUCAUACGAAGUGCACCAGUAAAUCUUUUCCUUAUAAGUGGAUCAAUAAAAGUAGAAUGAAGGUUUUCAUUUAACAUCUGUGUAAGGGUACUGCUGGGAAUUUCAUGUUGAGGAACCAGGGCAAACACACGCCCUUCAUGUCUUAUUUGCGAUAUGUAAAUCAUCUGGAACAAAUCAUUUUCAUGAAUUUGGUCGAGUUCCUCGUAUACUGUAUAAAUUUGACAGCAUAUGUCCUCACAAAAGAGAGAGGAAUCUUUUUUUUUUUUGCAUAUGUCUCUGCAUUUCAGUUCCAUACUUUUGAGCUCAGCAAACUAAACUUGUUUCAAACAUUUAGAUGGCUCACAUCAGACAACCAGUAACUUGAGCAUUACAUGCAUAAGCUGCUGGAGAAAUGUCUUCAGCUAACCACAGAGAACUAGUGCUGUGCACAGCUUCCUUUUUAGCAAAAGAUCAGUAGUUGUGUAGACUUAUGCCAAGCCUGAAUUUUUGUACAUAGAAAGUUAGUGUGCUAAGGUGGCCAGCGUGGUGUCGCGACAUGAUCACUGACGGAACUGAAUCUGUCUCGCAACCUGCAGGCUGUUGAUGACCAGGUUGCUUUUAUCUUGAGCACGCCAAAGAGGAAGUCACUAAUUUUUUUUACUCAGAAAAAAUAGGGUAGUUUAGCUGUAAAUCCUGUUAGACCAAGGACUCAAUCUAUUGAUAAGUCUGUCAAUAUAUUUUGGCUUUGUUCUGAUCCUUUUUUUUUAGAGAAAAGGCGGGAGCCCUACUUUAUAAAUAAAGCCACCAGGCAGAGUUACAUCAGCAGAACCAACACCCAGAACGAGUUCAACAGGCAGGGAUCAUAAGUAUCAUUACAAGGCCUUCAGCCUAACAUGGCACACAGGCCAGCAUUUCACCAAAAAACAUCGGGAUAAAAUUAGGGAGCCGCCCUCGGAGUACGCCGCAGAAGGAAGGACGCCGUAGAUUUCAUUCUAGAUACCAUGUCGUCGAAAGCCUGAAGGUCCCCUUCCUUAGUCAAUAAUCUCCACUGCUGCAAAAAGACAUUGGCUUUAAAUAAGCAGCUGACAGGGUUAGCCGGAAAAAUGCGUUCAAUCGUGAACUUGUUCCUAAUAGUCCACAGAGACCACCCGAUCGCAGCCCAACCCACCAAGAAGACCCGAUUGGACUGCCCUGAUAAGGAGUUGGAAUAUCGCCUAAGGUCCUCAAAGGAGGAGGGAGACCAGUUAACAUGAAGCAGGGGAUCCUGACCAGCAGGGGAUCAUGCUUCAACUUGAAUUUUGAGGAGUUCACUCCAGGGUUAAGUAUCUUAACUCAUUAUGGUCUUUUCAUUAACCCAUUAUUCAAAAUUUCAGGUAAUGGACCUGCUUGGUCCUAGCCUCUGGGAUGUUUGGCAUUCACUGGGACUGGAGUAAGUAUCUUAUCAAUCUUUUCACUCCAUCUGCUUUGUUCUCCUUUCUCCUUGCUGAAAGUAUCAACACCCCCGACAGUGACAGGAUGUCAUUUCGAAUGGUUGCUUGUAUUGCCGUUGAGGCCAUAUUAAUUCUUGCGAAGAUUCGCUCCAAAGGUUACUUUCAAGCUAUUUGAUGUUCUUGAGAUCCAUUUCCCGUUCUUUUUUAUUCCUCAAUCUUAACAGUUGCUGCUCUUCCUAUUAUUGCCAGCUUUGUACAUGGUGAUGUAAAACCUGAAACCUUUUUUGCUUGGUCAGCCUGGAUCCGCUCAAGAAAAGAAGCUUUUUCUCAUUAAUUUUGUUACUUUACUUAUUGAUGGCUCAUUACUGCAGGGAGGUAAUUCUUGUUUGUAAGAAGAAAAUGGAGACUUCUCCAGAGAUGUUAGGUAGACUCUGUCCAGCUCCAUUCAAGCAUUUUCAUGAGACUGUCACUUGAAUGAAAUUUAAUGAAAAACCAAAGUACCAAAGACUUGUUUCUCUCUUUGAUGAUUUAAUCGAAGGACCUGCUUCGAGACCCAUCAGGAUCUAUGGAGCUCUAGAGGUCUGCACCGCUUUAUCCACAACAUGUAUCUGUGCUCUGCAAUUUAAGUUGCCUAAGCAUCUGUUGUGCAAAUUGUAGGUUGGAACUAAGCGUAGAGGAAUGGCUUUAAAUCUGGAAGAAGACGAAUAACCUAUGAAAAAUGUUCGGUUGGGGAGCCCAACAACUUGGUGGGAUUCGGUGUAUAAUCCUAGGUGGCCCACAGAGCAGCGGUAACUCCUUUUAAAUUUGAAAAUGUUGACAUAUUCUCCAAAUUUUUCUUUUGCUUGCCCAGACAUUAUUUCUUCCUUCCCUUGCCUUGUAGAAGUGGUCUGUUCUGGUGGCCACGUCAGCAAAAGUGGGACCCACCUGUCAUAAACGUGCUCAAGACGCCCUAAGCCGCCGAUCAGUGUCUUAUGCAGAAAGUUUACCACAGGUUUAGUCGAAAAUUGUGAAGUCGUGUUUUCUGCAAACCUAGCCCUCAAUGUGGUGGUUUCAUGCAAUUAACUAGUUCUGGUGCUUAAAGUCCCAUAAGGUCCCCGCCACCCGCCACCCCUACACGACACAUAGCAUCAUCGGCUCUUCAUACUCCAGAUCAAUGAUUAGAUGACUUUAAGCGUCAGAUGGCUCUAAAUAGCUGGGUUAUAUGAGUACUAUUUAGCUCUAAUUUAUUUUCUUUAAAAAGACCGGAGUUCCACUUACCGUCUCUUUGUGAUUUAGGUCAAAAAGGAAACUGCCUUGUGGUUAUCGUUGUUGCGAACUUGCGUUAUCUUGGUGUAAGCUCCAAUUUUUAAUGUCGUCCACAGUAGUCAUGCCUAAAUUUUACCUGAUAUCCUGGUGAAAGCAGCUAUCCGGAACUAUACUAUUCUGUUUUUCUGUAACUAAAGCAUUUGUGCUCGUUGUUAGUGAUGAAAGGGUUUUGUUUUGACUUAUUAUGAUUUAAGCUUAUAAGUAACUCCUGUUUGUCUGGCCUAUUUCAAUUGUUAUCGAUCCUGUUCUGUAAAGAUGUUUGUCUUGCCUUUUGUAGCUACCACUUCAAUAUAGCUGAUUCAGAGCUGCAUCAGCAUAAAGAAAAAAAUGCAGUAAAGCUGGUUUGUUGAGUAGUUGUGCAGCUUCUGCAGCUAUGUGAAGGUACGUUGUGCAUUUCUUUUGCUAGCUCACAGUGGCGUACAUAAUCUGUCCUCGUGUGUUGUAAUAUGUUCAUUAAUAUGUCGGGACCUAACAUUGAACAAAAUUUCCAGGAAAAAUGGGCGAAGAACCUAUAUAUCACCUCAAUCUGCUACUGGCGACCCGUGUGUUAGACGUAGACGGCAAGCUGAACUCUUGUGCCAAUUGUAAAGAAUCAUGCUCGGCUGUUUUGGUUGGUUGCUGUCUAUCUAUGAUCCAACUUUUGAUAAAAUGGACUCCGAAAUGAGAGCGGGGGAACAUCGGUGCGUUUUAAAGUCAUGCACCUGAAAUGCGACAUCGUUUUUCCUGCCGUCUGCUAGUUGUUGUUCUGGCUUGUUCUCGUUUUGUUGCAGUAAAGAACAUCGUAAACAGAGGUCCCUCUUAGUCUGUUUGUUAUCUAGUUGUCCCAACAACUUAAGGCAAAAUUGCAAUCCCAAAGAGGAUGCAUUAUGAUUUCCUAUGUGUGCUGACUGCAAAGAGAGCAGGAGCAAUCAUUCAAAAGCCUUUCCUUUUCAGCAAAGCCAUAGUGUCAGCUCUGUAAACAUUCUUCGGUGCGGCAAAGUAAGGCUGACGGACAGCAAUCCACCAUGCAUGCAAUGAUCCGGAACUCGUCCACAUUUUCCAAACUCGUGAACCUUUUCAAAUUCAUGAUUUUUUUAAAACUGUAACUCGUGAACAAUUUUCAAAUUAGUAAAGUUUUUUCAAACUUGUGAAGUUUUUCCAAAUUCAUGAUAUUUUUAAUAUUUUAACUCAUUAAAAUUUUCAAAUCCACAAACUUUUUCAAACUUGUGAACUUCUGUAAAAUUCAUGAACAUUUUAAAUUUAACUCGUGAACAAUUUUGUAAUUCGUGAGUUUUAUUUUAAACUUGAACUAUAUUCAAAUCUAGCAGGCGAAGCAAGCGAGCAUGCGACCAAGCUUGCGCAAUAUUGGACCACGGUCCGCCGGCAUGUGCGCAAGGGCCAGCUUCCUAACCGGCGCUUAAGCAUUGACUAGGAGCUGCUCAAAUAGACGGCGCCACUCACAGGGAUUUGUUCAAAAAAAAUAUAAACGUUCGCUACUAAUUAAAAAAAAGAAUUCACAUUUUUAAAAAUAGUACAGAAAUUUCCAAAAAAAUUGUGUCUUUCAAACUUCCCUAGAAUGUUAACGAAGCGAUGUCACUUUUGAGCAGUUGAAAAUCCUAGUGGCAAAACUGAGUAGUGGGACAAAACUGAUGGCAUAAAUGAUAAAAACCCUUUUUAAAAGAGAAAACACAAAAUAGAAGAAAAACGAAAAAAUAGAAGAAGAAAAUUUAGGCCUUGGCCCUACUAUGCGACGGGAUCGCUCCCGUCGGGUGCUUGUUGGGCCGGCCCAAGCGUUCACAGAUCUGAAAAAAAUUAAUCUACAUUAAAAAUGUUCAUGAAUUUGAAAAAUAUUAAUAGUUUAUAGAAAAACGUGAAGCAUAUAUUUAGAUUUUUUAAUAUUGAAUUGAAUAAUGUUAAACGUGUAUUAGAGUUAGAUAUAGCUAAACGGAGAAACCCGGUAAAAGAAAACUAAAACAGAAAAAACAUGGAAAACUAGUGGAAUAGCCAGCUCUUUUAUGGUAAGUUGUUCUCCCUUACAAAUAUAUCAUGAACUCGGUAUUGAUCUAGUUGUUUGUGGUGCAACGCUGCAUCUAGGAGACCGGGGUUCAAAUCUAGCUUGUCCUCUAUUUAUUUUAUUUUAUUUGAAGUGUUUGUUAAUGGGCGGGGCCGUUACUGUUGAUAUCUAUCACGACGUAUUCUGAAAAAAGACCAUCCUACCCUUUAUUAUGGGUUACGAAGAGAUCUCUUUCAUUGAUGUGUUUAGUGGGGUGUACCGAAGCAGAAGCGUAAUUUCACGAUUUUGGCCCAGAAGAUAAAGAGAGAUUUUCUCUGUUGAUGUGUUUAGGGAGGUGUACCAAAGCAGAAGUGUAAUUUUGUGAUUUUGGCCCAGAAUCACAUCAUACACCACCCACCCAAUAGUAGGUUGUAGGCCUGAGGCUCGGGCAAGGCGGUUGCCGGCGCCGUGGAUAGAGUGGCGAAGGCAGUUCACGACCCUAUCCCUGAUCUAAUCAUAUCUGCUCCCCUCCACAAUAUUGUACGCCUCCGUUCGGAGUCCACAUUUGUACCCCAGGUUUUGUUUUUUAGGGGUGAAACCAAGUUUGUUAAUGGCGGGGCCGUUACUGUUGAUAUCUAUCACGACGUAUUCUGAAAAAGACCAUCCUACCCUUUAUUAUGGGUUACGAAGAGAUCUCUUUCAUUGAUGUGUUUAGUGGGGUGUACCGAAGCAGAAGCGUAAUUUCACGAUUUUGGCCCAGAAGAUAAAUAGAGAUUUUCUCUGUUGAUGUGUUUAGGGAGGUGUACCAAAGCAGAAGUGUAAUUUUGUGAUUUUGGCCCAGNNNNNNNNNNNNNNNNNNNNNNNNNNNNNNNNNNNNNNNNNNNNNNNNNNNNNNNNNNNNNNNNNNNNNNNNNNNNNNNNNNNNNNNNNNNNNNNNNNNNNNNNNNNNNNNNNNNNNNNNNNNNNNNNNNNNNNNNNNNNNNNNNNNNNNNNNNNNNNNNNNNNNNNNNNNNNNNNNNNNNNNNNNNNNNNNNNNNNNNNNNNNNNNNNNNNNNNNNNNNNNNNNNNNNNNNNNNNNNNNNNNNNNNNNNNNNNNNNNNNNNNNNNNNNNNNNNNNNNNNNNNNNNNNNNNNNNNNNNNNNNNNNNNNNNNNNNNNNNNNNNNNNNNNNNNNNNNNNNNNNNNNNNNNNNNNNNNNNNNNNNNNNNNNNNNNNNNNNNNNNNNNNNNNNNNNNNNNNNNNNNNNNNNNNNNNNNNNNNNNNNNNNNNNNNNNNNNNNNNNNNNNNNNNNNNNNNNNNNNNNNNNNNNNNNNNNNCCUCCACAAUAUUGUACGCCUCCGUUCGGAGUCCACAUUUGUACCCCAGGUUUUGUUUUUUAGGGGUGAAACCAAGUUUGUUAAUGGCGGGGCCGUUACUGUUGAUAUCUAUCACGACGUAUUUUGAAAAAGACCAUCCUACCCUUUAUUAUGGGUUACGAAGAGAUCUCUUUCAUUGAUGUGUUUAGUGGGGUGUACCGAAGCAGAAGCGUAAUUUCACGAUUUUGGCCCAGAAGAUAAAUAGAGAUUUUCUCUGUUGAUGUGUUUAGGGAGGUGUACCAAAGCAGAAGUGUAAUUUUGUGAUUUUGGCCCAGAAUCACAUCAUACACCACCCACCCAAUAGUAGGCUGUAGGCGUGAGGCUCAGGCAAGGCGGUUGCCGGCGCCCUGGAUAGAGUGGCGAAGGCAGUUCACGACCCUAUCCCUGAUCUAAUCAUAUCUGCUCCCCUCCACAAUAUUGUACGCCUCCGUUCGGAGUCCACAUUUGUACCCCAGGUUUUGUUUUUUAGGGGUGAAACCAAGUUUGUUAAUGGCGGGGCCGUUACUGUUGAUAUCUAUCACGACGUAUUCUGAAAAAAGACCAUCCUACCCUUUAUUAUGGGUUACGAAGAGAUCUCUUUCAUUGAUGUGUUUAGUGGGGUGUACCGAAGCAGAAGCGUAAUUUCACAAUUUUGGCCCAGAAGAUAAAGAGAGAUUUUCUCUGUUGAUGUGUUUAGGGAGGUGUACCAAAGCAGAAGUGUAAUUUUGUGAUUUUGGCCCAGAAUCACAUCAUACACCACCCACCCAAUAGUAGGCUGUAGGCGUGAGGCUCAGGCAAGGCGGUUGCCGGCGCCCUGGAUAGAGUGGCGAAGGCAGUUCACGACCCUAUCCCUGAUCUAAUCGCAUCUGCUCCCCUCCGCAAUAUUGUACGCCUCCGUUCGGAGUCCACAUUUGUACCACAGGUUUUGUUUUUUAGGGGUGAAACCAAGUUUAUUCAUCAUAAUCCACAUGGUGUGGAAUAGAUCUUUGGUUGUGGGGUACACCAAACCAAACGUGACAACCCGGACCUCUAGAAAGUGCAAACUUGACUAAGCUAUGUGCUUCAUAAUUAUUAACACAACUCUCAAAAGAAAAGUUACGAUGAAAUGUAUGAAAUGUAGAUGCCUUAAGGUUUAUUUCAAUGAUAAUUACUCCAUAUGUCCCCCGUGCACUCUUGUUGAUAUCUGAUACAACUUAUUGACAAUCCAAAGCCACAACAAAGUUUUGGGUUCCCAAGUCCUCUGCAAGGGAGAGAGCCUCCCGGCAAGGUACAACUUCUAGGGUGACGGGUCAAGAACUCCUUCGACAACUAGUGCCGAACUUUCCAUAUAGUUUCCCCCUUCGUCUCUGCAGACGCUAAACAUUUUACUUAAUAACGGUCACUAGGAUCCCGGCUGUCCAUUCCUCACGCCGUUGGAACCCGUGAAGCGGUAUAUGAAGAAAUGAACAGUAAAACUGAAGAAACGAACACUUGUUACCGGGGGAUGACAAAUUGACAAUACCCUUGGCCUGACACCGUGUCACUGCCAUGUUUAGACACUUUGACCUGUAGGUCUUUUCAACUCGUAGUAGCAAUUGAUGUAAAAAGGAAAAAACUCUGCAGUAGCAAUUGCUGACAGACAACGGAGCAACUACCGAUAAGACCGUUCCAGAACCAGAAUCACGGCCAAAUAAGUAACCUAUUUGACCCUGUCUAAGAAGUUUAGCGCAGUUGUUACAAAAAGGAAAUUUAGCACAAAAUGACCAUAUCUGAAAAAAUAGCACGAUCUGAACUUUUAUUUUUACAACUCCACAGUUUUUGCGUUGCCACUGCAUUGAGCAACGCAAUAUAUAGUAGCUGGCCAUUUCGUACUGAACUUUACACAAAAGGUUAGUUUUGUAAUUUUGGCCCGUAAUCACAUCAUACACCACCCAUCCAAUAGUAGGCGUGAGGCUCAGGCAAGGCGGUUGCCGGCGCCCUGGAUAGAGUGGCGGAGACAGUCCAUGACCCUAUCCAUGAUCCCAUCGUAUGUGCUUCCGUCUGCAGUAUUGUAUGCUUCUGUCAGAAGACCACACUUGUACCCCAGAUAGAUGGUAUCAACCGUGACGGAGAGAAAGGCGGCCUCAGUUUUUUUUUUCAAAUAUAAAGGCGACCUCAGCUGAUACGUAAAUCGCGCGACGCAUGCCCAUGAACAUGUAAGAGUGGUGAUCUCUUUCUAGCUUAAUCCCCCUCCAACAUAAAGGUUUAGUACAUAGUUGUGAUUACAGAGGAAUGGUUACACUAAUGGAAUAAAGAACACAUGAACUGGAGGAAGGGUAAAGGAAGGAGAUAGGGGAGAGAGGUAGCCGCCGCCGCCGCCGCCGGUCCAUUGGAUAGGGUUUUUUUUAGACAAACUCGCGAAAGCUUUACUCAUCCGUCACAAUGUUUACAGGGACGAACAAAAGAUCGCCGGAGUGGCCUAACCAAACAUGACGAUUGGUCCCCAAUGUUUACUCGAUAGGUUGUUCGUUGCUUUUUCCCAAGUAUUUGUAGCUGCAGCGGCCAGAGAAUUCCCAGGCGGGCCAGGCCCAUGUGAUUUCCAGAGGCAAGCCCAUAUGGGCUAGGGGAGGGCCCUGACAGAACACGGCGCGCCCAUUAAGGCCCUUGGCCUGGACCAGGGUCCCGGCUUCAGGACCCACUCUAUAGACAUCCUACGAGCAAUGCUAGGUUCACGGGGAAAACUUUUACGGGAUCAACAGACUAGCUGAUGUGGGGAUUUGUGAUUGGAAGUUGGGGAUGAGGCGGGGCCCACCCCACUGAAAAUCAGGAGGGGGGAGAGAUUAGUUAGUUGGAAAGAUUAAGUAAAGCUUCGUAAUCAUUCGUGUGUGUAGGAUUAUUGGACAUCCUACUCCCUGUGAAACUCGUCGUCCGUGCGUCGUAGCACCCGGUGCACCAGCAUCAGCUCCCCGCCGUUGUUCACCAGGUGAAGUGAAGGCUAUCCAUUUGGGAGAAGUAGAACGACUCGCUUCGGUCAGCGACCAACUCGAGUUGUGGCGGCUCUGAGCCCAUGCUUAGUAGUCAGCACAUGACGCCCCUGUGAGUGGCACAGUAGAAGCGGCCCGCGAAGGGCAGAGUCGAAUACAUGCACCCACCGUCGACGAAAGUCCAGCUCUCGUCGCCGGGCAUGGCGACGGCGAGCACCAUGGGAUCGCAGAAGCUGCUGAAAUUUGAGACGGGCUCUAGGCCCAUAUUGCAAUUUCUGAAAAAUCUCUAAGGGCCUAUGUGGGUUAUAUGGCACUAGGUGUAGUGGGAAGUUUAGUCCCACCCCGGAAGUGAAAGAGGAGUUGGACCUCCUUAUAAGGGUUUCUCUUCUAUAUGCUACUGGAGCUUGAGAAGAGAAGAGGCCCUCGCGCACUCCUCCUCCGCCGCCCGCCGCGCCGCGCAACGCGCGUUGCGGGAUUGAGCCGAGCCGAGCUCACACCUACGCGCUUAGUUUUGCCAGUCACUGAUCGUGGGCUGUCACGGACUCGGACGUGGGUCGAGCCCAUGUCUCUCCACGCGGCUGCGCCUAUAUAAGUGUGCGGUGUUUCCUAACCCUAGCCGCCAUGAAUAGAUCACAUCUGCUCCACGCGCACGCCCACCGUCGUUCCCUUGCUGCUGCCGCCACCGGUGACUCCAUCCCGUCCGCCAUGUACACGGUCGACGGGAGAGCAGGUCUCCGAAAUCACACCCUUCUGGUUCCUGUACGGGGUGAGGGACGAAUAGGUUUUUGGGCAGCGACUACGCGACUGCUCGCUUCCGAUCCGCUACUUCCUCUACGUCCGCGUCGCCCUCAUCAUCAUCAUGUCCACCGACGCCGAACGUGCCGCCGCCGAGAAAGCUGAAGCUGACAAGAAGGCCGCUGAGGAUGCUGCUGUCGCCACCAACGUCGCGGCCUCUGCAUGUCCUACUGGAGGGUAUAACUCGUUUAUCCCGCUCCUACUGUUCUCUGUUUUAGCCAUGCUAGCGUUAUACGUAGAUCUUUCUGCAAUUAGCGUAGUAUGUGCUAGAUUGACUGAAUAUCAGUAUGCGUUUAUUUGUGUCAAUGCCAUGUUAGUGAUUUACUCGUGGAUUAAUUUAAUCGAGAAAUUACCUAUUUACUCAACAAUCCAAAAACCUAUUAUGUGUAGGAAUUUUUCGGUAAGUAGCUUUGUCGCUGCACUGAAACCGGAUAAGUUUACCGGUACGUAUUUUAAGCGUUGGCAGACUAAGAUCACUUUAUGGCUCACGGCUAUGAAUGUGUUCUGGGUCACCGGUGUCUCCACGGGAACGAUUGCUCCUGAACAGGAGAAGGCAUUCAAGGAGGCCACCGUUGUGUUCCUCGGAGUAGUUCUCAGCGUAAUCGGAGAUAAACUGGUCGACGCAUACUUGCAUGUGCAUGUCGCCAAGGACUUGUGGGAGGCGCUCGAAUCUAAGUUCGGGGCUGCCGAUGCUGGAAGUGAGAUGUAUAUUAUAGAGCAGUUCCACGAUUACAAGAUGGUUGAAAACUGUCCUGUAUUGGAGCAGGCUCAUGAGAUAAUAUGCAUUGUUAAGGAGUUUGAGCUUCUUAAGUGCGAGUUACCGGGCAAGUUUGUCGCGGGCUGCAUAGUCGCUAAGCUCCCUAAUUCCUGGAGGAACUUUGCCACCACUCUAAAACAUUAGAGGCGUGAAUUCUCUGUGGAGGAUGCCAUUGGCCAUCUGAGUGUUGAGCAGAAUUCGAGGGCAAAAGACUCGCAUGGAAAAGGGGCCGAAGGGACUUCUGUCGCCAACAUGGUGAACCAGAGGAACGAUAACUCCCACAAGCCCAAGGGAAAGAACGGUGUCCAACAGAAUACCACUUUAAGAAGAAGGGUAAGAAGACCUUCAAGAAGAGCAAGAAGGAUGAGGGCUGCUUUACUUGUGGUUCGGUUGAACAUUGGGCCAACAAGUGCCCAAACAAGUACAAGAAGCCAGGACAGGACUCCAAGUCUGUCAACAUGAUUGUGGGCAACAAUGAGAAUGGUGCAUCUGGGUACGGUAAUUUAUUUACUGUUUUUUUAGUGUUUCAACCCAACGAUUGGUGGGUGGACACAGGUGCAGGUGUUCAUGUGUGUGCUGACAUUUCAUUAUUCACUUCUUACCAGGUCAUAGGUCACGGGUCCGUAUUGGUGGGGAAUGGCGCGAGUGCUUCUGUUCAUGGUGUUGGCACGGUCGAUCUGAAGUUUACUUCGGGAAGGAUUAUGCAGCUGAAGAACGUGCAGCAUGUCCCCGCCAUCAAGAAGAACCUCGUUAGUGGCUCCCUUCUAUGUAGAGAAGGGUUUAAGUUGGUUUUCGAGUCUAACAAAUUAGUUGUUACGAAAUAUGGACUCUUUGUUGGAAAAGGUUAUGAGAGCGGAGGGAUGUUCCACCUUUCCCUCGCAGAUUUUUGUAAUAAAGUCGUGAACCAUAUUCAUUCAAAUGUUAAUGAAUCUGAAGUUUGGCAUUCACGUCUUUGUCACAUUAGUUUCGGUGUUAUGACGCGGCUAGCCAAGGUGGAUUUAAUCCCGAGUUUCAGUUUAGCCAAAGGUUCUAAGUGCCUUUCGUGUGUGCAAGCUAAGAAACCUCGCAAGCCUCACAAGGCCGCGGAGGAGAGACACUUGGCACCAUUAGAACUCAUACAUUCUGAUCUUUGUGAGAUGAAUGGUGUGUUGACUAAAGGUGGAAAGAAAUACUUCAUGACAUUGAUAGAUGAUUCCACUAGAUAUUGCUAUGUGUAUCUGUUAAAUACUAAAGAUGAGGCUCUACACUACUUUAAAAUCUAUAAGGCAGAAGUUGAGAAUCAACUUGAAAAGAAAAUUAAAUGAGUCCGGUCAGAUCAUGGUGGAGAGUACUUCUCGAGUGAGUUUGAUUCCUUCUGUUCGGAACACGACAUUAUUCAUGAGAGGACGCCUCCCUAUUCACCCCAGUCAAACGGGGUUGCCGAGCGGAAAAACCGUACUCUAACUGAUUUGGUUAACGCCAUGUUAGAUACAUCGGGUUUAUCCAAGGCAUGGUGGGGGGAGGCUAUAUUGACGGCAUGUCAUGUCCUGAAUAAAGUUCCGACAAAGGAUAAUGAGAUCACUCCCUAUGAGAAAUAGACAAAGAGGAGGACAACACUCUCGUACUUGCGUACUUGGGGCUGUUUGGCGAAAGUCAAUGUGCCGAUCCCCAAAAAGCGUAAGCUUGGACCAAAGACUGUGGACUGCGUUAAUUUGGGCUACGCUAAGAACAGCGUUGGCUAUAGAUUUCUAGUAGUGAAAUCUGAGGUACCUGACCAGAAGGUCGGUACAAUUAUGGAGUCUAAGGAUGCUACAUUCUUUGAGGAUAUUUUUCCUAUGAGAGAUAUGCAAAGCACUUCUAGACAGGAAUCUGAGGAGACUCCUGAACCUGCCAUCCCUAUGGAAUAUUAUGAACAAACACAUGAUGAAAAUCCUGAGGAGGAUGACGAGGAAACCCUUGGUAGGGGCAAGAGACAAAGGACUGCAAAGACCUUUGGUGAUGAUUUCUUCGUGUACCUCAUGGAUGAUACUCCCACUUCUAUUUCAGAAGCGUAUGCCUCUCCAGAAGCUGACUACUAGAAGGAUGCGGUCCGUAGCGAGAUGGAUUCAAUCAUGGCUAACGGGACAUGGGAGAUCACUGACCGUCCCUAUGGUUGCAAACCACUGGGAUGUAAGUGGGUGUUCAAAAAGAAGCUUAGGCCCGAUGUUACGAUUGAAAAGUAUAAGGCUAGGCUUGUGGCCAAGGGCUAUGACCAGAAAGAAGAGGAAGAUUUCUUCGAUACUUAUUCACCUGUGGCUAGACUGAUGACCAUUCGAGUAUUACUCUCGUUGGCGGCCUCGCAUGGUCUUCCCGUCCAUCAGAUGGAUGUUAAGACAACUUUUCUAAAUGGAGAGCUAAAGAAGGAAAUCUACAUGCAACAGCCUGAUGGCUUUGUGAUAGAUGGUCAGGAAAGAAAGGUGUGUAGGUUGAUAAUCUUUAUAUGGCCUGAAACAAGCACCUAAGCAAUGGCAUGAUAAGUUUAAUACAACUCUGACAUCUGUUGGUUUCGUUGUUAAUGAGGCUGACAAAUGUGUAUACUAUCGCCAUGAUGGGGGCGAAGGAGUUAUACUGUGCUUGUAUGUCGAUGACAUACCGAUAUUCGGAACAAACCUCAAAUUCAUUGAGGAGGUCAAAUCAUUUCUAUCUCAGAACUUUGAGAUGAAAGACCUUGGUGUGGCUGAUGUUAUCUUGAACAUCAAGCUACUGAGAGAUAAUGAGGGUGGGAUUACACUGCUGCAAUCCCACUUUGUUGAGAAGGUGUUGAGUCGUUUUGGAUAUUCGGACUGCACAGCAUCUCAAACACCAUAUGAUCCUAGCGUGUUGAUUCGAAAGUCCAAAGGCAUGGCUAAAGAUCAAUUGAGAUACUCUCAAAUUAUUGGUUCACUAUUGUACCUAGUGAGCGCAAUGAGGCCUGACAUCGCGUUUGCCGUGACCAAACUGAGCCGGUUUGUUUCCAAACCGGCUGAUGUACAUUGGCAUGCUGUUGAGAGAGUUAUGCGCUAUCUGAAAGGUACUAUGAACUAUGGACUUCUGUAGGAUCGAAAGUAUGUCUAGAGGGGGGGGGUGAGUUAGACUACUUGACCAAUUAAAAAUCUAGCCUUUUCCCAAUUUUAGUUCUUGGCAGAUUUUAGCUAUCUUAGCACAAGUCAAGAAAUCUCCACACAAUUCAAGCAAGCAUGCAAAAGAGUAUAUGAGCAGCGGAAAGUAAAGCAUGCAACUUGCAAGAAUGUAAAGGGAAGGGUUUGGAGGAUUCAAACGCUAUUGGAGACACGGAUGUUUUUGUCGUGGUUCCGAUAGGUGGUGCUAUCGUACAUCAACGUUGAUGGAGACUUCAACCCACGGAGGUUAACAGUCGCGCGACUCCACGGAGGGCUCCACCCACGAAGGGUCCACGAAGAAGCAACCUUGUCUAUUCCAUCACGGCCGUCGCCCACGAAGGACUUGCCUCACUAGCGGUAGAUCUUCACAAAGUAGGCAAUCUCCUUGCCCUUACAAACUCCUUGGUUCAACUCCACAAUCUUGUCGGAGGCUCCCAAGUGACACCUAGACAAUCUAGGAGACACCACUCUCCAAGAAGUAACAAAUGGUGUGUUGAUGAUGAACUCCUUGCUCUUGUGCUUCAAAUGAUAGUCUCCCCAACACUCAACUCUCUCUCAUAGGAUUUGGAUUUGGUGGAAAGAAGAUUUGAGUGGAAAGCAACUUGGGGAAGGCUAGAGAUCAAGAUUCAUAUGGUAGGAAUGGAAUAUCUUGACCUCAACACAAGUGUAGGUGGUUCUCUCUCAGAUCAUGUGUAUUGGAAGUGUAGGUAUGUUCUGAUGGCUCUCUCCACGAAUGAAGAGUGGGUGGAGGGGUAUAUAUAGCCUCCACACAAAAUCUAACCAUUACACACAAUUUGCCAAACUCGGUGGGACCGAAUGGUUAAACUCGGUCGGACCGAUUCAACAAACCUAGUGACCGUUAGGAUUUUCGGUGGGACUGAGAUGCAACUCGGUAGGACCGAUAUGGUUAGGGUUAGGGCAUAACGUAAUCUCGGUGUGACCAAUUACACAAACUCGGUGGGACCGAUUUUGGUAAUAAGCUAACCAGAGAGUUGGUCAGGUAAACUCGGUGGGACCGGUUCGCUCUUUUCGGUGAGACUGAAAUGUUACGAAAGGGAAACAGAGAGUUUACAUUGCAAUCUCGGUGGGACCGAUCGCUCACUUCGGUUAGACCGAAACGUUAUGAAGGGAAACAGAGAGAUUGCAAUCCCAUCUCGGUGAGACCGAGAUCCCUAUCGAUGAGACCGAUUUGCCUAGGGUUUGUGGCAGUGGCUAUGACAUUUGAAACUCGGUGGCGCCGGAUAGAAAGAAUCGGUGGGGCCGAGUUUGACUUUUGGUUUAGGUCAUAUGUGGAUGUGGGAAGGUAGUUGAGGGUUUUGGAGCAUAUCACUAAGCACUGAAGAGCAAGAAACUCAUUAAGCAACACCUCAUCCCUCCUUGAUAGUAUUGGCUUUUCCUAUGGACUCAAUGUGAUCUUGGAUCACUAAAAUAUAAAAUGUAGAGUCUUGAGCUUCAAGCUUGAGCCAAACUUUUUGUCCUUAGAAUUUUGAGGGAUCCACUUUCCUCAUCCAUGCCAUGCCAUUCAUUGAGCUUUUCCUAAAAUAUUAAUCUUGGAAUAAUGUUAGCUCAAUGAGCUAUAUGUUGUUAGGAAUUACCAAAACCACCCAGGGAUAGUUGCACUUUCAAUUUCCCCCUUUUUGGUAAUUGAUGACAACAUAUAGAUCAAAGCUUCGACAAAUGAUAAUAAGAGUGAAAGAUAUUGUCGCUUUGAGAAGUAUGUGAAAAGCAAGAGCUCCCCCUAAAUUUGUGCAUAUCUUAUUAUUUGCUUUGGACUGCAAAUGCACAAUGAGUUAGGAUCAUGGGUUACUCUUCCAUGUCACAUACAUCUUGGUGGAGCGCUCAAAAUGAUAAGAAUUAAAUACAUGCACUCAUCACCAAGAAAAGUGAAUGAUCAUAUAAGGAUAAGUAAGAUAAUAUCCUCUAACAAGCAUAAGUGUAGCUUAUGAUCAACCACAUGAUCAUCAGUGUCUCACAAAUAAGCAUAGUAUCUCAAGCAAUCAAAAGCAAACAAAGUUCAACCAAGAAGACAAGAGAGAACAAAAGCAAACUCUCUCUCUCGAAGCCUAUGAUCUAUACAUUUUUCUCCCCCUUUGGCAACAAGUUACCAAAAAGUUCAUAGAAAAUGCAUAGCACUAAAACGACUCUCAGGCUUGGUCUUCAGGUGGUGGAGUCCGGAUAACGCCAAGAAUGAAGGCUUCUGUUGAUGUAGAUGGAGCUGCUGUGGUAGGUGCUGGAGCUGGUGGCACUGAAGCUGUAGCUGGUGCAGAUGUAGUGGCUUUGGUGUCAGAAACUGGCACUGCAGAUGAUCUCUGAGCUCUAGGCACUCUGGCAAAAGCAUCAGUAGUUGUCCUGCCCUUCCUCUCCCGCAUGCCAUCCUGUAGCUGCUCCACAAUAGACUGAAUCUCAGUUACUUUGACAUCUAAAUCAUAGAAUUUUUGUUCCAUGAUUCUUUUCAAGCUCUCCUGGUUUCGAGUUAGGGUGGCCAACCCCUUCUCAAUCCUCAGAGUUGAUCCUAUCAAAUAACCAAGUUGGUCCUGCUUGCUCUUCAAAAAGUACUCAGAUGCCUCCUCUUGAGUUGGCAUCUUGGCAGCCUUCUCCAUCUUUGCCUUCUCCUUCUUUGCUUGAGCUUGUACUGAUGAUGGUUCAUUCUCAUUCAUCAUAACUUGAUUGUCCUCAAAGUCAGGAUAGAUAGGCAAGUGUUCCUUAUCCAAUAAGUAUGUGCCUGUGCCCAUCUUUGAGUUAAUCAACUCCUGAAUUUGUGGGGCAUAUCCACAACUUCUCUUCUGGUCAGCUGCUGUCCUCUUGAUAGUCUCAACUAUAAGGCUCAUGACCUUGAACUUCUGUGGCACAUCAAAUAUGUGUAGCAAGUUAAUUGCAUGCCCUCUGAUCAUGUUGUGGUCACCUGACUUGGGAAAAAGAGUGUGCCUUAGGAUCCAGUUGAUUGUAGGCAGCCCUGACAGAAGAAAAUGGACUGACCCAAACAUGAAAGUCUCAAGAGCUUUGUCUGGAAUCUCCUUGUACAUGUUUGACAUAGAAUUGUGAUCCAUCUUCUUCUUGGCAUAAACAUCCAAGUCAUCUUCCUGCUCUUCUAGGGCAUUGAUCAACUGAGCCCAUUCCUCAAUAGUUGAUUGGUAUCUCGUACCUUCAGACAUCCAAACUAUCCUGCCAUCUGGAUAGAAAUGUGUUGUGGAGUAGAAUUGCAUUAUGAGCUCCUCAUUCCACUUCGUGAGCUUCUUCCCAACAAAGUCUACAACUUCACAAGCACUGAAGUUGUCAUACACUCCAGGAUAGUGUUCCUCAUUUUCCUUCAUGUAGGUCCAGUCGACCCACCUCAUAUCACACACUAUGGGUUUCUUGUCCAGCAGCACUGUCUCAUAGAAAUCUUGCUGUUCCUUUGUGUGGAACCUGUAAUCAACAGCAGUUCUUCUCCUAGUGGCAUAUGGAUCUGUCUCUCUCCAUUUCCUCAGCCCUGAGUCUCUCCUGAUCUUCAUGUUCUCAGCCACAGGAUGAGCAUCAUUGUGGUCUGGAAUCUUGGGUUUGAGCUUCCUUAGGACUUGUCCUUCAUCAUCUUCAUCAGUAGCAACUUUAGGCACUGGGGCCUUGUUCUUCUCAGCAGCAGAUAUGUUCCUGGUAUUCCUCUUAGGUGCACUCUUGGGCUUGGAGGCAGCUUUGGGUGCUACUUUGGGUUUUGAUGAAGUAGCCCCUGACUUUAUAGCAUCACCCAUCAGCUUCUGGGCCUUAGGUGCUGGUGCAGCAACCUCUUCCUCUUCUUCUUCUUCCUCAAAAGAGUGCUUCUCAAAUUCAGCCAUUGGAUCAACCUUCUUGCACCAUCUGCCCCUCUUUCUUUCCUUCUUCUCUUUUGCAGCCUCAUCUCCUAUAGUUGACUUGGAGGGUUUCUGAGAGGAUGCCCUGGCUUUGUACAUUGGCUGUCUUCCUGCUGUCCUUUUGGUCUUCAGACCUGGCUUUGUGGCUGCAGCUGAACCAUAUUCCUUUUUGAGCACCUUCUUCUUUAAUGUGGCUUCCUCUUCCUCUGCCACAUAAUCUUCAUCCUCAGAUUCUGAAGUUCUUUUCUUGCUUGCUCUAGUGGCAGCCUUUGGCAAGUUGCUUGGGGUGCUUCUGCUAACCUCAUCUGAGCUGCUAGAGGGACUAGUGCCCUCACUCAUGUGUACCUGCUCCUCUGAGUUGUUCUGCUGUCACUCUAGUCAGACAUGUUGCAAACACUAACUGCAGACCCUGUGAAUAGAUUGUAGAUGAGAUAGAGUGGAUGAGCAUCACAAAAUACAGAGAUUUUUGCAAAAGAAUGAGUCAAAAACUUAGUUUUAGUUUUCCACAGAAAGCAUUUCGGAUCAACCGAUUUGCAAACUCGGUGAUACCGAAGCAGCUGUCGGAACCAAAACUAGUGAACUCGGUCAGACCGAGUCACAGUUCGAUGGCACCGAGACUGCUAGGGUUUCACAAAGUCCUGAACUCGGUCACACCAUUUGCAAUUCUCGGUCAGACCGAGAACCACAUGUGCAAUGGCCUUGGCCGAAUCGGUGGAACCGAGUUCUGCAACCCGGUGGGUCCGAGAUGGUUUCGGCGGAAACCUAACCCUAAAUUUUCGAUUCAAUUCUAAUAUACGGAGUGUUUUGACUGGAUAGAAGCGCUUCAAUCGUGGCAAGAUUCAUAAUGAACACAAUGUGCUAGGAAUCGGAUGGGGAUAGCACUGUGAUCGAGUCCAUACCCUAGUUCGGCGAUGAACUCGCUACGGCGGCAACGGCGGCGAAGAAUUCCGUUGACGGCGGCGGAGACCAGCGACAGGAGGUGGCUGGCGACGAGGAGGAUGAUCCGGAGACCCAGGAGGCAGAGCGAGCUAUGCGCGGGCGAAGUGUUUCGAAGAAAUUUCCAAAAUUUUGCCCAUGAGUAUAUAUAGCCCGACCCUAUCGGUGUGACCAAGUGGAACAACUCGGUGGCACCGAGAUGCAUAACUGUUGACAGUUACAGAAACUCGGUGUGACCUAAAAGUUCAAAUCGGUUGCACCGAGAUUGAAAACCUAGAUCGACUUAGUGAUCUCGGUAUGACCGAAAUGGAGGAAUCGGUCAGACUGAAACACACAAAGAAGUUUUGGAAGUUUAAGUCUAUGACGAAUCGGGGACUCCGAGUGCUCCUCACACAGAGUGGUUCAAAUCUGACUUGAUCAAAUUUUGUGAUGUAGCAUGAAUAGAGUUUGAGACGAGAAAAGCAUAGAUAGCUAGAGAAGGUUCUUAGGCAUUCUUGUCCAUCCAUUUGGCUAAAGAAAAAGAAACCAACCAAUCAAAACAACAAGUGGACGUCCUCGAAUGAGUGAAAUAUGCAACCAACAUUCUCACACAAUAAAAUGACAAAUGAAAUAUGUGGCAAAGCAUGCACAACCAAUCCUAGCAUCUAUCAAACAAUUGGCGAUGACUAGGUCAUCUAUAUAUGAGUAUAUUGACUUAGGAGUCAAAUGAGAACAUUUGAUCAUAGGUCAUACUCAUCAUUUAAGCAUAAGUGGGGUUACCACUUUUACAUAAAGCAUUGUUGUGUUCACACCAUUAGAGUUACUUUAGCUCAAUUCUUAGAGUAAAGCUCCCCCUAGAUGUGAUAUCCCCCCUAAGAGGGAUGAACUAACCUUGGGUUUUGUCGAUGAUGACUUCAUGUAGAUGUUGACGAUGUGGAUGCUCAAUGUUGAUGUAGAUCAUUUGGAGCUAUCCAUUGGAGUGAGUUGCACUUUCAAUACCUACACAGGUUAGUCCCACAAGGAACAAACAAGAAUAUCCAUAGACAUAAAGUGAUGCACACACAAGAUGAUGUCUAUGAAAGCUUUUAGGUUACCUUGUCCCUUGUCUUACCAACAAUAGGGUUUGUGACUCCUUGAACUAGUGCAAUAUGUGGAAGUUGAUUGCACUUGUUCUUGCCAAGAUGAUAAGAAUGAAGUAUGUUGGCGGAGUCACCCUCAAGAACUCUCUAGUUCUUCUUCUUAGGGAUCCACACCAUCUUGAUGGGAAUCCUCAGAGUUGUAGUUGUACUUGAUGAAGUGGAACUUGAAGUAGUCUUGGGAACCCACUCGACCAAGGCCUUAGGAGCUUCUUCAAAUGCAUCAAUUUCCUCUUGAAGCUUGUCCUUGCCUUUUUGCUUGUGGUCUUGUGGUGGAAGAUCAUCUUGAGCUUGUGUCCCUUUGAAAGAAGUAGGAUCAUACUUCUCUUGUUGAGGAACAAACUUCGUCUUGGGGUAUUGAUCUUCUUCCCACUCAACUCCAUUGGCAUUGAACUUUCGUUCAAAACCAACACCUUGAUUCUUACGAUGCCUUCCUUGCUUGCGUACAAUUUCCUCGAAUUGCUUACUUCCGGGAAGGCUCUUGUAAACACCUUUCUCUAUAAUUCCCUUCAAUAAGCUAUUUUCUUGCUCAAGUGUAACUUGGCUAAGAGAAUCAUUAGUGGAAUCAAGAGAACUACUAGAAGCAACAAUAUUGGAUUUAGCAUGAUUAUUGUUACUACUAGAGGAAGAAUCAUUCUUGUUCUUGUUACUAGACUUGACUUGAGGCAUGUAAGUGGAUAAGAGUAAACGCUUGGCAAUGUAAGAAGAACUUUUCUUACGAAGAUCAUCAUUGAUUGCUUUUAAGAACUCAUGCUCUUGCUCAAGGUUGAGCUUUUCAAAGUGUAAUUUCUCAUUAGUCCUUAAAAGUUCUCGAUGAUCUCCUAAGAUAAUUUCAUGAUCUAACUUAAGAGUGUUUAGUUCUUUAGUUAGAGACUCAAUCUUAUCCUUAUCAUUGUCAUUCGUUUUAUCUUGAUUAGCAUGAUUAAUUGACGUUUCAUCAUAGUAUUCAUCACUAGAGUUGUCAACAAGUAAAUCAUCAUCACCUAACAAGUCAUCUUCAUCACUAUUGAAAUCAACAUACUCGGGGUGUGAUACCUUUGGGCCUUUAGCCAUGAAGCACGUUCCAACUCCUUCAUUUGGUGAGUCAAAUAUAUCGUAGGAGUUGGUUGUCACAAGUGCUAGACCGGCAACACCUUCAUCUUGAUUAUAUUCGGAGUCGGAGUGAUAGCUUCUCUGAAGGAAAUAUGCCCUAGAGGCAAUAAUAAAGUUAUUAUUUUAUUUCCUUAUAUCAUUAUAAAUGUUUAUUAUUCAUGCUAGAAUUGUAUUAACCGGAAACAUAAUACAUGUGUGAAUACAUAGACAAACAGUAUGUCACUAGUAUGCCUCUACUUGACUAGCUCGUUGAUCAAAGAUGGUUAAGUUUCCUAGCCAUAGACAUGAGUUGUCAUUUGAUUAACGGGAUCACAUCAUUAGGAGAAUGAUGUGAUUGACUUGACCCAUUCCGUUAGCUUAGCACUCGAUCAUUUAGUAUGUUGCUAUUGCUUUCUUCAUGACUUAUACAUGUUCCUAUGACUAUGAGAUUAUGCAACUCCCGUUUGCCAGAGGAACACUUUGUGUGCUACCAAACGUCACAACGUAACUGGGUGAUUAUAAAGGAGCUCUACAGGUGUCUCCGAAGGUACAUGUUGGGUUGGCGUAUUUCGAGAUUAGGAUUUGUCACUCCGAUUGUCGGAGAGGUAUCUCUGGGCCCUCUCGGUAAUGCACAUCACAUAAGCCUUGCAAGCAUUGCAACUAAUGAGUUAGUUGUGAGAUGAUGUAUUAUGAAACGAGUAAAUAGACUUGCCAGUAACGAGAUUGAACUAGGUAUUAAGAUACCGACGAUCGAAUCUCGGGCAAGUAACAUACCGAUGACAAAGGGAACAACGUAUGUUGUUAUGCGGUCUGACCGAUAAAGAUCUUCAUAGAAUAUGUGGGAGCCAAUAUGAGCAUCUAGGUUCCGCUAUUGGUUAUUGGCCGGAGACGUGUCUCGGUCAUGUCUACAUAGUUCUCGAACCCGUAGGGUCCGAACGCUUAAAGUUUCGAUGACGGUUAUAUUAUGAGUUUAUGAGUUUUGAUGUACCGAAGGAGUUUGGAGUCCUGGAUGAGUUUGGGGACAUGACGAGGAGUCUCUAAAUGGUCGAGACGUAAAGAUCGAUAUAUUGGAUGACUACAUUCGGACAUCGGAAGGGUUCCGAGUGAUUCGGGUAUUUUCGGGAGUACCGGGGAGUUACGGGAAUUCGUAUUGGGCCUUAAUGGGCCAUACGGGAAAGGAGAGAAAGGCCUCAAAGGGUGGCCGCACCCCUCCCCAUAGGAUGGUCCGAAUUGGACUAGGGAGGGGGGGCGCCCUCUUCCUUCCUUCUCCUUUUCCCUUCCCUUUCCUUCCCUCCUACUCCUACUACUUGGAAGGGCUCCUAGUUCUACUAGGAAAGGGGGAAUCCUACUCCCGGUGGGAGUAGGACUCCCCUAGGGCGCACCAUAGAGAGGGCCGGCCCUCCCCCUCCUCCACUCCUUUAUAUACGGGGGCAGAGGGCACCCCAUAGACACAACAAUUGAUCAAGUUGAUCUUUUAGCCGUGUGCGGUGCCCCCCUCCACCAUAGUCCACCUCGAUAAUACUGUAGCGGUGCUUAGGCGAAGCCCUGCGUCGGUAGAACAUCAAUAUCGUCACCACGCCAUCGUGCUGACAAAACUCUCCCUCAACACUCGGCUGGAGAGGAGUUCGAGGGACGUCAUCGGGUUGAACGUGUGCUGAACUCGGAGGUGUCGUGCGUUCGGUACUUGAUCGGUCGGAUCGUGAAGACGUACGACUACAUCAACCGCGUUGUGCUAACGCUUUCGCUUUCGGUCUAUGAGGGUACGUAGACAACACUCUCCCCUCUCGUUGCUUUGCAUCACCAUGAUCUUGCGUGUACGUAGGAAAUUUUUUGAAAUUACUACAUUCCCCAACAGUGGCAUCCGAGCCAGUUUUAUGCAUAGAUGUCAUAUGCACGAGUAGAACACAAGUGAGUUGUGGGCGAUAUAAGUCACACUGCUAACCAGGAUGUCAUACUUUGGUUCGGCGGUAUUGUUGGAUGAAGCGGCCCGGACCGACAUUACGCGUACGCUUACGCGAGACUGGUUUUACCGUCGUGCUAUGCACACAGGUGACUAGCGGGUGUCAGUUUCUCCAACUUUAGUUGACCCGAGUGUGGCUACGCCCAGUCCUUGUGAAGGUUAAACAGCACCAACUUGACAAACUAUCGUUGUGGUUUUGAUGCGUAGGUAAGAACGGUUCUUGCUAAGCCCAGUAGCAGCCACGUAAAACUUGCAACAACAAAGUAGAGGACGUCUAACUUGUUUUUGCAGGGCAUGUUGUGAUGUGAUAUGGUCAAGACGUGAUGAGAUAUAAGUUGUUGUAUGAGAUGAUCAUGUUUUGUUGAAGUUAUCGGCAACUGGCAAAAGCCUUAUGGUUGUUUCUCUAUUGCAUAAGAUGCAAGCGCCAAAUAAUUGCUUUACUUUAUCGCUGUGCGAUAGCAAUAGUUGCAAGAGCAAUUGUUGGCGAGACGACCAUGUGACGACACAUUGAUAUAGAUCAAGAUGAUGGAGAUCAUGGUGUCAUGCCGGUGACGAUGGAGAUCAUGACGAUGCUUUGGAGAUGGAGAUCAAAGGCACAAGAUGAUGAUGGCCAUAUCAUGUCACAUAUUAUGAUUGCAUGUGAUGUUUAUCUUUUAUACAUCUUAUUUUGCUUAGUUCGACGGUAGCUUUAUAAGAUGAUCUCUCACUAAAUUUCAAGGUAAAAGUGUUCUCCCUGAGUAUGCACCGUUGCCAAAGUUCGUCGUGCCCAGACACCACGUGAUGAUCGGGUGUGAUAAGCUCUACGUCCAUCUACAACGGGUGCAAGCCAGUUUUUGCACACGCAAAAUACUCAGGUUAAACUUGACGAGCCUAGCAUAUGCAGAUAUGGCCUCGGAACACUGAGACCGAAAGGUCGAGCGUGAAUCAUAUAGUAGAUAUGAUCAACAUAGUGAUGUUCACCAUUGAAACUACUCCAUUUCACGUGAUGAUCGGACAUGGUUUAGUUGAUAUGGAUCACGUGAUCACUUAGAAGAUUAGAGGGAUGUCUAUCUAAGUGGGAGUUCUUAAGUAAUAUGAUUAAUUGAACUUAAAUUUAUCAUGAACUUAGUCCUGGUAGUAUUAGCAUAUCUAUGUUGUAGAUCAAUAGCUCAUGUUUAGUUCCCCUGUUUUAUUUUUGAUAUGUUCCUAGAGAAAACUAAGUUGAAAAAUGUUAGUAGCUAUGAUGCGGAUUGGAUCCGUGAUAUGAGGUUUAUCCUCAUUGCUGCACAGAAGAAUUAUGUCCUUGAUGCACCGCUAGGUGACAGACCUAUUGCAGGAGCAGAUGCAGACGCUAUGAACGUUUGGCUAGCUAAAUAUGAUGACUACUUGAUAGUUUAGUGCACCAUGCUUGAACGGCUUAGAAUCGGGACUUCAAAGACGUUUUGAACGUCAUGGACCAUAUGAGAUGUUCCAGGAGUUGAAGUUAAUAUUUUAAGCAAAUACCCGAGUUGGGAGAUAUGAAGUCUCCAACAAGUUCUAUAGCUAAAAGAUGGAGGAGAAUAGCUCAAGAAGUGAGCAUGUGCUCAGAUUGUCUGGGUACUACAAUCGCUUGAAUCAAGUGGGAAUUAAUCUUACAGAUAAAAUAGUGAUUGACAGAAUUCUCUAGUCACCAUCACCAAGUUAGUAGAACUUCGUGAUGAACUAUAAUAUGCAAGGGAUAACGGAAACGAUUCCCAAGCUCUUCGUGAUGCUGAAAUCGACGAAGGUAGAAAUCAAGAAAAACAUCAAGUGUUGAUGGUUAACAAGACCACUAGUUUUAAGAAAAGGGCAAAGGGAAGAAGGGGAACUUUAAGAAGAACGGCAAGCAAGUUGCUGCUCAAGUGAAGAAACCCAAGUAUGGACCUAAGCCUGACACUAAGUGCUUCUACUGCAAAAGGACUGGUCACUGGAAGCGGAACUACCCCAAGUAUUUGGCGGAUAAGAAGGAUGGCAAAAUAAACAAAGGUAUAUUUGAUAUACAUAUUGAUGUGUACUUUACUAGUGUUUAUAGCAACCCCUCGGUAUUUGAUACUGGUUCAGUUACUAUGAUUAGUAACUCGAAACGGGAGUUGCAGAAUGACAGAGACUAGUUAAGGGUGAAGUGACGAUGUGUGUUGGAAGUGGUUCCCAGGUUGAUAUGAUCAUCAUCGCACACUCCCUAUACUUUCGGGAUUAGUGUUGAACCUAAAUAAGUGUUAUUUGGUGUUUGCAUUGAGCAUGAAUAUGAUUUGAUCAUGUUUAUUGCAAUACGAUUAUUCAUUUAAGUUAGAGAAUAAUUGUUGUUCUAUUUACAUGAAUAAAACCUUCUAUGGUCAUACACCCAAUGAAAAUGGUUUGUUGGAUCUCGAUCGUAGUGAUACACAUAUUCAUAAUAUUGAAACCAAAAGAUGCAAAGUUAAUAAUGAUAGUGCAACCUAUUUGUGGCACUGCCGUUUAGGUCAUAUUGGUGUAAAGCGCAUGAAGAAACUCCAUGCUGAUGGGCUUUCGGAAUCACUUGAUUAUGAAUCACUUGAUACUUGCGAACCAUGCCUCAUGGGCAAGAUGACUAAGACUCUGUUCUCCGGAACAAUGGAGCGAGCAACUGACUUAUUGGAAAUAAUACAUACUGAUGUAUGCGAUCCGAUGAGUGUUAAGGCUCGCGGCGGGUAUCGUUAUUUUCUGACCUUCACAGAUGAUUUGAGCAGAUAUGGGUAUAUCUACUUGAUGAAACAUAAGUCUGAAACAUUUGAAAAGUUCAAAGAUUUUCAGAGUGAAGUGGAAAAUCAUCGUGACAAGAAAAUAAACUUUCUACGAUCUGAUCACGGAAACAUAUAUUUGAGUUACAAGUUUGGUCCUCAAUUAAAGCAAUGUGGAAUAGUUUCACAAAUUCGUGCCACCUGGAACACCACAGCAUAAUGGUGUGUCCGAAUGUCAUAACCGUACUUUAUUGGAUAUAGUGCAAUCUAUGAUGUUUCUUACCGAUUUACUGUUGGGGAACGUAGUAAUUUCAAAAAUUUCCUACGCACACGCAAGAUCAUGGUGAUGCAUAGCAACGAGGGAAGAGUGUUGUCUACGUACCCAACGCAGACCGACUGCGGAAGCGAUCACACAACAUAGAGGAAGUAGUCGUACGUCUUCACGAUCCAACCGAUCAAGCACCGAAACUACGGCACCUCCGAGUUCGAGCACACGUUCAGCCCGAUGACGAUCCCCGGACUCCGAUCCAGCAAAGUGUCGGGGAAGAGUUCCGUCAGCACGACGGCGUGGUGACGAUCUUGAUGUACUACAGCAGCAGGGCUUCGCCUAAACUCCGCUACAGUAUUAUCGAGGUAUAUGGUGGCAGGGGGCACCGCACACGGCUAAGGAAUGGAUCACGUGGAUCAACUUGUGUGUCUUUGGGGUGUCUCUACCUCAGUAUAUAAAGGAGCCAAGGGGGGAGGGGGUGCUGGCCAAGAGAGAGAGGCGCAGGAGGAGUCCUACUCCUUCCGGGAGUAGGACUCCCCUCCAAUCCUAUUCCAACUAGGAUUCCCCAAGUGGGAAAGAGGGAGAAGAGUGGCCGGCCACCUCCCCUAGUCCUAAUAGGACUAGGGGAAGGGGGGAGGCGCGCAGCCCUUGUGGGCAGCCCUUUCACCUUUCCACUAAGGCCCAUGAAGGCCCAUAUGGCUCCCGGGGGGUUCCCGUAACCUCCCGGUAACCCGGUAAAAUCCCGAUUUCACCCGAAACACUUCCGAUGUCCAAACAUAGGCUUCCAAUAUAUCAAUCUUUACGUCUCGACCAUUUCGAGACUCCUCGUCAUGUCCUUGAUCACAUCCGGGACUCCGAACAACCUUCGGUACAUCAAAAUGCAUAAACUCAUAAUAUAACUAUCAUCGUAACCUUAAGCGUGCGGACCCUACGGGUUCGAGAACAAUGUAGACAUGACCGAGACAUGUCUCCGGUCAAUAACCAAUAGCGGGACCUGGAUGCCCAUAUUGGCUCCUACAUAUUCUACGAAGAUCUUUAUCGGUCAGACCGCAUAACAACAUACGUUGUUCCCUUUGUCAUCGGUAUGUUACUUGCCCGAGAUUCGAUCGUCAGUAUCCAAUACCUAGUUCAAUCUCGUUACUGGCAAGUCUCUUUACUUGUUCCAUAAUACAUCAUCUCACAACUAACAUCUUAGUUGCAGUGCUUGCAAGGCUUAUGUGAUGUGCAUUACCGAGAGGGCCCAGAGAUACCUCUCCGAUAAUCGGAGUGACAAAUCCUAAUCUCGAAAUACGCCAACCCAACAUCUACCUUUGGAGACACCUGUAAUGCUCCUUUAUAAUCACCCAGUUACGUUGUGACAUUUGGUAGCACCCAAAGUGUUCCUCCGGCAAACGGGAGUUGCAUAAUCUCAUAGUUAUAGGAACAUGUAUAAGUCAUGAAGAAAAGCAAUAGCAACAUACUAAACGAUCGGGUGCUAAGCUAAUGGAAUGGGUCAUGUCAAUCAGAUCAUUCAACUAAUGAUGUGACCUCGUUAAUCAAAUAACAACUCUUUGUCCAUGGUUAGGAAACAUAACCAUCUUUGAUUAACGAGCUAGUCGAGUAGAGGCAUACUAGUGACACUCUGUUUGUCUAUGUAUUCAGACAUGUAUUAUGUUUCCGGUUAAUACAAUUCUAGCAUGAAUAAUAAACAUUUAUCAUGAAAUAAGGAAAUAAAUAAUAACUUUAUUAUUGCCUCUAGGGCAUAUUUCCUUCAUUUACCACUAUAGUUUUGGGGUUAUGCAUUAGAGACAGCUGCAUUCACGUUAAAAAGGGCACCAUCUAAAUCCGUUGAGACGACACCGUAUGAACUAUGGUUUGGCAAGAAACCAAAGUUGUCGUUUCUUAAAGUUUGGGGUUGCGAUGCUUAUGUGAAAAGUUUUCAUCCUGAUAAGCUCAAACCCAAACCGGAGAAAUAUGUCUUCAUAGAAUACCCAAAGGAAACUGUUGGGUACACCUUCUAUCACAGAUCCAAAGGCAAGAUAUUCGUUGCUAAGAAUGGAAACUUUCUGGAGAAGGGGUUUCUCUCGAAAGAAGUGAGUGGGAGGAAAGUAGAACUUGAUAAGGUAAUUGUACCUUCUUCCGAAUUGGAAAGUAGUUCAUCAUAGAAAUCAGUUCCAGUGAUGCCUACACCAUAAGUGAGGAAGUUAAUGAUAAUGAUCAUGAAACUUUGGAUCAAUUUACUACCGAACCUCGUAGGUAAACCAGAGUGAGAUCCACACCAGAGUGGUAUGGCAAUCCUGUUCUGGAGGUCAUGUUACUUGACCAUGACGAACCUACGAACUAUGAGGAAGCGAUGAUGAGCCCAGAUUCCGCAAAAUGGUUUGAGGCCAUGAAAUCUGAGAUAGGAUCCGUGUAUGAGAACAAAAUAUGGACUUUGGUUGACUUGCCCAAUGAUCGGCAAGCCAUAAAAAAAUAAAUGGAUCUUCAAGAGGAAGACAGAUGCUGAUAGUAGUGUUACUAUCUACAAAGCUAGAAUUGUCGCAAAAGGUUUUCGACAAGUUCAAGGUGUUGACUACAAUGAGAGUUUCUCACUCGUAUCUAUGCUUAAGUCUGUCCGAAUCAUGUUAGCAAUUGCCGCAUUUUAUGAAAUCUGGCAAAUGGAUAAACAAAACUACAUUCCUUAAUGGAUUUAUUAAAGAAGAGUUGUAUAUGAUGCAACCAGAAGGCUUUGUCAAUCCUAAAGGUGCUAGCAAAAUAUGCAAGCUCCAUCGAUCCAUCUAUGGACUGGUGCAAGCAUCUCGGAGUUGGAAUAUACGCUUUGAUAAGUUGAUCAAAGCAUAUAGUUUUAUACAGACUUGCGGUGAAGCCUGUAUUUACAAGAAAGUGAGUGGGAGCACUACAACAUUUCUGAUAAGUAUAUGUGAAUGACAUAUUGUUGAUCAGAAAUAAAGUAGAAUUACUAUGCAAAGCAUAAAGGAGUGUUUGAAAGGAUUUUUUCAAAGUAAGACCUCGGUGAAGCUACUUACAUAUUGAGCAUCAAGAUCUAUAGAGAUAGAUCAAGACGCUUGAUAAGUUUUUUCAAUGAGUACAUACCUUGACGAGUUUUUUGAAGUAGUUCAAAAUGGAACAGUCAAAGAAAGAGUUCUUGCCUGUGUUACAAGGUGUGAAAUUGAGUAAGACUCAAAGCCCGACCACGGCAGAAGAUAGAAAGAGAAUGAAAGUCAUUCCCUAUGCCUCAGCCAUAGGUUCUAUAAAGUAUGCCAUGUUGUGUACCAGAUCUAUUGUAUACCCUACACUGUGUUAAGCAAGGGAGUACAAUAGUGAUCAUGGAGUAGAUCACUGGACAUCGGUCAAAGUUAUCCUUAGUGGAAUAAGGAUAUGUUUCUCGAUUAUGGAGGUGAUAAAGAGUUCGUCGUAAAGAGUUACGUCGAUGCAAGUUUUGACACAAAUCUGGAUGACUCUUAGUCUCGAUCUAGAUACAUAUUGAAAGUGGGAGCAAUUAGCUAGAGUAGCUCCGUGCAGAGCAUUGUUGACAUAGAAAUUUGCAAAAUGGAUCUGAAUAUGGCAGACCCAUUGACUAAACUUCUCUCACAAGCAAAACAUGAUCACACCAUAGUACUCUUUGGGUGUUAAUCACAUAGCAAUGUGAACUAGAUUAUUGACUCUAGUAAACCCUUUGGGUGUUGGUCACAUGACGAUGUGAACUAUGGGCGUUAAUCACAUGGUGAUGUGAACUAUUGAUGUUAAAUCACAUGGCGAUGUGAUCUAGAUUAUUGACUCUAGUGCAAGUGGGAGACUGAAGGAAAUAUGCCCUAGAGGCAAUAAUAAAGUUAUUAUUUAUUUCCUUAUAUCAUGAUAAAUGUUUAUUAUUCAUGCUAGAAUUGUAUUAAUCAGAAACAUAAUACAUGUGUGAAUACAUAGACAAACAAUAUGUCACUAGUAUGCCUCUACUUGACUAGCUCGUUGAUCAAAGAUGGUUAAGUUUCCUAGCCAUAGACAUGAGUUGUCAUUUUAUUAAUGGGAUCACAUCAUUAGGAGAAUGAUGUGAUUGACUUGACCCAUUCCGUUAGCUUAGCACUCGAUCGUUUAGUAUGUUGCUAUUGCUUUCUUCAUGACUUAUACAUGUUCCUAUGACUAUGAGAUUAUGCAACUCCCGUUUGCCAGAGGAACACUUUGUGUGCUACCAAACGUCACAACGUAACUGGGUGAUUAUAAAGGAGCUCUACAGGUGUCUCCGAAGGUACAUGUUGGGUUGGCGUAUUUCGAGAUUAGGAUUUGUCACUCCGAUUGUCGGAGAGGUAUCUCUGGGCCCUCUCGGUAAUGCACAUCACAUAAGCCUUGCAAGCAUUGCAACUAAUGAGUUAGUUGUGAGAUGAUGUAUUAUGAAACGAGUAAAUAGACUUGCCAGUAACGAGAUUGAACUAGGUAUUAAGAUACCGACAAUCGAAUCUCGGGCAAGUAACAUACCGAUGACAAAGGGAACAACGUAUGUUGUUAUGCGGUCUGACCGAUAAAGAUCUUCGUAGAAUAUGUGGGAGCCAAUAUGAGCAUCUAGGUUCCGCUAUUGGUUAUUGGUCGGAGACGUGUCUCGGUCAUGUCUACAUAGUUCUCGAACCCGUAGGGUCCGCACGCUUAAAGUUUCGAUGACGGUUAUGUUAUGAGUUUAUGAGUUUUGAUGUACCGAAGGAGUUCGGAGUCCCGGAUGAGUUCGGGGACAUGACGAGGAGUCUCUAAAUGGUCUAGACGUAAAGAUCGAUAUAUUGGACGACUAUAUUCGGACAUCGGAAGGGUUCCGAGUGAUUCGGGUAUUUUCGGGAGUACCGAGGAGUUACGGGAAUUCGUAUUGGGCCUUAAUGGGCCAUACGGGAAAGGAGAGAAAGGCCUCAAAGGGUGGCCCCACCCCUCCCCAUAGGAUGGUCCGAAUUGGACUAGGGAGGGGGCGCGCCCCCUUCCUUCCUUCUCCUUUUCCCUUCCAUUUCCUUCCCUCCUACUCCUACUACUUGGAAGGGCUCCUAGUUCUACUAGGAAAGGGGGAAUCCUACUCCUGGUGGGAGUAGGACUCCCCUAGGGCGCACCAUAGAGAGGGCCGGCCCUCCCCCUCCUCCACUCCUUUAUAUACGGGGGCAGGGGGCACCCCAUAGACACAACAAUUGAUCAAGUUGAUCUUUUAGCCGUGUGCGGUGCCCCCCUCCACCAUAGUCCACCUCGAUAAUACUGUAGCGGUGCUUAGGCGAAGCCCUGCGUCGGUAGAACAUCAAUAUCAUCACCACGCCGUCGUGCUGACGAAACUCUCCCUCAACACUCGGCUGGAUCGGAGUUCGAGGGACGUCAUCGGGUUGAACGUGUGCUGAACUCGGAGGUGCCGUGCAUUUGGUACUUGAUCGGUCGGAUCGUGAAGACGUACGACUACAUCAACCGCAUUGUGCUAAUGCUUCCGCUUUCGGUCUACGAGGGCACAUAGACAACACUCUUCCCUCUCGUUGCUUUGCAUCACCAUGAUCUUGCGUGUGCGUAGGAAUUUUUUUGAAAUUACUACGUUCCCCAACAUUCUCUCGGAGUGGUUGUCGGAGUCGGAGCCGGAUACCCAUUCACCAACAUGAGCUUGAUGUCUUCGUUUUGUGUAGCUCCUUAAUGACUUGUCCUUUCUUUCCGAAUCCUUGCUUCUCUGUGAGGGUCUUCGUUCAUAACGAUCAUCUCUACUCCUUCUUUCUCUAGAUGGUGAUUAUUCUCUUGUACUCUUUCUCUUGGGAGAAUCUUCUCUUCUCUUGUAGGGGGCCGUACACUCAUUGGAAUAGUGUCUGGGCCUUCCACAAUUGUAGCAGUUUCGCUCUCGACUAGAAGAUCUUUUGUCAUUGUAGGACCUUGACUUGGAACUUCUCUCUUUGCUUCUACUCUUGUAGAACUUGUUGAAGUUCUUCACCAUUAAGCUCAAUUCUUCAUUGAAGGUUUGUUUCUCACUUGAUGAUGUGGGGGCUUCACAUAAGGCUUUGUAAGCACCACUUGAUUUGUUGUGAAGUUCCUCUUUAUCCUUGAGUGACAUCUCAUGAGCAACAAUUCUUCCGAUGACUUCCGUUGGCUUGAGAUCUUUGUAAUUGGGCAUCAUUUGAAUCAAUGUGCACACGGUAUCAUAUUUUUCAUUCAAGGCUCUUAGGAUCUUCUUGAUGAUGAAUCGAUCGGUCAUCUCUUCACUCCCUAAGCCAGCAAUCUCAUUUGUGAUAAGAGCAAGCCUAGAGUACAUUUCAGUGACACCUUCACCAUCCUUCAUUUUGAACUUGUCAAGUUGACUUUGAAGCACAUCCAAUUUGGAUUCCUUGACGGAGUCGGUACCUUCGUGCAUAUCAAUCAAAGUAUCCCAAAUUUCCUUUGCAUUCUCCAGACGGCUGAUUUUGUUGAAUUCUUCGGGGCACAAUCCGUUGAAGAGGAUAUCACAAGCUUGAGCGUUGUAUUGCAGCAUCUUCAACUCUUCCGCGGUAGCUUCACGGUUCGGUUCUUUCCCAUAAAAGAAUUCACCUUGCAAGCCAAUACACACAAUAGCCCAAACGGCGGGGUUAUGUCCAAGAAUAUGCAUUUUCAUCUUAUGCUUCCAACUAGCAAAAUUAGUACCAUCAAAGUAAGGACCUCUACGGUGAUAAUUUCCCUCGCUAGAUGCCAUACUCUCCUAGGUUGUAAAACCAAGGCUAUGACCACCAAAAGCUAUGGAAAUCAAAGCAAAUGGAGACCAAAGCUCUGAUACCACUUGUAGGAUCGAAAGUAUGUCCAGAGGGGGGGGGGUGAUUAGACUACUUGACCAAUUAAAAAUCUAGCCUUUUCCCAAUUUUAGUUCUUGGCAGAUUUUAGCUAUCUUAACACAAGUCAAGCAAUCUCAACACAAUUCAAGCAAGCAUGCAAAAGAGUAUAUGAGCAGUGGAAAGUAAAGCAUACAACUUGCAAGAAUGUAAAGGGAAGGGUUUGGAGGAUUCAAACGCUAUUGGAGACACGGAUGUUUUUGUCGUGGUUCCGAUAGGUGGUGCUAUCGUACAUCCACGUUGAUGGAGACUUCAACCCACGGAGGGUAACGGUCGCGCGAGUCCACGGAGGGCUCCACCCACGAAGGGUCCACGAAGAAGCAACCUUGUCUAUUCCAUCACGGUCGUCGCCCACGAAGGACUUGCCUCACUAGCGAUAGAUCUUCACGAAGUAGGCGAUCUCCUUGCCCUUACAAAAUCCUUGGUUCAACUGCACAAUCUAGUUGGAGGCUCUCAAGUGACACCUAGCCAAUCUAAGAGACACCACUCUCCAAGAAGUAACAAAUGGUGUGUUGAUGAUGAACUCCUUGCUCUUGUGCUUCAAAUGAUAGUCUACCCAACACUCAACUCUCUCUCACAGGAUUUGGAUUUGGUGGAAAGAAGAUUUGAGUGGAAAGCAACUUGGGGAAGGCUAGAGAUCAAGAUUCAUAUGGUAGGAAUGGAAUAUCUUGACCUCAACACAAGUGUAGGUGGUUCUCUCUCAGAACAUGUGUAUUGGAAGUGUAGGUAUUUUCUGAUGGCUCUCUCCACGAAUGAAGAGUGGGUGGAGGGGUAUAUAUAGCCUCCACACAAAAUCUAACCGUUACACACAAUUUGCCAAACUCGGUGGGACCGAAUGGUUAAACUCGGUCGGACCGAUUCAGCAAACCUAGUGACCGUUAGGAUUUUCGGUGGGACUGAGAUGCAACUCGGUAGGACCGAUAUGGUUAGGGUUAGGGCAUAACAUAAUCUCGGUGUGACCCAUUACACAAACUCAGUGGGACCGAUUUUGGUAAUAAGCUAACCAGAGAGUUGGUCAGGUAAACUCGGUGGGACCGGUUCGUUCUUUUCGGUGAGACCGAAAUGUUACGAAAGGGAAACAGAGAGUUUACAUUGCAAUCUCGGUGGGACCGAUCGCUCACUUUGGUUAGACCGAAACGUUACGAAGGGAAACAGAGAGAUUGCAAUCCCAUCUCGGUGAGACCGAGAUCCCUAUCGGUGAGACCGAUUUGCCUAGGGUUUGUGGCAGUGGCUAUGACAUUUGAAACUCGGUGGCGCCGGAUAGAAAUAAUCGGUGGGGCCGAGUUCGACUUUUGGUUUAGGUCAUAUGUGGAUGUGGGAAGGUAGUUGAGGGUUUUGGAGCAUAUCACUAAGCACUGAAGAGCAAGAAACUCAUUAAGCAACACCUCAUCCCUCCUUGAUAGUAUUGGCUUUUCCUAUGGACUCAAUGUGAUCUUGGAUCACUAAAAUAUAAAAUGUAGAGUCUUGAGCUUCAAGCUUGAGCCAAACUUUUUGUCCUUAGAAUUUUGAGGGAUCCACUUUCCUCAUCCAUGCCAUGCCAUUCAUUGAGCUUUUCCUGAAAUAUUAAUCUUGGAAUAAUGUUAGCUCAAUGAGCUAUAUGUUGUUAGGAAUUACCAAAACCACCCAGGGAUAGUUGCACUUUCAACUUCACUAUGUCGGUACUUGAAGGGUAUAGUGAUGCGAAUUGGAUCUCUGAUGCUGAUGAGAUGAAGGCCACAACUGGGUGUAUGUUUACUCUUGGAGGUGGUGCUGUUUCCUGGAAGUCUUGCAAGCAAACGAUCUUAACGAGAUCGAUAAUGGAAGCAGAGUUAACAAUGUUAGACACAUCUGGUGUUGAAGCAAGAUGGCUUCGAGAUCUUUUGAUGGACUUGCCAUUGGUUGAUAAACCGGUUCCGGCUGUCCUUAUGAACUAUGACAAUCAGACUGUCAUCACCAAGGUGAAGAGUUAAAAGGACAACAUGAAGUCCAACAAACACCAAGGUGAAGAGUUAAAAGGACAACCGGAGUGAUAGUGUUGGACUAUGUCCAUACGGCUAAGAAUCUGGCAGAUCCCUUUACGAAACGGCUAUCAAGUGUUGUGAUAGAUAAUGCAUCGAGGGAGAUGGGUAUGAGACCCACAUGAGUUGCCAUGGUGGUAACCCAACCUAUGUGAUCGGAGAUCCCGUGAAGUAGGACCUGGGAAAACAAGCCAGUGGUGAACUGAGGAGAGUAAUUAUACUAACCCACUCCGUUGGAGAUGCAAUAGUCUCGAUAUUGUAUGGUAGGAUGACUAUUGUCUUAAUGCGCUCCAAAGCUUAUGUAAGCAAGAUGCUAUCCUACAGAGCGAUCUUUGGAGGAACACACCUAUGUGAGCCCGACUGCUGGUCACAGUCUAUGAGAUUGGGAUGAUCUUUAUUAAGCUCAUGAAUAGGCCAGGAGUGUGACUUAUAUGCUCCACCCGAGGGGUCAGCCUUCGGCAGCCCAGUACUAGUAAGACAUGUGGUGAAACUUCUUUACGCUAAACUGACAAUUCAAGGCAUAGUCCAUUGUUCAGUUAUGAAGGAGUGUAGCUACUUGCUUUAGGUGAAGCUCAACCUUAACAGGUCUUCACUGAAAUCCUGGUAUAUGGAAACAGUAAUUGGAACAGAGGACACAAUGGGCCCUCGAGAUCUGGUGGGGGAUUGCUGAAAUUUGAGAUGGGCUCUAGGACCAUAUUGCAAUUUCUGAAAAAUAUCUAAGGGCCCAUGUGGGUUAUAUGGCACUAGAUGUAGUGGGAAGUUUAGUCCCACCCCGGAAGUGGAAGAGGAGUUGGACCUCCUUAUAAGGGUUUCUCUUCUACAUGCUAUUGGAGCUUGAGAAGAGAAGUGGCCCUCGCGCACUCCUCCUCCGCCUCCCGCCUCACCACGCCACGCCUCGCCUCGUCAUGACGCGCCGCGCCGCGGGUUGCGGGAUUGAGCCGAGUCGAGCUCACACCUACGCGCUUAUUUUUGCCAGUCACAAACGGAGAGUUGUCUGACAGCUGGGCCAUGAUCUGAGACGUCGUAUCGUGGGCUGUCACGGACUCGGACGUGGGUCGAGCCCACAUCUCUCCACGCGGCUGCACCUAUAUAAGUGUGCGGUGUCUCCUAACCCUAGCCGCCACGAACAGAUCACAUCUGCUCCACGCGCACGCCCACCAUCGUUUCCUUGCUGCUGCUGCCGCCGGUGACUCCAUCCCGUCCGCCGCGUACACGAUCGACGGGAGAGCAGGUCUCCGAAACCACGCCCUUCUGCUUCCUGUACGGGGUGAGGGACGAAUAGGUUUUUGGGCAGCGACUACGCGACUGCUCGCUUUCGAUCCGCUACUUCCUCUACGUCCGCGUCGCCCUCAUCAUCAUCACGUCCACCGACGCCGAACGUGCCGCCGCCGAGAAAGCUGAAGCCGACAAGAAGGCCGCUGAGGAUGCUGCUGCCGCCACCAACGCCACGACCUCUACAUGGCCUACUGGAGGGUAUAACUCUUUUAUCCCGCUCCUACUGUUUUCUGUUUUAGCCAUGCUAGUGUUAUACGUAGAUCUUUCUGCAAUUAGCGUAGUAUGUGCUAGAUUGACUGAAUAUCAGUAUGCGUUUAUUUGUGUCAAUGCCAUGUUAGUGAUUUACUCGUGGAUUAAUUUAAUCGAGAAAUUACCUAUUUACUCAACAGAAGCUGAUCGCCACCGAUACCGUGGAGGCGUCUGCCACAAGGCAAACGCCGUACGCCUUAAGUCCCGUCUGGAAGGCGGAGCGCCUGGAUAAAUACAACUCUGGUGUCAUGAGUGCGGUCACUGGCGGAAGGAUGGUGAGCUGGCGCGUGAGCAGGUUGAGCAGGCGGGCGGUCAGGGUGGGCCCGUAGAGCAGAAACAGUAGGCCCUCGGGGCUGACCGCAAGCAGCGGUUGCGAGACGAGCUCUGGGAGGUCCACCCGGACGCACUCACCAGUACACACAUUGAGAAAGCGAUGGCGAUGGCCCCAGGCAGCGGCAGGUGCCUUGUCAAGCAUGAUCCACUAGCGGGGGAGGAAGCGGCCGUCCAGGCCGCCGGCGCGCGGGUCCGGCUAGCACAGCCGCCGCGGCCGGCACACGACCCGGAAGCGGACGUCGGUCACGUCGCUGGCGAGGGCGAGCUCAGCGAUCAGGCCGGCCGACCCAUCCCCGAGGUCCGCCCAAUCUCGUUGGCAGGUCCGUGUGAGAUCGCCAGGGGGCCGCGUCCGCUUUGCGCGGCGCCGGCAUGGGAUCGUGGCUCGGGAGGCCGACAUCCACCGCAAUGACUAUUUUUGGAAAAUCCAAAAACAUUUUUUAAACAAGUGAAAAAUUUCUGAAUUCGUUAUUUUUUGAAUUCAUGAAUAUUUUUUAAUUCAAAUCAUUUUUGAAUUGAUGAAUAUAAUUUGAAUUGCCGGCCAUAUUUUGAAUUUAGAAGCAUUUUUUUAAUUGGUGAAUGUUUUUUGUAUUCAUAAACAUUUACUUUAAUUCUGAGCAUUACUCAAGUUUGUGAAUAGCUUCAUAAAAUUUAUGAACAUUCCUAAUAUUUUUAAUUCAAAACCGGCUUUUGAAAUUAUCAAUUUUAUAAAUUCCUGAAAAUUUGUUUAACAAUUUUAAAAGGUACUUAAGAAAAUGAGAAAAAUAGAAAGAAAAAAACAGAUCAAAAAAAGCCGCUAGAGAACAUAUUACUUACAAGUCGCUAUUCUUUUAACAAACCAGCAUAGUAAGCUGUCGCAGGGUGGGGUGCGCUUUAGCCCGCAAGAGUUAUGCCCAACUCCUAUUUGACGCCCUCUCCGUCGGUAGUGUGUUACAAACCGGCGCACAUCCUCCUCAGUCCUGGGCUCAGACCAUUUACUUUUUUUUUCUAUUUAUAAAACUCAAAAAAUAGGUGCGUGAACAGCCCAACUCUUCCUAUUUGGCGCCCUGAGGGCCAGUAGUAGUGUAUUAUAACUUUUUUAAAUAGGUGCAUGAAGUUUUUAUAAAAUCAUGAACUUUUUUCAAAUUCUUGAAUUUUUUUUCAAAUCCAUGAAUAUCUUCUAAAAGUCGCAAACUUUUUUAAAAUCAGUGAACUUAUUCCAAACACAUAAAUGUUUUUCAUUUUCACAAAUGUUUUUCAUUUUCACAAAUGUUUUUCAAAUUUGUGAACCUUUUCUCAAAUCAACGAUGUCUUUUCAAUUUCAUGAUCUUUCUCCCAAUUUGGUGAACUUUUUCCACAUCGAGAAACUUUGUUCAAUUUUGCUAACUUUUUUUAAACUCAUGAACUUUAUUAUAAAAUCAUGAAUUUUUUGAAAUCGGUGAACUUUUUUUAGAUUCUUGAACUUUUUUGUUAAAUCCGUGAACUUUUUGUUCAAAUUGAUGAACUUUUGAAAAAAUCUGUGAUAUUUUUAAAUUUCAAGAAAAACAAAUUUAAACUCAGAAACUUUUCUUUAAUCCAUGAACAUUUUUUGAACUUUGAAAACCGGCAACCAGUUUUUCCAGUUAACAAAACAACAGGAGAAGAGCAAACCGAGAAAGUACAACGAGCAAGCAAAGCGAAGGAGCGAGGUACAUGGUCCGUGGCCCACUAAGAGCAUCUCUAGCAGACCUCGUAUAAUGCCUCGAGCCGUAAGAUAACCGCCAAAAUACGGAUUGGCACGAAAAAUGCUGCCCGACCAGACACUGUAAACGCGUCGGACCCGUAAAAUUUUUUGAGGGGCGCGGUAAAAUCCCAUCUCCAACCCGCAAAACGCAGGUUUUCCCCUCGACCCGACGGUGCCCUGUAUCCCAGAAAAGCGGUUGGUGGGAGGGACAUUUUAGCCCGUGCCCGUUCCCCACAUCCUUCCGCGGUCGCCCGCCAUUGGUUCUGCCCGGCCGCCGCCACCGAUCCCGGCCAAAUCUGCGGACGGAAUCAUGGCGCGGGGGCGCCCUUCACCCCGUUCCACCUAGCCGCUUCACUGGCUCCUAGGAUCCGCCGAGCCGAGCCGCCCCUAGUCGCCGCCCGGGGAUCCACCUGUUGGGUUUCGUAGUAAUUUCAAAAAAUUUCCUACGCACACGCAAGAUCAUGUGAUGCAUAGCAACGAGAGGGGAGAGUGUUGUCUAUGUACCCAACGCAGACCGACUGCGGAAGCGCUGACACGACGUAGAGGAAGUAGUCGUACGUCUUCACGAUCCAACCGAUCAAGCACCAAAACUGCGGCACCUCCGAGUUCGAGCACACGUUCAGCUCGAUGACGAUCCCCGGACUCCGAUCCAGCAAAGUGUCGGGGAAGAGUUCCGUCAGCACGACGGCGUGGUGACGAUCUUGAUGUACUACAGCAGCAGGGCUUCGCCUAAACUCCGCUACAGUAUUAUCGAGGACUAUGGUGGCUGGGGGCACCGCACACGGCUAAGGAAUAGAUCACGUGGAUCAACUUGUGUGUUCUAGGGUGCCUCUACCUCAGUAUAUAAAGGACCAAAGGGGGGAGGCUGGCCGGCCACAAGGGGUGCGCCAGGAGAGUCCUACUCCCUCUGGGAGUAGGAUUCCCCCCCCCCCAAUCCUAGUUGGAAUAGGAUUCGCGGAGGGGGAAAAGAGAGAGAGGGGGCCGGCCACCUCUCCUAGUCCUAAUAGGACUAGGGGAAGGGGAAGGCGCACAGCCCAUGUAGGGCUGCCUCUUCUCUUUUCCGCUAAGGCCCAUCAUGGCCCAUUUAGCUCCCGGGGGGUUCCGGUAACCUUCCCGGUACUCCGGUAAAAUCCCGAUUUCACCCGGAACACUUCCGAUAUCCAAACAUAGGCUUCCAAUAUAUCAAUCUUUACGUCUCAACCAUUUCGAGACUCCUCGUCAUGUCCGUGAUCACAUCCGGGACUCCAAACAACCUUCGGUACAUCAAAAUGCAUAAACUCAUAAUAUAACUGUCAUCGUAACCUUAAGCGUGCGGACCCUACGGGUUCGAAAACAAUGUAGACAUGACCGAGACAUGUCUCCGGUCAAUAACCAAUAGCGGGACCUGGAUGCCCAUAUUGGCUCCUACAUAUUCUACGAAGAUCUUUAUCGGUCAGACCGCAUAACAACAUACGUUGUUCCCUUUUUCAUCGGUAUGUUACUUGCCCGAGAUUCGAUCGUCGGUAUCCAAUACCUAGUUCAAUCUCGUUACCGGCAAGUCUCUUUACUCGUUCCGCAAUACAUCAUCUCACAACCAACAUAUUAGUUGUAAUGCUUGCAAGGCUUAUGUGAUGUGCAUUACCGAGAGGGCCCAGAGAUACCUCUCCGACAAUCGGAGUGACAAAACCUAAUCUCGAAAUACGCCAACCCAACAUGUACCAUUGGAGACACCUGUAGUACUCCUUUAUAAUCACCCUGUUACGUUGUGACGUUUGGUAGUACCCAAAGUGUUCCUCCGGUAAACGGGAGUUGCAUAAUCUCAUAGUUAUAGGAACAUGUAUAAGUCAUGAAGAAAGCAAUAGCAACAUACUAAACGAUCGGGUGCUAAGCUAAUGGAAUGGGUCAUGUCAAUCAGAUCAUUCAACUAAUGAUGUGACCUCGUUAAUCAAAUAACAACUCUUUGUUCAUGGUUAGGAAACAUAACCAUCUUUGAUUAACGAGCUAGUCAAGUAGAGGCAUACUAGUGACACUCUGUUUGUCUAUGUAUUCACACAUGUAUUAUGUUUCCGGUUAAUACAAUUCUAGCAUGAAUAAUAAACAUUUAUCAUGAUAUAAGGAAAUAAAUAAUAACUUUAUUAUUGCCUCUAGGGCAUAUUUCCUUCAGUCUCCCACUUGCACUAGAGUCAAUAAUCUAUAUUACACUGUAAUGAUUCUAACACCCAUGGAGCUUUGGUGCUGAUCAUGUUUUGCUCGUGGAAGAGGCUUAGUCAACGGGUCUGCAACAUUCAGAUCCAUAUGUAUCUUGCAAAUCUCUAUGUCUCCCACCUGGACUAGAUCCCGGAUGGUGUUGAAGCGUCUCUUGAUGUGCUUGGUCCUUUUGUGAAAUCUGGAUUCCUUUGCCAAGGCAAUUGCACCAGUAUUGUCACAAAAGAUUUUCAUUGGACCCGAUGCACUAGGUAUGACACCUAGAUCGAAUAUGAACUCCUUCAUCCAGACUCCUUCGUUCGCUGCUUCCGAAGCAGCUAUGUACUCCGCUUCACAUGUAGAUCCUGCUACGACGCUUUGUUUAGAACUGCACCAACUGACAGCUCCACCGUUUAAUGUAAACACGUAUCCGGUUUGCGAUUUAGAAUCGUCCGGAUCAGUGUCAAAGCUUGCAUCAACGUAACCUUUUACGGUGAGCUCUUUGUCACCUCCAUAUACGAGAAACAUAUCCCUAGUCCUUUUCAGGUAUUUCAGGAUGUUCUUGACCGCUGUCCAGUGAUCCACUCCUGGAUUACUUUGGUACCUCCCUGCUAAGCUUAUAGCAAGGCACACAUCAGGUCUGGUACACAGCAUUGCAUACAUGAUAGAGCCUAUGGCUGAAGCAUAGGGAACAUCUUUCAUUUUCUCUCUAUCUUCUGCAGUGGUCGGGCAUUGAGUCUUACUCAACUUCACACCUUGUAACACAGGCAAGAACCCUUUCUUUGCUUGAUCCAUUUUGAACUUUUUCAAAAUUUUGUCAAGGUAUGUGCUUUGUGAAAGUCCAAUUAAGCGUCUUGAUCUAUCUCUAUAGAUCUUAAUGCCUAAUAUGUAAGUAGCUUCACCGAGGUCUUUCAUUGAAAAACUCUUAUUCAAGUAUCCCUUUAUGCUAUCCAGAAAUUCCAUAUCAUUUCCAAUUAGCAAUAUGUCAUCCACAUAUAAUAUCAGAAAUGCUACAGAGCUCCCACUCACUUUCUUGUAAAUACAGGCUUCUCCGAAAGUCUGUAUAAAACCAAAUGCUUUGAUCACACUAUCAAAGCGUUUAUUCCAACUCCGAGAGGCUUGCACCAGUCCAUAAAUGGAUCGCUGGAGCUUGCACACUUUGUUAGCUCCCUUUGGAUCGACAAAACCUUCUGGUUGCAUUAUAUACAACUCUUCUUCCAGAAAUCCAUUCAGGAAUGCAGUUUUGACAUCCAUCUGCCAAAUUUCAUAAUCAUAAAAUGCGGCAAUCGCCAACAUGAUUCGGACGGACUUAAGCAUCGCUACGGGUGAGAAGGUCUCAUCGUAGUCAAUCCCUUGAACUUGCCGAAAACCUUUUGUGACAAGUCGAGCUUUGUAGACAGUAACAUUACCAUCAGCGUCAGUCUUCUUCUUGAAGAUCCAUUUAUUCUCAAUUGCUUGCCGAUCAUCGGGCAAGUCAACCAAAGUCCAUACUUUGUUCUCAUACAUGGAUCCCAUCUCAGAUUUCAUGGCUUCAAGCCACUUUGCGGAAUCUGGGCUCACCAUCGCUUCUUCAUAGUUUGUAGGUUCAUCAUGAUCUAGUAGCAUGACUUCCAGAACAGGAUUACCGUACCACUCUGGUGUGGAUCUUGCUCUGGUCGAUCUACGAGGUUCAGUAGUAUCUUGACCUAAAGUUUCAUGAUCAACAUCAUUAGCUUCCUCACUAAUUGGUAUAGAUGUCGCAGAAACAGUUUUCUGUGAUGUACUAUUUUCCAAUAAGGGAGCAGGUACAGUUACCUCGUCAAGUUCUACUUUCCUCCCACUCACUUCUUUCGAGAGAAACUCCUUCUCUAGAAAGGAUCCAUUCUUAGCAACGAAUGUCCUGCCUUCGGAUCUGUGAUAGAAGGUGUACCCAACAAUCUCCUUUGGGUAUCCUAUGAAGACACAUUUCUCCGAUUUGGGUUCGAGCUUAUCAGGUUGAAGCUUUUUCACAUAAGCAUCGCAGCCCCAAACUUUAAGAAACGACAACUUUGGUUUCUUGCCAAACCAUAGUUCAUAAGGUGUCGUCUCAACGGAUUUUGAUGGUGCCCUAUUUAACGUCAAUGCGGCCGUCUCUAAAGCAUAACCCCAAAACGAUAGCGGUAAAUCAGUAAGAGACAUCAUAGAUCGCACCAUAUCUAGUAAAGUACGAUUACGACGUUCGGACACACCAUUACGCUGUGGUGUUCCGGGCGGCGUGAGUUGCGAAACUAUUCCACAGUUUUUCAAAUGUACACCAAGCUUGUAACUCAAAUAUUCUCCUCCACGAUCAGAUCGUAGAAACUUUAUUUUCUUGUUACGAUGAUUUUCAACUUCACUCUAAAAUUCUUUGAACUUUUCAAAUGUUUCAGACUUAUGUUUGAUUAAGUAGAUAUACCCAUAUCUGCUUAAAUCAUCUGUGAAGGUGAGAAAAUAACGAUAUCCGCCACGAGCCUCAAUAUUCAUCGGACCACAUACAUCGGUAUGUAUGAUUUCCAACAAAUCUGUUGCUCUCUCCAUAGUACAGGAGAACGGUGUUUUAGUCAUCUUGCCCAUGAGGCACGGUUCGCAAGUACCAAGUGAUUCAUAAUCAAGUGGUUCCAAAAGUCCAUCAGUAUGGAGUUUCUUCAUGCGCUUUAUACCGAUAUGACCUAAACGACAGUGCCACAAAUAAGUUACACUUUCAUUAUCGACUCUGCAUCUUUUGGCCUCAACAUUAUGAAUAUGUGUAUUACUGCUAUCGAGAUUCAAUAAGAAUAGACCACUCUUCAAGGGUGCAUGACCAUAAAAGAUAUUACUCAUAUAAAUAGAACAACCAUUAUUCUCUGAUUUAAAUGAAUAACCGUCUCGCAUUAAACAAGAUCCAGAUAUAAUGUUCAUGCUCAACGCUGGCACCAAAUAACAAUUAUUUAGGUCUAAUAUUAAUCCCGAAGGUAGAUGUAGAGGUAGCAUGCCGACCGCGAUCACAUCGACUUUGGAACCGUUUCCCACGCGCAUCGUCACCUCGUCCUUUGCCAGUGCCCGUUUAUACCGUAGUCCCUGUUUCGAGUUGCAAAUAUUAGCAACAGAACCAGUAUCAAAUACCCAGGUGCUACUGCGAGCUCUAGUAAGGUACACAUCAAUAACAUGUAUAUCACAUAUACCUUUGUUCACCUUGCCAUCCUUCUUAUCCGCCAAAUACUUGGGGCAGUUCCGCUUCCAGUGACCAGUCUGCUUGCAGUAGAAGCACUCAGUUUCAGGCUUAGGUCCAGACUUGGGUUUCUUCUCCUGAGCAGCAACUUGCUUGUUGUUCUUCUUGAAGUUCCCCUUCUUCUUCCCUUUGCCCUUUUUCUUGAAACUAGUGGUCUUGUUAACCAUCAACACUUGAUGCUCCUUCUUGAUUUCUACCUCUGCAGCUUUCAGCAUUGCGAAGAGCUCGGGAAUAGUCUUGUUCAUCCCUUGCAUAUUAUAGUUCAUCACGAAGCUCUUGUAGCUUGGUGGCAGUGAUUGGAGAAUUCUGUCAAUGACGCAAUCAUCUGGAGGAUUAACUCCCAAUUGAAUCAAGUGAUUAUUAUACCCAGACAUUUUGAGUAUAUGCUCACUGACAGAACUGUUCUCCUCCAUCUUGCAGCUAUAGAACUUAUUGGAGACUUCAUAUCUCUCAAUCCGGGCAUUUGCUUGAAAUAUUAACUUCAACUCCUGGAACAUCUCAUAUGCUCCAUGACGUUCAAAACAUCGUUGAAGUCCCGAUUCUAAGCCGUAAAGCAUGGCACACUGAACUAUCGAGUAGUCAUCAGCUUUGCUCUGCCAGACGUUCAUAACAUCUGGUGUUGCUCCAGCAGCAGGCCUGGCACCCAACGGUGCUUCCAGGACAUAAUUCUUCUGUGCAACAAUGAGGAUAAUCCUCAAGUUACGGACCCAGUCCGUGUAAUUGCUACCAUCAUCUUUCAACUUUGCUUUCUCAAGGAACGCAUUAAAAUUCAACGGAACAACAGCACGAGCCAUCUAUCUACAAUCAACAUAAACAAGCAAGAUACUAUCAGGUACUAAGUUCAUGAUAAGUUUAAGUUCAAUUAAUCAAAUUACUUAAGAACUCCCACUUAGAUAGACAUCCCUCUAAUCUUCUAAGUGAUUACGUGAUCCAAAUCAACUAAACCAUAACCGAACAUCACGUGAGAUGGAGUAGUUUUCAAUGGUGAACAUCAUUAUGUUGAUCAUAUCUACUAUAUGAUUCACGCUCGACCUUUCGGUCUCCGUGUUCCGAGGCCAUAUAUGCAUAUGCUAGGCUCGUCAAGUUUAACCUGAGUAUUCUGCGUGUGCAAAACUGGCUUGCACCCGUUGUAGAUGGACGUAGAGCUUAUCACACCCGAUCAUCACGUGGUGUCUGGGCACGACGAACUUUAGCAACGGUGCAUACUCAGGGAGAACACUUCUUGAUAAUUUAGUGAGAGAUCAUCUUAUAAUGCUACCGUCAAUCAAAGCAAGAUAAGAUGCAUAAAAAGAUAAACAUAACAUGCAAUCAAUAUAAGUGAUAUGAUAUGGCCAUCAUCAUCUUGUGCUUGUGAUCUCCAUCUCCGAAGCACCGUCAUGAUCACCAUCGUCACCGGCGCGACACCUUGAUCUCCAUCGUAGCAUCGUUGUCGUCUCUCCAACCUUAUGCUUCCACGACUAUCACUACCGUUUAGUAAUAAAGUAAAGCAUUACAUCAUGAUUGCAUUGCAUACAAUAAAGCGACAACCAUAUGGCUCCUGCCAGUUGCCGAUAACUCGGUUACAAAACAUGAUUAUCUCAUACAAUAAAAUUCAGCAUCAUGCCUUGACCAUAUCACAUCACAACAUGCGCUGCAAAAACAAGUUAGACAUCCUCUACUUUGUUGUUGCAAGUUUUACGUGGCUGCUACGGGCUUUAAGCAAGAACCAAUCUCACCUACGCAUCAAAACCACAACGAUAGUUUGUCAAAUAGACUCCGUUUUAACCUUCGCAAGGACCGGGCGUAGCCAUACUUGGUUCAACUAAAGUUGGAGAGACAGUCGCCCGCAAGCCGCCUGUGUGCAAAGCACGUCGGGGGAACUGGUCUCGCGUAAGCGUACACGUAAGGUUGGUCCAGGUCGUCUCGUCCAACAAUGCCGCCGAACCAAAGUAUGACAUGCUGGUAGGCAGUAUGACUUAUAUCGCCCACAACUCACUUGUGUUCUACUCGUGCAAAUAAUAUCAACAUAAAUAACCUAGGCUCGGAUGCCACUGUUGGGUUUCGUAGUAAUUUCAAAAAAAUUCCUACGCACACGCAAGAUCAUGUGAUGCAUAGCAACGAGAGGGGAGAGUGUUGUCUAUGUACCCAACGCAGACCGACUGCGGAAGCGCUGACACGACGUAGAGGAAGUAGUCGUACGUCUUCACGAUCCAACCGAUCAAGCACCGAAACUACGGCACCUCCGAGUUCAAGCACACGUUCAGCUCGAUGACGAUCCCCGGACUCCGAUCCAGCAAAGUGUCGGGGAAGAGUUCCGUCAGCACGACGGCGUGGUGACGAUCUUGAUGUACUACAGCAGCAGGGCUUCGCCUAAACUCCGCUACAGUAUUAUCGAGGACUAUGGUGGCUGGGGGCACCGCGCACGGCUAAGGAAUAGAUCACGUGGAUCAACUUGUGUGUUCUAGGGUGCCUCUACCUCAGUAUAUAAAGGACCAAAGGGGGGAGGCUGGCCGGCCACAAGGGGUGCGCCGGGAGAGUCCUACUCCCUGUGGGAGUAGGAUUCCCCCCCCCCCCCAAUCCUAGUUGGAAUAGGAUUCGCGGAGGGGGAACAGAGAGAGAGGGGGCCGGCCACCUCUCCUAGUCCUAAUAGGACUAGGGGAAGGGGAAGGCGCACAGCCCAUGUAGGGCUGCCUCUUCUCUUUUCCACUAAGGCCCAUCAUGGCCCAUUUAGCUCCCGGGGGGUUCCGGUAACCUUCCCGGUACUCCGGUAAAAUCCCGAUUUCACCCGGAACACUUCCGAUAUCCAAACAUAGGCUUCCAAUAUAUCAAUCUUUACGUCUCGACCAUUUCGAGACUCCUCGUCAUGUCCGUGAUCACAUCCGGGACUCCGAACAACCUUCGGUACAUCAAAAUGCAUAAACUCAUAAUAUAACUGUCAUCGUAACCUUAAGCGUGCGGACCCUACGGGUUCGAGAACAAUGUAGACAUGACCGAGACACGUCUCCGGUCAAUAACCAAUAGCGGGACCUGGAUGCCCAUAUUGGCUCCUACAUAUUCUACGAAGAUCUUUAUCGGUCAGACCGCAUAAUAACAUAUGUUGUUCCCUUUGUCAUUGGUAUGUUACUUGCCCGAGAUUCGAUCGUCGGUAUCCAAUACCUAGUUCAAUCUCGUUACCGGCAAGUCUCUUUACUCGUUCCGUAAUACAUCAUCUCACAACCAACAUAUUAGUUGUAAUGCUUGCAAGGCUUAUGUGAUGUGCAUUACCGAGAGGGCCCAGAGAUACCUCUCCGACAAUCGGAGUGACAAAACCUAAUCUCGAAAUACGCCAACCCAACAUGUACCAUUGGAGACACCUGUAGUACUCCUUUAUAAUCACCCUGUUACGUUGUGACGUUUGGUAGUACCCAAAGUGUUCCUCCGGUAAACGGGAGUUGCAUAAUCUCAUAGUUAUAGGAACAUGUAUAAGUCAUGAAGAAAGCAAUAGCAACAUACUAAACGAUCGGGUGCUAAGCUAAUGGAAUGGGUCAUGUCAAUCAGAUCAUUCAACUAAUGAUGUGACCUCGUUAAUCAAAUAACAACUCUUUGUUCAUGGUUAGGAAACAUAACCAUCUUUGAUUAACGAGCUAGUCAAGUAGAGGCAUACUAGUGACACUCUGUUUGUCUAUGUAUUCACACAUGUAUUAUGUUUCCGGUUAAUACAAUUCUAGCAUGAAUAAUAAACAUUUAUCAUGAUAUAAGGAAAUAAAUAAUAACUUUAUUAUUGCCUCUAGGGCAUAUUUCCUUCACCACCGCCCCGAGCCGCCGGUGAGUACUUGUGCUUGUGCUUUUUGGGAUGUGCUAUGCAUAGUCGGCUCAUGCGGCGUUCAUAUUUGUAAAUUUAGAUGGAAUUGAGCCCCUGCGAGAGGUUUUUGCUCGAGGAUUCAUCCGAUUCGGACGACUCAGAUGUUGAGACGCUGCUUGUGAACCAUCGGCAGUAGAUUUUGGUGAUGUCCCUCGUCAUGAAGGAGCACGAAGAUGAGAACCGAAAGAGACGAUGAGGAUCGACCGUCGGUCGUCUUUUCAUUCCUCGAAAUCGCCAUCUAGGGAACGAGAUGUUGAUGCAAGACUGCUUCGUGGACAAUCCAACAUAUCCACCGCACCUCUUCGGGAGAAAGUACCGUAUGCGCCAAUCUCUCUUUGUAAAAAUAGUGCAAGCUUGCGAGGCCAUUUGUCGGUAUUUUACUCAAAGAAGAAAUGCCGCGGGCUUGAAGGGAUUUAGUGCAUAUCAAAAAAUCUGGGCAGCUAUGCGGGUAAUUGCAUACGACAUUCCGGUUGACUAUGCCGAUGAGUACCUUCGCAUUGGUGAAGAUAGUACAAUUAAGUCAGUGCGUAGGUUUUCCAAAGUGAUCAUCCGUGUCUUUGGUCCUGAAUAUCUUCAGGCACCCAACGAGGAAGACACAAAAAAGUUGAUGACAUCAAGUGAGAGAAGAGGUUGGCCUGGCAUGUUAGGAAGCAUUGAUUGUAUGCAUUGGACUUGAAAAAACUGCCCGAAGGCAUGGCAGGGAAUGUAUUGUGGCAAGUCUCGUGAUGCAACAAUUGUGCUAGAGGUCGUAGCAUCUGAGGGUUUAUGGAGUUGGCAUUGUUUUUUUGCUAUGCCGGGUACUCUCAAUGAUAUCAAUGUGUUGCAACGGUCUCAUUUGUUUGCUAGGCUUACUAGUGGUGAUGCUCCUGCUUGCAACUAUACUAUUAAUGGGCAUGAAUACACUUCUCGCAAAAAAAUAGGCAUGAAUACACAAAGGGGUACUAUCUUGCAGAUGGUAUCUACCCUUCUUGAUGCACAUUUGUCAAGAGCAUCAAAGACCCCAAACUAGGAAACAAUGUGAAUUUGUAAGGGUACAAGAGGCAGCCCGGAAAAAUAUUGAAAGAGCAUUCUGGGUUUUGCAAUCUAGGUUUGCCAUUGUUCGUUGUCCUGCUCGUUUUUGGGACAAGCAAUCCUUGAAAAACAUCAUGACAUGCUGCGUUAUUCUUCACAAUAUGAUUCUCGAAGAUGAGAGAGGCAUGAACUUGGAGUUCUUCUACGACAAUGUGAUAGUCGUGUCAAACCAGUUAGAGACCCUAACCGCAUUAGAGCAUUUCUUAAGACCUACAGGGAGAUUUAAAAUGCAAACACCCACUUCCAGCUUCAGGAGGAUCUCAUUAAGCACCAUUGGCAAAGGGUCGGGCAGUAACACAUUUCAUUUUUGCAUUCUUUCCAUUUAAUUCAUGUGUGAUUUGUAUUCGGGACAAAUUUUGUAUUGAAUUGUUUAGUUUGCUUCGGUGAUUUCAAUAAUUAUUGUAAUUUGGAUGAUUGUUAUAUUGUAAUAUUGACAUUUUAUCUUAUAUUGAAUUAAUAAUUCUGAAUAUGUGGCAUAUGUGUCAAACUCAUUUGAUUUGCGGGGCGGCACGGGCGCCGGCAAAGCAGACCCCGAGAAUAUUCCGUUUUACAGUUCCGCUACGUGGGGUCUGCUCGGUCGGCGCCCGUGCCGGCCCACAAAACCGUUUUUUGGCAAACUGUAAACGAGUUUUGCGGGUCGGCGAUAUACGAGGUCUGCUAGAGAUGCUCUAAGCCGGGCUUGAGCGCCAACUUCUCUUUCUGGCACCAAGAGGAGCUCGCCACUCAUACUGAUUCCUAUCAGGAAUCGCCACCGGCACAGUGGCUAUUGGGCUGCCCAACACUAUAGCUUAACCUGAUUUUUUUUACAGUUGUAGGGUUUUCCUCAACUAUUCUUCUUUUUUUCUCUGGUUUUCUACGAUUUUAUUUAUUCGUUUAUUCUUUUACUUUGGUUUUCUUUGUUUCUUUCUUCACUUUUCACUUGUUUUCUUUGUGUUUUUCAACAAACAUUUAGUUUUUUCAUACACAUUGUACAUUUUUCGUAUACAUGUGUAAUAUUUUUAUAUACAUGUUUAAUAAUUUUUAUUAACCGUUUUUCAAUUUAUUUGUUUUGAUGUCUACUUUUUCCAUACACAUUUUACGUUUUUUGUAUGCAUAUAGAACAUUUGCUUAUAUUCGUUUAAAUUUUUAAAAUACAUGAUUACCUUUUUUUCAAAUACUUGUUUUGGUCAGUUUUUUUGAAUUCAAGUUGAAACAUAUAUUUUUAUGGUAUAAAAAAUAACUCUUUUAAACUAUGUGAUCAUUUCUAUACAUAGGGUAAACAAUUUUUUUAAAUUCCACACACAUUUUGUUUGAAAAGCGUGAACAUUCUUGUUACAUUGUUAACAUUCUUUCAUAAAUGUCACAUACAUUUUUUUAAACACUUGAACGUUUUUGUUAUAUCACAUACAUUUUAUCUUGAAUGCCAAUAGUUUUUAACAGUUGAUCGAACAUUUUUUUACACUGAAUUUACCUUUUUUGAAUAUGCGAUAGACAUUUUUUUAAAUUAACUUUUUUUCCAUGAUAUUUGUUUUUAGUAUUGGUUUCAAAAAAUAAACAAAAGUAAAAAACGCUUGACGUCAACGUGAUGAGGCCACGUGGUUACUGAGCCGACCGGGUACCGGCUCCCUGCAUGUGACGCUUGCAUUUGAGUCGUUGCAAGCUAUACAUACACACGUGCCUGCGUGUGACGCUUGCAUUUGAGCCAAUGCAUGUAUGCAUGUUUGUUUGGAGGCUGGUGACAAAUUCUCUUGCAACGUGGGAGAAUAAAUUCUCUCGCCAUUUGGAAAUCAUUCACGUUUGUCCAUUAUGUGCCCUGGAACACAAGCAUGGAUUCCAUGCUAUGUGUAGGUGCCCUCGUGCAAUAGAGCUUUGGAGAGCGAUGGCCAAGAAAUGGAGACUCCUUUUAUAUCAAGGAUGUCCAGCACACAAAACCGGAGUGGCUCUUUGACGUUCUAGAGCCGCUUUCGAACACGUCCCGUAUGGCGCUCUUGAUGACGAUGUGGUGCUCAUGGCACAGCCGCAAUGACAUCACACAUUAUAAAAGCACCUCCCCUACCUGAAGCCUCGCGUCGAUUCCUGCAGAGUUACUUAACAUCGCUUCCAUGUAUUCAGUAGUUCGCUAAUGAUGAUCAAUGCAAAGGAAAGAUGGUCCUUAUGAACCCAGCGCUGAGGUUUGCGCCUCACCAUAGCAGCAGCAGGCGCUCGAUAUCGCCGGGCCGCGGCCGCGCGGGGUAUGGAGCAAGCCCGAGCCGGGUUGCCUGAAGCUCAAUGCAAAGAGCUAAAUACACAUGUGGUGUGUGAACUUGCCAUGAAUGUUCAUUUUAGUGUCUAAAGUUGAAAAAUAUAUCGAACUGGUUCUAAAACUUGGCUGACUCGUGCAAAUACGGGAGUGUGGUUUUCUGUAGCUCAGGCUACACGGUACCCCUUAUCUUUGCCAUCCAUUUAUGCAUCAAGAUCCGUGCAGACACAUUUGUCUUUUUUGUUUCUCUCAAACGACACAACAUAUAAACUCCAAAUUUUGCAGAACAACAAUACAUUCUAACUACAAUCUAGGAAAAAACUUUCAGAUUUUUUCAUGCAUUUUAAAUACUUGAAAUAAUAUUUUUAUUCAAAGAAAAUCUCAUUUUGUAUAUUUAUAUCAAACCAAAAAAUCUGAAAGUUUUUUCACACAUUGAUGUUUUAAUGUUUGUUCGAUCUGCAAAGUUUGAAGUUCAUAUGUUGUUUCAUUUUCGAGAAACAAAAAAGAAAAAUAUUCUUGUUGUUAGUUAGUUGAAGAGCACGAAUCUCAAAGCAAGGGUGGAGGGUUGAGAAUAAGAGAUUCCAUGUAGCCUGAGCUAAUCUCUUAUGUAAACAUACAGUGUGCUGAUGUGGUCCCGUAUUUGCUGACAUAGCAUGGGGCCACGUGUAGUGGCGAAGCAAGAUUACUUUAAUAAUAUAUAUGUCUCUAUGACUAGUGGUCCCAUAUGUCAGAACAAAAAGAAAAUUAAAACUAAAAAUAGUGCCGGAUCAGAGACGAGCAUACGACCUGCAGUUUGAAGAGAGCAUAUGCCGACCACUGCACCAAACAUACUACGAUGACAACUUCGGCCACUACCUGUUAAUGAAUGAUAAACAAAAAGGCUUGUGGUGCUUAAAUGGGCUGCAUUCAGUGACCCAUUUAGUGCAUGUUAUUUUUUUUAAAGAAAUGUAAAAGGUCUGUAAACGAUAUUCAUAAUAAUAAACUUUACAUUCAAAUAUUUGUGUGUUAUUAAUAAUUACCUCGUGUAUGGUUUGUAUUCAUUAAACAUUUAAAAAUGUAUUUAACGAACAUUUGUAAAUAUAAUUUAUGAUUGUAUAUUUUGAAAGUUUGUACUUACUAAACAUUUUUAAGCACUCAUGGCUUAUAUUUAAAAUACUAUUUUCUAAAUAAUAAGUGAAUAGUUCUAAAUAUUAUAGGAACAUUUUUAGUAAGUUAUUUUAUUACAUACAUCUAUAUAUUUAUUCUGUGUCCACGUAACUAUUUGUGUACAUUGAGGUUAUUAUUUAUGCACCAAAAAUAUUUAUAACCCACAGCAUGAUAUGGGGCCUGUUUGUUUUUUUAAUACAUGCACAUGAAUAUUUGUAUACCAUAAGGUAAUUAUUAAUGACACACAAAUAUUUGUAUAUCAGGAGGUAAUUAUUAACAACACACAAAUAUUUGAAUCUACUUCUAUUUUAUGAAUUAUAAUUUAUAGACUUUUAACAUUUUUUAAAGUUAACCUGUACUAAAUAGGCACCGAAUGCAGCCUGUUUAAGCACCAAAAGCUAUUCGGCGUGUGAAUAAUCAAAGAGCAAGGCCGCAUGUUCGAUUCCAAAUGAGCAUAAUUUUAGUUUCCAUUUUUUUCUAGACUGACAGGCAGGACCCACUAGUCAUAUAUACAUAUACCAUUCAAAUAAUCAUAUUUCAUCGUUACACAUGGACCCCAUGCCACAUCAGUCAAAUACGGUGCCGUGUCAACACAUUAUACAUCUACAUAGGUGUUUACCACCGUAUUUGCACGCGCUAGCCAAGUUUUAGAACCAGUUCAACGUAUUUUUCAAGUUCAGGCACUAAAGUGAACAUCCAUAACAAGUUCAAGCAUCACCGGUGUAAUUACCUCCAAUGCAAACGAUGCCUUUGUGGCGCAGGCAGCCAACGGUGGCACCGACAUGGUACUUCGCGACAACUUCGGUGCCAUCGUUUCACCUCGUGCCAUCAUCUUUUCACAUGUGACAAUGCACUUAAUGCGGAACUUGAGGCUUGUAGAGAGGGAGUUGCAUUGAUGCUUGAUUGGACUUCUCUUCCAUUCAUCGUUGAAACAUAUAGUGCUGAAGCGGCUGCGAUGAUUUCCCAAACCUCGAUGAACAGAUCAGAACAUGCUGCCCUUUGUCCAGGAGAUCACAUCUAUGAUGAAAGGGCACUGAGGUUUCAAGGUCCAGGCUAUCACCGUCGGAAAAAAGGUCCAGGCUAUCAAAAGAGAGUGUAACCAUGUUGAGGAGGCGGGAUUAUCAUACGGUCUGAGAGGGUUGUGAAUCUGUGUGAAUCAGACUGUUUUGUUCUAGGUUAAUUAAUAAUACUUCUACUACAAAACCCUUUCCCCCAUAAAAAGAAAAGAAGGAGAGCAGGAGCUCUCACGAUGAAUAAACUGCGUCUUCAAACUGUUCUUUUGCCAAAAGAGAGAGUAUCUUUUUUUUUGCAUGCAACAGAGAGAGUAUCGGCUUUCCUCCCUUCAAUCAAAAGAAAAGAGGAGGACUAGCCGACUCGGCGUCAGAUUAGUCCAGUGGGGAGGACUCUUUCGCUCGCGCCGCUCUAGCGAGUGGCCGGGCGAAACCCUAGUCCAUCGCCGCCGCCUCCCACACCUUCGCCCCCUCCCUCGCCGCCGCCAGGGGACGGCGCCGGGCAAAGCCCGUGCGUGCGUGCGUCGGCGGCGGGGUCCUUCCCUCCCCACGAGGCGCGGGCUGCGCGGGACGUCCGGCUUCCGUGGUGGCGCGCGUGGCCAGGAACAGCGUGCAGUCGAGUGGAUCUAGCAUGGGGGCGGCCAGGAGAGGGCGGAUCUAGCGCCGGCGAGGGCGUGGCGCGGCCUGCCGCGGAGGCGGCCAGGCGAGUGGAUCUGGCGCCGGCAAGGGCGCGCGUCCAGGGGCGAGCGGGCGUGGUGNNNNNNNNNNNNNNNNNNNNNNNNNNNNNNNNNNNNNNNNNNNNNNNNNNNNNNNNNNNNNNNNNNNNNNNNNNNNNNNNNNNNNNNNNNNNNNNNNNNNNNNNNNNNNNNNNNNNNNNNNNNNNNNNNNNNNNNNNNNNNNNNNNNNNNNNNNNNNNNNNNNNNNNNNNNNNNNNNNNNNNNNNNNNNNNNNNNNNNNNNNNNNNNNNNNNNNNNNNNNNNNNNNNNNNNNNNNNNNNNNNNNNNNNNNNNNNNNNNNNNNNNNNNNNNNNNNNNNNNNNNNNNNNNNNNNNNNNNNNNNNNNNNNNNNNNNNNNNNNNNNNNNNNNNNNNNNNNNNNNNNNNNNNNNNAGGCGUGGGUCGCUCGUCGCGGGGGGCUAGGGAGCGCGCGCGAUCGCUGGGCCGGCGUGGCUUGCCCCUCUGGGUGAGUGGCGGCCGGGCCUGGCCAGAUCCGAGGAUGGCGUGCGGUGGUCGCCUCGGAUUCGGCGCGGGCUGGAGGGGCGGCGCCCCUCCGGCGUGUGGCGGCCGGAUCUGGACGAACCUGGCCAGAUCCGUGGUGUGUUGGACGCGCGCCGGCCCUGCGCGUUGGUCCUGUGAUGCUGGAGCAGGUGGCUCCGGCCGUGAUAGAUACGGGAUGCAUGGACUGAUCUGGUCACUGUAGGCUCGCCGUGGGCGGGGUGGACCACGAAUCCACGACUUCUACGACUAGGUUCUGCGGCCGUGGCGGUGCGAGACUGCAUGGACGAGCUUCUGUGGGCAUGAGCGAAGGUGUGCGGCGAUACGGACGAAAGUCCUACACGACCAGAGGCCGGUGGCGAUGGCGCCUGUGGGUGUCAUUUUCCUCCUUGGAGGCGUCACCUGAGGUGUGUCGGCAUCUUCCUCGUGCUCGGAUGGUGGUUUGUCUCCGGGCGAAAUCCUAGGUCCGGUGUUGGAUUGGCGUGAUGGCGGCGUGUUUGACGUUGUUCCUCUGUUGGGAGCAUCACGUUUGGAGACAUUUCCUGGAAGCUCUUUGCGGCGCUCCACCGGUGCUCGCCGCUGUUCAAGGUGAAGCUCCAGGCGCAAUGUACGAAAUUAUCGAUGAGUCCAAGACGAAGCUCUUCCUGGGAUCGACCAAGUCCCGCCAUCCACCCCUGCUUCCAGGGUGGAUGGUGCAUUGGCGAGGGAAGUUGUAGUGGGAGCUGCUGCGGUCUUCGGAGGUGAUCGGCGUUGUUCGAGACGCGGUGGUGAUGCUUAGCUUAGGACAGGUGCUUCGGUUGUGUAGUCAUGUUGUUUGUGGUGGGUGUAGCUAUCUGCAGCUAUUAGGGCCGCAGUUUUUCCUUUCUCUUUUGAUCUUCGGAUCUUCACCAUGUUGUUCUUCCGCUGCUUUCUGCUAAAUCUGAAUCAAGCCAGCAAUUUGCUGGAUCUUUAAAAAAAAUCAAAAGAAAAGAGAGAUAACCGUAUUCGGAUAGGCCAUGAUUGUCCAUAUGUAUCCAUGCCCGAAGUUAAAGCAUCACAAUACCUGACAAAAAGGAAAAAAGUCCAAAACAAACCUCAAACUUAGAGCAUCUCCACUCGCACCCCCAACAGGCCCCCCAGGGCAAGUUUUUUCGUGCCGGCGCCGAAAAAACCCACCAGUCGCGCCCCCAGGAUGUCGAAAUCCGCCGGCUCGGCCCAUGUUUUGGCCCGGCGAUCCCAGGCCGAACCCAGCACACUGGGGGCGCUUGGGGGCUCCAUCGAAAGAAAAAAAAACCGCGCCUGGGCCACCACUGUCAGGCGAGAAAGCAUCUUGCUCAUCCAGAUGCCCCCCCGCACACAUGCCUUCCGCUGCCGUGCCUAUCCCGGCGCUGUCUACCUACCCACCGCCGCUAGAAAGGCUAUUCCCUCGCCGAAAAAGAGAGGGUUCGACGCGCCAGCCUCCAUUCCGUUCCUGGGUGAGCUUUUCGGUGCUCCGGCCAUGUAGGGCGGGGUUACCAGUGGCUGCACGCCUACCACGCCCGUCAGGUGUUCGGUGAUUUGUCUGCUUGGCAAUGGUCUCGGACGACGAGGAGGCAUUCGCGAUGCUGCUGGAGGAGGAAGCCGAUGCCAACGCCCAGGACGAAUAGCAUCUCAUGGUCCUCGCCGCUCUGGCCGGCCUAUUCGCGAGCAACGCAAAGCCGCGGCGAGUCGGCUCGGCGCCGGGCCGGCUGAAGGCAAAGCAGAGGCAUCGACUCGAAGGCUACUGCUUUCUCUACGCUGACUACUUUGCCGACGCUCCAUUGCAUGACGAGAAAGUAUUUCGACGCCGUUACCGGAUGAGCCUAGAGCUCUUCCUCAGGAUUGUGAAUUCUAUCCGUGAGUUUGACAGCUACUUCAAGUGCAAGUAGGAUUGCACUGGCACACUUGGAUUUAGCUCACUCCAGAAGUGCACGAUAGCUAUGCGAAUGCUUGCAUACGGAGCUCCCGGUGAUACAAUAGAAGACUAUGGACACAUGGCCGAGUCCACGACCAUUGAGUGUUUAUACAAGUUCUGCAGGGCAGUGGUGGCAGUGUUUGGACCUCAAUACUUGCGAUCACCCAAUGCUGAAGACACCGCUCGGAUCCUAGCAUAGAAUGCAGCAAGAGGAUUUUCUGGGAUGCUUGGAAGCAUCGACUACAUGCAUUGGAAAUGAAAAAAACUGUCCAUUUGCUUGGCAGAGGAUGUACAAAGGCGCCAAAGGCGGUUGCAGUGUGGUACUUGAGGCAGUGGCCACACACGGCCUCUGGAUUUGGCACUCCUUCUUUGGUAUGCCAGGAACUCACAAUGCCAUCAACAUACUGCAGGGCUCCCCUGUCUUUGCCCAGCUUGUUGAAGGUCAUGCUCCUCCAGUGAACUUCGAGGUCAGGGUGCCACUACAACAAGGGAUACUACCUAGCAGAUGGCAUCUAUCCGAGAUGGUCCACAUUUGUGAAGACUAUCUCAAACCCUGUGCCAGGAGCAAGAACUCUUACUUUGCCAAGUGUCAGGAGGCUUGCAGGAAGGAUGUCGAGCAGGCAUUUGGUGUGCUCCGAUCUCGAUUCGCUCUUGUUCGGUACCCCGCUCAGACCUGGUCCAAAGAUCAAAUGUGGGAGGUCAUGACUUGCUAUGUCAUCUUGUACAACAUGAUCAUUGAGAGUGAGCAGGAAGAGCCAGUGUUUUACACUGAACCAUAUUACAAGUAGGGUACUCUUGCCCAAGUUGAUCACCAGCUACCGGCAACCUGGACUGCCUUCCUCAAUAUGUGUCAGGAGAUCCGAAACCCACAGGUGCAUCAACAACUACAACACGAUCUGGUGGAGCACCUAUGGAGGCUCAAGGGCAACGCCUAGCUCGACGUGUGAUGAAAUAUGAUUUUUUAUUUGUUGAACUAUUUGAUUUGUAUUGAUUUGUUGAUCUACUUGAUUUGUACUAAUUUUCUGUGAUGAACUAUGUGCUAAAUAUUGCUUCUAUUGAAUUUGUGUCGAAGCACGCCGAAUAUGGGUCGAAAUUGGUUCAAUUUGCGCCGAAAGUGGGACAAUUUGCACCGAAAGUGGGCCGAAAUCGGCGCCUGGGGGCGACCUUAGGGGGGGCUGGGAAACCGACCGCCCCCACACCGAUUUUCCCCCGGCGCGCCCCCAGACGGCGCUAUUUCAAGCCCCUUGGGGGCCGAACGAGUGGAGAUGUUCUUAUAGACGAAAACUAAAUCUUCCCAGCCGCCACCACACCGAUUUUCUUGCCGGCGUGCCCCCAGACGACGCUAUUUCAAGCCCCUAGGGGGCCGAACGAGUGGAUAUGCUCUUAUAGACGAAAACUAAAUCAAAUCUGAACUUGUAAGAGCAUCUCCACCCGUUCGCCCCUCAGGGGCUUGAAAUAAUGCCGCCUGGGUGCGCGCCGGCUGAAAAAUCAGCGUGGGGGCGACCGGGUUCCCAGCCGCCGAUUUCGGCCCACUUUUGGCGCAAAUUUGCCCACUUUUCAGCCCAGUUUCGACGGAAAUUGGCCCACUACCGGCGCAAAUUGACCAAUUUCGACCCAUAUUCUGCAUGCUUUGGCGCGAAUUCGACAGAAGCUAUUUUUAUCACAUAGUUCAUCACAGAAAAUCAAUAGAAAUCAAAUAGUUCAACAAAUAGUUCAAUAGAAAUUAUAUAGUUCAACAAAUAAAAACUCAUAUUUCAUCACACUUUGAGCUAGGCGUUACCCUUGAGCCUCCAUAGGUGCUCCACCAGAUCCUGCUGCAGUUGUUGAUGCACCUGUGGGUCUCUGAUCUCCUAACACAUAUUAGGGAAGGCAGUCCAGGUUGCCGGUAGCUGGUGAUCCACUUGGGCAAGAGGACCCUGCCUGUAAUAUGGUUCAGUGUCAAACACUGGCUCUUCCUGCUCGCUCUCAAUGAUCAUGUUUGAUACGUCCAUUUUGCAUCGUGUUUACCUAUUGUCAUUUAUAAUGUUUUUAUGCAUAAUAAUGCUUUUUGGAGUAAUUCUAAUGCCUUUUCCCUCAUAAUAUGCAAGGUACACACAAAGAGGGAGAAUUCCGGCAGUUGGAAAUCUAGACGUGAAAAAGCUACGUCAGGCUACCUAUUCUGCACAACUUCAAAUGAGCUGAAACUUCAUGAGAAUUUUUUACGAAAUAAAUAAGAAAUACUAGAGCAAAUAACCACCGGAGGGGGGCCACCUGGUGAGCACAAGACACCAGGGCGCGCCCCCAGCCCACCUCCGGUGCCCAUCUUAUGGUAUAUAAGUCAUUUUGACCUAGAAAAAAAAUGAGGAGAGGACUUUCAGGACGGAGCGCCGCCGUCUCAAGGCAGAACUUGGGCAGGAGCACUUUUGCCCUCCGGCGGAGCGAUUCCGCCGGGGGAACUUCCCUCCCGGAGGGGGAAAUCAUCGUCAUCAUCAUCCACCAACAACUCUCCCAUCUUGGGGAGGGAAAUCUCCAUCAACAUCUUCAACAACACCAUCUCCUCUCAAACCCUAGUUCAUCCCUUGUGUACAAUCUAUGUACCGUAACUAUAGAUUGGUGCUUGUGGGUGACUAGUAGUGUUGAUUACAUCUUGUAGUUGAUUACUAUAUGGUUUAUUUGGUGGAAGAUUAUAUGUUCAGAUCCAAUAUGCUAUUUAAUACCCUUCUGAUCUUGAGCAUGAUUAUCAUUUGUGAGUAGUUACUUUUGUUCUUGAGGUCACGGGAGAAAUCUUGUUGCAAGUAAUCAUGUGAACUUGAUAUGUGUUCGAUAUUGUGGUAGUGUGUAUGUUGUGAUUCCCUUAGUGGUGUCAUGCGAACGUCGACUACAUGACACGUCACCAUAUUUGGGCCUAAGGGAAUGCAUUGUGGAGUAUUUAUGAGAUGAUGGGUUGCGAGAGUGACAGAAGCUUAAACCCUAGUUUAUGCGCUAUUCCGUAAGGGACCAAUUGGAUCCAAAAGUUUGAUGCUAUGGUUAGAAUUUAUUCUUAAUACUUUUCUUGUAGUUGUGGAUACUUGCGAAGGGGUUAAUCAUAAGCAGGAGGCUUGUUCAAGAAAGAACAACACCUAAGAACCGGUCCACCCACAUAUCAAAUUAUCGAAGUAGCGAACAUGAAUCGAAUCAACAUGAUGAAAGUGACUAGAUGAAAUUCCCUUGUACCCUCAAGAACGCUUUGCUUAUUAUAAGAGAUCAUUUUGGCCUGUCCUUUGCCCCAAAAGGAUUGGGCUACCUCGCUGCACUUUUGUUACCGUUACCAUUACUUGCUCGUUAAAAAUUAUCUUGCUAUCAAACUACUCUACUACUUACAAUUUCAGCACUUGCAGACAUUACCUUGCUGAAAACCACUUGCCAUUUCCUUUUGCUCCUCGCUGGGUUCAACAGUCUUACUUAUCGAAAAGGCUACAAUUGAUCCCAUAUACUUUUGGGUCAUCAAGGCUCUUUUCUGGCGCCGUUGCCGGGGACUGAAGUGCUCUUGGUAAGUGGAAAUUGGUAAGGGAAAAUUAUUACUACGUGCUGAAAAAUUUAUUGUCACUUGUUACUAUGGAAAACAAUCCUUUAAGGGGUUUGUUCGGGGUAUCUUCACCUUGACCGAAACCACAAUUAGUUACCCCUCAACCUAGUGCACCUACUGAAAACAUUGAAUAUGAAAUUCCUUCGGGUAUGAUAGAACAACUGCUAGCUAAUCCUUAUGUAGGAGAUGGAACCGAACAUCCUGAUAUGCACUUGAUACAUGUGGAAGAAAUUUGUGGGUUAUUUAAGCUUGCAGGUUUACCAGGAGAUGAAGGUAAGAAGAAGGUUUUCCCUUUAUCUUUGAAUGGAAAAGCAUUGGCAUGGUAUAGGCUAUGCGAUGAUAUUGGAUCUUGGAACUAGAAUCCAUUGAAAUUGGAGUUUCACCAAAAAAAUUAUCCUAUGCAUCUAGUUCAUCGUGAUCGGAAUUACAUAUAUAAUUUUUGGCCUCAUGAAGGAGAAAGUAUCGCUAUAGCUUGGGGGAGGAUUAAGUCAAUGUUAUAUUCAUGCCCCAAUCAUGAGCUCUCAAGAGAAAUUAUUAUCCAGAACUUUUAUGCUCAGCUUUUUCAUAAUGAUUGAUCCAUGCUUGAUACUUCUUGUGCUGGUUCUUUUAUGAAGAAGACUAUUGAAUUCCGGUGGGGUCUUCUGGAAAGAAUUAAACACAACUCUGAGAUAGUAGCCUCCUUUUGUGAAUCAUUUUCUACUCAUGUUGAUCUCCCUAAGGAGAAGUGGUUUAAAUAUCACCCACCUAUUAAAAAAGAAAUUAAAGAAUCAGUACUAGCUAAAGAGGAAACUAUUAUUUAUAAUGUUGAUCCAGUUGUUCCUACUGCUUAUAUUGAGAAACCACCUUUCCCUGUUAGGAUGAAGGAACAUGCUAAAGUUUCAACUGUGGUCAACAAAAGUUAUAUUAGAACACCUAAACCCGAUGAACAAAUCAAAGUAGAACCUAGUGUUGCUAUGGUUAAGGAUCUCCUAGAAGAAAAUAUGGAUGAGCAUGCUAUUUACUUCUGUGAUAAAGCUGCUAGAAUUGCCAAACCCGAUAAAAAGGAUAAACAUAGACCUGUUGUUGGCAUGCCUGUUGUCUCAGUUAAAAUAGGAGAUCACUGUUAUCAUGGUUUAUGCGACCUAGGUGCUAGCGUGAGUGCUAUUCCCUUUACCUUAUAUCAAAAAAUUAUGAAUGACAUUGCACCCACAGAGAUAGAAGACAUAAAUGUUACUAAUAAACUUGCUAAUAGAGAUACUCUUUCACCAAUUGGGAUUGUUAGAGAUGUUGAAGUCUUGUGUGGGAAAAUAAAAUACCCUACUGAUUUUCUUGUUCUUGGUUCCCCACAAGAUGAUCUUUGUCCCAUUAUCUUUGGUAAACCUUUCAUGAACACCGUUAAUGCUAAAAUUGAUUGUGAGAAACAAACUGUCGGUGUUAACUUUGGUGAUGAGUCUCAUGAGUUUAAUUUUUCCAAGUUUAGUAGAAAACCUCAUAAAAAAGAAAGGCCAUUUGCAUUUCUAUCCCUAACUUGAACCACCUACUUAUAUAUGCCCCUAAUUUCAAAGCCUGCUCAAAUUUGCCCCUCCGCCGUUAGGUGCCCUUACAGAAAUGCCCUUCUGCUCCGUUACCGUUCGGUCAAAGCCGGUCAAAGGGCUUUGACCGUCCUGAAAAAAAUAGCAAAAAUAUUCUAAAAAAUCUGAAAUAUUGUGAGAUCGAAAAUACUCAUGUGCGCAAGGUGCGCGCAAGUUUUCGUGCUAUUUGGACAUUCCAGAAGAUCGUGAUGAGGAAAAACAGUUAAUAUGUACGCUUGUCAACAGUAAUUUCAAAAACAAUUGUAGGAAAAUUCAAAAAAAUGAAAAAAAUUGGCAUCAAAGAGGCUCGGGUCUGCAAGGUGCGUGCAAUUUUAUUUGUGUUUGGACACUGUAGGAGCUCGUGGAGAAAAAAACAAAAUUUGGCUUGGGAAAAAACUUUGGAAAAAAAUGACUAUUUUGUUUUUUUAUUCUGGAGCUCCUACAGUGUCCAAACACAAAUAAAAUUUGUACGCACCUUGCAGACCCGAGCCUCUUUGAUGCCAAAUUUUUUCAUAUUUUUUUGAAUUUUCUUGCAAUUCCUUUUUGAAUUUACUGUUCACAAGCGUACAUAUUAACUAUUUUUCCUCGUCACGAUCUUUUGGAAUGUCCAAAUAGCACGAAAACUUGCACGCACCUUGCGCACAUGAGUAUUUUUGAUCUCACAAUAUUUCAGAUUUUUUAGAAUUUUUUUGAUACUUUUUACGAUGGUCAAAGCCCUUUGACCGGCUUUGACCGGACGGUAACGGCGCAGAAGGGCAUUUCUGUAAGGGCACCUAACGGCGGAGGGGCAAAUUUGAGCAGACUUUGAAAUUAGGGGUAAAUCUGAGAGUGGGCGCAAAUUAGGGGCAUAAAUGUAAAUGUCCCAAAAAGAAUUGCCUAGUAAGGAUGAAAUAAUUGGUCUUGCUUCUAUUGCCGUGCCUCCUACUGAUCUUUUAGAACAAUAUCUGCUAGACCAUGAAAAUGAUUCACAUAUGCAUGAAAGAAAUGAAAUAGAUAAGAUUUUCUUUGAACAACGUCCUCUGCUUAAACACAAUUUGCCUAUUGAAACUCUAGGAGGUCUUCCUCCACCUAAAGGUUAUCCUGUGUUUGAAUUCAAACAAUUGCUUGACACUUUAAAAUAUGCUUAUCUUGAUGAGAAGAAGAUAUAUCUUAUUAUUAUUAGUGCUAACCUUUCAGAACAUGAAGAAGAAAGAUUAUUAAAAAUUCUAAGGAAGCACCGAGCCGCUAUUGGAUAUACUCUUGAUGAUUUAAAGGGCAUUAGUCCCACUCUAUGUCAAUACAAGAUUAAUAUGGAACCCGAUGCUAAACCCGUUGUUGAUCACCAACGUCGGUUAAAUUCGAAGAUGGAGGAAGUGGUAAGAACGGAAAUAUUAAAACUUCUGGAAGCAGGUAUAAUCUAUCCUAUAGCUGAUGGUAGAUGGGUAAGUCCUGUUCAUUGUGUCCCUUAGAAAGGAGGUAUUACUGUUGUUCCUAAUGAUAAGAAUGAACUUAUUCCACAAAGAAUUGUUACAGGCUAUAGAAUGGUAAUUGAUUUUACAAAAUUAAACAAAGCAACUAGAAAAGAUCAUUAUCCUCUGCCUUUUAUUGAUCAAAUGCUAGAAAGAUUGUCUAAUCACACACAUUUUUGCUUCCUUGAUGGAUACUCUGGUUUUUCACAAAUACCUGUUUCUCAACCUGAUCAAGAAAAGACCACUUUCACUUGUCCCUUUGGAACUUAUGCUUAUAGACGUAUGCCUUUUGGUCAUGCAGUGCACCUGCUACCUUUCAAAGAUGUAUGACUGUUAUAUUCUCUGACUUUUGUGAAAAGAUUGUUGAAGUUUUCAUGGAUGACUUUUCUGUUUAUGGGAAGUCUUUUGAUUAUUGUUUAAGCAACCUUGAUCGAGUUUUGCAGAGAUAAGAGCAAACAAAUCUUGUCUUGACACUACUGUAGGAUACUGCUAACGCGACAGUACGAUCAAAGACCCUUUGAUGAAACUGUGUGCGAUGCAUUAAUCGCAAACGUGGAUGUAAAAAACCAUCAAAAAAGGUGCAAAACGUUUGCGAUGUCGGAGCCAUCAAACACGGUUCAGAUUUUAGUUGCGUGUGCGAUGCAGGGCACACGGUUAAUCCAUUCGAAUUGUUUGCGAUGAGGCAGAACAACAGAAACGGGCAGCUAUAUCAAUGUGUGUGUGCGACAUACGGCAUACAGUUUGCUUCAAUGAACUGUUUGCUAUUAGGGAGUGCAACAGAAACUGUUAGCCAGAUCAAGGUGUGUGUGAUAUAUGACACACGGUUCACUCGGACAAACUGUUUUCGAUUAGGGAACACAACAGAAAUGGUUCAACUUAACAAGAUGUGUGUGAUAAGUGGGAAACAACCGACUCGGAUGAACUGUUUGCGAUGAGAAAUUACAACACAGACGGUUAAUACAGUUGGUUCGUGUGCGAUCCUGUGUGUACAAAAAACUUUGAAAACUGCAAACUAGUUGCUUGCGGUGGCUAGGAGUAUUGCACAUGAUGCGUCUGCGAGUAAUCGUGUGCGAUGAUUAGUAAGUUACACAUACAUUUCCUUAUGUUAACACUUGUGUGAUAAAUAACACGUGGCACUGGAUACGGUAUUAUGGUUGUGUGUGUGCUCCAGCGAAUGCUUCCUGCGCUCCACAUGGGUGAAUUGUAAAAUCCACACCUCUUCCCUCAUCGGUUUCUUGCCACCAGCUAAUGGCUUGCUGCAUAUAACCCAGGCGACAAUGCACCGUUGCAACACUCUGCGCAGAUCUAGUCCUCGCCCAUUUACCAUUAGUUAUUCCAAGCAUGCCAGGCAACGACCAAAGCUUCGACGUCGACGCCUACCUGCAUUACAUCUUCGGCGAGGAGAACGAGCCGGAGCAGGUCGGGGAGCAAGAGCUUCAUCGGCCGGUGCAGGCACCAUGGCCCAUCGGCAGCGAUAUCGGUGUGACAGUCCUUGGGCGCACAAUCGACAUAUUGCAGAGGAGGUGUGAUGAGCAGUUUGCCAUCCACCAUGCAAAAGAUCAAGAGCUGCUCGGCGGCAUGAUCGACAACCCACCCGAAGAGCCGCCGUCACCAGUGCUCAUCAAGAGCCCGAUGCCCCACAAGGAAUGGGCAAAGGACCUCUGUGAUUCAGUGAAGAGACAGGAAGCCUACGGCUUCAUCAUUGCCCGUGGUGGCCAUGUCAACCUCGAUCCCGAUGAUGUGGUGGCCAGGCUCGAGUGCACCCUUGGUGGAGUUGAUGUCCCCGACGAAGUAGAACAUCGCCAACGUGAUAUCUUGAGGAUGCAGGUGAUGGACGGAAUUUGCUACCAGGCCAGAGACAUGGGAAUGGAGCGGUUCCGCGGAGAUGUCAUGCGCGCGAUUGCACGCUGUCAAGCUCUUCUGGAAGAGGCCCAACAGCCCCAAGAGCCUCCCAGCACCAGCAGCUCCGUAGGCGGAGGCGGGUCGGCACACUUGGAGUGAACGGCCGCAAGGGUGCUAUGCUGAUCAUGGAGUCCGGGAAGACCAUCGUCGGAAGGCCGCCAGCUCGGCCUUUUAGCCUAUAUUUUAUUAUAAUUGUAUGCAUAUGUAGGUCGUGACUGUUCUGGGCCUUGCCGCAUGUGGCAUUUUAAAUUAUCUUGAAUAUGUAAGACAAUUAUUAAGAAUUAUUAACCGCUGCCAUUGUAAAUUUGCCUCAAUGACGAGCAGAGCACGCAGGGACGCCAGAGCAGAGUACGCCGCUGCUGCCUCAAUGGCGAGCAAAACACGCGGACGGACAUGAGCAGAGUGCGCCGCGGCCGCCUCAACGGCGAGCAACCACGUGGUCAAUCUUCUGCCAUCAAUAAAUUUUGACCUUGUUUCUCGUCACAUUGCAGAUUACAAUGCAAUAAGUAAUUGCAAAUCUAUUCACACCUAUCAAACUAAUAUGUGUUCACACUUAGCACCGGGCUAUAGAAACAAUUGACUCGAAAAUUACUUCACAGUUCCUCUCCUCAUCACCCACAAAACUGGUCUUUCCCGUCAAGUCGUUCCGCCAUGAUCGAUAGGAGGAGUUUUGGGUGGACAUAUAACCAGGCAGCAAAGACCAAGGCCGCGGAAGCACUAGAGAGGUCCCAUCGCGAAGCCGCAGCCGUAGCAGAGAUGUCCCAGCGCGACGCGGAGCCCUCGAAUGAGCUCUCAUGGGCACGCGAGGGCUCUCACAAGCGCACUUGUGGCAUCGGCCGUCGUGACGAGCUGGCGUUCCUGAAGUCCCUGGCCGGCAACGACGAUAUUUUCGCUGGCGUCAUUAAGCAGCAUGAGCUGGUCAACGGCUUGAUCAAGCUGCUCAAGAUCAGCGAUGCCUCGGUUGACAAGGUGACCGGCCUCGUCGAGCAACUCAUGGGUGACAAUGCGAAGCUCCUUAAGGCGCUCGCCGAGAAGGAGGAGGAGGCCCCCGACUGGAAGAUACUGCAUGAGCAGAGCAGUGCCUCGGGGAUGACACUGACAAUGGUCGUCGAGGAACUGAUGGUUGACUUGAGGAAGCUCUGGAUCGAGCGCGAGCAGGAGGUGGAGGAAUCCGUGGCUGCUUUCAAGCAAAGUCAUGAGGAAUUGAAGAAGGAGUUGGAGGAUGUCGUGCCCGACGAUCCAUUGACGAGUAGAGACAGUAGCGAUCUAGAUCACUGUCUGCGAUUUCCUUCUUCUCUUGCCCCUGUGUCUUCCGGGCUUUGCCGCAUGUGGCAUUUUAAAUUAUCCGGAAUAUGUAAGACAAUUAUUAUCUGUGCCAUUGUAAAUUUGUCGUCGUAUUAUUCGUUGCCAUUUUAUUUGUGGUCAUAUUAUCCGUUGCCCUAUGUGGCAAUUUAAAUUAGGGGCCGGAAUACAAGUUGAAAACACGAACAAAGCAAAUGAUGCCAUGGGAUCACAAGCAAACACCCUCCGUCUAGGUGCUUUAAUUAACCCAUUAAUGGAGAAGUUGUGAGUGAGGCAAGCACCGGCUGGUGCAUGGAGGUCAAAGAGCUUGCUUCCCGGUGAGCAUGGGCGGCCUUGCUGCCCGCACGUGUCCCGUCGAGCCUGCGAGGUGGACAGGAUGCAUGCAUCCCGUCGAGCCUGCGCGGCGGACUGCUCGCACGCACCCCGUCGAGCCUGCACGACGGACUUCUCGCGCUCGUCCUGUCUAAUCAAACAACUGCAUGCAUGCCACUGAGCAUGGUUAAAUUUCGACACGGUUAAUAUAAUACAACCGUUUGCGAUAUUGAUGUGUAAGCUAUUUGUUUCAAAAAGGACUUCGUUGGCAACUAAUGUGUGCGCCUUGUCUCAAACUGGACGAUUUUUUUUACCACGGCAUAUAUGUGCCAUGUCAUGAAAUCAUGCCAAGUUUCAUGUUUUUUGGGUGAGCUUUUGAUUUACUGGGAUUUAAAAACUGAGAUUCUCAAUGUUUCAGGACAACGAGAAGUUUGUAAUUCAUUCACAUUCCUUAAAUCAGACCUAAACAUGCACCCAAUGACACAUGUAUGAUUUCCCACCCAUUUUGCUUCACUGGAGCAUGUGCUUGUAGUUCAAAUUUGAAUUAUGCACUACAUUAAAAUGCCUAGAAAACUUAAUUAAUAUAUACAAUGGCCAAAUGAACCCUGAACAUUUUCAAAUUUCAGCAUGACACUCCUGCUAUUCUAUGUUGCCUGUAGAAAACAAAGUUCAAGGCGAGAAGAGGCGGCGAUUAUCGUUUCACCCACAAGAGGGGCAUGUUUCCCUACCGGAACCACGAGGGUUGUGAUAGGCUCCGGUUUGUAAGAGGCUUGUAAUAUAGCUUCGCCCAAAUUGGACAAUUAUAUGUACCAUGUAGUGACACCAUGCCAAGUUUCAUGAUUUCCUGGUGAGUUUUAGAUUCACAGAGAUUUAAAAACCGAGAUUCGCAAUGUUUGUGGCCAAGCCAGGACGGCGAGAUGGUUGAAUUCGUUCCCAUUCGUUCCAUGGGAACUAAACAUGCAUCCCAAGGAAACAUGUAUGUUUUUUCUAGCCAUUUUGGUGCACUUGAGCAUGUAUUUGUAGUUCGGAUCUGAAUUAUGGACAUUAAAUGCCUAGAAAACUUAAUUAAUGAAUAAAAAAGGUCAAACAAACCCUGAAUAAUUUCAAAGUUCAUCGCGAAUCUCCCGUUGUUCCAUGUCGCGUGUAGAAGAAAAUACGAGGCUAAAAGAGGGAGCGAUUAUCGUUUGGCCCACAAGGGGAUAUGUUUCCCUAUCGAAACCACGAGGGUUCUUGCGACAAGCUCCGGUUUGUAAGAGGUUUGUAAUAAAGCUUGUUCCAAAUUGGCAAUGUUUUUACCAUGACGUAUAUGUGUCAUGACGUGACACCAUGCCACCUUUGAUGACUCUCUGGUGAGUUUUGGAUUUAUGGGGAUUUAAAAACCGAGAUUCAAAAUGUUUGAGGACGAGCCACGACACUGGUACGGUUGUAAUUCAUUCCCAUUCUUGGCAUGGGACCUAAACAUGCACCCAAGGAUACAUGUAUAAAUUUUCUAGCCAUUUUGGUGAACUGGAGCAUGUAUUUGUAGUUUGGAUUUCAAUUAUGGACAUUAAAUGCCUAGGAAACUCAAUUAGUGUAUAAAAAGGCCAAACGAACCCUGAAUAAGUUUAAAUUUUAGAACGGAUAUCAUGUCGUUCCAUGUUGCCCAUAGAAGAAAAUACAAGGCGAAAAGAGGCAGUGAUUACGUUUCGCCCACAAGGGGAACACGUUUCCCUAUAGGAACCACGAGGCUUCUUUGAGAGAAGCUCUGGUAUGUAAGAGGUUUGUAAUAAAGCUUGGCCCAAAUUGGAUAAUAUUUUUACCACAACAUAUAUGUGCCAUGACGUGACACCAUGCCACCUUUGAUGACUUUCUGGUGAGUUUAGGAUUUACAAGGAUUUAAAAACCGAGAUUCCAAAUGUUUGACGACGAGCUAGGACGCGGGUACGGUUGUAAUUCAUUCCCAUUCCUGGCAUGGGACCUAAACAUGCACCCAAGGACACAUGUAUAAAUUUUCUAGCCAUUUUGGUGAACUGGAGCAUGUAUUUGAAGUUUAGAUUUGAAUUAUGGACAUUAAAUGCCUAGGAAACUCAAUUAGUGUAUAAAAAGGCCAAACAAACCCUGAAUAAGUUUAAAUUCCAGCACGGAUAUCCUGUCGUUCCAUGUUGCCUGUAGAAAAAAAUACAAGACGAAAAGAGGCAGUGAUUACGUUUCACCCACAAGGGGGACACGCUUCCCUCUCAGAACCAUGAGGCUUCUUUGAGAGAAGCUCCGGUUUGUAAGAGGCUUUUAAUAAAACUUGCGCCAAAAUGGACGAAAAAAAUUCCUAGACAUAUAUGUGCCAUGUCGUGACACCAUGCCAGGUUUCAUGAUUUUUGGGUGAGUUUUGGAUUUACGGGGAUUUAAAAACCGAGAUUCUCCUCAUGAAUUGUUUUCAAAUAGCACACGGUUCACUCACGAAAGCCGUGUGCCUACCAAACCAUGGCCGAUGCCCCCUCUCCCUCCCUUGCUGCGCACGCAAUCUGAGUUGUGCGUUCUGAUUGGCCAGAACCAAAACCCCACGGAUCGUACGUGUGCACCGUUGGAUGCUCCCAGAUCGAACGGUAACCCUGAGCCCUUUCGACAUCACAUGUAGUACAUGCGUAAGCACUGUGCGCAUACGUCAUGCUAGCUCACGCUUCCUUCUCUACUAGGUUUUCUAAACAGGCUACCAUUUCUCGCCACUCCUCUCAUCGGUUUCCCGCCUCUUCUCCCAUCGUUUUCCCGCUACCAGUGUCAGUGCUCAUUGAAGGCUAGCGGUGACACACCGGCCAUGUAAAUAUCCCACACAGUUUCUAAAAGCACAAAUGUGUGUGAUAGGAGGGAGUAGGUCCCAUAGGGUGACCAGCGUGAAAUGCCUUAAUGGCGAGGAGGCAAUUCCUAUCAGCAAGGGGAGGCUUCCCAUCCGCUAGCCUAGUCGAAUAGAACACAGAAGUUAAGCGUGCUCGGGCUGGAGUAGUCCAAGGAUGGGUGACCCGGUGGGAAGUUGCAUAUCUCAAGCUUCAUUUAAAUUCCAUGACACGGUCAUUAUAAAGAUAUAAUAUAUCUCUAUAGUAACCUAUGGGUUAUUUUUUGCUCUAAAAAUUAAAGAAUGAUUGACUUAACCUAUCAUGGCGAUUAUAUAAACCUACUAUAUUUUUAUGGGUUAUUUUUUUCUCUAAAAAAUUAAAGAAUGAUUGACUUGACCUGUCAUGGCGAUUAUAUAAACCUUUUUCAGGUUGCAUGCAGGGUAUAGGGGGCAGGGUGUUCUUCUCAAGCAUGUCUCCCUUGUGCAGCUUAUAGACGCAGCACAUAUCUGUGGGCUUCCCGAGGUAUAUAUACUAUCCUUUACAGACAAUUAGGGGGGCACACAGUCUAUCCCUUUGACCCAACAACGAAAAGGGUUUGACCAUGAUGGUUUCCUAUUGAUACUAGUAAGGUACACGUGCAUUGCACGCAUGAGAAUUGGUAACCAAAUUAUGAAUAAAUACCACACUAUAGCAUGUAAGAUUUGAGUCAUAUAUGCAUGAUGUAGAUGUUCGUUUAAUUCUUAUAGUUGAUCUCAUCCAAAAUCAAUUAGUUUUAUAAAAAAUCUAUUUUAAGAUUCAUGUAAUUGUGCAUUGUAAAGCAUAAAGUAAAAACAAAAGGUGACAAUUCAUUUAGAAAAAUAGUUUGGGAAAUUAAGAUAUGGAAGAUUCUAGAACAAAGGAGAAGUGCUUGUGUUUUGAGGUUUGUGCAUUAUGCUUAAGUUCAACCAUGGAGUCUUCUAGAUUGUACAUGUGGCAGAAUUUGGUGGAAUGUAGAUGAUAUCCAUCGGGUAAUAGUGCGGAUUUGCCAUCUCUGUACCGUCGGAUUGGCUUCAUACAACGACCAACUUUCAAAGUUAUUCACACACUAUAUAGGGGUAUAGAUAUAGAUGUGUCCCAUGCUAGACCAAAUAAAGUUUGAGCGCAUGUGUGGGACGACCCCCCAGCCGCCGCCUCAAAGUUGGGAAACCAACAUCGUAUGUAUUGGGCCAGGCUUGGAGUCGGGUACGGUGUUCGGUUUGUAAUGUAGUUGGUGGCCCAUCGAAGUUGUGCAUUCGGGAUUUAAACACAUCACACACCAUCGUACCCAUACAUAUUUUCGGGCUGCAUGCAGUGUAUACAGGGUCUUCUGAUCGACCACGUCUCCCUUGUGCGGUUUUUUGUGAUGACACGCAUAUCUGUGGGCUCCCCGAGUGUAUAUAUAUCAUCCCUUUGACCGAUAAUGAGGGGUAUGUGUUUGCCAUCAAUGGAUUCCUCCUAGUUCUAGUUAGGGCCGAUCACCAUCACAUGUCGCUCAACCAAAGCUCGAGCUCAUGCGUUGUUAGCAUUCCCUCCCACAUGCUCGAAUUGCUGGGUUCGACCUACAUCAUACCCUGCGUAUCUCGUCCUUAACUACCUUGCCUUCAUGUUUGUUGUCUAUAUCGAGAGGUAGGCACCACAUCUAAAUUGUACAUUAUUCUAUAUUGAAAACACACAUCACCCCUUCCAAACGUACAUCAUUAUGGGCCGCAUGCAAGAUGUGCUGGUUCUGUGGUCCCUCCCAUGCGAUUUUUAUAAUGGUUCAAUCUAUUGGCCCAGGUGGUUUAUCGAUAACAACAACUGUCGUUUGACAAAAUGAUAGAUUAUGUUUGGUCAAAUGACAGUUGUUGUUAUACAUGCCAUUAUACAUGCCUCGUGUCAGCUAGAAAUAUAAAGACAAACUACCCGCCUUGAGCGUUGCAAAAAUCGGCGGUUCCACCACUUUUCCUUAUUAUCAUACACGCAUAUUGUUAUUGGAAAGUGCGUCAUCUUGGGCACUCCCGACCCGCAUCAAUUCCUUUACCCAAAUUUUAGUAGCCGCUGUACUUCAACUGUCGCCCACACUCCUCCAGCACCGACCUUAUAGUAAAAUUGCAGUAGCCGAGGCAUUUGAACCGUCGCCCUCCCUCGUCCACCACCAUCUCCACCCACCAUUACUAAAGUUUUCAGUAGUCGUGGCGUAUCCUCAAACACCCCCCCUCCACAGUCCCCCACUCCCCUCCCCCUCGAACCCUAGCUCACAGCCGCCGCCAACCCCUCCCGGUCUGCCCGUUCCUCCUAGCUUAGAUAAUAAAGUUUAGGUUACCCAGCAAUUCACAUACCGUUGCCCCACUCCCCUGAGUUUUCAAAUGAGGCCUGCGGUGUCCCUCCCCACCAGAUCCACACCCCUGCUCCAGAAUAUCGUAGCCUAAGCUCGACCACGUAUCCCGGGGAGCCCGACGAGCGUUCGACCAAGAAGAGGUUUAUCAUGGCCUCUUCGACGGACGUUGGGAAGGUGGCCGCCGUACGCCCUGACCUGUCGAUCCCGGAGCAACACGUCAUCACGGAGCCGAUGAAGACGUUGACUACGUUGCCAUGCCGAAGGCUUCAUGUCAGCGGGCUAGCGUAUUACUGUAUCUCGGGAAAGCUGGCUACGACAUCAAGCUCGUCCACAGCGACGGCUUCAUGCGGGCCAUGCCACAGGUUAAGUGGUCCAUCCCCAACCCCUCUGGUUCAACCGCCAUCGAUCUCUUCGACGGCCCUGCCGCUGAUCUCCUCCGCCAAGUGGUUAAGGAUUUGCGAUCUUUAUACACCAUCGAGCCCAUUUUGUCAUUUCUGAAGGACACGUUCUAUGGCGGUGGCUUGGAAUCCUCAAUUGCCAAGUCAGAUCUCAUCGACCACUACCACGAGGAGGGCACCCACGAAGGUUCUUCCAAGGUGAAACAACCCAUCUGUGACAUUAGAGAGCGCACCAUGGGUAUGUGCUCUUCCAACUGGAAGGAUCCCGUCCAUGAAAUCUGAGGCAACAUCCUAUCAGCAAAUCUUACCUUUUCUAGCUUGCCAACCCGUACCCUUUGUUGUAGUAGAAUUUGACAUGCGGUGCUUUAACUGUGCCGUGCUUAAUUAUUUCAGUUAUGCAAAAAUGUAUUGUUCAAUAGGGCUAUGUGAUUUUUAAGUAUGAAUUGCCCACUUCAGUUUCACGAAUGGCUAUAUUUGGUUGUUUAUAGUGAGUAUAUGCCUUGUUUAUCUGUAUUUGGUUGUUAGGUUGGUUGGAGUGAGCAUUUUUUUAGUUAUCGAGCAGAUGCCUUGUUUAUAUGUAUUUGGUUCUUAGUUUGGUUGCAGUGAGCAUUUGUCCAGUUAUCAAGCUGAUGCCUUGUUUAUCUGUAUUUGGUUGUUAGGUUGCUAUUUUUAGCAUUUGUCCAGUUUGUCGGAUGUGGGGUUUCGGCAAACCCUUGAGGUUCGAACACUCGGUUGCGCGCGAAGUUUUUCCCUCCUACCGAUCUACGCCCUAGCUCGCUAAGAUCUCGCGGACGAACUCGACGAACUUGCAACACAGAAAGACACGAGGUUUAUACUGGUUUGAGCCACCGUUGCGGUGUAAUACCCUACUCCAGUGUGGUGGUGGCGGAUUGCCUCUGGUGCUGAUGAUGAACAGUACAAGGGAAGAACAGCCUCCUGAGGUUGAGGUGUUCUUGUGAGUAGGCUCUCGAUUGGGUUGGAUCAAGCUAAGAUGAGAUGCCUCUACUAUGGUGGCUAGCUCUACUUAUAUAGGCCCUGCCGACCUAUAUAAGAUGAGAUAGGCAGGCUUCCGGGCUCAACCCGCUCCCCUCACCACGGCGACCUCACGCCCCGUGCCCGCCAUUGCCUCCACCGUAGAUCUCGCCGCGCGUGCUCCCCGCCAUGCCUCCGCGGCGUCGACAUACGGCGCCAGACUCCGGGGGCGCCCCUCCUCCCCGCUCCCCCACCCGUCUCCCCGCCCAAUGUCAGGAAGACCUUGCGGAGAUGGUGAGAUUGAUCUCCCCGAUCCCGCAGGAUAUUUCCAUGGCGCUGGGGAGUCGAAGCUGGAUUGAGCGAGCGACAAGGAUCCGCGAAGCUACGGCCGCGUGGACCGGGCGAGUUCAGGAGUGGAGGGCGGCAGAUCAGGCGGUGAGAGCGGCGAGAGACCCAGUCACGCGAGCCGCGGCGAGCAGUUACGCUGAUUCCUGCAGACGGCGUGCAGAGGAACAGCAGAGGUUGCUGGCAAAGCGGAUCUACGACGAGGCCACGGUGGCAGAGAGACAGUGGAUGCCUCCAUACCCACAUUCCAUGGCGAAGGAGUUUGUGAUUUGGGCAAGGUCAGAGGCGAAGUCCGACGAUCCUCGCAGAGCCCUGAGAUGGGAGUGCAUGCUCGGUGUGAUUCCUUCAGGUGCGCCACUGCGGGGGAUCGCGGCUUGGCCUCCGGCUUCCCUGGAUUGAGCAAUGGAGAUGUUGCCACGCCCCCCGGCUCGCCCACGAGCUUCAGGAGAGAUAAUUCCCCGCCGCUGAUGUUCAAAUCGCCAAGGAGGCGCGGUGAAGGCAGAAGUGCCAAUGCCAGGAGGGCCCUGCGGGUCUGUGAGAGGAUGGCGGACCCCGCUGACCUUUCCCCCAUGCUUUUGGCGAGAAUGGUGGUGGCGCCUCUUCAAAAGGCGCCUCCGCCUUUGGCUCUACAGCUGGAGCCCGAGCGUGGGCGAGCUAGGGUUCGUCUGAAUCAAGUGAAAUCCAAUUCCACCCUAUUUUGGAUUCGGAAGGACAAAUUUGCUACUGGAGGUUUUGAGGAAGCUGAUUGCCACCCAAUAGGAAGAGCAGAUCGAUUACCAACUCCGAAGCAAUUCUCAUUUUCUAGAGAUUUUUGGGCUAGAAAGUCGGGCAAGAUCCCCUUUGCUGCUGUGGUCAAGAUGGCUGGUGGAGGGAGAGAUGGCAGUAGUCGGGGUGGAAGAUACGGCUCGGGGAGAGGCCGCGCUGGUCGCCCUACUGCUCCUUCUCCGUCGGAACAGGUGGGGGCUGUGCCGCCGCCAGUUCUUCAGGCGACUCAGUCUGCUCCCCCGGUGUCGAUCUACGCCAAGCCCCCUCUGUUCCCGGUCGGAUCUGUUCAAGCCAUGAUGCAGCCUGGUGGACAAGCGUAUGGUUACCAGGGGGGUUGGAACCCGCAGAUGCAGCAGAUGCAAAUGCCUCAGUGGCCUAACCAACAACAGUUCCCAUACCAGUACAUGCCCCCCCUCCGCAGUUAUUCCCACAGGUCUUUAAUCCCCAGUUGCAGCAGAAUCAGUAUACAGGAAGUGGAUCCUCAGCUGGGGGCAGUGCACAAAGCAGUCAGUCUGAGCCUGGAAAGAACAAAAAGAAGAAAAAUCAGAAGAGCAGGACAGCUACUGUGUAGUCUAGCUCUAACAGUGAAGAGUCUACUUCUUUCAAUAUUGAUCAAAAGUACAUUGGUGUUGUCUGCUACAAUUGUGGGAUACCUGGACAUUUUGUGGGAAUGUGCCCCAUCCCCAAGAUCUGUUUCAUUUGCAAAACUCCUGGACAUCACAUGGAUACCUGCCCUACUUGGUACAAACCCUAUGCAGCAGCUAUGUACUGGGGGAGUGCUAACAAUGGGUUGGGAUUCUUCCACAUAGAGGCUAGUGACAAGGAAGACAGUGAAUGGCUGAAUAUUGGGAAUGUGGGCCUAGUUGUGGUUGAAAAAGGAGAGAUAACUGAAUCAGAGCUGGGAGGCUGUUUUUAUGAGAUGUGGAAGACCAAUUGGCCUUGGCAGAUCAGGAAGUAUGACAGCAAGAGAUACAUUGUCAGGUUCCCUCCAAACAAAAAGAUCAAGGAUUUAGUGGAAUAUCCUUCCAUUAACCUAAAAAAGGAGGAUGUAACUAUAUCCUUCAGUGAUUGGAUGGGAGAUAUGCCAGCUUAUGCCUACCUGGAAGAAAACUGGAUAGUUAUUGAAGGAAUACCACCUGAGUGGAUAUCUUGGAGCACUAUAUCUCAGGUAGCUACCAUACUUGGAGUCUUGGUGAAUAUAGACUGGCACACUAUCUUCAGGAGCUUCUAUGGGAAGGUGAGAAUCCAGGUUGCUGUGAGAGAUGCUGCUAAAAUACCUAGAGACAGAGUGGUGGAGAUAAACCAUGAACUAUAUCUACUAAAAUUCUCUGUGGAAGCUGAUCUAGGGAGUGGUCAUUCGGAUAUAUCUCCAGGACCGGAUGAUAAUCCUUCACAGAAUAAGAACACAGAAGAGGAAUUUGACUCCAGUGAAGAUGACCUACUGGGUGAAGAUAUGAACACUGGGAAUAGCAAUCAAGCUGACAAGGGCAGACCUGAUACUUCUGGACACAGUGGCACUGUUCAAAAAUGCUCCACACCUGCCCCUGUUGCUAAUGACUUUGGCAAAGUCUCCUCCAUGCUAGUGGGUGCCCCCAUGACCAAAAGUUAUUUGGAGGUAGCAAAGAAGAAGCAAGAUGUCAACAUGGGUGGUCCACUGUUGGAGAAAUUUGAGGCUGCUGCUGCUGAGACACAGAGGAAAACUGGUACUCAACUCACAUGGGGGCCUGUAGUGGCGUCCAGGGCUAGCACUAGGAUUAAAAAAGAUGACAGGCCUGCUAUGCAAAAAGCUCAAGAGCUCAAGCAAAUCAAGAACCUGGAAAAACCUGUGUUGAGGAAAGGUACUCAGAAUUCCUUUGCAUGUCUUGAUAAUGAUUUUCUGAUAAAUACUGCAGAAGUUUUAGGGAUUAGCCUGCGCAACAGUAGUAAUAAUAUUCAGGAAAACAUUUGCAUUAUUAAAAAUGUAGAAAUAGACAGAAUUACCAAGUUUAAUUCUGAUAACCCUGAUAUAUUUUUACCCCAGAGUAUAGAUAUUACUUGUGAGGAUUUUAUGGAAGAUCCUAGUCCAGGCAAUAAUAGUGAGGAAGAAGUGGGAGAUCAGAAUACUGAACUUCCUAAUUCAGACUCCUCCUGGAUAGAGGUUCAUAAAAAAUUCUCCUGUAAGGGGAGAAGGAAAAUCAUUUUUGACUGUAAAUGAUAGGUGUUUUUUGGAAUAUUAGAGGACUCAACAGUCCUACUAAGACAGACAAACUGAAAGAGCUCAUUAGAGCCAACAACCCUGAUUUUAUUUGUAUUUCUGAAACUAAGAAGGAGGAAUUUUCUAUCCUCCAAAUUGAGAAGUUUGACCCUGGGUCCAAUUUCCACUGGAAAUGGCUGCCUGCUAUAAAAACUGCAGGAGGGGUCUUACUAGGGUGCAAUAUAGAUACAUUGGACAUUAUCCAAUGUGAUCUACAUAAAUUUUGCAUCUCCUGCCUGGUUAGAAACAAACAAGAUAACUUUGUUUGGAAGCUCAUUACUGUGUAUGGCUCUGCUUAUGACCAGUUUAAGCUGGAUUUUAUUAAUGAACUCCACUACAUUCUAGCUAGUUGGGCUGGUCCCACUCUAGUUGGUGGAGACUUCAAUUUAAUUAGAGAGGCUAGUGAGAAAAGCUCUGGUGCUAUUAAUCAACACUGGGCUAACCUCUUUAAUGAUUGGAUUACGAAAUUUGGUUUGAUUGAGUUAAAAAUUAAUGGUAGGAAGUUUACUUGGGGCAACAAUCAGGACAAUCUGGUAAUGGCUACUAUUGACAGAGUUUUCAUGUCCACUGAUUGGGCCUCUGAAUUCCCUGGGGUUCAUCUCAAAGCUUUGCCUAGAUUGGGGAGUGACCACACCCCUCUGGUCCUCAAUACCUAUGCCUUCCACAUCCCCAAGAAUAAACAAUUUAGAUUUGAAAAAUGGUGUCUGGAAGUGGAAGGCUUUAGGGAGGUUGUCACUAAAGCCUGGACUGCCAAAUGCCCUUUCACUAAGACUAUAGACAUUUGGCAGUUCAAAAUUAGAAACUCUAGGAAAGCCAUUAAAGGGUGGAUGGCCAACUAUGAGGCUGACCAAAACAGGCAUAAGCAAGCUUUGGUGGCAGAGUAUAACUGCCUAGAUAUUCUUUCUGAAACUAACCCUCCUUCCCCCAACACUAAUAGCAGAAUUAAAAAAAUUGCAGGGGAUUUGGAGGAUAUCUGGAGAAAAGAAGAAAUCAAGGCCAGACAGAGAUCCAGAGAGAGAGAUAUACUUGAAGGAGACCUGAAUGCUGGAUAUUUUAAAGCCAUAGCAAAUCAGAAGAGGAGGAGGAAACAGAUCCUGGUGCUAGAAGGAGAUUCAGGUAAUGUGACUGAACACAAGGAUAUUAUGAAAAUUGCUAUGGACUAUUAUAAAAAAUUAUUUGGUUUUCAAGAGAAAAUUAACAUUAACCUAAAAGAUGACUUUUGGGUAGAUGAUGAGAAAGUGACUAACAAUCAUAAUAACAUCCUAGAUAUGCCCUUCUCGGAGAAAGAGAUUAAAGAGGCUGUCUUCGGCUCUUAUGCAGAAGGAGCCCCUGGGCCCGAUGGUUUUUCUUUUUUAUUCUAUCAGCAAUUCUGGGACCUUAUUAAAGGUGACCUUUUUGCUUUGUUUAGGGACUGGGAGAGAGAUGAGUUGGACCUAUACAGACUCAACUUCUCUUUAUUAACCCUAGUCCCUAAAGAAGCUGAUGCUAGCAAGAUAGAGAAAUUUAGACCUCUUGCCAUGAUUAAUUGCAGCUUCGAGAUCUUUGCCAAAUGUGCCACCAAUAGGUUUGGCCCUAUUUGUAGAGACCUAAUUUCUUUAAAUCAGACUGCCUUUAUUAAAGGCGGAUAUAUAGCUGAGAGUAUAAUCACAGCUCAUGAAAUUAUACACUCUGUAUAUUCCAGCGGACAAUCUGGAUUUAUUUUUAAACUAGAUUAUGAGAAAGCUUAUGACAUGAUCAACAGAGAUUUCCUGAUUGACAUGAUGACUAAAAGAGGAUUUAGCCCUAGGUGGAUGAAGAAAGUUUCUUCUCUACUUAAUAAAGGCUCUGUUGGGGUAAAUAUAAAUAAUACUAACAGUGAUUUCUUUUUAACUGGUAAAGGAGUCAGACAGGGGGAUCCUUAUUCCCCCCUAUUGUUCAAUCUGGUAGCUGACGUCUUUACCAGAAUUCUUGUUAAAGCUGCUAAUAAUAACAUUCUAGAAGGAUUGUUCCCUAGCUCCAAUCCAGCUGGUGUUAUUAGCAUACAAUAUGCGGAUGACACUUUACUUUUCCUGAGUAAUAACGCUGCCCAAGCUAAGAACCUUAAAUGGUUGUUAUCCUGCUUCGAGCAAAUAUCUGGGAUGCACAUUAACUUUCAUAAAUGUGAACUAGUUCCCAUCAAUGUUGAAAUGGAGGAGGCAAACAUAUUUGCUCAAAUCCUGGGCUAUAGAAUUAGUGAUUUUCCCAUUAAAUAUUUAGGAGCACCUCUCCACCACAGAAAGUUGAAGAAAUGUGAACUUCAGCCUACUGUGGAUAAGAUCAUUAAGAAAGGUGUUGGGUGGAGGGGCAGACUCCUGUCAUCUGGCAAGAGACUCACAUUAGUGAAAACUUGCUUGGCCACUAUACCUAGCUACCUGAUGGGUAUCUUCAAAUUUCCUAAGUGGGCCAUUAAGUUGAUUAAUUCCCAACUGGCACAUUGCUUUUGGGAUAACUAUGAGGGCCACCACAAAUAUCACCUAGCUUCCUGGGGUUGUGUGGCCCAAAAACAACAACAUGGGGGCCUUGGUGUCCCUAAUAUUGCAGAUAUGAACUUAUGCUUAUUAGCCUCCUGGGUAAAGAGAUAUUUUGUAGAUCAGGGCAAGAUUUGGAAACAAAUCAUUGAUGCCAAGUACAACACUCUUAACCCUAAUAUCUUUGCUUGUUCUAGCCUUGGUGCUUCCCCUUUUUGGAAAGGUAUUCUAUGGGCGGCCAAAGCUGCAAACAUAGGAUAUACCUGGAUAAUAGGGGAUGGUAAAAACACCAGGUUUUGGAGAGAUCGUUGGAUAGGGCAUACCACCCUAGCCACAAAGUAUUGGGAUCUAUAUAAGAUUGCCAAUGAUCAGAACAUCACUGUUUGUGAUGCCUGGGAUGGUACUAAUCUGAAAAUCACUUUCAGAAGAUGUUUUUCUCGUGAUAUGGUAGAUGGGUGGAAUGCCCUAUUUAAUGAUGUCAAAAAUACUGUCCUGAUGGACAAGAGAGACACUGUUCGCUGGGACUUUGACACUAAAGGUGUUUACACUGUCAAGUCCUUCUAUGACAUUAUAAACUUUAGAGGAGUCUCCCCCGGGAACAGUAUAUCUAUCUGGAAUAUCAAAGUCCCGCUUCGCAUUCAUAUUUUCCUUUGGCUUAUGACUAAUAACAAGCUGUUGACUAGAGAUAAUCUGCAGAAAAGACAAACAGUAGAUAAUGCGUCCUGUCUUUUCUGCAAUGAUCCUGAAUCUAUAGAUCAUUUAUUUUUCAACUGUGUGGUCUCGAUGGAGCUCUGGAGAGUGAUUGGGGACUUCUACAAUAAUCAUGCCAGGAUGUCUAUGAAUGACAUGCUUGAAUGGUGGUCCCAUAAUAAAAAUCACCCGGCUGAAUGUUUAUUGCACUUCGCUGUCUUGUGGGCUCUAUGGAAACAAUGUAAUGAUAUGUGCUUCAAUUAUACUCCCUGGUCUGGGAUGCAGGUGUUGUGGAGGAAGAUAGCUGCUACGUUAGAUAGUAGGGCGGUACGUUGCUCAGAUCCUGUCAAAACCAAAGUGCUGAGUAUGGUGCGGAAGCUGGAACAGAUGGCAAGGUCCCCACCCCUCCUACUAUGGCCGGACCCUGGCUAGGGCUGAGGAAGUGUUCAAGUGGGUCUGCGUGGUAUUGAGCUUUCUUCUGUUUUAGCUUGUUGCCCCUUGAUAGACUGUACUACUUUAAAUCUUUCAUUUCAUCAGUGUUUUGUGCACUAUGGGCGCAAGCUGGUGUUUUGUUGGGGCAGCGCGUGUGCUGUUUUUCCCCCGCAUUCUUGUAACCGUACGUGAACUUGGUCUGGUUUCUCUUGGUAAUCCAAUUGGGACCGGGGCUUUGAGCCCUUUUCCUCUAAAAUAUAGGCCCUGGUCCUCUUCCCAAAUGUUGAGCGGGAAGGGAGCCAAUAACGGCGGGCAAAUUUGAAGGGGGCCCGCUAGUACAAGCUAUCAUGAUAAAAAUGUUCUUCGCCUGCGAAAAGCUCUCAUGGUGACACCGUCUUGGGCUCCAUGAUGACCUCCGUCUUGCUGUCCUCCUGGUCUUGGUCUCGUUGCACCAAUAUAGCAAACUUUGCUUGAUGCCUCGGUACUCUUCGCCUGCGCUGGCCUCCUUAGCACCAAAGAGGAAAUAAGGACGCUGCGCGCGCUGGCGCUUGCCUGGUGUCGUUCGUCAUGGCUCACGUCAUGAGGGCCUCGUGUGGUUUUGCCCCGCCUUGAUAUCUCCGCUCCUCGUGAGCCUGCCUGGCUAGGACACUCCAGAGGAGGUCUUGCGUCGUCCGCCUCGUGAGGCUUGGACCCUCGUGAGGGUCUUGGAUGCCUUGUUGACGAAGAUGGGCCGUACGGCCUGCUGGCUUAGCCAUGCUGUGGGCCGCAGGCAGGCAAGUCUGGGGACCCCCAUUCCCAGAACGCCGACAGUAGCCCCCGGGCCCAAGGUGCGCUCGGGCUUGGCUUCACGGUGAAGCCAAGGUUCAAGUUUGGAGCAGCACGGGCCCCAAAAGCCUGCGGCCUCGGUUGAUGUGUGGCGGUUGAUUGGACGUGGGCGUCUCGCUUCCCCAUGCUGCCUCGUCAACUGCACGACUUGACAAAUCCCUUCGACAUGCAAGGAAAACCAUCAUUACCUGUGAUUGUGGGAGACGCCGGUUGGCCUUCUCUUGCUAUAAAUGGGGAGGGGGCAGAGCCCCCGUCGCCCAUCUCUUCCUCGCUUGCUUGCUUCUUCCUCCUUGCUCCACUACUGACAACAAUGGCGCCUAUCAGAAGGUUUUCUACCGAAGAGAAAGGAAAGGCUCCCCGUGAUGAUCCAGGGCCACUUCUGCCGAAGAAGAGGUCGAUCCAUCGCCGUGAUGAAGCGGCGAUGCAGGUGGUGUCGAGGCCUUGGUGCGAGCGGCCUCCUCCGGGGUACCCGCUACCCUUGUACGCCCGAGCCGAGGGCUCGGGAGGUCGGAGCGACGAGCAGUGCCGCCCACGCCGUGUCCGGGGUCACCGCGCCAUGGCGACGCGUGCCGUCGCCCUUUGGAUCCACACCGCGGACUCCUCGCGUGAGUUGGUGCUGUGGGCGCCGAUGCCUCCAAGCUCCUGGAUCCGCUUCCCGCGGUUCUUCUCCGACAUGAUGCCGCCGAGGGGGCCUCUCGAGCUCUGGUUGCAGCACGCCGACUGCAGCGCUCCGGUGACCGGAGCGGAGAUCGAAGUAGUUCCCACCGGCAAGAUCUUCAUGACCCGUGGCUGGGGGAGAUCGCACGGGUCUGCCGUGUGAGGGGCGCCCUCGUGAUCCACUACGCAUACGACGGCGCUUCCAUGCUCUUCUUCAAGGUCUUCGACGCCGAGGGUCGCCGCCUGGAGUGCUACUCCGGAGAGGAGCGCCAAACCGACAUGCGCUCCGCUCGCGGCUACUCCAGCAGCAGCAGCCCUUGGGAGUCCAGCAGCUCUCCUGAGCCUUACGAGACUCCGGAGAUGAGCGAUGACAGCUACGUGCCCCCGAGCUCUCGCCGCGCUCGGAGCAGAGCUGCGGCGCUCGGCCGUCGUCGCCGCUUAUCUGGAUGGGGUUGGUGCCGGCCCCCCGUGGCCCACUGUUGAUGAUGGUGUCCUCCACAGAAGGAUGUAGAUAGGAUUCCCCUUAGUAUCAGCUUUUGUUUCCUGCGAAGAAUCGUGAAUCACUAGGUGGGGGCAUGUAAGGAUCUGCAAUGUCUUUUGUACUUAUCUUCCUUGUUAUGAAAACCUAGCGAAUGCGUGUCCCGUUAAGGCUCGGUCCCCCCUUUCUUUCCUCGCGAUGGCUUGUUGCUCUACGCUGACAGGUCCCGGUCCCCAGGCGGCCAAAACCGUCGCUGGUAUGCCAGGUCGCGUGCCGUGGUCAAGGCCAGGAGGUGUGCGGCCCAAGGUCCAGUAAGAUCCCCUGAGACGCGAUGCUCAGGAGGUCCCCUUUAGCGCUCAAGCAGCCAUGGUAAGGCAAGAGAGGGAGUUGACGUGGCCGCAACGGUGUCGCGGGAAUGCGAGGGUGACCAUCAUGCCCCAACAUUUGGGCGAUCCAAGAGCGGGACUUAUCUUGUCGACUUUGUGGCGACUCCUGACGUUGCGCUAGGGCUGCGCGCCUACUCGUGCGGCAUAGCUAGGCCGGCCAAUACAAGUUUCCCUCCCCUCAUGCUCUCCUUAGUUCUCUACGUCCUCAGGUCCCGGCCCUCGAGCGAGUUCAGCCGCCGCUGGUAUGCCAGGUCGCGAUGCCGUGGUCAAGGCUAGGGGAUGAGGGCUGGAGAGCCAGUAAGAGCUCCUAAGUCACGAUGCUCAGGUGCCCCCUUUUAACGUGAAAGCGAAUUGCACGAGAGAAAGGGAGACUCACGGUGCUGCCUGCUAUCCUUCCCACGGGAUCCCUGUGAACCGGCAUAAGAAGAAACACGGUUUGCCGUUACAGCUGUCAGCCUGCCGCUGGUUGCUUCGGAUGAGAUGAAGGCACUGAGGGCCUGGUGAGGUGACGUGCGCGGGGCGUGCCGCAAGCCAGAGCUCGACCGCUCAGCACCCAUGCACCAGCGCCGUGCCUGUGUGGAGGCCCCGGGGGAGGCGAUGAUCGGGCAUGUGGUAGCAGUUGGCAGGUUAAGCAUGGAGAGAAGAUCAGCUUAGGUAAAUGCAGGAAGAUACAUGCCACUGGGUCCGGCCCGAGCGGCUUGGGGAUGAUGCAUCCCGAGGGGCGCCCCCAGCAAGGUAAGCUAAAGAAAUAAGCAAAAGGGAUACAUGCCACAGGGACGGAUCCAUGUGGCCUGGGAAUAAUGCAUCCCGAGGGGCGCUCCCAGCUAAACGAGCUUGGAAGAUGUCACCUGGUUCUGUAGACAAAGUAGAGUUGGUGCAGCUGAAGGCCUGCGUUGAAGAAAUGACUCCUCAUGAGCCGAUAGAGCCCUGAGCCUCGAGAGGCUCUAGGGGCUCGGGAGGUUCCCUGAAGACCAUCUCCAUCUCCUCCAGGACGGCGUGGUACCUGGCCUCCUGAGCCGCCAGGAUUCGCCGCAGGUCGCAUUGAUAGGCUGAUGCCACGCUCGGCAAGCCGAAGGGCAUGCGAACGUAGCUGUGUGGUGGGCCCUCGCAGCGGCCCACACGCGAAGGCCAGAAGCGCUCCUGAGAUGCGUCCCUGUUGAGCCCUGGGACGUCGAUGCAGACACGCAUCCCGGCAUCCUCGCUGGAUGGGGAGCUGCGCCUUGUGAGCGACUGUCGCCGCGCAUGGCUCUUGUGUCUUGCAGUUCCUGUGUGGUCUUUGUGAUGAAUUCCUGGGUGGUGGGCACUCCUUGCCAUGUGCUCUCCUGAGGGACAUGUGCCGCGAAGCAUGCCUCCAAGUGGUGCCCAAGCGCCUCCCUCGUGAGGUUGGCAAGGUCUGAGGCCCUCCAAAAGAGAGCUCCCGAGCCCUGCCCAAGGAGGGCGCCGGGCGCACUUUCCUAUGCAACGGAGGGAGGCGCCCCUGGGACGGGCGCUGAUCCCGAUGAGACUCCUGCCAUGAUGCCAUCCUCCUGAGGUCCUGCCCGGCGCAUCUGCUUCUUCCUGGGAAUGGUCUCCGGAGGGCCUUCACUUCUGAUGUCGGGGUUGUCGAUUGCUGCGGCUUGAAAGGCGUGCUCGAGGGAGCACACCGCAUCCCUCUCUUCACACAGGACCAUGAUGAUUCCUCCGCUUCCUGGCAUCUUGAGAACGUUGUAGCCGUGAUGGGUGACUGCCAUGAACUUGGCCAGGGCUGGAUACCCGAGGAUGGCAUUGUACGGCAGGCGGAUGUGUGCGACGUCGAAGUCGAUGAGCUCGGUGUGGUAGUUCUUGCGCUCCCCGAAGGUGACAGGCAAGCGGACCUGCCCUAUCGGUGUGGUGGAACCGUCGGUCACUCCGAAGAAAGGCUUGGUGGGCUCGAGCUGUUCAUAUGGCACUUGGAGGUUAUCGAACGUGUCCACAGACAGGUCGUUGAGCCCUGCGCCGCCGUCGAUGAGGGUCUUGGUGACCUGCACAUUGCUGAUGAUUGGGGAACACAAGAUAGGGAGGGCGCGAGCGAUGGCUGCGCACUUGAGCUGAUCCGCCGAAUUGAAAGUGAUGGCACAUUGGGACCACUUGAGCUGGCACGUGGCCUCGAGCUUGGGGAGCACCGCGUUAUCCUCGCGAGCGAACUGUUUGAAGAUGCGCUGAGAGGCUGGGGCCUGGGCGCCGCCCAAGAUGCAGGCGAUUGCACGCGGCUCCUGGAAGCCCCCAGCCCCCUCGUCCUGGUGGUGGUCAUCGUUCCUUCUUGGUGGCGGCAGUGGGGGAAGACCGGUGUUGCCCUGGGGGCGAUCCUCACGAGGCGGGUCCCUCCAGGCGCCCUCGCGAGGUUGGUCCUGCCAGCGGUCCUCACGAGGCCGGUCAUGCCACUCCUGGCGUGGGCCACGGUCGUCCCAGCGUCCGCCUCCGCGUCCUCCUCCACGGCCGUAGCCCCGGUCGUUGCGCUCGGGGCGUCGACCGAAGUGUCCUUCCCAUAUGGCUCUGAGCUCUCGACAGUCGCUGGUCUUGUGGGUGUUCAGGUUGUGGAAGGCACAGAACGGCCGGUCGUUCUUGGAUGACUCAGGUUGAUCUCUGCCCUGCUUGGUGUUGGGCUCCGCUGCGAGCACCACCGCCUCCUUGCGCUUCACGUCCUUGGCCUUGGCCUUCUUCUCCUCCGCUCCUGCAGCUGGCAGCUCGAGGAGAGAAAGGCGCCCCUCCUCAACUCUUGCGCACUUGGUCGCCAGGUUGAACAGCUCCUGAGAUGUGCAGAGCUCCUCGUGGAUAGCGAGCUCUUCCUUCAUCUUGACGUCGCGGACGCCGUCGAAGAACACGGAGAUGAUGGCCUCGUCCGUGACCUUGGGGAUCUUGAGGAGGGUGUUGUUGAAGCGCUGGAUGAACUUCUGGAGGGUCUCUCCUGGUUGCUGCUUGAUGCAGCGUAGAUCACCUGCGCCUGGCGGGCGGUCACGAGUGCCCUGGAAGUAGGCAACGAAGCGGUCGCGCAUUUCGUCCCAAGAGGAGAUCAAGCCGUGCUGCAGGUUCAGGAGCCAGGAGCGAGCCCCAUCCUUGAGAGCCAUGGGAAACCAGUUCGCCAUGACCUUUUCAUCGCCGUUAGCCGCUUCGAUGCUCAGCUCAUAGAGCUGCAGGAACUCUGCAGGGUCGGCGGUGCCGUCAUAGUGAGGAGGCAGAUCCGGCUUGAACUUGCCUGGCCAGGCGACGCUACGCAGCUCGGGGGUGAAGGCGUGGCAGCCGGCCAUGGUUGCCGGGGCCCGCUUCGGUGGUGGAGCUUGGUCUUGACGAGGUCCGCGCUGCGCCGCUGCGGGCGGUGCGCGGUCUUGACGAGGUGGCGCGGGGAGCGCAGGUGCAGCUUCUCGCGGCCACGGAAUUUCUUGGCAACUUCUCUCUUCGCGCACAGGCACCGGGCAUGGUGGAUCACGCCGCGGUGCCAUGCGCCUUGGUGCCAAGGCACCAUCUUGGGGCAGAGGUGGUGGAGGCACGCCAUGAGCCUCGUCGCCCGUGGCUGGUUGAGGAGGAGGUAGAGAGAGGGACGGCACCGGGGAGCCCCCUGCGGCGCGGAAGAGCUCGGCGACGCGGUCGAGCCACUCCUCAUAGAGGUCGUCGACGGGGCGGUAGCACAGGAGUUCGUUUGCCACGAGGAGAGCGGCCCGCGCCUCCAUGGGAGCACGGCGUGCGUGGGACGAAGAACCGGCAGGGGUAAGCGAUGGAGUAGCGGUGCGGCCGUCCUGCCGCACCGAAGGAUGCAGCGAGGACGCCUGCUGCUCGUUCCCCGCCGGGUCGAUGGCGGCGUUGGCGGCGGGAGACGGAGAACGACGGGGUGGCCCUACCGACGGGAGCCGUCUAAGCGACGCGGGCCAUGAGGGCAGCCCGACGCUCAGCCCGAGCACAGCGAGUGUCCGCCAUGGAGAUGACGGAGCGACGGAGCGACGAACUGAUGGAAGGGAAGCUACGGCGCACCCCUACCUGGCGCGCCAAAUGUCGGAUGUGGGGUUCCGGCAAACCCUUGAGGUUCGAACACUGGGGUGUGCGCGAAGUCUUUCCCUCCUAUCGAUCUACGCCCUAGCUCGCUAAGAUCUCGCGGACGAACUCGACGAACUCGCAACACAGAAAGACACGAGGUUUAUACUGGUUCGGGGCACCAUUGUGGUGUAAUACCCUACUCCAGUGUGGUGGUGGUGGAUUGCCUCUGGGGCUGACGAUGAACAGUACAAGGGAAGAACAGCCUCCUGAGGUUGAGGUGUUCUUGUGAGUAGGCUCUCGAUCGGGUUGGAUCAAGCUAAGAUGAGAUGCCUCUACUAUGGUGGCUAGCUCUACUUAUAUAGGCCCUGAUCCUCUUCCCAAAUGUUGAGAGGGAAGGGAGCCAAUAACGGCGGGCAAAUUUGAAGGGGGCCCGCUAGUACAAGCUAUCCUGAUAAAAAUGGUCUUCGCCUGCGAAAAGCUCUCGUGGUGACACCGUCUUGGGCUCCAUGAUGACCUCCGUCUUGCUGUCCUCCUGGUCUUGGUCUCGUUGCACCAAUAUAGCAACCUUUGCCAGAUGCCUCGGUACUCUUCCCCUGCGCUGGCCUCCUUAGCACCAAAGAGGAAAUAAGGACGCUGCGCACGCUGGCGCCCGCCUGGCGCCCGCCAGGUGUCGUUCGUCAUGGCUCACGUCACGAGGGCCUUGUGAGGUUUUGCCCCGCCUUGAUAUCUCCGCUCCUCAUGAGCCUGCCUGGCUAGGCCACUCUAGAGGAGGUAUUGCGCCGUCCGCCUCGCGAGGCUUGGACCCUCGCGAGGGUCUUGGAUGCCUUGUUGAUGUAGAUGGGUCGUACGGCCUGCUGGCUUAGCCACGCUGUGGGCCACAGGCAGGCAAGUCUAGGGACCCCCGUUCCCAGAACGCCGACACAGUUAUCAAGCAGAUGCCUUGUUUAUCUGUAUCUACUUAUUAGGUUGGUUGAAGUGAGUAUUUGUCCAGUUUUCAAGCAUAUGCCCUAUUUAUCUGUAUUUGCUUGUUAGGUUGGUUGCAGUGAGACUCUGUCUAGUUUUCAAUGGCUAUAUUUGGUUGUUAUACUGGUCAUUUAUGCCUUGUUUAUUUCAGUCAUUCACAAUGUGUUGUUCAUUAUGUGCAAGUCGGAACUGUGCCGCUCGACUACAUCAAUACCAGUUUGAACGGCUAUAUUUGGUUCCAGUUAUGCCUGGUGUAGUUAACACAUGCCCUUUAUUUCGGUUUUACACAUUUGUCUAGUGUGAUGUUUAAGCAUUACCUACGUUCUAUUGAUUUUCAACAAUACCAGUUUGAAUUUCAAUAUUUGAUGGAUGUUAAGCCUGCUGUCGGUAACAUUGCCUUCCAUUUUAUAUCUGCUUUAACAACAUGCUGAAACCAACACAUUCAAGCUAUCAUUUGGAGAUGAUGUUGUUUACCUUUGCUAUAUCUUUUUGAUGUUAAGGUUGCUGUACUUAUCAUGCCUUUCCACUACUUAUGCAGGACAACAACGGGAGUGGCCACCAUUUUCCACCAAGGUUAGCUUCAUCCCUCGGCUUGUACUCCCCCCGUUGUUCCAUAAUGUAGUGCAUAUAGAUCCAGGCCUGGACACUUGUUAGCUUCUAAUAUUGACUUGUUGCUUGUAGGUACAUAUGCCCUUGGCAAGGAUCCACGCAUCGACCAUUUUUAUGUAUGGGGCAAUGAGAUAUUCAUGAACAAGCAUCAAGUGAGGAAACUGAUAAGGAUUAUUAGCAAAAACAUAAGAAUGGCGGAAAGCAAAUUAUUUGUUUACGCUCUAUCCAACACAAUAGUGAGCUAUAGGAUGGUAACUACAAACUCUGCAGCCUUCUCUUUUUACUGCCCAUAAUGAGUUGUUAGACAACAAUGUCUGGAUCUUUUUCAUUCGCAGUGGUUCCCGUAGCAGUUCACUCAAGAUUACCUCUCAAAGUACAUGAUUGGUGGACACGCAAUGAAGGUUAAAGUAUUUCAUCCAGACUAUAAUGAGCAUCGAGAAGUCGUAAUGAAGACAGUGAAGGAUGGACAGGCAGCCAUCACAAGGGGUUGGCCUAGAGUCAUGCGCGCAUUACGCAUGGAGGAGGGCACAAUAUGGGCAUUCCGACCUUCUCCAGGAACCAGAAUGUCUUUCACAUCUCUCUUUACAGUCUUUAGUACAGCUGUGGUUCAUCAUUCUUUACUUGGUGCUUAUGUAGUUCUUCAGUAUAUGUACCUGUGCAUCGAAUUAUGCAUUCGUGGUUGAACCUGUAUUUGUAAUAAACAUGGUUGGAUAUGAAAUAAGUGAUUGCCUACUUUCAAAUUCAAAACAUGUGAUUUUUAAAUUACGGAUUAAUUAGGGAUUACACUGCACACACGGCUUGCGAAAGCGAAACGUUUGGUGAUAGAUGUGGAGAUUAGAAACGUUUCUAGGAUCCAAUACGUGUGUGAUCAAUCUCCACUACACACAUGACAUCCUCUUGAAAACUGUUUGCGUUAGGCCACCUUGCGCAAACGUUUACCACAUAAAAACUAUAUGUGAUGGACAACCUUUGCCACACAGUUUCUGUUGGAUUCGGGUUCUGGCAGACCCUUGAGGUUCGAACCCUGGGGUGCGUGCAGAGAUUUCUCCUUCUACCUACCUGUACCCCUCCGCCUCGCUAAGAUCUAAGCUAUGAAAAGAACAACACAAGAGACACAGGGUUUAUACUGGUUCGGGCCACCGAUGUGGUGUAAUACCCUACUCCAGUUGUGGUGUGGUGGAUUGCCUCUUGGGCUGAUGAUGAUGAGUGAUACAAGGAAGAACAGCCUCGCGAGGGUCUGUUCUUGGCUGGGCGAUGAACUGCUAAGAGGAGUUCAGUCACCCUUCUCUCUCUGAUUCUUAUUCCUAUUCCUUUCUCACUCUACGUGUCUCUCUCCUUGAUCUGAUCGCCUCUACCCUGGGGGUGGCUAGUCCUAUUUAUAGGCAAAGGCCCUGGGCCUCUUGCCAAAUAUUGAGCGGGAAGGGCGCCAACAAUUGGCCAUUUUGAAGGGGAACAUAUGGUACACUUAUCCUGACUAAAGUUGGUCGUCGCCUGCCAAAGGCUCUGGUGGUGACGCUGGCUUGGGCUCCACAAUGACUUCUUCCCUGCCGUUGGGCCGGUCUUGGUCUCGUUGCACCGAAAUGGGUGCCUUUGCUUGAUACUCCCGCCUGCGCUUGCUCCCUUUGCACCAAAGAGGAAAGAAGGACACUACGCGGGCUGGCGCCCGCCUGGCGCCCUUGGUCGUCAUGGCUUGCGUCACGGGCACCUCGUGAGGUACCCCGCCUUGAUCUCUCCGCCUCCUCGCGAGCCAGCCCGAUGAGGCCGCGCCUGAGGAAGCUCCGUGUCGUCCACCCCACGAGGCUUGGUCCCUCGCGAGGGUCUUGGGUCUGUGUUGAUGAAGAUGGGCCGUGCUGGGCCCCCCCUUGAGCCACGCCGCAGGCCGUAGGCAGGCAAGUCUGGGGACCCCCGUUCCCAGAACACCGACAGUAGCCCCCGGGCCCAAGGCGCGCCCGGACUUGGCCGUGCAGGGAGGCGAAAGGGCAAGGGCGAAGCGCCGCGGGCCCUAACAGCCUGCGGCCUUGAGCGCCGCGUGGCGGUUGAUUUGGACGUGGGUGUCUCCACUUCCCCGCGACGCCUCGGCAACUGCGCGGAUUGGACAAGUCCCUACAUGCAAAGCGGGUCAUGAUUACCUGCGACCGUGGGGGUCGGCGGUUGGCCUUCGCCGGCCAUAAAUACGGAACGGCACGCGCCCUUCCAGUCCAUCUCUUCUUGCUUCUUCUUCUUCCCGGUCUUUGCUCCGUCUCGCUGCGAUGGCUCCGUCGAGGAGGUUCUCGGCCGCAGAGAAGGGGAAGGCUCACCAGGUUGAGCCCGCCUCUCCCCUGCCCAAGCGUGGACGUGGGCGCCCUCGCAAACAUCCUGUGGCAGCUCCCCGCGGCCGUGGAGAUGGUUUCCAGCAUGGUGACGGGCGGACAGCUGCGGUUGGGGGGCGCGCUUCGGUCGCGUGUCCCCCUAGGCCGCGCUUUCACGCUGCAGAGGUGCUGCUGGAGUUCGUUGUGUGGUCGGCGGAGCCGACCAACGCCCGGCUUCAACUUCCCCGUUUCCUCCUCGGCGAGCUCCCGGCCGGCGCCCCGGGCGGCCUCUGGCUUCAGGCAGACGACUGCUACAGCCGGGCUUCAUGGGCUUCACUGGAGGUCUCCACAGUCGGGAGCCUCGCCUUGACUCGCGGUUGGCAGACGUUUGCCCGCGCGCGUGGCCUGAGCCGUCGGUGCACCCUGCACUUCAAGUUCGACGGCGAUGCCACCCUCUACAUGAGGGUGUUUGGGGAAGAUGGUCGCCGUGCAGGGUGCUGCCCUGAGGACGGCGACCGCGGCCGGGGACCCAGCCCCGGCGAUGACGGAGAGGACAGCGCUCGCGUGAUCGGCGGCGCUCAGGGUUCCCCAAGCUUCUCCGACUCUUCUUCAGGCGGUGACUCUUCUAGCAGUGGCCGCGGCCAGCCCCCACGCCGCCGCACCUGCUUGGAAGGUGGCGGCGCGUCUGCCCGCCGUUGCGCCUCGGUGAAGCGCGAGAGGGGGUCUGCUUGAGCCCCGGAGGCGGCUCGAGUCUUCCCUGCAGGCUGGUGUGAGGCGAGCUGCGCCUGAUUUGCUCUUUCUUUUCCUUUUUCCUGCAUAAAAAGACAGUAGCGUGGAGCCCCGCGGGGGCGUGUUUUGGGUUAUUGCUGUUAGUCAUCGCUUUGCUUUCGUUAUCGUGUCUUCCGGCUACGUGCCCGCGCGUGGAUAGUUCCCGGCCCCAGACGUGGGGGGCGACCAACCCAGGCCCUAUGUUCGUGUCGCGGUGCCCGUGGGGCAUACACCGGAGGGGUGCUCCUGUAAUGGGCCCAGGUCACGGAGCCUUUGAACGACUAGGAUAGAAACACUCACGAGGGCGCUCGGCUGCCCCCCUCGCGAGGCCUUGCACAAGAGAAAUCGAGUCAGGAGAGUGAAAAGGCGAAGAACCACAAGUCAGGGUCGGUAACAGCUUCAAUAAAACUUCGGAAAGCAAAUGAACAAACCAACUGCGGAAAGCAAAUGAACAACCCAACCGCGGAAAGCAAAUGAAGAAGCCGCGUCCGGCACCUAAUCUAGUCUUCGACGUCUUCUCACCAGCGCGGAGCUAAGUGCUGCCACUGGGUGUGGGAGGGAGCCCCAGGGCCUGAGGCCUACGCUCCUGAGACUCCGGGGCGUGUACAGCCCCAACUCAUUAUUACGUGAGAGUGUCACGGGCGGCGAGCUUCACAGGCGUUGGCCUUCUUCACAGGCUCCGGGCCUUUCUCGGGGGAAGCGAGCUUCAUGGGCAUUUGCCCUCUUCACAGGCUCUGGGCCUUUUCCAAAACGUGACGGCUUCACAGGCGUUCGCCUUCUUCACAGGCUCUGGGCCUUUUCCAAAAAGGAUAAUCUUCAUAGGCAUUCGCCUUCUUCACGGGCUCUGGGCCUUUUCCAAAAAGGAUAAUCUUCACAGGCAUUCGCCUUCUCCACAGGCUCUAGGCCUUUUCCAAAAAGGAUAAUCUUCACAGGCAUUCGCCUUCUUCACAGGCUCUGGGCCCUUUUCCAAAAAUGAUAAUCUUCACAGGCAUUCGCCUUCUUCACAGGCUCUGGGCCUUUUCCAAAAAGGAUAAUCUUCAUAGGCAUUCUCCUUCUUCACAGGGUCUGGGACUUUUCCAAAAAGGAUAAUCUUCACAGGCAUUCGCCAUCUUCACAGACCCUGGGCCUUUUCAGGGGUAGAACCUCCAGAGGUGCUGGAUGUUCCACGCAUUUUGGAUCGGCACUCCCUCUUGAGACUCCAAGCGCGCGGAGCCAGGCCUGGAAACAUGAACAACCUUGAACGGGCCCUCCCACAUGGGAGAGAGCUUGUGCAGUCCCUCCCUGGAGAGAACCCGCCUGAGCACGAGGUCUCCUACCUCGAGAGUUCUAGGGUGGAUGUUGCGGUAGUGAUAUCGUCGCAGUGCUUGUUGGUAUCUCGCCGCUCGCAGCGCGGCUUCUCGGCGGCGUUCCUCCCCCAGCACGAGGUCCAUCCCCCGCAUGGCGUCCUGCUGCGCCUCGUCGAACGCCAGGACCCGUGCGGAGCGAUGUCUGACCUCAUGAGGGAGGACCGCUUCAGCUCCGUAGACCAGGAAGAAUGGGGUCUCUCCAGUCGGCUUGGUCGCGGUGGUGCAGAUGGACCACAACACGGACUGAAGCUCAUCGUACCAACCUCUACCGCAGGCCUCCAGCUUCUUCUUAAACAUCCUGGUCUUGAGGCCCCUUAGGACCUCUGCGUUGGCCCGCUCGGCCUGGCCGUUGCUUCGGGGGUGCGCCACCGAAGCGUAGCAUAUCUGCGUUCCAAGGUUACCACAGUAUGUUUUGAAGAGGUUACUGGUGAACUGCGAACCGUUGUCUGUGAUGAUGCGGUUCGGCACCCCGAACCGGCUCACGAUGCCCCUGAUGAACUUGACUGCGGAACCCGCGGGGAUGCUGCGGACGGCCUCCACUUUAGCCCACUUGGUGAACUUGUCCACGGCGAUGUAGAGGUAGCGGUAGCCCCCUGGAGCCCGAGGAAACGGGCCCAGGAUGUCCAGCCCCCAGACUGUGAACGGCCACGAGAGGGGUAUAGUCUGUAGGCCUCCUGCCGGCUGAUGGAUUUGCUUGGCGUGGAACUGGCAGGCCUCACAAGCCUUCACCAGUUCGAUGGCGUCGUUGGGUGCGGUGGGCCAAUAAAACCCACUGCGGAACGCCUUGCCGACGAGGGUCCGUGAUGAUGAAUGAUGCCCGCAGUCUCCACCAUGUAUAUCUUCCAGCAGUUCCCUUCCUUGCUCCCUGGAGAUGCAGCGCAGGGAUACAUCGUUUGGUCACUUCCGGUAGAGCUCUCCAUCCUUGAUGCAGUAUGCCGUGGCCUGCCGUGCCACACGCUCCGCUUCCUCCUCCUUCUCCAGCAGGGUCCCUUGCGUUAAGUAACUCCGGAGCUCCGUGAUCCAGCACCCCUCCUGAGGCUCCAUCGUCAGGAGCAGGCGUGCUCCUGAGGCCGGGCCACAGACCGGGGCUCCGGAGGCAGGUGGCUGGGGGACCUCCUCCCGAGGCCGAGCCGUGUUUGACAAUGACGGCAGGGCUGAGGGCUUGAAGAGCCGUUCCUCGAAGACGCCAGGCUCCUGAGGUAACCGCCUGGAUGCUCGUCUGGCGAUGUUGUCGGCCUCCUGAUUGGUGCCACGGGGCACAUGCUGCAACUCCAACCCCCCAAAACUGCUUCUCCAUCUUGUGGACCUCUGCAAGGUAGGCUUCCAUGUGCUCAUCUUUCGGCUCGUACACCUUGUUGGAGAAAUUGACAAGGAGCUGCGAAUCGCCCUUGAUGGUGAGGCAUUUCACCCCCAGGGCAGUCGCGGCCUUCAAGCCCGCUAUUAGACCUUCAUACUCUGCUAUGUUGUUGGAGACCUUCUCACCUUGCUGGAAAUAGAGUUGUACAGCAUAGUAGAGCUUGUCCUGAGUGGGCGAUAUAAGCACCGCCCCAGCCCCAGCGCCAUGCCUGGAGAACGCCCCAUCGAAGUACAUGACCCAGCCUUCCGGCGCUUCGCUUCCCGGGGAGAGGGAUCGAUCCUCGUCGGCCUUGAGGCCUGGUGCCUCCGUCCAUUCUGCCACAAAAUGCGCUAAGGCUGCUCCCUUGAUGACUCUGGUUGUGCUGAAUUCGAGCUGAAACGCUUGCAGUUCUAUGUUCCACUCAGCGACCCUCCCGGCCGAGUUAGGGCUCCUAAGCACUCUCUCCAGGGGGUAUGACGAGACGACCUUGAUGGGGUGACCCUGAAAAUAGUGCUGCAGCUUACGCGAGGCCACCAGCAGCGCGAGGAGGAGCUUCUGAGGCAUGGGGUACCGUGCCCUCGCGUCCCGCAACACCGCGCUGACGAAGUAUACUGGAUGCUCAAUAAGGUUGGGUGCGUCAGUGCUGGUGGCGCCCUCCGAAGACCAUGGCGCCUCCUGAGGCGAUGAGGCCUCCGAAGGCUGGCCAUCUGGGAGAGGGGCCCCUUCUGACUCCGGUGCACUCCCCUGCGGCGGCUGACCCUCCCCAGCCGCGGUGGUGGUUUCUGUGGGCCUUCCUUGUUCCUGUUUUGCCUUGUCCCGGGCUGCUCCCGUGGUUUUGACUCGACGCUCCUCCUUAACCGCCACCAGGGCUGCACUGGCGGAGUAGGGAGUGGCGGCGAGGUAAAGCACCAGGGGUUCUUGAGGGCGCGGAGCCACCAUGAUCGGAGGGCUGGUCAGGUAUCUCUUGAGAUCUUGGAACGCCUUGUCGGCCUCUUCAGUCCAUUCAAAGGGCCCCUUCUUCUUCAUUAGCUGGAAGAGAGGCAGUGCUCGCUCCCCCAACUUGGAGAUGAAACGCCCUAGCGCGGUCACGCGCCCAGUGAGCUUCUGCAUUUCUCUGAGGGUCUUUGGCGGGCUCAUGUCCUCGACCGCCUUGACCUUUUCCGGGUUAGUCUCGAUGCCUCGGUGGGACACGAGGAAACCCAAGAGCUUGCCCGAGGGGACUCCGAACACACACUUCUCUGGGUUGAGCCAGAGGCUCACUGCAUUGAGGCUCGCGAAGGUUUCCUCCAGGUCUUGUAUCAGGGUCUUGGCCUCCCGAGACUUCACCACAAUGUCAUCGACGUAAGCCUCAACAUUGUUCCCAAGUUGUGGGCCCAAGGUGAUGUGCAUCAGCCGCUGAAAGGUCGCCCCUGCAUUGCGCAGCCCGAAUGGCAUGCAUGUGUAGCAGUACACCCCACACGGGGUUAGGAAGGCUGUCUUCUCGACGUCUUCUACCGCCAUCUUGAUCUGGUGAUACCCAGAGAAGGCAUCCAAGAAGCAUAGCAGGUCGCAUUCUGCGGUGGAAUCAACGAUCUGGUCGAUGCGGGGGAGCGGGAACGGAUCUUGCGGACAUGCCUUGUUGAGGUUGGUGAAGUCGACACACAUACGCUCCUUCCCCCCUUUCUUUGGCACAACGACAGGGUUGGCCAGCCAAUACGGGUAUCGGACCUCGCGAAUGACCCCAGCAGCCUUUAGUUUGCGGGUCUCUUGGACGAUGAAGGCCUGCUUUUCUGUGGACUGCCGCCUUGCCUUCUGCUUCACAGGGCGCACGUUGGGGCACACGUUGAGGUGAUGCUCGAUUACGCUCCUAGGGAUCCCCGCCAACUGGUUGGGCUCCCAAGCGAAUACCUUCUUGUUCGCGCGCAGGAACUUAACCAGGGCCUCCUCCUGCUCGUGCUCGAGGUUGGCGCCUAUGGUGAAAGUGGCGUUGGUGGACCCGUCCUCAUCGACGGGUAUUUGCUUGGUUUCUGCCUUGUCUUGGGUGAACAACUGUUUCUUCUUGGCAGGUGCAGCCCCCUUGGGCUCGGGGGUCUCCGAGUCGGCGGGCUGUGCCGACGCCACCGUCUUGAAGGCGAGCUUGAGCACUCGCAGUGCGUCCACGGUGUCCCCGUGCAUGGUGAGGACACCACCGCUCCCAGGCAUCUUCAUGAGGUUGUACGCCGGGUGCGUCGCGGCCAUGAACUGGGCCAGCACUGGAUAGCCAAGGAUGGCGUUGUAGGGGAGGCCGAUGGGGGCGAUGUCGAAGUUGACCAGCUCCGUGCGGAAGUUAUCGUAGGUGCCGAAGGUCACUAGGAGCCGGAUCUGUCCCAAGGAGCUGGAUGACCCGCCCCCAAUGCUUGAGAAGGGCCGGCUGGGUUCCAGCGGUUCCAGGGGUAUGCAGAGGAGGUUGAAGGCCUCAACCGAGAGCACGCUGAGGCCCGCGCCGCCAUCGAUGAGGGUUCUGGUGACGGCCACCUGGCAGAUAGUGGGGGUGCACAGCAUGGGGAGCGCACCCGAGCAGGCCAAGUUGGAGGGGUGGUCCUCCGAGCUGAAGGUCAGGCCGGCCUUGGGCGCCACCCGGUCCAGGAGAGCCCCCUGCCGCGUGGAAGCGGCGUUGGCCCAGCGGAUGAAUGGCUUGACGUGGCGACUUGUAGGCGGCGCCUGCGAGCCACCCAGGAGGGCCGCGACGACUGGAGGUGCUGGUGCAGAGUGGUGGGCGAGGAAGAGGCCGCGGAGCUCUUCCCAAGAGGCCACGGAGGCUGCCGGCAGGUGUAGCAGCCAUGCGCGCAGGGUGCCAGUGAGGGCCAUGGGAAGCCAGUUGGCCAUGACCCUAUCAUCACCUCCAUCUUCGAGGAUGGCCCCCUCGUACGCCCGCAAGAAGGCCAGCGGAUCAGUCGCGCCGCUGUAGCGCGACGGCAUCGUUGGCCUGAACUUGUCCGGCCACCGUACCCGUUGCAGGGCUGGGGCCAGGGCUCGGAGCCCCCUGGCCCCCGUGCUGGCACCGGCGGCCGGAGCGGGCGAUGUGUUACUCAUCGCGAGGCAGGUCGUGGCGGUGGUGAAAGGGAAAACUCCGGUCUACCCCUACCAGGUGCGCCAAAUAUCGGAUUUCGGGUUCCGGCAGACCCUUGAGGUUCGAACCCUGGGGUGCGCGCGGAGAUUUCUCCUUCUACCUACCUGUACCCCUCCGCCUCGCUAAGAUCUAAGCUAUGAAAAGAACAACACAAGAGACACAGGGUUUAUACUGGUUCGGGCCACCGAUGUGGUGUAAUACCCUACUCCAGUUGUGGUGUGGUGGAUUGCCUCUUGGGCUGAUGAUGAUGAGUGAUACAAGGAAGAACAGCCUCGCGAGGGUCUGUUCUUGGUUGGGCGAUGAACUGCUAAGAGGAGUUCAGUCACCCUUCUCUCUCUGAUUCUUAUUCCUAUUCCUUUCUCACUCUACGUGUCUCUCUCCUUGAUCUGAUCGCCUCUACCCUGGGGGUGGCUAGUCCUAUUUAUAGGCGAAGGCCCUGGGCCUCUUCCCAAAUAUUGAGCGGGAAGGGCGCCAACAAUUGGCCAUUUUGAAGGGGAACAUAUGGUACACUUAUCCUGACUAAAGUUGGUCGUCGCCUGCCAAAGGCUCUGGUGGUGACGCUGGCUUGGGCUCCACAAUGACUUCUUCCCUGCCGUUGGGCCGGUCUUGGUCUCAUUGCACCGAAAUGGGUGCCUUUGCUUGAUACUCCCGCCUGCGCUUGCUCCCUUUGCACCAAAGAGGAAAGAAGGACACUGCGCGGGAUGGUGCCCGCCUGGCGCCCUUGGUCGUCAUGGCUUGCGUCACAGGCACCUUGUGAGGUACCCCGCCUUGAUCUCUCCGCCUCCUCGCGAGCCAGCCCGAUGAGGCCACGCCCGAGGAAGCUCCGUGUCAUACGCCCCAUGAGGCUUGGUCCCUCGUGAGGGUCUUGGGUCUGUGUUGAUGAAGAUGGGCCGUGCUGGGCCGCCCUUGAGCCACGCCGCAGGCCGCAGGCAGGUAAGUCUGGGGACCCCCGUUCCCAGAACACCGACAGUUUCUUCUAUGCACUGUGUGUGAUGCAUUCAAUAACAAAAAUGACAAAAUUGUUAGUAUCGUGUGCAAUGGCAACGCUAUCACAAACGAUUUAAUGGGGAAAAUUGUGUGUGAUGUACUCCCUCCGUCCGAAAUUACUUGUCGCAAAAAUGGAUCGAAAUGGAUGUAUCUAAAACUGAAAUACAUCUAGAUACAUUCAUUUCCCCGACAAGUAUUUCCGGACGGAGGGAGUACUUGUGAACGAAAACGUUUUCCUUGGAGCGACUGUGUGGGAUGUACAUAUGAAUAGAAACGUUUAGCGGGGACUGACUGUGUGGGAUGUACUUGCGACCGGAAACAAUUUUGCAUGUAUAAUUGUAUUUUUUAGCUCUACUAUACAUAUAAUCAUAUUUGAGCGCUCGCCGGUCGCACACGACCUCAUUUUGUCGAGCGUGUGUGCGAGGAGGGCAUAUCCCCGACGGUUUCUGGGUCGUGUGGGAAGGACCCCCCCUAUCGCCCACACUCACUUGGGAACGGUUCCAAACGCCGUCGUGGAAAGGGGUUAAAAACCGUUUGCAUAGCACCGACGCGUACCAGUGUGAAUUGGGAAAAGUGCCACUUUACGGUUAAUGAAGGUAUUGUUUUGGGCCAUAAAAUUUCUUAAAGAGGUAUCGAUGUGGACAAAGCUAAGGUUGAUGUAAUUGAGAAAAUGCCAUGUCCUAAAGAUAUCAAAGGUAUUAGUAGUUUCUUAGGUCAUCCUGGUUUCUAUAGGAGAUUUAUCAAAGACUUUUCUAAAAUUUCUAGGCCCCUUACAAAUCUUUUGCAAAAGGAUGUUCCUUUUGUUUUUGAAGAUGAUUUUUAGAAGCCUUCAAAACACUCAAGAAAGCGUUAAUUUCUGCACCUAUUGUUCAACCACCUGACUGGAACUUGCCUUUUGAAAUUAUGUGUGAUGCUAGUGAUUAUGCCGUUGGUGUUGUUCUAGGACAAAGAGUUGAUAAGAAACUAAAUGUUAUUCAUUAUGCUAGUAAAACUCUAGACAGUGCUCAAAGAAAUUAUGCUACUACUGAAAAAGAAUUUCUAGCAGUGGUGUUUGCUUGUGAUAAAUUUAGAUCUUACAUUGUUGAUUCAAAAGUAAUUGUUCACACGGACCAUACUGCUAUUAAAUAUCUUAUGGAAAAGAGAAGAGGCUAAACCUAAGCUUAUUCGAUGGGUUCUCUUGCUACGAGAAUUUGAUUUACAUAUCACUGAUAGAAAAGGAGCAGAGAACCCCGUAGCUGAUAACUUGUCUAGGUUGGAGAAUGUCCUUGAUGACCCACUACCUAUUGAUGAUAGUUUUCCUGAUGAGUAGUUAGCUACAAUAAAUGUUUCUCAUAACACUCCUUGGUAUGCUGACUAUGCUAAUUACAUUGUUGCUAAAUAUUUACCACCUAGCUUUACAUACCAACAAAAGAAAAAAAUUCUUCUAUGAUUUAAGAAAUUACUUUUGGGAUGACCCACAUCUUUAUAAAGAAGUAGUACAUGAUAUUAUUAGACGUUGUGUACCCUGAGCAUGAACAGGAACAAAUCCUACGGAAAAUGUCACUCCAAAGCUUACAGAGGGCAUCAUGCGGGAGACAGAACUACUCAGAAGGUAUUGCAGUCUGGGUUUUAUUGGCAUACUCUUUUCAAGGAUGCUCGUAAGUUCGUCUUAUCUUGUGAUGAAUGUCAAAGAAUAGGUAAUAUUGGUAAGCGUCAAGAAAUUCCUAUGAAUUAUUCACUUGCUGUUGAACCAUUUGAUGUUUGGGGUUUUGAUUACAUGUGACCUUUUCCUUCCUCUAAUGGGUAUACUCAUAUUUUGGUUGUUGUUGAUUAUGUUACUAAGUGGGUAGAAGCUAUUCCAACUAGUAGUGUUGAUCACAACACCUCUAUUAAAAUGCUUAAGGAAGUUAUUUUCCCAAAGUUUGGAGUCCCUAGAUAUUUAAUGACUGAUGGUGGUUCACACUUUAUUCAUGGUGCUUUACGUAAAAUGCUUGCCAAGUAUGACAUUAACCAUAGAAUUGCAUCACCCUAUCAUCCUCAGUCUAGGGGUCAAGUUGAACUUAGCAAUAGAGAAAUACAAUUAAUUUUGCAAAAGAUUGUCAAUAGGUACCGGAAGAAUUGGUCUAAGAAAUUAGAUGAUGCACUUUGGGCUUAUAGAACAACAUAUAAAAAUCCUAUGGGUAUGUCUCCUUAUAAAAUGGUUUAUGGAAAAGCUUGUCAUUUGCCUCUUGAGUUAGAGCAUAAAGCAUAUUGGGCAAUUAAAGAACUCAACUAUGAUUUCAAACUUGCUGGUGAGAAGAGGUUAUUUGAUAUUAGCUCAUCAGAUGAUUGGAGAACCCAAGCUUAUGAAAAUGCCUAGUUAUUUAAAGAAAAAGUUAAAAGAUGGCAUGAUAAAAGGAUCCAAAAGCGUGAGUUCAAAGUUGGAGAAUAUGUUCUUUUGUACAACUCUCAUUUCAGAUUCUUUGCAAAAAAACUCCUCUCCAAAUGGGAAAGACCUUAUGUUAUCGAGGAGGUUUAUCAGUCUUGAGCUAUCAAAAUAAAUAAUGUCGAAGGUAGUAACCCAAAGGUUGUUAAUGGGCAACGAGUAAAACAUUAUAUCUCAGGUACACCCAUUAAUGUUGAAAGUAAUAUUAUCCAAACUAUGACACCGAAAGAACACAUAAAAGAAACCUUUUGGAACACUCCAGAAUCGUGAAAAAGAGGAGGUACGUGAUACGGUAAGUAAACGGACUCCGAAAAAUUGGCAAAAAUAUUUUUUGUCAGUUUUGGAAAAUAAAAGAAUAGGAAAAUAAGAAACAACCAGGAAGGUCACCCUGGUGGGCACAAUACACCAGGGUGCGCUUGGCUUGCCAGGCGCGCCCAGGUGGGUUGUGCCCACCUCGGGUACCUUUCGAACUCCUUUUUUCUUCCAUUUGCUUGUUUCCCAAGAUAAAAAAAAUCUUUAUACACCCCCCGAACCUAUUGACCACCGUAUCACGGAGAAAUCUUCUGUUUUCUUUUCUUGCUAUUUUCGGUCGGAUCUGUUAAGCCAGCCAUCAUGUCUUCUCCCUUCUCCAACAAAGUAGAAGAGGAUGCUUGGUUGAUGAAGAUCCAACUGAAGAGAGAGGGGCCUGAAGAACUUCUCGAAGGAGGCAAAAGACGGGAGGCCAUCGGAGAUCAAACGCCGGUGACCUAGCAAGCAUUGCCUACCGAGGAGGAAGAAGAAGAUAUCCUUAAAUCUUACUAUGCUCAUCUUACCCCUACUGAGAUUGAAGCCUUUCGGAUCAUUGAAACGGUUCGUGUGUGAAAUAAAUAUCUCACUCAUGAAAAUAUUCUGCAACAAGAGCACAUCAUCUUCCUCCGGAGCGUCAUCCAUAGAUUGGAGAAUCUCUUGAUCAUGAAGGACAAGAUCGCUGCCACUUCAUCACCACCACCUCCUUCGUCAUCACCAAAAGAAAAUUGAGUAUCGGGUAUCGUGUCACCCCCACUAUCUUUUGCCUUUACUUAUCUUAGUUUGAUACUUAGUUAUCUUUUUGCUUUAGAUGAAUAAAAUUUUAGUUCGAUCCUUUCUUUUUGAGAGUUUGCUUAGCGAUCUAUCCUUGUAAUCGUGUGCGAGAUAUAUAAUAAAGUUUAGUUUGAGUUUUUGCUUUCUUUACUUUCAUGUUCCAAUAAAAAGAAAGGAAAUGAAUGAAAAAGAUCAUAUGCUAAUCUUAUGGUAGGUAAUGACACCACAUAAGGAAAAGUAUAAGUAGAAAAAAUUAUUAGAGAUUGACAAACAUAGCAUUGGUCAAUGAUGCAACUCAUGAAAGAAUUAAUAAGGGAAGAGAAGAUUCACAUACAAAUACACUAUCCUAGAAAUCUUUUGUGAUUGUGAGCCCCCAUCAAAAUAUUAUAUGCAAAAACUAUUGAUUUUGGACAAGGAAGACAACAUAAUGAUUUAUGUUUGUUCAUAUUCACAUAGAAAUUAUAUUUUCAUGGAUCUUUCAACAUGUGGUGCUUGCCCCCCAUCUUUGCUAGCCAAAAAUUCUGCACCAAGUAGAGAUACUACUUGUGCAUCCAAAAACUCUGAAACCAAAUCUUAUUUUCAAGAGUCCACCAUACCUACCUAGGGAUUGAGCAAGAUCCCUCAAGUAAGUUGUCAUCGAUGCAAUAAGGCAGUAAAAAUUUGUUCUAAAAAUGUUAGACCAUUUAGUGUAAAAGAAAAUUGAGCGUUGUACGAACUUGUGAUAGCAAAGAAUAAAAGCGAUAGACUGCAUAAUAAAGGUUGCUAUCAUAAAGGGCAAUAUAACGUGAUGUUGUUUUGCACUAAGGGGUUGAGCAUACAAACAAAUAAGCGCAUGGCAACCUCUGCUUUCCUCUGCGAAGGGCCUAUCUUUUACUUUUAUGUAUUUACUUUUAUGCAAGAGUCAAAGUUUUUCUCUCUUUUCAUUUUUAUUUUUCUCCUUUGGCAAGCAUCAUGUGGUGAGGAAAGAUCUAGGCACAUAUGUCCAGUUGAAUAUGAGUAGCAUGCGUUAUUAUUGUUGACAUUACCCUUGAGGUGAAUACGUUGGGAGGCGAAAUUAUAAGCCCUGAUGUCGCUUGAAGCUACGUUGAUAUUUCCCCAAAGAGGAAGGGAUGAUGCAACAUAGCGGCGGUAGGUAUUUCCCUCAGAUAUGAAACCAAGGUUAUCGGACUAGUAGGAGAACCAAGCAACACAACGUAAACAGCACUUGCACAUAGAUAACAAAUCCUCGCAACUCGACGUGUUAAAGGGGUUGUCAAGCCCUUCCAGGGUACGAUGCCCAAGAUGGCAAACGGACGUGAGAUAAAAUUGUAGUAGAUUGAUAGAUCGAACGCCAAAUAAAAUAUAUAGAAAUAAAACAGCAAGGUAUUUUUGUAUUUUUGGUUUAAUAGAUCUAAAAAUAAAUGCAACGAAAAAGUAGAUCGCAAAGGCAAAUAUAUGAGAAAGAGACCCGGGGGCCGUAGAUUUCACUAGUGGCUUCUCUCGAGAAAAAUAACAAACGGUGGGUAAACAAAUUACUGUUGGGAAAUUGAUAGAACUUCAAAUACUCAUGACGAUAUCCAGACAAUGAUCAUUAUAUAGGCAUCACGUCCAAGAUUAGUAGACCGACUCCUGCCUGCAUCUACUACUAUUACUCCACACAUCGACCGCUAUCCAGCAUGCAUCUAGUGUAUUAAGUUCAUGGAGAAGCGGAGUAAUGUGCUACCUCUUGAGCAUGCGUUGGUUUUCCCUUGAAGAGGAAAGGGUGAUGCAGCAAAGUAGCAUAAGUAUUUCCCUCAGUUUUUGAGAACCAAGGUAUCAAUCCAGUAGGAGACUACACGCAAGUCCCUAGUACAUGCACAAACAAUCAAGAACCUUGCAACCAACGCGAUAAAGGGGUUGUCAAUCCCUUCACGGCCAAUUGCAAAAGUGAGAUCUGAUAAAGAUAAUAAGAUAAAUAUUUUUGGUAUUUUUGUUGUAUAGAUUGGAAAGUAAGAUUGCAAAAUAAACAAUGAUAGAAAUAGCUAGUUGAUAGGAACAUAAUAUGAUGGAAAAUAGACCCGGGGGCCAUAGGUUUCACUAGUGGCUUCUCUCAAGAUAGCAUAUUCUACGGUGGGUGAACAAAUUACUGUCGAGCAAUUGAUAGAAAAGCACGUAGUUAUGAGCAUAUCUAGGCAUGAUAAUGAACAUAGGCAUCACGUCCGUGACAAGUAGACCGAAACGAUUCUGCAUCUACUACUAUUACUCCACACACCGACCGCUAUCCAGCAUGCAUCUAGAGUAUUAAGUCCAUAAGAACAGAGUAACGCAUUAUGCAAGAUGACAUGAUGUAGAGGGAUAAACUGAAGCAAUAUGAUAUAAACCCCAUCUUUUUAUCCUCAAUGGCAACAAUACAAUACGUGCCUUGUUGCCCCUGUUGUCACUGGGAAAGGACACUACAAGAUUGAACCCAAAGCUAAGCACUUCUCCCAUUGCAAGAAAGAUCAAUCUAGCUAGUAGGCCAAACCAAACUGAUAAUUCGAAGAGACUUGCAAAGAUAUUAAAUCAUGCAUAUAAGAAUUCAGAGAAGAAUCAAAUAUUGUUCAUAGAUAAUCUUGAUCAUAAACCCACAAUUCAUCAGAUCUCGACAAACACACCGCAAAAAGAAUUACAUCGAAUAGAUCUCCAAGAGAAUCGGGGAGAACUUUGUAUUGACAUCCAAAGAGAGAGAAGAAGCCAUCUAACUAAUAACUAUGGACCCGAAGGUCUGUGGUAAACUACUCACACAUCAUCGGAGAGGCUAUGGUGCUGAUGUAGAAGCCCUCCGUGAUCGAUUCCCCCUCCAGCAGAGCGCCGGAAAAGGCCCCAAGAUGGUAUCUCACGGGUAUAGAAGGUUGCGGUGGUGGAAAUAGGGUUUCGUGGUGCUCCUGGAUUUUUUCAGGGUAUAUGAGUAUAUAUAGGCGGAAGAAGUAGGUCGGUCGAGCCACAAGGGGCCCACGAGGGUGGGGGCCGCGCCUACCCCCUGGGUGCACCCUCCUACUUCGUGGCUGCCUUGUUGCUUCCUUGAAUCCACUCCAAGUCUCCUUGAUUGUGUUUGUUCCAAAAACGAUCCUCGCGAAGGUUUCAUUCCGUUUGGAUUCCGUUUGAUAUUCCUUUUCUGCGAAACACUGAAAUAGGCAAAAAAAACAGCAAUUUGCACUGGGCCUUGGGUUAAUAGGUUAGUCCCAAAAAAAUAUAAAAGUGCAUAAUAAAACCCAUUAGACAUCCAAAACAGAUAAUAUAAUAGCAUGGAACAAUCCAAAAUUAUAGAUACAUUGGAGACGUGUCAAGCAUCCCCAAGCUUAAUUCCUGCUCGUCCUCGAGUAGGUAAAUGAUAAAAACAGAACUUUUGAUGCGGAAUGCUACCUAACAUAAUUUUCAAUGUAAUUCUCUUUAUUGUGGCAUGAAUGUUCAGAUCCGAAAGAUUCAAGAUAAAAGUUUAAUAUUGGCAUAAAAAUAAUAAUACUUCAAGCAUACUAACUAAGCAAUUAUGUCUUCUUGAAAUAACAUGGCCAAAGAAAGCUUAUCCCUACAAAAUCAUAUAGUUUGGCUAUGCUUCAUUUUCGUCACACAAAAAUGCUCUCAUCAUGCACAACUCCGAUGACAAGCCAAGCAAUUGUUUCAUACUUUAGUAAUCUCGAACUUUUUUCAACUUUCACGAAAUACAUGAGCGUGAGCCUUGGACAUAGCACUUUGGGUGGAAUAGAAUAUAAUGAUGGGGGUUGUGUGGAGAAGACAAAAAGGAGAAAGUCUCACAUUGACGCGGCUAAUAAACGGGCUAGGGAGAUGCCCAUCAAUUGAUGUCAAUGCAAGGAGUAGGGAUUGCCAUGCAACGGAUGCACUAGAGAUAUAAAUGUAUGAAAGCUCAACAAAAGAAACUAAGUGGGUGUGCAUCCAACUUGCUUGCUCACAAAGACCUAGGGCAUUUGAGGAAGCCCAUUGUUGGAAUAUACAAGCCAAAUUCGACAAUGAAAAAUCCCCACUAGUAUAUGAAAGUGACAAAAUAAGAAACUCUCUAUCAUAAAGACCAUGGUGCUACUUUGAAGCGCAAGUGUGUAAAAAAGGAUAGUAGCAUUGUCCCUUUUAUUUUUUAUUUUUUUUAUUUGGCCUUUCUUCUUCUUUUUUUCUUUUGUUUUUCCGGGACAAUGCUCUAUUAAUGAUGAUCAUCACACUUCUAUUUAUUUACAACUCGAAGAUUACAACUUGAUACUAGAACAAAAUAUGACUCUAUAUGAGUGCCUCCGAUGAUGUACCGGAAUGGGCAAUGAAUCAAGAGUGACAUGUAUGAUAAAUUAUGCAUGGUGGCUUUGCCACAAAUACGAUGUCAACUACAUGAUCAUGCAAGGCAAUAUGGCAAUGGUGAAGCGUGUCAUAAUAAAUGAAAUGGUGGAAAGUUGCAUGGCAAUAUAUCUCGGAAUGGCUUUGGAAAUGCCAUAAUAGGUAGGUAUGGUGGCUGUUUUGAGGAAGAUAUAAGGAGGUUUAUGUGUGAUAGAGCAUAUCAUAUCAUGGGUUUGGAUUGUCGAGGGUUGGGUGCGACAUAUGCCAAGGGAUGGCUUAUCAUGGUGGGGGCGAGUAGAACAUCGCCGGUGCCUGGAAGCAGGAUGAGGCGUAGACAUGCACGCCGGCGAAUCUUACCCAGCUUCGGGGCUCUCCGAGGAGAUAACACCCCUACUGCUGCUAUGCGGGGUCUCCGCAUGAUCACUAUGGCAAAGUGGAUACAAGGUUGCUCCUUGAGCUGUUUCCUGGAGGUAGGAGAAGGCAAGGCUAGCUCCCUCCUUUCUGUAUUCUAUGGUCUAGUGCUAACGGGGUCGAAUCCUUUGCAUGGGUGCUUCGGGGGGUUUAUAUAGGCCUACCCCCCGGGGGUACAAUGGUAAUCCGGCUGGGCGCGGGUCCAGCCAUCUGUCUCUCAGGCCGCCGUCUUCUCCGCCGACUACUGGGGCCCGCCGACUGGUGGGCCCCGCCGACUAGUCCCGUACGGAGCCAACAGGCCUUGUCCGUCGCGGGUGGGUCUUGCCGGCUGCGGAUUACUGUAGCCGUGCUUCUAAUGACGCUGGCUUGGUUAUGGAGUCAUGGCAACAGUACCGCCGCCUGGCGAGCGAUCACUGUUGCCACUCCCUGUCUUCUCUGAUUAAUGGCAUGCGGGGCCCGUGGGAGGGACUGGCCGACUCCCACGGGGUCCGUGUUGUGGCACUCUCACCGUCUUCUGUUCCCCCCGCUGACAAGCAGGGCCCGUCGUCUCUGGGCCGUACAGGCAGGCCGACGUGGGUACAGGGCUCCGCCACUAGAGCUGAUGUCAGGGCUAGCAUGGCAACAGUGCCGCGCCGGACGGAGAUCUCCGUUGGUACGUGUACUGUGGCCGUGCUUGCCCUUGGUAAUCGGGGUGGGGGCGGGCCUUACUGCGGCCAUUCCCAGCCCCGUCCCUUCUUACGAAGGCAGAGGGUGGUUGGAGUCGCGGGCCGACUCCCCAUAGCCGGCUUCUUUGGAAGUCGCCAGUUAGGAGUCGGCUCCUCUUGUAGUCAUCCCUGGGACUCAGCAGUGAGUAGAUAGUCGGCAGCGCCGCUGCCGACUCCCAGAGGCGGCCCUCCGUCCUGGAGUUCCUGAGGGGCGUAGCCUGCCCCGAUGUCUUGAAAGGUUCUGGGCUUCGGGUUAGCCUACCCGUGGCCCAUUACUCUGACAUGGAUCCCUGAAGCUGGUGAGGCACCGAGGGAGACGUACUGAGGAGCCUCAACAGUUUCUUCCUUCCGGUGGUUGGAUCUGGGCUUCGCCCGCCGUCUUCCUUCAAGCCGACAAUCGGGAGCCGGACUCGUCGAAGGCCGUCUUGCCUCUUAAAGAUUUUGAAAGUCAUAGCGGGAUCCAGACGGCGUGCCUGGCAAGCUCCCUGGCUGCCGCCCGUUGCGGACCCAUCAUGUGGCGCCACGUGGCCGGGCCAAUCUGCCUGCCCACGUGCGUGACGGGACAGGCCCGCAGGUGGGGCCCGCCACUAUCGUGCCUCGGCCUUCGAACGGAUCUGUUGCGGUCGUGCGGACGGUUGGGAUUCCUGCGCAGUAACUGCGCGCAGCAACUUCGUGCGGUAAAUCAUGGGAGUCGUGGGGUCCUGGGCGCAUUUAAUCCCACGACGCCCCAUCGGCUUCUCAGCCUAGGAGCCUAUAAGUAGGCGGAGGGAGCGGGCGGCGAAGCACGCGUGCUCACUCUCCCUUAUUCCCCUCUGCUUCCUCUUGCUUCUUCUUUCCUUCGCCGUCGCCACGUCGGACCUCAUCAUGCCCGCAGCGAUGAGCUCUUCCUCCACCGCCGCGCCCGCCGCCGCGCGCUCCGGCGUGUGGGACGGCUCCGAGGUUGACGACGACCACAUUGAGUUUCUUCGCAAGACGCGUCGCCUCCCCGGCAAAGACCUAGUGCGGGCCCGCGCCGCGCCGGCGAGGGAGGUAUCGCCGGCGCCGAAGGAGGGCGAGCGGGUCAUAUUCCGCUCGCACCUCAUGCGCGGCCUAGGGCUGCCGGCGAGCAGAUUCUUUCGCUCGUUCUUGGAGUUCCACGGGCUCCAGCUGCACCACCUUACACCAAACACAGUGGUGCUGUUGGCCGCCUUCGCCACCCUGUGUGAAGGCUUCCUCGGCAUUCUCCCCACCAUCAAGCUGUGCGGCGAAUUCUUCAGUUCCAAGCUCGGCACGCACGUCGCCGGUGUGCCAGCCCAGUGCGGUGCCUUCAUCGCGGUGCGGAGGUCGGUAGCCAACAACCCGUUUCCCACCAUCUCGCUGAUCAAGUCGGUGAAGAUGUGGCAGCGAUCUUAUUUCUACGUGAAGAACGUCACCCCAGAAGGUGACUGGGUCAACCUGCCGCCUUACAAGGCCGGCGCGCCAGCCGGAAGGCUCCCAGCUGGUCCCACCGGGCCAAGACGCUGACUCCUGCCGGCGCCGCCGCUGUCGCGCGACUCUGAGUGCUGACGCAGUCGGAGGGUCUGACCGGGGCCGACCUGCUGGCCGCCUUCGUGACGCGCCGAGUCCUCCCACUCCAAGGCCGGCCUCAUAUGAUAUGUCAGAUGAGUGGCCACCGAGACCCAAGUCGGAUGUGCACCAAGGACAUGCCCCACGCGGAGGUGGCGGACACGGUGAACUACAUCGCGAACUGUGGUCUCUCGGGGAAUUGGCAGUUCGGCAAGGAGCCGUACUCGCGCGCCAACCCCCCGCCUGUUGUAAGUUGUUCCUCUUCUGCUUUCUUUCUUCAACCGAGUCCGAUUUCUAAUCUUCAUUAAUACUCGAAACAGAACCCUCUUAUUCAGCCUUCGGCCGGCACCACUGGGCCGGCCCGCUAGUUCGUCCCCGACCGAGCGGAGAGCGACGUCGACGACCCCGACUUGGGGGCGGCGGCGAUGGAGGCCGACGCCGAAGGAGGAGGUGAAGGAGGAGAAGGCGGCAUCAGGCCUUCGGCCACCUUUGCCGACUGGCCUAAAGACAACGCUGAGGGGGAAGUCGCCCCGCGCCACCAACCGAAGGCCGGCCGGCCCAGCGCGAGUUCGUCUGCCGCCCUGGAUGGUCUAGGCGGCGCGAGGAAGCGCCGGGCUGGGCCGAGCUCUCUUGGCGGCCGGUCGAAGAAGUUCAAGGGGGCGGCCGCCGCAACUAGGCGGGAAGAGGCGAUCGCCCAGGCCAACCGCUUCCGCAAGGAAGUGAAGAAACCGUCGCUGGUCUCCACGUAAGUGCCGCCGCCCUUCGUCUUGUUUUCUGCUGGUUGAUUUUGUCUAAGUCUUGUCCAUGCUUCCCUUGUUCCAGGGCUCCCCUCACCCUUGAGAGGGUCACCGCCGCCUCCAUCAUGGGGUCGGCAGAGACGUCCACCACCACUCAGCGGAUUGACCGCGCCACCGAUCUCCGGGAGGCAACGGAGCGGAAUGCGCAGGAGAAGCACGACGAGGAAGAGGCUGACCGCCGGGAGAAGGCGGAGGCCGAGAAGGCGGCCGCCUCCGCCCAGAAGAAGCUGGACGAUGCCGAAGCCGCCGUCAUGGCAAAACGGCAGGCUGAGGAAGCCGCGCGCCGCCAGUCGGUGUUAUUCGUCAUCCCGCUGAACUCAGCGCGGCCGCCUCUGGACUUCACGGAGCAGACCGGGGAAGCCGGGGGCGAGUACCCCAUCAUGGAGAGGGAAGGCGGCGAGGCCUCCAUGUCGGACACGGCCGCGCUGCCGCCGCCGCCCCCGCCGCCGUCUGGGAGCAUGCGAGGCGAGCAGCCGGCGGACCCGCUGGUGCCGCCGACUAAAGACGAGGCCGUGGUGAAGCUGCUCCUUCAAGUCGCCUCGCCAACGCACCGCCGUCUUGAGAAGGCGACUUCAGCGUCGCGCCCCUUGGAGACCGGCGCCGCCAGCUCGGCCAUCCCAGACGUCGAGGCAACGAGCGCCACGCCCGUUGGGUGGGCGCGAGGAGGAGGCACAGGCCCGCUGAACCAGGCGCUUCUGGACGUCCAGGCGAAGCUGAGGGCGACGCCCUCCAGAACUGCACCAAGGCGCAUCUGGCGUCGCGAGUAGCCAUCCGGGUAUGUUUUCUUCUGACUUUGUUUUACUUGCUUUUCUCUGUGGGGGCGCGCCAGCGCACCCACUGGGUGUAGUCCCCGAGUUCGGAACUCCAUUGGUGAGUUCUAAGUACUUACUCUUGUUUGAAAUAUUUAUCAUAGGAUUAUCACAACCUCCGGGUCACCACAUUCAACUGCAAUGUUGAAGAGCUGGGCAAGCGGACUGCCGACUUGUCGGAGAGCUGGAGUAAGUUCUCCUUCUUCUUCGCGGGGGCGCGCUGGCGCACCCGCGGGCUGUAGUCCCCAAGAUUCGGGCCGACUACUGAGCAGUUGGGCCGGAUCUUCUCGGCGACCUUCUUUGAUGACGACUUAGCUCCUUCUUCUUUUUUCUUCAAAGGCCAACGCCGUUCUUCAGCAGAAGCUGGGCGAAGCCAACACCACCUUGCGCGCCAAGGGGGAGGAGUGUGGCAAGCUCAUCGCAGAGUGUGACCAGCUAGCCACGCAGCUGGCGGAGCGGAGGGAGCUGCUUAAGAAGGCGCAGGAGGAGGCGGAGAAGAAAGAGACUGCACUCCUGGCCGAGUUCGAGGUCGAGCGCUCCUCCUGGACUGACAAGGAGACAAUGCUGACCUCCGGCUUUCAUGAAAUUGAGGAUAUCAUCGAUGGUGAGUUUCUUUACUCUCUUUCUUUGAGCCGCCGACAGCAGGUCAGGCCGACUCCUGAUUUUUGACUUGCUUCUUUUCCGUCUUUGGUAGACUUCUUCCCUGGCCACAUGCAAGCUGCUACUCAAGCCAUCGAGGCUGAUCGCGAGGCGUGGAGGGCAAACGGCGAGGAGAUUGCCGCCAAUGCCCCCCGGACCCUUGACGAGCAGCUUCUGAGCAUCGAGGCUCGUCUGCGGCCGGCCCAUCGGAUGCUGCGCCGGCUUCAACGUGUCGGCGCCCAGGCGAUUGCUGCCUUGUGGCCGGACAUGCCGGUUCUGCGCACUCCCAGCCGGACUGCCGACUGGCUGGAGGUCGCAGCCGGCCGUCUUGAAGCUUGGAAGGGUUCCUCGGCCCGGGCUGGAGCGCGACAGGCCUUGGAAUUCGUCAUGGCGUGGUAUCCGGGGCUGGACCUGGACCGGCUGGCCACGCUCCGAGCGGAGGCCCAGCCGGAGCGGGCAGCCGCAGAAGAUGCCCUCAUUAGGCGCGCCACGGCGAUCGCCGAGUACGCCGAUACCAACGUCUUCAUUCCUAAGCGGGCUGAAGACGGCGAGGAGGCACCACCGGAGUGGUUUGGGAUGAACCCGGACUACGACGAGGACUCGGCGGAGGUGAUCGGCUCCAGCGCCGAGGAGGAAGGCGAGGCGGAGGACGGAGGUGAGAUGGAGGCGCCAGGAGGCGGGGCGGACGAUCAGCCUCAGCUCGACCGCGCCUCCAGCAACGAGCCGCGCCCAACCGAGCCGGCUGCCGCUGGAGGUGAUCAAGCCGAGACUGCCCAGCCGGCCGCCCCAACGUCUGACACCGCCAUCUCCUCCGAGCCUCCAAACCCGCCUGCUGCUUCCUAGGCUGCUGCCUUGUCUUUAUUUUAUCUGUUUUAGUAGUCUUUUAAGAACUUGUUAAUUCGCACAAUUCCACCCGCUGGGUGUAUUUUGAACUUCUGUUCAAUGAUUCGGCCAAGGGCCUAUGUUAUGUAAAUAUCUAUCCAAGUUCUAUCAUUUCUUGCUCAUUGCUCUCUUGGCUUUUCCUUUGCCGCCUUCCCUUAGUUGCCGUCUUUGCCAGUCAGACAACCGCUCCGCGGACUGCCGCUGGAUCAAGUGCUUGGCUACUUUGGGAAGGCAAGUACUUGGCUGUUUCUAGAGUUUCUUAGCAAGUUGAAUAGAAGGCGGCGAGCCGACUACUCGGGAGUCGGUUUUGUAAAAAAAGUGGCUGGAAAGCCGGCUUUAAGCUAUGUUUAUGCUUUGAGUCCUUGGCCAUUUUUCAUGUGGGUGCCCAUUCUUCCUUGCUCCUGCCCACCGGACAGUCGCUCUGCGAGCUGCGGCUUCUGACAGGAGACGGCUUAGGUGCCACACACUACUUGUCCGACUGCAGGAAGCAUUUCAUAGCGCAAGACGGCUAGUACCCGGGCCGACUAGUCGGAUCCGAUGCCAAACGACAUAAAAAAGAAUGGCAUACUUGAAGGCAUGAUACUUAUCAUACAGAUAACAAAAAGGCAGUCCCCGAGCUCGUCUCGGGGGGCCCGAAGUCUUGGUACUUUAAUACAAAGGGUAGCGUGGUACAUACUGCUUUAACUUUCAAAUCUUCGGAGAAGAUUCGCAUUCCAUGGCCGUUCCGUCUCUUUGCCGGAGUCGUCCCUCUUGCGUGCUCGGGGCUUCUGAGCGUCGAUCAGAUAGUAGGAGUCGUUGCCCAGUACCUUGCUGAUGAUGAAGGGGCCUUCCCAAGGUGCCGACAACUUGUGCUGGCCGGCUGUCCGCUGGAUCAGUCGGAGCACAAGGUCGCCUUCUUGGAAAGAUCUCGGCCUGACCUUCCAUUUGUAGUAUCGGCGCAGGCUCUGCUGGUAGAUGCCGGACCGGCUGAGUGCCAACAGCCGGCCCUCUUCCAGCAGAUCGACGCCGUCUUGACGUGCUUCUUCUGCUUCCUCCUUGGUGUACAUGGUGACUCGCAGGGAGUCGAACUCUAUGUCCAUUGGGAUGAAGGCUUCGGCACCAUAGACGAGGAAGAACGGCGUGAAGCCGGUCGAUUUGUUUGGAGUCGUGCGCAGACUCCGGAGGAUGGCUGGCAACUCGUCAAGCCAACAGCUAGCCGAACGCUCCAGUGGUUCGACCAGUCGAGGCUUGAUGCCAGACAGGAUGAGGCCGUUAGCCCGCUCCACCUGGCCGUUUGACUGUGGAUGGGCAACGGACGCUAAGUCCAGUCGGAUGCCCUGUGUCGCGUAGAAAUGGGCCAAAGCGCCUUUGGCAAAAUUUGUGCCGUUGUCGGUGAUGAUGCUGUGCGGUAUGCCGUACCGAAUCGUGAUGUCGGAAAUGAAAGUCACGGUGGUCGGGCCAUUCAACUUCUUGAUAGGCUUUGCUUCUAUCCACUUGGUGAACUUGUCCACCGCGACAAGUAGGUGAGUUAGGCCUCCUCGCGCCAUCUUGAAUGGUCCCACCAUGUCCAAGCCCCAAACUGCAAAGGGCCAGGCGAUGGGAAUGGUCUUGAGUGCAGAAGCCGGCUGAUGCGGCUUGGAAUGGAACUUCUAGCACCCCUUGCAUUUCUGGACCAGAUCCUUGGCUUCUUCUAGGGCAGUCGGCCAAAAGAAACUAUGUCGAAAGGCUUUGGCGUCGAGUGCUCUUGAGGCCGCAUGGUGGCCGCACUCGCCUUGAUGGAUGUCUCUGAGAAUUGCUUGGCCCUGCUCCGGCUCGACGCAAUGCUGGUAGACACCAGUAACGCUGCGCCUGACCAACUCUCUGUUGACUAUGGUGUAGGCUGCCGCUCAGCGUUGUACUUGCCGAGCCAAGGUUUCAUCAGUUGGCAGCUCUUUGUUCACUAGGAACUUGAGGAUGGGUUGUGCCCAUGAGGGCGCUGCUAUUUCUUCGACUGCCAGAACUGCGACUUGGACGAGGGCGACUGGGCUGGGAGGCGGCGGGCUGGAGUCAGCGGUCGCUUGCUGGACUGGUGAAGUCCCCGGGCCGACUGAUGCAGUCCCCGGGUCGAGCUUUGGAGUCUUUGGUCUGGUCGUCGCAGUCCCCGGGCCGGCUUCAACUGCGGCGUUUUUGGAGCCGUCUGCAAGAGUUCUUGUGCCGUCUGCUGGGGCUCUUGAGUCGGAUCCGGCCUCUUCGGGGGGAGCCGGCACAAAGAUGGAGUCUAACUCCGGUGAAGGCUUGACAGAUGGUUUGAGGAGCCGCUGAAGGGCGACACCGGAUGGUAUUGCCUAGCGGGUGGAGCCGAUUCAUGCCAGGGUAUCUGCUUGGUUGUUGUCAUUUCUUGGCACGUGAAGGAACUCGCACCCCUCAAAAUAUCCACUGAGUUGCUGCACGAGGAAGUGGUAGCUUGCCAUGUUUGCAUCCUUGGCAUCCCCAUCACCAGACGACUGCUGGACCACCAAGUCGGAGUCGCCAUAGCACAGGAUCCAGCGAAUGCCAAGUUCUUUGGCAAGCCGGAGCCCGUGAAUGAGCGCCUCGUAUUCGGCGACGUUGUUGGAGGUGGCGAAAUGGAUCUGCAGCGCGUACUUGAGCUUGUCGCCUUUGGGAGAGGUGAGGACAACGCCGGCCCCUAAGCCGGUGCGCAUCUUGGAGCCAUCGAAAUGCAUUCGCCAAUGGGUGGAGUCAGGCGCUGGCGGCAGAUACUGGGUCUCGGCCCAGUCGACAAGGAAAUCGGCCAGCGCUUGCGACUUGAUGGCGGUGCGGGGCUGGUAGUAGAUUGUGUAGGGGGCCAACUCUAUGGCCCAUUUGGCCACUCGUCCGGAGGCAUCUCGGCUUCCGAUGAUCUCAGCUAGUGGGGUUGUGCAAACCACAGUGAUUGGAUGCUCUUGAAAGUAAGGCUUCAGCUUCUUGGCGGCAAAGUGUACGCCAUAGCACAUCUUCUGGUAGUGGGGGUAGUUCUGCUUGGAGGUCGACAGUACUUCACUUAGGUAAUAUACCGGUCUCUGGACAGGUAGUGCCUUGCCUUCCUUCUUGCGUUCAACUAUGAUGACUGUGCUGACUACCCGGCUAGUGGCGGUGAUGUACAGGAGCAUGGGCUCCUUAGGAGUCGGAGCCGCCAACACAGGGGGAGUAGCCAACAUCUUCUUCAGCUGGAGAAAGGCCUCGUCCGCCUUGUGGCUCCACUCGAAAAAAGUGGUCUUCUUCAUGAGCUGGUACAGGGGGAGAGCUUUCUCGCCCAGCCGACUGAUGAAUCGGCUGAUGGACGCCAAGCAGCCAAUGAACUUUUGCACGUCCAGCAGUCGGCUGGGUACCUCCAUCCUCUCGAUGGCUUUGAUCUUCACAGGGUUGCACUCUAUGCCGCAUUCAGAGACCAGGAAGCCAAGGAGUUGGCCGGCUGGUACUCCGAAGAAGCACUUCUCAGGGUUGAGCUUGAUCUGGAAUCGGCGCAGGUUCUCAAAGGUCUCCUUGAGGUCUUCCAGCAGCGUUCCGCGCUUUUCCGUCUUCACCACCACAUCAUCCACGUAGACGUGGGAGUUUCUGCCGAGUUGCUUGAGGAGGCACUUCUGCAUGCAACGCUGAAAGGUAGCGCCGGCAUUCCUCAAGCCGAACGUCAUGGUCAGGUAGCAGAAGGCUCCAAACGGCAUGAUGAAGGCGGUCUUCAAUCUGUCUGUCGGGUUCAGCUUGAUCUGGUGAUAUCCUGAAUAUGCAUCUAAGAAGCUCAACAGCUCGCAUCCGGCUAUGGAGUCUAUCACCUGAUCAAUCCUUGGCAGGGCAAACGGGUCCUUCGGGCAUGCUUUGUUGAGGCUUGUGUAGUCGAUACACAUCCGCCACUGCUUGUUCUUCUUCAGCACCAGGACCGGGUUUGCUAGCCAUUCUGGGAAAAAUACUUCCAUAAUAAAGCCGGCUGCAAGGAGUCGGGCUAUCUCUUCUCCAACAACUCUUCUCUUCUCUUCUAACAAGCGGCGCAAGGGCUGCCUGACGGGCUUCGCAUCAGAUCGGACAUGUAACUUGUGCUCGGCGAAUUCCGUCGGUACACCUGGCAUGUCUUUGGGGGACCAUGCGAAGAUGUCCCGAUUCUCACGGAGGAAAUCGACAAGCUCGCCUUCCUAUUUGCUGUCAAGGUUUGCACCUAUGACAGCGUACCUCUCUGGGUGCUCCGGGUCUAAGGGUAUCUUCUUUGUCUCUUUGGCCGGCUUAAACGAACCUUUAGCUUCCGACUCCUUGGGGUUAGGCGACAUCUCCGGCUGCUUGUCCGCCAUCGCCACAACCCGAUCUAGGAGCCGCUUCUCGGCCGCGAUCACUAGGGACUCGGCUAGCCGACUGCUUUCAGCCGCACACGCGGACGACUUUCUGUAGUCGCCGGCUAUGGUCAGAAUCCCCUUGGAACUCGGCAUCUUCAUCUUGAGGUAGGCGUAGUGGGGGACCGCCAUGAAUUUGGCCAAGGCAGGUCGGCCAAGCAGUGCAUGGUACAGGCUUUCAAGGUCCACCACUUCAAACCAGACUGGCUCUCGGCGGAAAUGAUCCUUGUCUCCGAAGAGGACAUCUAUCAGAAUCUUGCCGAUUGGUGAGCAGGAAAGGCCAGGGACAAUGCCGUGGAACACAGUCCGACUGUUCUGAAGCUGUCUUUGCUUGAUCCCUAACUUCUCCAUGGUAUCCUUGUACAGGAUGUUGAUGCUGCUGCCUCCGUCUAUCAGCACUCGUGAGAAACGAGCGGCUCUUUUAUCUGUGGCAAAGGUGGCAUCCAAGACCAGGGCGUAGGAACCCGGGUUCGGCAUCACUUCUGGGUGAUCAGCUCUGCUCCAACUGAUAGGCUUUUUGGACCAGUGCAUGAACUCUGGAGCAUCUGAUGCCACUGCAUUCACCUCCUGCUGCUGCAGUCGCCUGCUGCGUCUGUCGUCUGCCACACUGGUGAACACCACAUAGGCCCCAUGCUCUUCUGGGUACUCAUCUUGUACGGCGCCGACCAGCCUGACAGCCGGCUACUGGGGUGGAGGCGGAGGCUGCUGCCAAGCCGGCGGGGGUGGCGGGAGGCCAUCUCCCUUGGCGGUCCUUGUGAGCCAGUGGCACUUCCGGGUGAUGUGGUUCGACGGCUUCGCGCCGCUGUGGAACUUGCAAGGACCAUCUAGAGUCUGCUCGUAAGAGAAGGCCGGCAACCAGUUGGACUUGCCGCCUUUUCUGUCGUUUGGCGGAGGCUGACCAUCCGGCUGCUGGUCUUCGACCGUCGCAACCUGCCGACUGCUGGAAGCCGGCUGUGGGGCCUUGCGCCUGUGGUCAUUCUGCUGUUGUCGCCGACUGGAGUCUCCAGCCGGUGUUCUGGGAGCCUGAGGGGCCACUUUGCCAGUCGCACUAACUUGAAUCUCGGCCUUCAUGGAGGAGUCGGCUGUGGAAUACUUGUCUGCUAUGAUUAGCAACUCGUCAAGGGUUUCUGGCUCGUCGCAGAGGAGCUUGUGCUUGAGGAGGGUGCCUUCUCUGCACCCGGCGGUGAAGUAUUCGAUGGCCUGCACCUCGUGCACGCCCUCGCAGGAGUUCCGGAGCUCGGCCCAGUGCGUGAGGUAGUCGCGAGUUGAUUCGGUGGGGCCCUGCACGCACAAGGAGAGCUGAUGAGGCUUGGGAGGUCGCUUGUACGUGCUCGUGAAAUUGCGGAUGAAGGCUUCGGUGAAGUCGACCCAGCCGUUGAUGCUGCGGGGCUUCAGGCUGUUCAGCCAUGUCCGGGCCAUGCCCUGGAGCAUGAGCAGAACAUAUUUCACGACAACGCGCUUGUUGCCGUUCGCUAUGUUGACGGCCGUUGAGUAGUCAACCAGCCAGUCUUCCGGCUUCACGGAGCCGGUGUAUUUGGGCGUGUCUCGGGGGAGCGUGAACCCUUUGGGAAAGGGCUCAUCUCGGAUGCGGGGUCCGAAAUAGGGCGGGCCCAACUCGUCUUCUUCUUCCAGCGCCAGGGAUCAGUGAAGUCGGUCGAUCCGGUGGUGGGCGUUGUUUUCUCCGACUCCCUCUCGGUGGCCAAGGCGGUCAUCGAGAGUCAGAUGGUCAACAGGCGGCGGGGAGACUCGCCUUUCCUUGCGAGGAGGAGGCGGAUAGUCGUCCCGUCGUUCCACUGCCCUUGGGCGGCCGUCUUGGUCGCGCUCGAUGGUGAUGCGAGUCCAACUGUGGCUGACAGCCGGAUCCUUGUCCUUUCUCUCGCGGACACCGCCAGUCGGCGUCCGAGACGUCGCGCCUUGAUCUCGGUGGGGAGGCAGGUCGUCGUUUUGCCGUUGUGGUGCCUCUGUGCGGCAGCUGGCUUUGUUCUGCGCGGCAGCUGCGUCGAGGAGUCGCUGGACUCGCUCCGUCAUCAGGCGGCGCUCUUCACCCUCGAAGUUGUCCAGCUCGUCCGCCGCCGCCUGGCGGCUCGGAUGUUCUCCGCAGGCGUGGCGUACACGGGGCGAUCAUCCCCGAACAGGUUGGCGAUCUCCAUGCCGCGCUGCCGGACCGCGCCUAGGCGUCUAGGCCCCGUCGGGGCCGGCGAGCCGCCCACGGCGUGAUCCAUCUCUCGCUGGUAGGCCUCUGACAAGCGUCUCAUGCUUGCCAGCUUCUUUGCGCCUUCGACGAUCUGAAGGCGGCGUGCCUCCAGCGUCUCGGCGUUAGCGUCUUCUGGAAUGGGCGCGGUUAGGUCUUGUAGCGCCGCGUCGAGGGGUCGUGAGCUCCUCCGCCGGAAUGCUCGCCAUGAUCGAUGACGAGCACUUCUAUGAUGGUGCUUCCGCCGCUCUCCGCACGAGGGAGCAGCUCGUCGUAGACCACCACGUUGGUGGGAAACACGUCGAGCGACGCAGUGUCGGAGUCGACCAGCAUCGGGUCGGUGGAGCCUACGGACUCUAGGUCCACGGCAGGCUCGCCGGCGACGUGGAGUUGGUCGAGGAGGCCCACGAGGAGGCUAUCGGGGCCGCCCGUGCCUGCGUCAGAUGCAGGCUCAUCGGAGAGGCGAACCUCGCCGACAAGUUCGGCGAGGCAGCUGGCUGCGCAGGCGAUCUCAGCGCCGUGCAGCGCAUCGGCGCAAACUCCAUCUGGCGUGUCGGGCUGGCUGCGCUCGCCAGGGAGGAAGAGGGUUCCCGUCCAGAGCAGUAGUACAUGAUAUUAUUAGACGUUGUGUACCCUGAGCAUGAACAGGAACAAAUCCUACAGAAAAUGUCACUCCAAAGCUUACAGAGGGCAUCAUGCGGGAGACAGAACUACUCAGAAGGUAUUGCAGUCUGGGUUUUAUUGGCCUACUCUUUUCAAGGAUGCUCGUAAGUUCGUCUUAUCUUGUGAUGAAUGUCAAAGAAUAGGUAAUAUUGGUAAGCGUCAAGAAAUGCCUAUGAAUUAUUCACUUGUUGUUGAACCAUUUGAUGUUUGGGGUUUUGACUACAUGUGACCUUUUCCUUCCUCUAAUGGGUAUACUCAUAUUUUGGUUGUUGUUGAUUAUGUUACUAAGUGGGUAGAAGCUAUUCCAACUAGUAGUGUUGAUCACAACACCUCUAUUAAAAUGCUUAAGGAAGUUAUUUUCCCAAAGUUUGGAGUCCCUAGAUAUUUAAUGACUGAUGGUGGUGUCGGAGUAAAUAGCCAUGGGUAGCCUAGCCGGCUUCCCCUGGCACUUCUGCAAAAAUUACGAGCCAGCCCGGCUCUCAAGAACCCGAGACAUGGGGCCGCCUUCCCUUAGCCGGCUGCGAUCAAGGCCGGCUUUUGGAAGGCGGUCCGACUUUAGCCCUCAAGAGAGGGCCGACUCCAAGAAGCCGGCUGUGAGAAGGCCGACUCCUUCGAGCCGGCCCCCCGUAAAGCAGUCAAGACCGUACCCACAAAGUUUGCACCCACCUAACUGCGGUGCGACGGGGCGUGGCUACAGGAGAGCCUGCCACCCUUAAAUCCCGGGGCACGCCUGGCACAGUGCGCCGUACGAGGUAGGCAUGACCCGUCCGGCGCGGCACUGUUGCCAUGUUGACCCUGGCGUCACCCACGACGAGCCUCCAGCGUGGCCCACAGGCGGUGGGCCCCCUGAAGCAGAGAGACGGCCGAAGGCGGCCACGCUUCCAACCAGCCGGCCCGAGACGGAGCUGGCUCCCCGUGGCCGGUUCGCCGCCUCCCUCGAAGAGGACGCCCCAUUAAGGAGACAAGACGCGGUAAGGCUACAGUGAUCGUCCGACAGGCGGCAGCACUAUAACCAUGCUUACCACGAUGAAGCUCACGUCAACAAGAUAAAGCUACGGUGACCAAGGAGUUGGCAGCCGACGGGACCCACCAGUCGGCGGGCCCCAGCAGUCGGCGCAGAAGCCGGCGAGCACAGUCACAGACGGCUGGGCCCCGUGCCCAGUCGGAUUACCAUUGUACCCCCGGGGGGUAGGCCUAUAUAAGCCCCCCGGAGCACCCAUGCAAACGGUUCGACCCCCUGCUAGUUCUAGAUACCAUACAAGGAGAAGAAGCAGGCUAGCCGUGCCCUUUCUUCCUCCUCCCCCCAAAACAGCUCCAGGAGCGUUGUGUAGCUACUCGGUUCAUCUAGUGAGCAUGCGGAGACCCCGCAGAGCAGCAGUAGGGGUGUUAUCUCCUCGGAGAGCCCCGAAGCUGGGUAAGAUCCGCCGGCAUGCAUGUCUUCGCCUCAUCCCGCUUCCAGGCACCGGCGAUGUCUUACUGGUUCCCACACAGAUAAGCCACCCGUUGGCAUAUGUCGCACCUACCACCCGACAUUUGGCGUCCACCGUGGGGCCAGGCGCACCGUCGUCCGGAGACCUGUUCUGGACGGGAACCCUCUUCCUCCCCAGCGAGCGUAGCCAGCCCGGCACACCCGAUGGCGCUUGCCACGACACGCUGCAAAGCGUCACCAGCAUCUGCGCGGCAAGCGGCCUCGCCGAUCUCCCCAACGAUACCUUCAUCCCCGACGAGCUCGCCUCCGAUGUGGGCACUGACCGCCUCGCCAGCCUUCUCGGCCAGCUCCAUGUCUCCAGCGAGCCCGCUGCGGACCUGGAGUCGGUUGGCUCCACCGACCCGAUGCCUGUCGACUCCGACACGGCCUCCUACGACGCCUUCCCCACCAACGUCGCGAUCUACGACGACCCGCUUCCUCGAGCCGACGGCCAUGAUGCUGUCACCGCCGAAGUGAUGGUUGUCGGCCACAGCGGCCCAGCCGACGAGAGCGCCCGCGACGCCUCGCACGCGGUGGCCCACGACUUGUCCACUCCUCUCCCGGCCGACGCCAACGACAAAGCACUGGAAGCCCACCGCCUCGCUCUCCUCGCAGAGGGCCAGAGGCUGGCCUCCGUAAGACGCCUCACUGAAGCCUACCGGCGCGAGGCUGACCGCGCCGCCUUCGGCACGCUGGCCCCGGGCGGGCCAAGCCGGGCCGGCCUUGUCAAGCAACGCGGCGCCGUCAUCGCCGACACGCUGGGGGUCGAUCGCCCGGUCUAUGCCACUCCGCUCGAGAACUUGCGUGCCGCCCAGGCGGCCGUAGACGAGCUGGAUGGCCUGGAAGCUCAAGACCUUCCCCACAUGACCCGGCGCAUCCAGCAAUUGAUUGACGCCGCCGCGCAGCGGCAUGAAGCUGACGCUCGCGCGGAGAGCCUUCCCUCGCGCCGAGAGCACGGCGCGACAUCCCGGACGCCGACUACGAGCAAUACCCACGCGCGACGCGAGAAGGAGCUGGCUUCCAGCCGCAGCCGGACCUGGAUCUCCAUCGAGCGGGACGCUGACGGUCAUCCCCGGGCCAUGGAGUGGCGGGGCGACCCGCCUCCGCCUCCGCCCCGUGGAGAGAGAUAUCCCACCUCACCGCCAGUGGCGCACCUGACUCUCAGCGGCCGGCUGGGCCGCCGCGAAGGAAGCGGCGAGAACGACGCCCGUCAUCGGCUCGACCGCCUGGCGCGAUCCCUAGCAUUGGAAGAAGAAGACGAUGUCGGCCCGCCUUGCUUUGGCCCCCGCAUCCGCGACGAGCCCUUUCCCAAAGGGUUCUCGCUCCCAAGAGACACGCCCAAGUACAACGGCUCCGUGAAGCCGGAAGACUGGUUGAUCGACUACUCCACCGCAGUUAGUAUAGCCAACGGCAACCGGCGAGUCACCGUGAAGUACGUGCCCCUCAUGCUGCAGGGCACGGCGCGGACCUGGCUCAACAGCCUCAAGCCGCGUAGCAUCAACAGCUGGCUAGACUUCACCGAAGCCUUCAUCCGCAACUUCACCAGCACCUACAAGCGGGCUCCCAAGCCCAGACAGCUUUCCUUGUGCGUGCAAGGCCCCACCGAGUCCACUCGCGAUUACCUCACACGUUGGGCCGAGCUUCGCAACUCCUGUGAAGGGGUGCACGAGGUACAAGCUAUAGAGUACUUCACAGCCGGAUGCCGAGAAGGCACCCUCCUCAAGCACAAGCUCCUCUGCGAUGAGCCGGCUACCCUCGACGAGCUCCUGGACAUAGCGGACAAGUACGCCACCGCCGACUCCUCGAUGAAGACCGAGCUUCGGGUAGACGCGUCCGGGAAGGUGCUCAACCCAGCGCCCAAGACGCCGGCUGGAGAACCCGGCCGACACCCCAACUUGAACGACAACAAGCGCAAGGGCCCCGCGCCGCCUCCCGCUAGCCGGCAGGUGGCCACGGUCGAAGAUGCGCCGCCUGAAGAACGACCGGCGCCCAAGAAGCCCAAGGGCGGCAGGCCGGCUUGGCAGCCCGCCUUCUCCUACGAGCAAACCCUCGACGCCCCUUGCAAGUUCCACAGCGGCGCGAAGCCGUCCAACCACACGACCCGGAAGUGCAACUGGCUCACCCGAAUCUCUAAGGGCGAGGGGCUCUUGCCGCCUCCGCCUGCCGACCCGCCGCCUCCGCCUCCGCCGCCUCCGGCCGCUCGGCCCGCAGUCGGAGCCGUGCAUGACGAGUUUCCUGAUGAGCAAGCAACCUACAUCAUCUUCACCAGCUAGCCCGAAGACCGACACAGCAAACGCCGAGAGCACCAAGAAGUCAGCGUGGUCGCUGCCAACCUCGCUGGACACAUGCAUUAGUCUGAAAAGCCCAUCAGCUGGAGCCGGGCCGACCAUCCGGAGGUGAUGCCGUCUCCCGGCUCUUACGCUCUGGUCCUGGAAGCCACCCUUGCGACGGACAGACGCGCCGCCCGCUUCUCCCGUGUGUUGAUAGACGGCGGGAGCAGCAUCAACAUCUUGUAUCGUGACACCCUGGAGAAGUUGAACGUCAAGACAAGACAGCUCGCGCCCACUCGGACAGUGUUCCACGGCAUCGUACCCGGCCUGUCCUGCGCCCCCAUUGGUAAAGUCAAGAUUGAUGUACUUUUUGGGGACAAGGAGCAUUUCCGCCGGGAAGCAAUCUGGUUUGAAGUGGUGGACCUAGAGAGCCCUUACCAUGCAUUGCUGGGCCGACCUGCCUUGGCCAAAUUCAUGGCGGUCCCCCACUAUGCAUACCUCAAGAUGAAGAUACCAAGCACCAAAGGCGUCAUCACCAUAACCGGCGACUACAAGAAGUCUGCCGAGUGCACCGCGGCCAGCAGCCGGCUGGCCGAGUCCCUUGUGAUCGCCGAAGAGAAGAAGAUGCUGGACCGAGUCGUGGCCAUGGCCGGCAAGCAGUCGGCCGUGUCCCCCGACCCCAAGGAGCAUGAUCCUCAAGGGUCUUUCCAGCCGGCCAAGGAGACGAAGAAGAUACCUCUUGACCCCGAGCGCCCAGAGAGGUUUGCCGUCAUCGGGGCAAACCUGAACAGCAAAUAGGAAGGCGAGCUCGCCGAUUUCCUCCGUGAGAAUCGGGACAUCUUUGCGUGGUCCCCCAAGGACAUGCCGGGUGUUCCGAGGAAAUUCGCCGAGCACAAACUGCAUGUUCGAGAAGACGCAAAGCCAGUCAGACAACCCCUCCGCCGACUGUCGGAGGAGAAGCGCAGGAUUGUAGGGGAGGAGAUAGCCCGGCUCUUGGCAGCCGGCUUCAUCAUGGAAGUUUUCUUUCCAGAGUGGCUCGCCAACCCGGUCCUUGUGCUGAAGAAGAAUAACAAGUGGCGCAUGUGUAUAGACUACACAAGUCUCAACAAGGCCUGCCCCAAUGAUCCUUUUGCCCUGCCAAGGAUAGACCAAGUGAUAGACUCCACAGCCGGAUGCGAGCUGUUGAGUUUUUUGGAUGCUUACUCCGGGUAUCACCAGAUAAAGCCCGACCCGGACGACCGCCUGAAGACCGCCUUCAUCACGCCGUUCGGAGCCUUCUGCUACCUGACUAUGACAUUCGGCUUGAGAAAUGCCGGUGCCACCUUUCAGCGUUGCAUGCAGAAGUGCCUCCUCAAGCAGCUCGGCAGAAAUGCCCAUGUUUACGUGGACGACAUCAUGGUGAAGACGGAGAAGCAUGGCACCUUGCUGGAAGACCUCAAGGAAACAUUUGAGAACCUGCGCCGGUUCCAAAUCAAGCUCAACCCCGAGAAAUGCGUGUUCGGGGUGCCAGCCGGCCAGCUCCUAGGCUUCCUGGUCUCCAAAUGCGGCAUCGAAUGCAACCCAGCGAAGAUCAAGGCCAUCGAGAGAAUGGCGAUCCCCACCAAGCUUCGAGACAUUCAGAAGUUCACCGGGUGCUUGGCCUCCUUGAACCGCUUCAUGAGCCGGCUCGGAGAGAAGGCCCUCCCCCUCUACCGCCUCAUGAAGAAGAGCACUCACUUCGAGUGGAACGACCAGGCCGACCAAGCUUUCCACGAGUUGAAGAAGAUGCUGGCCACGCCGCCUGUCCUCGCGGCGCCGACCGAGAAAGAGACCAUGCUCCUUUACAUCGCUGCAACCAGCCGGGUGGUCAGCACCGUCAUUGUAGUCCAGCGCCCGGAAGAAGGCCGAGCCCAGCCGGUCCAGAGGCCGGUGUAUUAUUUGAGCGAGGUGCUGUCCGCCUCAAAGCAGAACUACCCGCACUACCAAAAGAUGUGUUACGGCGUGUACUUCACCGCCAAGAAGCUGAAGCCCUACUUUCAAGAGCAUCCCGUCACGGUCGUAUGCACUGCCCCGCUAGCCGAGAUCAUAGGCAGCCGGGAUGCAUCCGGCCGGGUGGCGAAAUGGGCCAUCGAGCUGGCCCCAUACACGAUCUUCUACCAGCCCCGCACUGCCAUCAAGUCCCAAGCACUGGCCGACUUCCUCGUCGACUAGGCCGAGACCCAGUACCUGCCGCCGGCUCCCGACUCCACCCAUUGGCGCAUGCACUUCGACGGAUCCAAGAUGCGCACCGGCUUGGGAGCCGGCAUUGUCCUUACCUCUCCCAAGGGCGACAAGCUCAGAUACAUGCUACAAAUCCACUUCGCCGCCUCCAACAAUGUGGCCGAGUACGAGGCGCUCAUACACGGGCUCCGGCUUGCCAAAGAGCUUGGCAUUCGCCGGAUCCUAUGUUAUGGCGACUCGGACCUAGUAGUCCAGCAGUCAUCCGGUGUCUGGGACGCCAAGGACGCGAACAUGGCGAGCUACCGUUUCCUGGUCCAGCAACUCAGCGGAUACUUUGAAGGAUGCGAGUUCCUCCACGUACCUCGAGCCGACAACGAGCCAGCCGAUGCCCUGGCUCGAAUAGGCUCCACUCGGCAAGCAAUUCCAACCGGCGUCGCUCUACAACGCCUACUCAAGCCGUCUAUCAAGCCGUCUCCGGAAUCCGAUUCCAUCUUCGUGCCGCCUGACCCCGAUGCGGCCAGGUCCGGCUCGAAGAAGCAAGUAGCCGGCCCGGGGACUGCGGUAGCCGGCCCGGGGACUUCGGCAGCCGGCCCGGGGACUUCGGCAGCCGGCCCGGGGACUGCACCAGCACUACAGUCGGCCGCUGACUCCAGCACCUCACCGCCCAGCCCGCCCACCCUGGUGGCAGUAGCCACUUUGGCAGUAGAAGAAAUCGCGGCUCCGUCUUGGGCUCAGUCCAUCCUCAACUUCCUAGUAAACCAAGACCUGCCGGCUGAUGAAACAGAAGCAAGACAAGUCCAGCGUCGAGCCGGAGCGUACACGAUCGUCAACAAAGAACUACUCAAGCGCAGCGUCACCGGAGUCCUCCAGCGAUGCGUCAAGCAAGAGAAGGGCAUUGCAAUCCUCGCAGACAUUCACCAAGGAGAGUGCGGCCACCAUGCGGCCUCAAGAUCACUUGUCGCCAAAGCCUUCCGCCAUGGUUUCUUCUGGCCGACUGCUUUGUACGACGCCAAAGAAUUAGUCAAGCAUUGCAAGGGAUGCCAGCUCUUCAGCUCCAAGCAACACAUGCCGGCUUCGGCACUCAAGACCAUUCCCCUCACUUGGCCCUUCGCCGUUUGGGGACUGGACAUGGUGGGCCCAUUCAAGACGGCGCGCGGCGGCAUGACGCAUCUGCUCGUCGCCGUGGACAAAUUCACCAAGUGGAUUGAAGCAAAGCCGAUCAAGAAGCUGAAUGGGCCGACUGCCAUGACGUUCAUUGCGGACAUAACAACUCGGUAUGGCGUGCCGCACAGCAUCAUCACCGACAAUGGCACGAAUUUCGCCAAAGGAGCCUUGGCACGUUUCUGCGCAGCCCAAGGCAUCUGGCUGGACUUAGCAUCCGUCGCCCACCCGCAGUCAAACGGCCAGGUCGAGCGAGCCAAUGGCCUCAUCCUCUCCGGCAUCAAGCCCCGACUGGUUGUACCUCUGGAGCGCUCAGCCGGCUGUUGGCUCGAUGAGCUGCCGGCUGUCCUCUGGAGUCUGUGCACUACACCAAACAAGUCAACCGGCUUCACCCCUUUCUUCCUUGUGUAUGGUGCCGAGGCGGUCAUCCCAACUGACAUUGAAUUUGACUCGCCUCGAGUAACCAUGUACACGGAAGCGGAGGCCAAGGAAGCACGAGAAGACGGUGUCGACCUGCUGGAAGAAAGCCGGCUGUUAGCCCUCAGCCGGUCUGCAAUCUACCAGCAGGGUUUGCGCCGCUACCACAGCCGGAAGGUCGGGCCAAGAUCUUUCCAGGAGGGCGACCUUGUGCUCCGGCUAAUUCAGCGAACAGCCGGCCAGCACAAGCUCUCAGCCCCUUGGGAAGGCCCUUUCGUCAUCAGCAGAGCUCUAGGCAACGACUCCUACUACCUGAUCAACGCGCAGAAGCCGAAGGCACGCAAGAAAGACAACUCCGGCAAGGAGUCGGAACGGCCAUGGAACGCCAACCUCCUUCGAAGAUUUUACAGUUGAAAGAUAGUAUGUAUCACGCCAACUUUUGUAUUAAGUACAAGACAAUAGGCUCCCCGAGGAGGCCUCGGGGAUUGCCAUCCCUUAUUUAUGAAUGAAAAUAUAAUGCUUGUCGUAUCAUUUACUUAUUCCGUCCGGCACCGAGUUCGACUAGUCGGCUCGGGGACUGGCCGACUGAAGUUAUAUUAGAAAUCCUACCUGCAGUCAGACAAGUAGUGUGCCGGAUCUCAAGCCUUCCCUUGCCAAAGUCGCAGUUCGAAGAACCGGCUGUCCGGCUGGCAAGGGUUAAAGGUAGGAAUGACCGCCCACACGAAAAACGGCUAGGGACUAACAGACUAAUAUAACAAAGCCGGUUUUUCCCACACCGCCGACCGGCUACCAGAGUAGCCGGCCGGCCGGUUUCCAUUCACUUUACUUUAAAUCCAAGAAAGCUCAAGUACUUGCCUCCCCAAAGAGGGAGGUGGCAAAGGAAAAAUCCUAAGGAUAAACAAGCAUACGCGAAUGGAAACCAAACAUGCACGUGAUAAUAUUUACAUAAAAGACCUCCUAGAGGCCAGCAUUCAACAUAGUUUGGAUACACCCCCAGUGGGUGGAACUGCGAACUUAACAAAAGAUUGUUCAAAGACAACAAAGCGGGAAAGAUAAAGACGGCAGGUCAGGCUGGCGGAGCGGCCGACUGAUUGGCGGAGACGGUCGCGCCGGCUGAAGGAGCGGUCGGCUGACGAACUUCGACUUGGUCGCCGCCUCCCGCAGAGGGCGCGCUUCCACGCGCCUCGUUGCUGGAGGCACGGUCGGCCUGAGAUCGGAUGGUUGUUCCACCAGCCGGCUCGACGUCUCCGCCGUCGUCGUCUUCGUCCUCUUCGCCCUUGUCGCUGGAGGCGAUCUCCUCCGCCGAGUCCUCGCCCACCGCCGGGUUCAGCCCGAACCACUCCUCCGGCUGCGCGACACCGUCAUCAUCGAUUUCGGGUGCGAAAACGCUGAUGUCGAUGCACUCGGCGAUCGUUGAAGCUCGUUGGGCAAUAGCCGGCCUCACCUCCUCCAGCUCCGCGUCGGCCUCCAUCCGCCAAGUACGCAGCUGGUCCAGGCUCAGUCCUGGGUACCAAGCCCGAAUGAAUUCCAACGCCCGCCCGGCUCCGAGGCGGGCUGCUGACGCUUUCCAAGCCUCGAAGCAUCCGACUGCGACUUCCAGCCAGUCGGCAGUUCGGCUCGGGGUGCGGGGGAUCGUCUCGCCAGGCCAAAGGGCGACCAGCACUUGCGCCCCAACACGUUGGAGCCAGCGAAGCAUCCGGUGGGCCGGCUGCAGCCGCGCCUGGACAGCCAGAAGCUGCUCCUCAAGGGUCCGGUUUGCGUCCAGCGCAAUGUCGGCCCCCGCUUGACGGCGCGCUUCGCGAUGGGCUUCGAUGGUUUGGGCAGCGAAGGUGGAGUAGCCUGGGAAGUAAUCUGCAAGAAACAACAAGCAAGAGCUCAAGAUAAGUCAAAAAACCCAGACGGCAAGGGACGGGGGAAGGCCGAGGAAAGCAGCUUACCAUCGAUCAAGUCUUCAAUCUGGCCGUAGCCUUCGUCCAGGCCUCGCCGGGUCUCGGACCAGGUCGCCGCCGCCAUCUCAUACUCCGCCAGCAAGGCGGCUUCGCUCUCCUUCGCCGCCUGAAGGGCCGUUUUGUGGCUUUCUUCUUGAUCGGCCAACUUCUUGGCCAGGCGAUCCCGUUCCUGGGCCAAGGCAGUGCACUCGGCUUCCUUGGCGUAAAGGGGGGCCUUCGCUUCGCCAAGCUCCUUCCUCAAGUCGGCGUUGGCCCCUGAAGACAAGCGAGAAGAAAAAUCAAUAAGAAAAGAGUCGUCAAGAAAGAUUCGACCCGACUGCGCGGCAGUCGGCCCGAAUCUCGGGGACUACACCCAGUGGGUGCGCUGACGCGCCCCCACAGGAGACAAACAAAACCUAGUACUUACUUCGGCUGUCGGCCAGGUCGUCGGCCCGCCGGCUCAACUCUCGAGCCCGGGAGUCGAAGGCGGCAACACGAAGGUUGUGGUAUUCCUGAAAGUUUAGAAAGAAAGCAAAGUAAAGUGGCCGUCGAGAAAGAUCCGACCCGACUGCGCAGCAGUCGGCCACACCCAGUGGGUGCGCUGACGCGCCCCCAUGGAAGAAAUCAAGAAAGUAAAGCAGCCAAGAGCGAAGGACUCACCCGGACAGUGGUUCGCGUCGACAAGAACUCUUGGUUAAGCUGUUGCAGCAGGGCGGCUUGAGCUCGUAGCCGGCUCCGGACCCCUUGAGCCGCUGCUUCCAGCUCGCCGGUCCCCCCGCUGGGAGUCCACUCGGACACGGCGGAGCUGGCCGCCUCCAGAUCUCCAGCCGGCUGGCCUGCGCCCGCGGCUCGGCGCAACUCUGGCGGAGCAGCGCCUCCUCCAGCACGCCGGCCCAUCACCAGCUGCACUUUGAGGCCGGCCCUGCUCUCUGGCUCGCCUCCGGCCGGCUCCUCCGGCGCCGCUGAUGAUUGACCGCCUUGGCCUGCUCCGGUCGGCGCCGCAGACGGCGCUCUCCCGGCCAAGGCCACGGGCUCCUCCUCCCUCUCCAACAGCGGCGGGUCUUGAUGAUCUCCUCCGCCAAGGGCAACGGGGUGUCGGGGGCCAUGGCUCGGAGGGGCACGGCGAGCAGCGGAGGCUGGCUGCACGAGCUUUCCGCCUCCGUCUCCGCGGAAGCCGCCUCCCUCUGGGCCUUGGCUACCGCCUCAGCCUGCCCCUUUGCCGCCUGGGCGGCCGCCUUCUCCGCCGCCUCGCGCUCCUCCCGCGCUUCGCGGGCGUUCCGCUCGGUGGCCUCCCUAAGAUCGGCACGGGGGUCCACGCGGCGGGAGCUCGAAGACCCUCCAGCCGGCCCCAUGACGGAGCCGCCCGGGCCCCGCUCAAGAGAAAGCGGUGCCCUAUCCAUCAAGUGAAGGAAAGUUAAGAAGACAUUCGAAGAAAAGAGAACAACGACGAGACUGCGGCAAAGCAAGUAAAGACUUACGCCGAGACCGCCUGGGGCUGUUUUACGGCCUUGCGGAAGCGGGCCGCCUUCGCGGCCGCCUCUUCUCGCUUCGUCGCCGCGGCGGAAGGUUUGGACUUCUUCGGCCGACUGCCGAAGAGGCCUAGAGCGGCCCGACGCUUCUGCGCGCCGCCGGCAGCCGGCGCGACGGACGAGCCCGCGCCCUGUUGGUCGGCCGCCGGUUGGUGACUCAGAGCGACUUCGGCUUCAAAGUCGUCCGGCCAGUCCUCGAAGCUCGCGGUGAACCUCGAGCUUCCGGGCUCGGCACUGUCCCCCACGACGGCGUCUUCCAUGGCGGCUGCCCCCAAGUCCGUGUCGUUGAUGUCAUCCACCGCGCGGUCGGGGGCGUACUGACGUUCGAUCCCGGCCGCCCCGGCCGGCGGCGCAAGAAAAGGGUUCUGCACAGAGAACCGGCUGGUCAGAAGCCGGCCGUCAUGAAGCCGGCUGACGAUGAAAAAGAAGAUAAAGAGAGAAACUUACCACGAGUGGAGGAUUUGCGCGAGAAUACGGCGCCUUGCCGUACUACCAGUCCCCGCUGAGCUUGCAAUUGGCGAUGUAGUUGACCAUAAGCGCCACCUCCGCGUGGGGCAUCUCCCAUGUGCUGAGCUGGCUUGGGUCGAAACGGACGCUCAUCUGACACAUCAUAUGGGGCCGGCUCUGGAGAGGAAGGAUCCGGCGCUCCACGAAGGCGGCCACCAAGUCGGCCCCGCGCAAGCCUUCCGACUGAAUGAGCACCCGAAGCCGGGAGAUGGCGGCGUUCCCGGCCGGAGACAACGACCGGGACCGAAAGCUCCACGAGGGCUGCCUCCCAGCUGGCGGGCCGGCUACGUAAGCCGGCAAGUUGAUGUAGUCUUCUUGCUCGGCGACAUUCUUCACGUAGAAAUAGGAUCUCUGCCAGACCUUCACCGACUGGAUCAGGGGGAUAGGCGGGAACGGAUUGUUCUCGCUCGCCCUCCUCAUGGCGAUGAAGGCUCCACAGGGGGCAGGCACGCCGGCGACGACUGUGCCGAGCUUGCUCUGGAAGAACUCCCCCCAGAGCUCCAGCGUGGGGAGCAGCCCCAAGAAGCCUUCGCAGAGGGAGACGAAGGCCGACAGCAACAUCACCGCAUUGGGCGUGAGGUGAUGCGGCUGGAGGUUGUAGAAUUCGAGGAAGGAACGAAGAAACCCGCUCGCCGGGAGGCCGAAGCCGCACAGGCAGUGCGAGCGGAAGACGACCCGCUCGCCCUCCUCCGGCGCCGGCGAGAUCUCCCUCUCGGGUGCCAGGCGGACCUGAACGCGGUCGGCGCCGGGCAGGCGCCGGGUCUGGCGAAGAAACUCCACGUGAUCCUCAUGGACGUUGGAGCCGUCCCAGGAGCUUGACAAUGCCAUGGGAGCGAGGUGGCAUGGAGGCGCGACGGCGCUGAGACAGGAGGCUGCGGCGGCAACGAGAGGAGGAAGACGAGGGUUAGGAGGGACGGAGUGGGAGGGAGCGCGCGAGCCUCUGUCGCUCCCCCUCCUCCCCCUACUUAUAGGCUCACGUGGCGGAGCCGAGGAGGCAUGGCGUGGGGAAGCGUGGGGGUCGAUCGUGCCCACUUUCCACGCCCCGCAAUUACCGACCCUUAAUGGCGAGGCGAAACUGCCUUGAGAAGGCGAGCGGCCCUGUGGGCCACAGGAGAUCCGCGCCCGGACCGAGGCCCGCGAGUGGCGGGCCCGGGCCUGCAACGGCAUUCCAUCGUGUGCGUGCGCUCGCAGGAACCUGCCGCCACGUGGCCGCGAGAGGGCCCGUGGUCAGCAUGCAGGCCCCCCUCUCCUCCCGCCUGCGCGGGGUUAUCAGAAGUCGGCGCACGCCCGCGAAGCCGGCUCUUCAGGAUAGGAAGCUGACCAAGCUUCUCGUCCCCUUGUUCACCUCGGAGCUCGAUCAGCUUCGGGGACUACUGUCGGAGUAAAUAGCCAUGGGUAGCCUAGCCGGCUUCCCCUGGCACUUCUGCAAAAAUUACGAGCCAGCCCGGCUCUCAAGAACCCGAGACAUGGGGCCGCCUUCCCUUAGCCGGCUGCGAUCAAGGCCGGCUUUUGGAAGGCGGUCCGACUUUAGCCCUCAAGAGAGGGCCGACUCCAAGAAGCCGGCUGUGAGAAGGCCGACUCCUUCGAGCCGGCCCCCCGUAAAGCAGUCAAGACCGUACCCACAAAGUUUGCACCCACCUAACUGCGGUGCGACGGGGCGUGGCUACAGGAGAGCCUGCCACCCUUAAAUCCCGGGGCACGCCUGGCACAGUGCGCCGUACGAGGUAGGCAUGACCCGUCCGGCGCGGCACUGUUGCCAUGUUGACCCUGGCGUCACCCACGACGAGCCUCCAGCGUGGCCCACAGGCGGUGGGCCCCCUGAAGCAGAGAGACGGCCGAAGGCGGCCACGCUUCCAACCAGCCGGCCCGAGACGGAGCUGGCUCCCCGUGGCCGGUUCGCCGCCUCCCUCGAAGAGGACGCCCCAUUAAGGAGACAAGACGCGGUAAGGCUACAGUGAUCGUCCGACAGGCGGCAGCACUGUAACCAUGCUUACCACGAUGAAGCUCAUGUCAACAAGAUAAAGCUACGGUGACCAAGGAGUUGGCAGCCGACGGGACCCACCAGUCGGCGGGCCCCAACAGUCGGCGCAGAAGUCGGCGAGCACAGUCACAGACGGCUGGGCCCCGCGCCCAGCCGGAUUACCAUUGUACCCCCGGGGGGUAGGCCUAUAUAAGCCCCCCGGAGCACCCAUGCAAACGGUUCGACCCCCUGCUAGUUCUAGAUACCAUACAAGGAGAAGAAGCAGGCUAGCCGUGCCCUUUCUUCCUCCUCCCCCCAAAACAGCUCCAGGAGCGUUGUGUAGCUACUCGAUUCAUCUAGUGAGCAUGCGGAGACCCCGCAGAGCAGCAGUAGGGGUGUUAUCUCCUCGGAGAGCCCCGAAGCUGGGUAAGAUCCGCUGGCGUGCAUGUCUUCGCCUCAUCCCGCUUCCAGGCACCGGCGAUGUCUUACUGGUUCCCACACAGAUAAGCCACCCAUUGGCAUAUGUCGCACCUACCACCCGACAGGUGGUUCACACUUUAUUCAUGGUGCUUUACGUAAAAUGCUUGCCAAGUAUGACAUUAACCAUAGAAUUGCAUCACCCUAUCAUCCUCAGUCUAGGGGUCAAGUUGAACUUAGCAAUAGAGAAAUACAAUUAAUUUUGCAAAAGAUUGUCAAUAGGUCCCGGAAGAAUUGGUCUAAGAAAUUAGAUGAUGCACUUUGGGCUUAUAGAACAACAUAUAAAAAUCCUAUGGGUAUGUCUCCUUAUAAAAUGGUUUAUGGAAAAGCUAGUCAUUUGCCUCUUGAGUUAGAACAUAAAGCAUAUUGGGCAAUUAAAGAACUCAACUAUGAUUUCAAACUUGCUGGUGAGAAGAGGUUAUUUGAUAUUAGCUCAUCAGAUGAAUGGAGAACCCAAGCUUAUGAAAAUGCCAAGUUAUUUAAAGAAAAAGUUAAAAGAUGUCAUGAUAAAAGGAUCCAAAAGCGUGAGUUCAAAGUUGGAGAAUAUGUUCUUUUGUACAACUCUCAUUUCAGAUUCUUUGCAAAAAAACUCCUCUCCAAAUGGGAAAGACCUUAUGUUAUCGAGGAGGUUUAUCAGUCUUAAGCUAUCAAAAUAAAUAAUGUCGAAGGUACUAACCCAAAGGUUGUUAAUGGGCAACGAGUAAAACAUUAUAUCUCAGGUACACCCAUUAAUGUUGAAAGUAAUAUUAUCCAAACUAUGACACCGAAAGAACACAUAAAAGAAACCUUUUGGAACACUCCAGAAUCGUGAAAAAGAGGAGGUACAUGAUACGGUAAGUAAACGGACUCCGAAAAAUCGGCAAAAAUAUUUUUUGUCAGUUUUGGAAAAUAAAAAAAUAGGAAAAUAAGAAACAACCAGGAAGGUCACCCUGGUGGGCACAAUACACCAGGGUGCGCUUGGCUUGCCAAGCGCGCCCAGGUGGGUUGUGCCCACCUCGGGUACCUUUCGAACUCCUUUUUUCUUCCAUUUGCUUGUUUCCCAAGAUAAAAACAUCUUUAUACACCCCCCCCCCCCGAACCUAUUGACCACCAUAUCACGGAGAAAUCUUCUGUUUUCUUUUCUUGCUAUUUUCGGUCAGAUCUGUUAAGCCAGCCAUCAUGUCUUCUCCCUUCUCCAACAAAGUAGAAGAGGAUGCUUGGUUGAUGAAGAUCCAGCUGAAGAGAGAGGGGCCUGAAGAACUUCUCGAAGGAGGCAAAAGCCGGGAGGCCAUCGGAGUUCAAACUCCGGUGACCUAGCAAGCAUUGCCUACCGAGGAGGAAGAAGAAGAUAUCCUUAAAUCUUACUAUGCUCAUCUUACCCCUACUGAGAUUGAAGCCUUUCGGAUCAUUGAAACAGUUCGUGUGUGAAAUAAAUAUCUCACUCAUGAAAAUAUUCUGCAACAAGAGCACAUCAUCUUCCUCCGGAGCGUCAUCCAUAGAUUGGAGAAUCUCUUGAUCAUGAAGGACAAGAUCGCUGCCACUUCAUCACCACCACCUCCUUCAUCAUCACCAAAAGAAAAUUGAGUAUCGGGUAUCGUAUCACCCCCACUAUCUUUUGCCUUUACUUAUCUUAGUUUGAUACUUAGUUAUCUUUUUGCUUUAGAUGAAUAAAAUUUUAGUCCGAUCCUUUCUUUUUGAGAGUUUGCUUAGCGAUCUAUCCUUGUAAUCGUGUGCGAGAUAUAUAAUAAAGUUUAGUUUGAGUUUUUGCUUUCUUUACUUUCAUGUUCCAAUAAAAAGAAAGGAAAUGAAUGAAAAAGAUCAUAUGCUAAUCUUAUGGUAGGUAAUGACACCACAUAAGGAAAAGUAUAAGUAGAAAAAUUUAUUAGAGAUUGACAAACAUAGCAUUGGUCAAUGAUGCAACUCAUGAAAGAAUUAAUGAGGGAAGAGAAGAUUCACAUACAAAUACACUAUCCUAGAAAUCUUGUGUGAUUGUGAGCCCCCAUCAAAAUAUUAUAUGCAAAAACUAUUGAUUUUGGACAAGGAAGACAACAUAAUGAUUUAUGUUUGUUCAUAUUCACAUAGAAAUUAUAUUGUCAUGGAUCUUUCAACAUGUGGUGCUUGCCCCCCAUCUUUGCUAGCCAAAAAUUCUGCACCAAGUAGAGAUACUACUUGUGCAUCCAAAAACUCUGAAACCAAAUCUUAUUUUCAAGAGUCCACCAUACCUACCUAGGGAUUGCGCAAGAUCCCUCAAGUAAGUUGUCAUCGGUGCAAUAAGGCAGUAAAAAUUUGUUCUAAAAAUGUUAGACCAUUUAGUGUAAAAGAAAAUUGAGCGUUGUACGAACUUGUGAUAGCAAAGAAUAAAAGCGAUAGACUGCAUAAUAAAGGUUGCUAUCAUAAAGGGCAAUAUAACGUGAUGUUGUUUUGCACUAAGGGGUUGAGCAUACAAACAAAUAAGCGCAUGGCAACCUCUGCUUUCCUCUGCGAAGGGCCUAUCUUUUACUUUUAUGUAUUUACUUUUAUGCAAGAGUCAAAGUUUUUCUCUCUUUUCAUUUUUAUUUUUCUCCUUUGGCAAGCAUCAUGUGGUGAGGAAAGAUCUAGGCACAUAUGUCCAGUUGAAUAUGAGUAGCAUGCGUUAUUAUUGUUGACAUUACCCUUGAGGUGAAUACGUUGGGAGGCGAAAUUAUAAGCCCUGAUGUCGCUUGAAGCUACGUUGAUAUUUCCCCAAAGAGGAAGGGAUGAUGCAACAUAGCGGCGGUAGGUAUUUCCCUCAGAUAUGAAACCAAGGUUAUCGGACUAGUAGGAGAACCAAGCAACACAACGUAAACAGCACUUGCACACAGAUAACAAAUCCUCGCAACUCGACGUGUUAAAGGGGUUGUCAAGCCCUUCCAGGGUACGACGCCCAAGAUGGCAAACGGACAUGAGAUAAAAUUGUAGUAGAUUGAUAGAUCGAACGCCAAAUAAAAUAUAUAGAAAUAAAACACAGCAAGGUAUUUUUGUAUUUUUGGUUUAAUAGAUCUAAAAAUAAAUGCAACGAAAAAGUAGAUCGCAAAGGCAAAUAUAUGAGAAAGAGACCUGGGGGCCAUAGAUUUCACUAGUGGCUUCUCUCGAGAAAAAUAGCAAACGGUGGGUAAACAAAUUACUGUUGGGCAAUUGAUAGAACUUCAAAUACUCAUGACGAUAUCUAGACAAUGAUCAUUAUAUAGGCAUCACGUCCAAGGUUAGUAGACCGACUCCUGCCUGCAUCUACUACUAUUACUCCACACAUCGACCGCUAUCCAGCAUGCAUCUAGUGUAUUAAGUUCAUGGAGAAGCGGAGUAGUGUGCUACCUCUUGAGCAUGCGUUGGUUUUCCCUUGAAGAGGAAAGGGUGAUGCAGCAAAGUAGCAUAAGUAUUUCCCUCAGUUUUUGAGAACCAAGGUAUCAAUCUAGUAGGAGACUAUACGCAAGUCCCUAGUACAUGCACAAACAAUCAAGAACCUUGCAACCAACGCGAUAAAGGGGUUGUCAAUCCCUUCACGGCCAAUUGCAAAAGUGAGAUCUGAUAAAGAUAAUAAGAUAAAUAUUUUUGGUAUUUUUGUUGUAUAGAUUGGAAAGUAAGAUUGCAAAAUAAACAAUGAUAGAAAUAGCUAGUUGAUAGGAACAUAAUAUGAUGGAAAAUAGACCCGGGGGCCAUAGGUUUCACUAGUGGCUUCUCUCAAGAUAGCAUAUUCUACGGUGGGUGAACAAAUUACUGUCAAGCAAUUGAUAGAAAAGCACAUAGUUAUGAGCAUAUCUAGGCAUGAUAAUGAACAUAGGCAUCACGUCCGUGACAAGUAGACCAAAACGAUUCUGCAUCUACUACUAUUACUCCACACACCGACCGCUAUCCAGCAUGCAUCUAGAGUAUUAAGUCCAUAAGAACAGAGUAACGCAUUAUGCAAGAUGACAUGAUGUAGAGGGAUAAACUCAAGCAAUAUGAUAUAAACCCCAUCUUUUUAUCCUCAAUGGCAACAAUACAAUACGUGCCUUGUUGCCCAUGUUGUCACUGGGAAAGGACACUGCAAGAUUGAACCCAAAGCUAAGCACUUCUCCCAUUGCAAGAAAGAUCAAUCUAGCUAGUAGGCCAAACCAAACUGAUAAUUCGAAGAGACUUGCAAAGAUAUUAAAUCAUGCAUAUAAGAAUUCAGAGAAGAAUCAAAUAUUGUUCAUAGAUAAUCUUGAUCAUAAACCCAUAAUUCAUCGGAUCUCGACAAACACACCGCAAAAAGAGUUACAUCAAAUAGAUCUCCAAGAGAAUCGGGGAGAACUUUGUAUUGAGAUCCAAAGAGAGAGAAGAAGCCAUCUAACUAAUAACUAUGGACCCGAAGGUCUGUGGUAAACUACUCACACAUCAUCGGAGAGGCUAUGGUGCUGAUGUAGAAGCCCUCCGUGAUCGAUUCCCCCUCCAGCAGAGCGCCGGAAAAGGCCCCAAGAUGGGAUCUCACGGGUAUAGAAGGUUGCGGUGGUGGAAAUAGGGUUUCGUGGUGCUCCUGGAUUUUUUCAGGGUAUAUGAGUAUAUAUAGGCGGAAGAAGUAGGUCGGUCGAGCCAUAAGGGGCCCACGAGGGUGGGGGCCACGCCUACCCCCUGGGCGCACCCUCCUACUUCGUGGCUGCCUCGUUGCUUCCUUGAAUCCACUCCAAGUCUCCUUGAUUGUGUUUGUUCCAAAAACGAUCCUCGCGAAGGUUUCAUUCCGUUUGGAUUCCGUUUGAUAUUCCUUUUCUGCGAAACACUGAAAUAGGCAAAAAAAACAGCAAUUUGCACUGGGCCUUCGGUUAAUAGGUUAGUCCCAAAAAAAUAUAAAAGUGCAUAAUAAAGCCCAUUAGACAUCCAAAACAGAUAAUAUAAUAGCAUGGAACAAUCCAAAAUUAUAGAUACAUUGGAGACGUGUCAAGCAUCCCCAAGCUUAAUUCCUGCUCGUCCUCGAGUAGUUAAAUGAUAAAAACAGAACUUUUGAUGCGGAAUGCUACCUAACAUAAUUUUCAAUGUAAUUCUCUUUAUUGUGGCAUGAAUGUUCAGAUCCGAAAGAUUCAAGAUAAAAGUUUAAUAUUGGCAUAAAAAUAAUAAUACUUCAAGCAUACUAACUAAGCAAUUAUGUCUUCUCAAAAUAACAUGGCCAAAGAAAGCUUAUCCCUACAAAAUCAUAUAGUUUGGCUAUGCUUCAUUUUCGUCACACAAAAAUGCUCUCAUCAUGCACAACUCCGAUUACAAGCCAAGCAAUUGUUUCAUACUUUAGUAAUCUCGAACUUUUUUCAACUUUCACGCAAUACAUGAGCGUGAGCCAUGGACAUAGCACUUUGGGUGGAAUAGAAUAUAAUGAUGGGGGUUGUGUGGAGAAGACAAAAAGGAGAAAGUCUCACAUUGACGCGGCUAAUAAACGGGCUAGGGAGAUGCCCAUCAAUUGAUGUCAAUGCAAGGAGUAGGGAUUGCCAUGCAACGAAUGCACUAGAGAUAUAAAUGUAUGAAAGCUCAACAAAAGAAACUAAGUGGGUGUGCAUCCAACUUGCUUGCUCACAAAGACCUAGGGCAUUUGAGGAAGCCCAUUGUUGGAAUAUACAAGCCAAAUUCGACAAUGAAAAAUCCCCACUAGUAUAUGAAAGUGACAAAAUAAGAGACUCUCUAUCGUAAAGACCAUGGUGCUACUUUGAAGCACAAGUGUGUAAAAAAGGAUAGUAGCAUUGUCCCUUUUAUUUUUUAUUUUUUAUUUGGCCAUUCUUUAUUUUUUAUUUGGCCUUUCUUCUUCUUUUUUCUUUUGUUUUUUCGGGACAAUGCUCUAUUAAUGAUGAUCAUCACACUUCUAUUUAUUUACAACUCGAAGAUUACAACUCGAUACUAGAACAAAAUAUGACUCUAUAUGAGUGCCUCCGGCGAUGUACCAGAAUGGGCAAUGAAUCAAGAGUGACAUGUAUGAUAAAUUAUGCAUGGUGGCUUUGCCACAAAUACGAUGUCAACUACAUGAUCAUGCAAGGCAAUAUGGCAAUGGUGAAGCGUGUCAUAAUAAAUGAAAUGGUGGAAAGUUGCAUGGCAAUAUAUCUCGGAAUGGCUAUGGAAAUGCCAUAAUAGGUAGGUAUGGUAGCUGUUUUGAGGAAGAUAUAAGGAGGUUUAUGUGUGAUAGAGCAUAUCAUAUCAUGGGUUUGGAUUGUCGGGGGUUGGGUGCGACAUAUGCCAAGGGAUGGCUUAUCAUGGUGGGGGCGAGUAGAACAUCGCCGGUGCCUGGAAGCGGGAUGAGGCGUAGACAUGCACGCCGGCGAAUCUUACCCAGCUUCGGGGCUCUCCGAGGAGAUAACACCCCUACUGCUGCUCUGCGGGGUCUCCGCAUGAUCACUAUGGCAAAGUGGAUACAAGGUUGCUCCUUGAGCUGUUUCCUGGAGGUAGGAGAAGGCAAGGCUAGCUCCCUCCUUUCUGUAUUCUAUGGUCUAGUGCUAACGGGGUCGAACCCUUUGCAUGGGUCCUCCGGGGGGUUUAUAUAGGCCUACCCCCCGGGGGUACAAUGGUAAUCCGGCUGGGCGCGGGUCCCAGCCGUCUGUCUCUCAGGCCGCCGUCUUCUCCGCCGACUGGUGGGCCCCGCCGACUAGUCCCGUACGGAGCCGAUAGGCCUUGUCCGCCGUGGGCGGGUCUUGCCGGCUGCGGAUUACUGUAGUCGUGCUUCUAAUGACGCUGGCUUGGUUAUGGGGUCAUGGCAACAGUACCACAGCCUGGCGGGCAAUCACUGUUGCCACUCCCUGUCUUCUCUGAUUAAUGGCAUGCGGGGCCCGUGGGAGGGACUGGCCGACUCCUAGAGGCCGACUCCCAUGGGGUCCGUCUUGUGGCGCUCUUGCCAUCUUCUAUUCCCCCCGCUGACAAGCGGGGCCCGCCGUCUCUGGGCCGUACAGGCAGGCCGACGUGGGUACAGGGCUCCACCACUGGAGCUGAUGUCAGGGCUAGCAUGGCAACAGUGCCGCGCCGGACGGAGAUCUCCGUUGGCACGAUGUACUGUGGCCAUGCCUGCCCUUGGUAAUCGGGGUGGGGGCGAGCCUUACUGUGGCCGUUCCCAGCCCCGUCCCUUCUUACGAAGGCAGAGGGUGGUUGGAGUCACGGGACGACUCCCCAUAGCCGGCUUCUCUGGAAGUCGCCAGUUAGGAGUCGGCUCCUCUUGUAGUCGUCCCUGGGACUCGGCAGUGAGUAGAUAGUCGGCAGCACCGCUGCCGACUGCCAGAGGCGGCCCUCCGUCCUGGAGUUCCUGAGGGGCGUAGCCUGCCCCGAUGUCUUGAAAGGUUCUGGGCUUCGGGUUAGCCUACCCGUGGCCCAUUACUCCGACAUGGAUGCACCGGCGAAGUUUGCACCAACUCUCAAGGUGAGAAAGGGCAAUGCACGGUACCGAAGAGGCUAGCAAUGAUGGAAAGGUGAGAGUGUGUAUAAUCCAUGGACUCAACAUUAGUCAUAAAGAACUCACAUACUUAUUGCAAAAAUCUACAAGUCAUCAAAAACCAAGCAUUACGCGCAUGCUCCUAGGGGGGUAGAUUGGUAGGAAAAGACCAUCGCUCAUCGCCGACCGUCACUCAUAAGGAUGACAAUCAAAGAACACCUCAUGUUUCAAAUUUGUCACACAAAGGUUACCAUACAUGCAUGCUAUGGGACUUGCAAACUUCAACACAAGUAUUUCUCAAAUUCAGAAUUACUCAACUAGCACAACUUUAAUAUUACCAUCUUCAUAUCUCAAAACAAUCAUCAAGUAUCAAACUUCUCAUAGUAUUCAAUGCACUCUAUAUGGACGUUUUUAUUAUACCCAUCUUGGAUGCCUAUCAUAUUAGGACUAAUUUUAUAGCCAAAGCAAAUUACCAUUAUGUUCCAAAGGACUCUCAAAAUAAUAUAAGUGAAGCAUGAGAGAUCAAUAAUUUCUAUAAAAUAAAACAACCACCGUGCUCUAAAAGAUAUAAGUGAAGCACUAGGGCAAAAUUAUUUAGCUCAAAAGAUAUAAGUGAAGCACAUAGAGUAUUCUAAUUAAUUCCGAUUCAUGUGUGUCUCUCCAAAAGGUGUGUAUAGAAAGGAUGAUUGUGGUAAACGAAGAAGCAAAGACUCAAAUCAUACAAGACGCUCCAAGCAAAACACAUAUCAUGUGGUGAAUAAAAAUAUAGCCUCAAGUAAAGUUACCGAUAGACGAAGACGAAAGAGGGGAUGCCUUCCGGGGCAUCCCCAAACUUAGGAUUUUGGUUGUACUUGAAAUUUACCCUGGGGUGCCUUGGGAAUCCCCAAGCUUAGGCUCUUCCCACUCCUUAUUCCAAAAUCCAUCAAAUCUUUACCCAAAAACUUGAAAACUUCACAACACAAAACUCAACAAAAAAUCUCAUGAGCUCCGUUAGUAUAAGAAAACAAAUCACCACUUUAAGGUACUGAAAUGAACUCAUUAUUUAUUUAUAUUGGUGUUAAACCUACUGUAUUCCAACUUAUCUAUGGUUCAUACCCCCCGAUACUAGCCAUAGAUUCAUUAAAAUAAGCAAACAACACACGAAAAACAGAAUCUGUCAAAAACAGAACAGUCUAUAGUAAUCUGUAUCAAAUGUAUACUUACGUGACUCGAAAAAUUCUGAAAUAAGUUGGUGGAUGUGAGGAAUUUAUUUAUUAAUCAUCUGCAAAAAGAAUCAACCUAAAAUCACUCUCCAGUAAAAAAUGGCAGCUAAUCUCGUGAGCGCUAAAGUUUCUGUUUUUUACAGCAAGAUCAUAAAGACUUCACCCAAGUCUUUCCAAAGGUUCUACUUGGAACAAACACUAAUUAAAACAUAAAAACACACCCAAACAGAGGCUAGAUGAAUAUUUAUUACUAAACAGGAACAAAAAUCAAAGAACAAAAAAUAAAAUUGGGUUGCCUCCCAACAAGCGCUAUCGUUUAACGCCCCUAGCUAGGCAUUGAUAAUUUUAAUGAUGCUCACAUGAAACAGAAGAAUUGAAGCACAAAGAGAGCAUCAUAGAACACGCGAUAAACACAUCUAAGUCUAGCAUACUUCCUAUGCAUAGGCAUUUUAUAAGCAAACAAAUUAUCAUAGCAAGAAAAAAUUAGCAUAUGCAAGGAAGAAGAAAGAGACGGUAGCAAUCUCAACAUGACGAGAGGUUAUUUAGUAAGAUAGAAAUUUUUACAACCAUAUUUUCCUCUCUCAUAAUAAUUACAUGUAGGAUCAUAGGCAAAUUCAAUGAAAUAUCUAUCACAUAACAUAUUCUCAACAUGAUCCACAUGCAUGCGAAGUUGACACUCUUCCAAAAUAGUGGGAUUAUCAUUAACUAAAGUCAUGACCUCUCCAAACACACUUUUAUCAAAAAUACCAUAAGAUUGAAAAUUCUCCAAAUAUGUGGGAUCUAAAAUUGACACUCUUCCAAACCCACUUUCAAUAUUAUUGCAAACACUAUUAUCAAUCUCAUAUUCAUCAUGGAGCUUAAAUAAAUUUUCAAGAUCAUAAGAAGAAUCACCCCAAUCAUGAUCAUUGCAACAAGUAGUAGACAUAACAAAACUAGCAUCCCAAAGCUUAGGGUUUUGCAUAUUAUUAGCACAAUUGACAUCAAGAGAAUGAUAGUAAAAUCAUCGCAAUCAUGCUUUUUAUUCAAGGAGCUAUCGUGAAUCUCUUCAUAAAUUUCUUCAUCACAAUUUUCAGAUUCACGAAUUUCAAGCAAAACCUCAUAAAGAUAAUCUAGUGCACUCAAAUCACUAGAAAUUGGUUCAUCAUAAUUGGAUCUCUUAAAAAGAUUAGCAAGGGGAUGAGGAUCCAUAAACUUUUAGCAAGCGAAGAUGCAAGCAAAAAGAAGGCACAUGGUAACACAAGAUCGAACGGAAGGAGGGCGAAGAAAAGGCAAAGGUGAAGUGGGGGAGAGGAAAAUGAGAGGCAAAUGGCAAAUAAUGUAAUGCGAGAAAAAAGAGGGGCGAAUAAAACGGCAAAUUUUUGUGAAGUGGGGGAGAGGAAAAUGAGAGGCAAAUGGCAAAUAAUGUAAAUUGCAAGGAGAUGAGAUUUGUGAUUAGGAACCUGGCAUAUGUUGAAGAUCCUCCCUGGCAACGGCGCUAGAAAUUCCUUUUGAUGUCGCUUGAAGCUACAUCAGCAUUUCCCCAAAGAGGAAGGGAUGAUGCAACCCAACAGCGGUAGGUAUUUCCCUUAGAUAUGAAUCCAAGGUUAUCGAACCAGUAGGAAAACCAAGCAACACAACGUAAACAGCCCCUACACACAGAUAACAAAUCCUCGCAACCUGAUGUGUUAAAGGGGUUGUCAAUCCCUUCCGGGGUACGGCGCCCAAGAUGGCAAACGGGCGUGAAAUAAAAUUGUAGUAGAUUGAUAGAUCGAAUGCCAAAUAAAAUAAAUAGAAAUAAAACGCAGCAAGGUAUUUUUGUAUUUUUGGUUUAAUAGAUCUGAAAAUACAUGCAAGUAAAAAGUAGACCGCAAAGGCAAAUAUAUGAGAAAGAGACCCGGGGGCCGUAGAUUUCACUAGUGGCUUCUCUCGAGAAAAAUAGCAAAUGGUGGGUAAACAAAUUAGUGUUGGUCAAUUGAUAGAACUUCAAAUACUCAUGACGAUAUCCAGGUAAUGAUCAUUAUAUAGGCUUCACGUCCAAGAUUAGUAGACUGGCUCCUGCCUGCAUCUACUACUAUUACUCCACACAUCGACCGCUAUCUAGCAUGCAUCUAGUGUAUUAAGUUCACGGAGAAACGGAAUAAUGCAAUAAGAACGAUGACAUGAUGUAGACAAGAUCUAUCUAUGUAGAGAUAGACCCCAUCGUUUUAUCCUUAGUAGCAACGAUACAUACGUGUCGGUUCCCUUUCUGUCACUGGGAUCAAGCACCGUAAGAUCGAACCCACUACAAAGCACCUCUUCCCAUUGCAAGAUAAAUAGAUCAAGUUGGCCAAACAAAACCCAAAUAUCGGAGAAGAAAUAUGAGGCUAUAAGAGAUCAUGCAUAUAUGAGAUCAAAGAAACUCAAAUAACUUUCAUGGAUAUAAAAAGAUAUAACUGAUAUAAACUCAAAGUUCAUCAGAUCCCAACAAACACACCGUAAAAAGAGUUACAUCAUCUGGAUCUCCAAGAGACCAUUGUAUUGAGAAUUCAGCGAGAGAGAGGAAGCCAUCUAGCUACUAACUACGGACCCGAAGGUCUACAAAGAACUACUCACGCAUCAUCGGAGAGGCACCAAUGGAGGUGGUAAACCCCAUCCGAGAUGAUGUCUAGAUUGGAUCUGGUGGUUCUGGACUCUGCGGCGGCUGGAUGAAUAUUUCGUUGACUCCCCUAGGGUUUGGGGAAUAUUGGGGUAUUUAUAGAGCAAAGAGGCAGUCCGGGGGCACCCGAGGUGGGAACAACCCACCAGGGCGCGCCUAGGCCUCCUGGCGCGCCCUGGUGGGUUGUGCCCCCUCGGGGCACCCCCCAGGUGCAGCCAGGGCCCAUUACAUUCCUUCUGGUCCAAAAAAAUCUCCGUGAAGUUUCGUUGCAUUUGGACUCUGUCUGAUAUUGAUUUCCUGUGAUGUAAAAAACAUGCAAAAAACAACAACUGGCACUUGGCACUAUGUUAAUAGGUUAGUACCAAAAAAUGAUAUAGAAUGACUAUAAAAUGAAGCAAAUAACCACCGGAGGGGGCCACCUAGUGAGCACAAGACACCAGGGCGGCCAGGCGCGCCCUGGUGGGUUGUGCUCAGCCCAGCCCACCUCCGGUGCCCAUCUUCUGGUAUAUAAGUCAUUUUGACCGAGAAAAAAAUGAUGAGAGGACUUUCGGGAUAGAGCGUCGCCGUCUCGAGGUGGAACUUGGUCAGGAGCACUUUUUGCCUCCGACGGAGCGAUUCCGCCAGGGGAACUUCCCUCCCGGAGGGGGAAAUCAUCGUCAUCAUCAUCACCAACAAUUCUUCCAUCUUGGGGAGGGCAAUAUCCAUCAACAUCUUCAACAACACCAUCUCCUCUAAAACCCUAGUUCAUCUCUUGUGUUCAAUUUGUGUACCAGAACUAUAGAUUGGUGCUUGUGGGUGACUAGUAGUGUUGAUUACAUCUUGUAGUUGAUUACUAUAUGGUUUAUUUGGUGGAAUAUUAUAUGUCAAGAUCCAAUAUGCUAUUUAAUACCCUUCUGAUCUUGAGCAUGAUUAUCAUUUGUGAGUAGUUACUUUUGUACUUGAGGUCACGGGAAAAAUCUUGUUGCAAGUAAUCAUGUGAACUCGAUAUGUGUUCGAUAUUUUGAUAGUGUGUAUGUUGUGAUUCCCUUAGUGGUGUCAUGUGAACGUCGACUACAUGACACUUCACCAUAUUUGGGCCUAAGGGAAUGCAUUGUGGAGUAGUUAUUAGAUGAUUCAUAAGCUUAAACCCUAGUUUAUGCGCUAUUCCGUAAGGGACCGAUUGGAUCCAAAAGUUUAAUGCUAUGGUUAGAAUUUAUUCUUAAUACUUUUCUUGUAGUGUGGAUGCUUGCGAGGGGGUUAAUCAUAAGUAGGAGGCUUGUUCAAGUAAGAACAACACCUAAGCACCGGUCCACCCACAUAUCAAAUCAUCAAAGUAUCAAACACGAAUCGAACCAACAUGAUCAAAGUGACUAUAUGAAAUUCCCGUGUACCCUCAAGAACGUUUUGCUUAUUAUAAGAGACCAUUUUGGCAUGUCCUUUGCCUCAAAAGGAUUGGUCUACCUUGCUGCACUUUUGUUACCGUUACCGUCGCUCGUUACAAAUUAUCUUGCUAUCAAACUACUCUACUACUUACAAUUUCAACACUUGCAGACAUUACCUUGCUGAAAACCACUUGUCAUUUCCUUCUGCUCCUCAUUGGGUUCUACACUCUUACUUAUCGAAAAGGCUACAAUUGAUCCCAUAUACUUGUGGGUCAUCAAUGUUGUGCAAGAUGACACAACAAGUCCUGAUCUCCCACAUUUGAUCUUUCGACCAGGUCUAAGCGGGGUACCGGACAACAACAAAUCAAGAUUGUAGCACACCAAAUUCCCGCUCGCAUCCUUCCUGCAAGCCUUUUGAACCUUGGCAAAGUGGGAGUUCUUGCCUCCUGGCACAGGGUUCGAGAUAGUCUUCGCAAAUGUGGACCAUCUCGAAUAGAUGCCAUCUGCUAGGUAGUAUCCCUUGUUGUAGUGCCGUCCAUUGACCUCGAAGUUCACCGGAGGAGAAUGAUCUUCAACAAGCUUGGCAAUGACAGGGGAGCCCUGCAGUACGUUGAUCUCAUUGUGAGUUCCUGGCAUACCAAAGAAGGAGUGCCAAAUCCAAAGGUCAUGUGUUGCCACUGCCUCAAGUACCACACUGCGACCACCUUUGGCGCCUUUGUACAUCCCCUGCCAAGCAAAUGGACAGUUUUUCAUUUCCAAUGCAUGCAGUCGAUGCUUCCAAGCAUCCCAGGAAAUCCUCUUGCUGCAUUCUGUGCCAGGAAGUAUUGUCGUCCAAACACUGCCACAACUGCCCUGCAAAAACUUGUAGCAACACUCAAUAUAUGGUCGUGGACUCGGCCAUGCGUUCAUGGUCUUCCAGUGAAUAACCAAGAGGUCCAUAUGCAAGCAUCCUCAUAGCAGUCGUGCACUUCUGGAGUGAGGUUAAUCAAAGUGUGCUGGUGCAAUCCUUCUUGCACUAGAAGUAGUUGUCGAACUCACGGAUGGAAUUCGCAAUCCUGAGGAAGAGCUUUAGGCUCAUCUGACAACGGCGCCGAAAUGCUUUGUCGUCGUGCAGUGGAGUGAUGACCCACAAGUAUAGGGGAUCAACAGUAGUCCUUUCGAUAAGUAAGAGUCCCGAACCCAAUGAGGAGCAAAAGGAAAUGACAAGUGGUUUUCAGCAAGGUAAUUUUUGCAAGCACUGAAAUUGUUGGUAAUAGAUAGUUUGAUAGCAAGAUGAUUUGUAACGAGGAAGUAACGGUAACGGUAAGUAAAGUGCAGCAAGGUAGCUCAAUCCUUUUGUGGCAAAGGACAGACCAAAACGGUUUCUUAUAAUAGGCAAAGCGUUCUUGAGGAUACACGGGAAUUUCAUCAAGUCACUUUUACCAUGUAGGUUCAAUUCGUGUUCGCUACUUUGAUAAUUUGAUAUGUGGGUGGACCGGUGCUUAGGUAAUGUUCUUACUUGAACAAACCUCCUACUUAUGAGUAACUGUGAUAGCCUGGCUUAUUAGGGAUGAUAGACUACUCAUAUCAAUAAGGAAUUCCUUCUUUUCUAGGAGCCCAUUUGGACAGAACUCCAAAGUUAAGCGUGCUCAGCUUGGAGUAGUGAUAAGGACAUCUCUUCUAUUGUUACACCCGCCGCAACUCCUACAUUAGUUAUUCCACUUGGUCCUAUUACUAGAGCGCGGGCGAGACAAAUUAAUGGUCAGGUACUAUCGCUCCUUCGUACAUAUGAUUUAACUAAUGAGCAUAUAAUAUUACACUCAUGUUUGGAUUUGCUUGUACUUAGGAAUAAAGGAAAUAUUAAAGAUGAAGACAAUAUGGGUUCAGAUCAAAUGGAGCAACUCUCUUGCAUGCAUGUCACACGUCCUAUCCACCAAGCAUGCCACGUACGCAUGCAUGAAGUGCACCAGGACAAGAGACUUGGAUUAAUGGCCCAACAUUACCACGUGGGUGGGCCCUAGAGCUUUCAGCCACGCCGCCAGGUGUCUGCCGCAAAGUCCACGAAGACCAGCCACGUACGGCCUCGAGCAGUCCGAUUCGUGUACAACAGAUACCGCCUUCGACCAGAAUCAGCAAUUAAUAAAUAGCUAGUAUAGUUUAGGGUUUACACUCGGGUUUUAUUAUAUUGUCUAGCUUUUGCUACAAUUCGCAUCUACGAGACGUGUAGGACUACUGCCUUGUCAGAUCCACAGUGGAACCCCAACUUUUCAUCUAGUUCGUGUACUCAAUUUAUCAUCCGCAAUUUCAGUUGCAAUUCACCUUUGUUCUUGCUGGUUCUUCGGUUGCUUGCAGGAACUCGAACCUCGUUGUUCAGGUUGAUAACCAUCGGAGAUUGGUUUAGCGAUUGUCGAGGCGUAUCGUCGGGUACGGUAUAGCCGGAUCGUCAAGGUCAAAAUCCACCAAAUCGAUAGUUAUCCCCACUCUCAUCGAAAGAUCGGGCCGCCGUCACAUCAAGUGGUAUCAGUUUUCAGGUUCAUCGGUGAGAGAUUUAUAGUUUUCAUAGUUUAGUUUAUUUUUCUGUCCUAUAAACCCACGAAAAAGCCCAAAAAUUUAGAUUAGUUCAUCCAUUACACCUACCUUUUUAGCCUUUAGCAAUUUUUGCAUCUACUAUUUGCGUAGUUGAAUUUUUGGUUGCAUACAUCCUAGAAUUAGUGCUGGUUUAGAUUAGUUUGAGAGAAAAUUUGUCUACUAGAUCUAACCUUGUUUUUGUCCACCAUAUUUUCCGCCACAACUUUCGUUAAAAAAAAUCAAAGCAAGUUUGCAUCGGAUUGUUUCUAGUUUUGUCUAUCCUUGCGUGCAAUCCGAGGUCGCGUCUGUUUACAAAAAAAGUCAUUUGUUGUCCGUUGUUUUCUGCGCGAACACACACAGCGGUCUAAUCUCGCGCAGUCGCCGAGACAUCAGCCAGCGGGCGUCUGUCCAUCCGCGCGCUAUACACACACGCAAGCCAUCAGACAGCUCCUCUCUUGUGUCUGCCUCCACGCGCAAUACAGCACACAUCCAGUGUACCAAUAUUUGUCACCUUGCGUCGUUGUUAGCUUUUGCAGGUAGCUCAAUUAGCACAAGUUACAACACUGGCAUUUAAUUUCUCUUAGCCUUAUCUUGGUGUACGUAAUUUCUGCUAGUAACCGGCUUGAAAAAAAAAGGAAAAAAAGUGAAGCAAAAGAAAAAAAAGGAAAAAAAGAUAAAAAAAUAGAAAAAAAGGGUUGCAACAUUCAGGCCGGCUAGCACUCUUGGUGCAAUCUCUUUUGACGUUCAGAAUUGUUCCUCUGCUAUACACGUGAUACUUGCUGAACAUUUUCUUUUGUCACUCUUGGUCGCCAUACACUACGUUUACACCUCACUUAUAUCUAGCUAUUUAGAGCUAUUAUGUUUUUAUCGGUUUCCACUCCCUUGAUUCAGUAUCUAGGCUUAGAUUGUUUUAUCUCUUACUAGUCGACUGCCAGCACUAGUUAGGAGUUUGAGCAAUUAUUCAGCUUGCAUUACUUUUUGCUUAAUUGUGCCACAUAUUGUGAGUUGAGGAAACCUUCACCAAGCUCCACUUCCUAUAUUGUAUCUUGUUCGGUCCCUUGGUAAUCGCUAUAUCAAUCUUUUGAUCACUUUUGACAUCGCCAACGGCCGACAACCACUGCAGCACGGUAAGAACUGGUAAGAGCUUGGUAAUUGCUCGAGAGUUGAGAGGCAUUUUCCACCGCCUCACUGUAGUUUCUAUAGGAGCAAUAUACUUGUGAUUUUGUUCUUGUUUCAUCCUAACCAUGGCAGGUGACGAAGACAACAUGAAAGCCACAGUGGCACGCCUUGAGGAGGAUGUGCAUGCAUACACUGAGCGGUUCACAUCGUUCGAGGGCGCACUUGAUAAGCGUCUCAAGUCGAUCGAGGAUAGCAAUGAGACGUUCACUCAAACACUUGCAUCUAUUAUGAAACGUCUCGAUGCCCAGGAUGCCCGUUUGGGUGCCGCAUCCAUUGUCGCUUCGUGUCUUCCAGCCACCAACACAGGUCUCCAACGAGCUUGUCGGGUGCCCCCAGGGGACCCGAGGCACCCUCUUUCAUACACCGAUGUCGUCGACCAGCCCCGUCCUCGCAACGCCAACUCGAUAGCCGGCGACAUCCAAGAUGACAACAAUGAUGGUCAUUCCGAGGAUCCUGAUGCAGUUAAUGAUAACAAUGAUCGUGAUCAUCGUCGCCUACGCAAUAAUCAACAAGGUAUGGGACGAUACCAUCGUCCUCAGGUAUGUGGCCAUGACGACUCUUUGGGUAAAAUUAAAUUUGCCAUGCCUCCUUUUGAUGGGAAAUAUGAUCCGGACGUUUAUCUUGACUGGGAAUUAUUAGUUGAUCAAGAAUUUGCUUGCCAUGAUUUUCCUGAUGAUAAAAGAGUUAGGGCUGCAACUAGUGAGUUUAGUGAUUUUGCUUCUGUUUGGUGGAGAGAACAUUGUCGUAAACAUCCUAAUAAUAUUCCUGCCACUUGGGAAGCUUUGAAAUUAGUAAUGCGUCACCGUUUUGUUCCUGGACAUUAUGAACGUGACUUGCUAAAUAACCUACAACGCUUGAACCAAGGAUCUAAAUCUGUUGAAGACUAUUAUCAAGAAUUGCAAAUGGGCAUGUUACGUUGUGGUGUAGUUGAGACUGAGAAAGCCUCUAUGGCCAGGUUCUUGGGUGGAUUGAAUAGAGAAAUUUAUGACAUACUUGCUUAUAAGGAUUAUCAUUCAAUGACCCGUUUAUUCCAUCUUGUUAUACAUGCUGAACAUGAAGUGCAGGGUCGUUCGAGAAUGCAUCCUAAUUUUCCUGCAGCUCGUACUUCCACAUGGGCGCCGCGCACCCCUGCUGCCCCGUCCACUCGCACCGCUACAACAGCACCUGCAACCUCUCGACCGGGGCCUUCUUCAUCAACUUCAGCAUCACACACUUCGGCACCACUGAAAAGUACUACACAAAUUCCAACAAAAAGUUCGUCGUCAUCGUCCGCUUCCUCCAAAAGAACAAAGGAUAUCGAGUGCCACACUUGUAAGGGAUUUGGCCAUGUCAUGAAGGAGUGUCCUAAUAAGCGUGUAUUGAUCAUUUGUGAAGAUGGAGAGUACGACUCCGCUAGUGAUUUUGAUGAAGACACAUAUGCCUUGCUUGCUGCACAUGAAGAUAAUGACACAAGACCGGAGCAAGAGGAAGAACAUGUGACCGCCGACGACACCGAUAAGUACAUGAGUCUUAUAUCACAUCGUGUACUUGGUGCUCAGAUUGUCAAAGCAAAGAAGGAUCAACGUCACAACCUCUUCCACAUCAAAAGAGUCGUCAAGGAGCGUUCCGUUCGCAUAAUCAUUGAUGGAGGGAGUUGUAACAAUUUAGCAAGCAUUGACAUGGUGGAGAAGCUCUCCCUACCUUCCCGACAACAUCCACAACCUUACCACAUUCAAUGGUUUAAUGAUGGUGGAAAGGUAAAGGUAACACGCAUGGUGAGAGUUCCUUUUUCUUUAGGUUCAUACCAUGACACUAUUGAUUGCGAUAUUGUGCCUAUGCAAGCUUGUUUAUGUUACUAGGAAGGCCAUGGCAAUAUGAUAAACAAUGUUUACAUGAUGGCAGAACUAAUCGCUACACUCUCACACAUAAAGGAAAGAAAAUCAUUCUACACCCUAUGUCUCCUGAGCAAAUUUUAAAAGAUGAUCUUGCUAGGGCUAGUAGAAACAUAAAUAUUGAGUGUACUAAAUCUGAAAAUCAUAAAGUUGUUGAUGAGUUAGAACAAUUUAAUAAGAUGCACAAAUCUGAUCUUAGCACAUCUAAAGAAAUUAAAUUGGAAGGUGCUUCUUUCUUAGCUACACGUGCUGAAAUUUUUGAGUUAGAUGCUCAAGCUGAUGAAUGUUAUGCUCUUAUAUGCAAAGAAGUUUUGUUUUCAUUUGAGGAUAUGCCUCCUUCUUUGCCUCCUGUUGUCGCUAACCUUUUGCAGGAGUAUCAUGAUGUUUUCCCAAAGGAAGUACCACUGGGGCUGCCACCUAUGAGAGGAAUUGAACAUCAAAUUGACUUGAUACCUGGCGCCUCAUUACCCAACCGUGCGCCGUACCUGACUAAUCCCGAGGAGACCAAGGAGAUUCAAUGACAAGUUCAAGAACUACUCGACAAAGGUUAUAUUCGUGAAUCACUUAGUCCAUGUGUUGUACCAAUUUUACUUGUUCCUAAAAAAGACGGUACUUCGCAUGUGUGUGUUGAUUGUAGAGCCAUCAAUAAUAUUACAAUUCGAUAUCGUCAUCCUAUUCCUAGAUUAGAUGACAUGCUUGAUGAACUAAGUGGCUCAGUUGUGUUUUCUAAAGUGGACUUGCGUAGUGGCUACCAUCAAAUUCGUAUGAAACUAGGUGAUGAAUGGAAAACUGCUUUCAAAACUAAAUUUGGUUUAUAUGAGUGGUUAGUUAUGCCUUUUGGAUUGACUAAUGCACCUAGUACUUUCAUGAGACUAAUGAAUGAAGUUUUGCGACCUUUCAUUGGACGAUUUGUGGUAGUAUACUUUGAUGAUAUUCUGAUUUAUAGUAAGUCACUAGAGGAACACUUAGACCAUUUGCGUGUUGUUUUUUCUGCUCUGUGUGAUGCACGUUUAUUUGGUAAUAUCGAGAAGUGCACUUUUUGCAUGGAUCGAGUCGCUUUUCUUGGCUAUGUUGUGACAGCGCAGGGAAUUGAAGUUGAUAAAGCCAAGGGUGAAGCGAUCCAGAGUUGGCCGACCCCUAACUCGGUCACACAGGUACGUAGUUUUCUCGGACUUGCUGGAUUCUACCGGUGGUUCGUGAAGGAUUUCUGCACCAUCGCAGCACCGCUCAAUGAACUCACAAAGAAAAAUGUGCCAUUUGUUUGGAGCGACACACAAGAGGAAGCCUUCACUAUUCUUAAAGAUAAGCUUACACAUGCCCCUUUGCUGCAAUUACCUGAUUCCAAUAAGAUGUUUGAAUUAGAAUGUGAUGCUAGCGGCAUUGGUUUAGGUGGUGUUCUAUUGCAAGAAGGCAAACCAGUAGCAUACUUUAGUGAAAAACUCAGUGGGCCUAGUCUAAAUUAUUCAACAUAUGAUAAAGAACUUUAUGCACUAGUUUGGACUUUGGAGACAUGGCAACAUUAUUUAUGGCCUAAGGAGUUUGUUAUACAUUCUGAUCAUGAAUCACUCAAGCAUAUUAGAAGUCAAAGCAAACUGAACCAUAGACAUGCAAAAUGGGUUGAAUUUAUUGAAUCUUUUCCUUAUGUUAUUAAGCAUAAGAAAGGGAAGGAGAAUGUUAUUGCCGAUGCAUUGUCUAGACGCUAUACCAUGUUAUCACAACUUGACUUCAAAAAUUUUGGACUUGAAACUAUAAAAGAGCAAUCCGCUAAUGAUGUCGAUUUUAAAGAUAUAUUGCUCAAUUGCACAGAGGGUAGAACUUGGAACAAGUUCGUCGUUAAUGACGGAUUUGUUUUUCGUGCUAAUAAGCUAUGCAUCCCAGAUAGCUUUGUUCGUCUUCUAUUGUUAUAGGAGGCGCAUGGCGGAGGACUUAUGGGACAUUUCGGCGUCAAGAAGACAGAAGACAUCCUUGCUGGUCAUUUUUUCUGGCCAAAAAUGAGAAGGGAUGUGGAGAGAUAUGUUUCAUGCUGCAUGACAUGCCAAAAAGCUAAGUCACGAUUGAACCCACAUGGUUUAUAUAUGCCUCUUCUUGUUCCUAGCACUCCUUGGGAAGAUAUAUCUAUGGAUUUUGUAUUAGGACUGCCUAGAACACGGCGGGGGAGGGAUAGUAUAUUUGUUAUUAUCGAUAGAUUCUCUAAGAUGGCACAUUUUAUACCUUGUCAUAAAAGUGACGAUGCUACUCACAUUGCUGAUUUGUUCUUUCGUGAAGUAGUUCGUUUGCAUGGUGUGCCAAAUACAAUUGUUUCUGAUCAUGACACCAAAUUUCUUAGCCACUUUUGGAGGGUGUUGUGGACAAAAUUGGGGACUAAGCUUUUAUUUAGUACUACAUGUCAUCCUCAAACUGAUGGUCAAACUGAAGUGGUUAAUCGUACACUGUCUACUAUGCUUAGGGCUGUUUUGAAGAACUUAAAAAUGUGGGAAGAAUGUCUACCUCAUGUAGAGUUUGCUUAUAAUCGUUCCGUUCAUUCCACCACAAAAUUAUGCCCUUUUGAGAUUGUUUAUGGAUUUAUACCUCGUGCACCAAUUGAUUUAUUACCUAUUCCAUCUUCGGAGAAGGUAAACCUUGAUGCUAAAGAACGUGCUGAAUUAGUAUUAAAAUGCAUGAUAUGACUAAGAAAAAUAUUGAACGCAUGAAUGUCAAAUAUAAACUUGCUGGUAGUCAGGGAAUGAAAAGUGUUGUGUUUGAACCAGGCGAUUUAGUAUGGUUGCAUUUGCGAAAAGAUCGUUUCCCUGAUAUACGAAAGUCAAAAUUAAUGCCUCGUGCGGAUGGACCUUUUAAAGUGCUUGAAAAAAUUAACAAGAAUGCAUAUAAGCAUGAUUUACCUGCAGAAUUUCGGGUUAGUCCCACAUUUAACGUUGCAGAUUUAAAGCCUUAUUUGGGUGAUGACAACGAGGUACCGUCGAGGACGACUUCGAUUCAAGAAGGGGGAUGAUGAGGACAUCUCUUCUACUAUUACACCUGCCGCAACUCCUACAUCAGUUAUUCCACUUGGUCCUAUUACUAGAGCGCGGACAAGACAAAUUAAUGGCCAGGUACUAUCGCUCCUUCGUAUAUAUGAUUUAACUAAUGAGAAUAUAAUAUUACACUCAUGUUUGGAUUUGCUUGUACUUAGGAAUAAGGGAAAGAUUAAAGAUGAAGACAAUAUGGGUUCAGAUCAAAUGGAGCAACGCUCUUGCAUGCAUGUCACACGUCCUAUCCACCAAGCAUGUCACGUACGCAUGCAUGAAGUGCACCAGGACAAAUGACUUGGAUUAAUGGCCCAACAUUACCACGUGGGUGGGCCCUAGAGCUUUCGGCCAUGCCGCCAGGUGCCUGCCGCAAAGUCCACGAAGACCAGCCACGUACGGCCUCGAGCAGUCCGAUUUGUGGACAAUAGAUACCGCCUUCGACUGGAAGCAGAAGUUAAUAAAUAGCUAGUAUAGUUUAGGGUUUAGAUUCAGGUUUUAUUAUAUUGUCUAGCUUUUGCUACAGUUCGCAUCUACGAGACGUGUAGGACUACCACCUUGUCAGAUCCAUAGUGGAACCCCAACUUUUCAUCUAGUUCGUGUACUCAAUUUAUUAUCCGCAAUUUUAGUUGCGAUUCACCUUUGUUCUUGCUGGUUCUUCGGUUGCUUGCAGGAACUCGAACCUUGUUGUUCAGAUUGAUCGUGCCUACGGCAAGGUCAAUAACCAUCGGAGAUUGGUUUAGCGAUUGUCGAGGCGUAUCGUCGGGUACGGUAUAGCCAGAUCGUCAAGGUCAAAAUCCACCAAAUCGGUAGUUAUCCCCACUCCCAUCAAAAGAUCGGGCCACCGUCACAUCAAGUAGUUUCAGGAUGGGUGACCGACCGGGAAGUUUCUCCUGGGUGCGCACAAGUGAGGACAAAGUGCGUAGAAAAGACUAGUAUUGAUCUCUGGGGCCAAUCUAGAUCCCGCCAGGAGUAAUAACCACUGGCGGGUGUGUCCGAGGCGUUACAAGUUGGUAUCAGAGCCGACCCUUGCGGCUACACGUAUGUUUGCGGACAGGUGCACGGUCAUGUUAUGCAUGACAUUUGUGACCCGUUGUGGCACACGACAUGACACAUGUGCCGGACUAGAAGCACAGACGUGUGUGCCAAGAGAGAACGUUCCUGUGGCCCGACGAGGACGUCGGUUCCUCUGAGUGGGGGUGUAUGUGAUAGCCUGGCUUAUUAGGGAUGAUAGACUAUUCAUAUCAAUAAGGAAUUCCUUCUUUUUCGGGAGCUCAUUCGGACAGAACUCCAAAGUUAAGCAUGCUCAGCUUGGAGUAGUUUCAGGAUGGGUGACCGAUCGGGAAGUUGCUCUCGGAUGCGCACGAGUGAGGACAAAGUGUGCAGGAAAGACUAGUAUUGAUCUAUAGGGCCAGUCUAGAUCCCGCAAGGAGUAACGACCACCGGCAGGUGUGUCUAGGGCGUUACAGUAACCCUCUCGCAAGCAUCCUCAACUACGAGAAAAGUAUUAAGAUAAAAUCUAACCAUAGCAUUAAACUUUUGGAUCCAAAUCGGUCCCUUACAAAGUAGCGCAUAAACUAGGGUUUAAGCUUCUGUCACUCUAGCAACCCAUCAUCUAAUAACUACUCCACAGUGCAUUCCCUUAGGCCCAAAUAUGGUGAAGUGCCAUAUAGUCGACAUUCAUAUGACACCAUCAAGGGAAUCACAACAUACAUAUCAUCAAAAUAUCAAACACAUAUCAAAUUCACGUGAUUACUUGCAACAAGAUUUCUCUCGUGACCUCAAGAACAAAAAGAACUACUCACAAAUGAUAAUCAUGCCCAAGAUCAAAGGGGUAUUAACUAGCAUAAUGGGCACAGGAGGUGGGCCGAGGAGGGCACAACCCACCAGGGCGCGCCUGGGGGGCCUGGCGCGCCUAGGUGGGUUGUGCCCACCCGGUGGGCCUCCUCCGGUAGUUAUUUGCUCCUUUAUUUUUUAUAUAUUCCAAAACAAUUCUCCGUAAAUUUUUAGCUCAUUUGGAGAUGUGCAGAAUAGGUGACUCUAACGUAGCAUUUUCAGGUCCAGAAUUCCAACUGCUGGCAUUCUCCCUCUUUGUGUAAACUUUGCAUAUUAUGAGAGAAAAGACAUUAGAAUGACUCCAUAAAGCAUUAUUAUGCAUAAAAACAUUAUAAAUAAUAGUAGGUAAACAUGAUGCAAAAUGGACGUAUCAACUCCCCCAAGCUUAUACCUCGCUUGUCCUCAAGCGAAAACCAAAAUCGAAAAACAUGUCCACAUACUUAGAGAGAGAGGUGUCGAUAAAAACAAAAUACGGACAUAGAAGCAUCGUGCAUAUUAUUAUAACAGCAAAAAACUUUAUCAUAGGACUUUUACCACAUAACUUUUAUCAUAAAAUUCUCAUGAACAAGUAACAAUUCAUCACAACAUCAAAGUAUAAAGCAUAAACUCUAUUGAAAACCAAUAAACUGUGUUCUCAGUCAACUUUGCAACUAUAAUUCAUCAUCUUUUUAGGAAGGGUCACGUAUUGGAGCCUUUUGGCAAGUCCACAUACUCUACGAUCAUAUAGUCUUCUAUGAUUGCUAACACUCACCGCAUACCCAUGAGCAAAAAGUUUCAACUAGACACAUAGAAAGAUAUGGGCUUAUAGUUUUGCCUCCCAACGUAUUCACCUCAAGGGUGAUGUCAACAAUAAUUUGCUACCCAUGGUGUUAGCUAUGCAUGCAUGCAACGGACGACAAAUGGCCCUGACACACAUGUACUUACCUGGUGGCUAUUGACACAAUGUACAAUGUGUCACAGAUAUGUCAGAACGAGUAUAGCCUAGCAACCAGAGUAACAAAUUGAGCCCACAAGCCCAGCUAGACGCAAGGCCCAAACCAUCUCCUAUCCAAGAUGCUCAAACCCAUCAUCUUAGCAGGCCAGGCCCAUUAAUCAAACAAGCACCCAACAUCUGAGAGGUUGAUGCUAUAAAUAAGCAUGCGACCCCAAGACGUAAGUCAUACCUAGCACACCAUUCCUCAAAAUAGAAAAAGGAAAAAACCUAGCACACCAAGAACACAAUGGCUACAAACAGCCAGCUGAAGAGUAGCAGCCAAAGCUUCAGCUCCACCACCGCCUUGACAGGCCCGACAUCAUUCGCCACACCGAGCUUGCCGGAGCAGUGGAGCGAAGCCCCACCCACAUUUUUGUGUGCGUGCAGUCUGCCGGCUAUUGUCUUCACCGCAAACACGCCGAAAAACCGUAGUCGUCGCUUCCUCAGAUGCGAAAACCCAUUGAGACAGACGGUCAGAUGCCAAUUCUAAAGGGGGGUUCAGGUGCGCAUUUAUCUUGCUUGCUAAAAAUCUCUCCAUUUUUCCCACCUAUUACACCAUAUAAUCCCACUCCCAACACAGGCUUGCUUCCUCUGGAUCUGGCAGGAUCUACUCGAGAAGUAUGCGAGCUCAAUGGCGGCUUACAAGAGCAAACAGGAGGCAAUACAACAAACAGAGGCUGCAGAAGCCGCAGAGCAACGACAGUGUAGAGUAGAGGAAGAGUUAGCCUUGACACAGAUCGAGCUCAUAGAGGCCAGAAACAAAAUAGCCUCACUUGAAGAGUCCAGCUCCAAUAUGGCACACCGUAUAAAUGAAGCAAAGAAAAGCAUUCGAAAAACAAGGAUGGUUUGUUCGUUUUUUAUGUUCGUAGUUGUAGCUAGGCUAUCCCUAUCUCCUAUCCGACUUGUAACCGCAAAGAGAUCCCGAUGUUUACCAACUUCUUUCGAAUAAAAAGGGCACCGAGGCACUUCCUUUUUAAAUUUUGUGUUCGCCCUUUUUUUGCACUCAUGAAUGGCAGCAAACCACACGGUGCAGCCUAAACGUCAAAGCACAAGGAUCAACACAAGCAAUACACAUGCAUGGAAUGCAUGGGCAACUAUUGGCCAAAAACGACGGACGGAUGCACAAAUCAUAUCUUUAAAAAAAUUCAAGUACAUAGGAAAACAACAGUCGUACAAAUACAAGAAAUUACAAAAAAAAGAUACAAGCCGUAACAGACACGCACCACUUUCUGGCUAUAAUAUCCAUGACAAAAUAUAAUGAGACACAACACGAGAUAAUAAUAUUUUUAGAGACAAGCUCUUCGAAACAGAACAUGGAAAGAAAAACAGGAUACAACACAUCAGAAACGAAAACAGGAUACAGAUACAGAUUGCCGAAGCCACAAGCCACAUCAGCAGGCACACAUCAGAAACGGUCGUGUUCAUACAGCUUGAAUGCAGCAGCUUCGCCGCAUGCAUAACGAAACUCGCGGUCGACUGUAGACACACGAUGGAAGGACAGUAUGACACCGGACGAAGCAUGCACUUGCGAUUCGAGCAUCACGACGUCCUCGAUGCUUCGAGUAGAAACAUACAUAACACCGGCGGGGCUCUCUGAUAUGUCGUAGCACUUGUGGCCGAGCAAAGCCAUGAGAGCGGUCGUAGCCAUGAAGAGCUUGCCAUAGAUAGCUGUCUCAGAAGCGAAGUGGAGCCUUAGGAGAUUCUGAGCUGUGACAGAAUCAACGACGUUGAAGAAGAUGCGCAAUGCUUUGGCUACAUCAACCACAACGUCAUCGUCCAUAGUGGGGUGAGGGUGACGUAGGAGCGGCAAGGGAGGACAAUUUUCGUGUUUUGACCCUUUUCCGUUAGUUCAUCCAGAUCUGACCUUAGUUUGCAAAAAAUUUAGGAUCUGACCCUUUUUCUACCACCGGUGUCCUUGGCAGUAGGGUAUAAUAGCCUACCGCCAAGGUCUCUGGCGGUAGGGUUGCAUGCCCUACCGCAAUUUUUCUUAAGUAUCAGACACAGUGUGUAUUCGUACCUACCGUCGGACACCUUGGCGGUAGGGUUAUAUAGGCUACCGUCACCGUGUUUGGCGGUAGGGGUCCGUGAUGCUGAUGUGGAUAAGUUUCCUACCGCCAGAGACCUUGGCAGUAGGCUAUUAUACCCUACCACCUAGGACCCUGGCGGUAGGAAAAGGGUCAGACCCAAUUUUUUUGCAAACUAGGGUCAGAUCUGAAACAACUAUCAAAAAAGGGUCAAAACACGAAAAUUGUCUGGCAAGGGCACAUGUGCCGAAGGAGUUGACGAGUUCUUUGCCUUCUUAGCUCUAGCUGACCUGCAUUAGCGACAAACUAUACAGUUAGCAAAAAAGGUUGCGUGAAAAACAAAAACCCACCUGGGGAAAUCAUCUUCAAAUGGUAGUAAGGACAAACCUGGUGAGAACAACAUUGUCUUCAUCGCUGUCCAUGGGGCGCUGUAGCAAUAAAAGCAAGGAACAAAAUGAAGUAAAUGAUUUGUUGGACGUGUGAAAAUAAAGUGUUGGCACACACACGAAGGAAGCAAACCUUGAAAGCUGCUCUAGAGGGAGGCGCCAUCUAUGCAUGCAAGAAGAGAAGGAGCGCAAAGAGUGAAUGGAGAGUGUGUGGAUUGAGGGAGUUUACUAUAUAGGGCGAGGGAUUUUUUGGGGGGGAUGGGUCGACUAAAUAAACUACCAGCCAUCUGUGCAUCGCUGUCCACCUGGAAGCAGGAGGAACACAUGCAUCCCAAAAGCCCACAAGCCCAACUACCAGCCCAACAUCGAGUUAAAGCCCAAGGAGAACUUUACAGGUCAGGUAGUAGCUAGGUUGUGCCAGGAAAUCAUAGCCUGGCAAUCACAGGCGUAGGGAGGGCUCUGCCAAAAAGUGUAAUGCAAGAUGGGGCGAAUCGAACGGUAGCUGCUGCAUGCGUAGCUGCCGCCCCCGAUGCACAGCUACCAUCUUGCACAUAAAUUUGCCUCUCUAGAAAGAUAUGGGCUUAUGGUUUCGUCUCCCAACGUAUUCACCUCAAGGGUGAUGUCAACAAUAAUAACUCAUGCUCACUCAUAUCCAGCUGGACAUAUGUGCCUAGAUCUUUCCUCACCACAUGAUGCUUGCAAAAGAAAAAAUAAAAAGGAAUGGAGAAGAAUAAUUUGACUCUUGCAUAAAAGUAAAUACAUAAAAGUAAAAGGUAGGCCCUUCGCAGCGGGAAGCAGAGGUUGUCAUGCGCUUUUUGGUUGGUAUGCUCAAUCUCUUAGGGCAUGUACAAUGGGGGCAACACCUAGCUGCUGCCCUAGCAAUUCACAUAAGCAAAUGGUGUUCAAACCACUGCUUCAACUAGGCACCACCAACGCAAAACUGGCUCUUUGUGAUUCUUCAUAGGCCCCAUUUAAUUCUUUUUUAUCCAACUUUCACACCUCCAUGACAAUCUCCCUUGCUUUUCACCGUGGGCAGCGUGGUCCUCUUCCACUUUAUCAGCGGACAAGCCAACUCCUCUGCACGAACUAGUAUGCCCCUGCAAGCAUCACCUUUAGUUGAGCUGGACUCCAUCCACCUACGUGGCAUGCUGGGGCAGCGGACCAGCGUGGCCCGUUGGCCAUGCCCUUAGUGCAAAAGAACGUCACGUUGUAUUGCUCCUUAUGAUAGCAACCUUUAUUAUGCAGUCUAUCGUCUUUAUUAUUUUGCCAUCACAAGUUCGUACAACGCUCAAUUUUCUCUUACACUAAAUGAACCAACACAUUUAGAAGCAAUUUUAUUGCCUUAUUGCAAUGAUGGCAACUUACUUGAAGGAUCUUACUCAAUCCAUAGGUAGGUAUGGUGGACUCUCAAAACAAGAUUUGGGUUUAAGGGUUUUUGGAUGCACAAGUAGUAUCUCUACUUAGUGCGGAAUUUUUGGCUAGCAAAGAUAGGGGGCAAGCACCACAUGUUAAAGGAUCUAUGACAAUAUAACUUCUAUGUGAAUAUGAACAAACAUAAAUCAUUACAUUUGUCUUCCUUGUCCAAUGUCAACAAUUUUGGCAUAAAAUAUUUUGAUGGGGGCCCACAAUCAUAAAAGAUGUCCAAGAUAGUAUAUUUGCAUGUGAAUCUUCUCUUUCUUUAUUAAUUCUUUCAUGAAUUGCAUCAUUGACCAAUGCCAUGUUUGUCAAUCUCCAAUAAAUUUUACCACUUAUACUUUUCCUUAUGUGAUGUCAUUACUUACCAUAAGAUUAGCAUAUGAUCUUUUCAUUAUUCUUUUUCUUUAUUUUGAUUGAAACAUAAAAUUAAAGAAAGAAAAACUCGAACUAAACUUUGUUAUAUAUCUCGCACACAAUUACAAAGAUGGAUUAUCACCUCUGUUGGAAAAGGCAGUGCCUAGGAGCCGCUUAGGCAUGCCUAGGCACUAGGCAAUGGCCAAACGCCUCGCUUAGGGCAUAAAUGGAGGUCUAGGCAGGGCAAGAAAGGAAUUGCCUACCCAAGCAAGAAAUCAUGCCACAUACUGCACUGAUAUGCCAAACGGGUUAUAUUCCAAUGGCAGUGGACGGCAAUUAACUUAUUUAUAUGCCCUAAACUAAUAUCAACACCCAUAUAAUAAUCACAAAUACACUAUGAGUAAAAACUAUAUUACCACCUAGGCACCGCCUAGGCACUAGGUGAAGGCCAACCGCCUCGCUUAUGCCUACCGCUUUUUCCAACCUUGAUUAUCACUAAGCAAAACACUCGAAAAGGAUUGAACUAAGCUUUUAUUCAACUAAUUUAAAAGAUAACUCAAGAUCGAACUAAGAUAAAUAAGGGAAAAAGAGGUGGUGUGAUAUGAUACCGGGGCACCUCCCCCAAGCUUGGCACAAGCCAAGGGGAGUGCCCAUAGCCGAUACUCAAGUCUCCUUUGGUGAUGAAGAAGGAGGUGGUGGUGAUGAGGUAGUAGCGAGCUUAUCCUCCGGCUUCCAUGGCAGCGGCUCACCAUCAUAAGAGGAACCACGGGUCUCACGAGUCCUACAACUGGAAGCUAAACUCAUACCUUUAAAUCUCGCCUCAUAUUCAAAGACUUGAUUUUGGAGAUCAUAGAUUUGGCUUUGAAGGAAGUUUAUUUGCUCGUUGAAGGUGAAGAUGAUGUCCUUCAUGGAUUGACCAUCCACCUUGAGAUCACGGGUGAAAUCUGCAAUCAUGAGGUGGUUGGCAUUGAGUUCACGUUCCACCAUCCCCUUGCACUUGAAGACCUCUUGCUCCAUAGCUUCAAGCCUAGCCUCCACGGUUCCUGUCCUCUGGGCCCCUGGACAUCUCGGAUUUUUAGCACCCCUCAUGCAUCUUAGUGGCUUGAGGGUGCUGCCUCACCUCCUACAGGUACGGAUUGAUGACGUUGUCGAAGAACUUGUCCUUGGAGGACUUCAGAGCGGCCAUGGCAAUCUAGAUCUGUCAGAAAAAUAGCAAGAAAUAAGAACAGAAGAUUUCUCCAUGAUACGGUGGUUAAUACGUUCGGGGGGUAUAUAAAGUUUUUUUAUCUUGGGAAACAAGCAAACAGGAGAAAAACAGAGUCCGGAAGGUACCCGCGGUGGGCACAACCCACCUGGGCGCGCCCUGGUGUCUUGUGCCCACCAGGGUUGCCUUCCUAGUCGUUUCUUAUUUUCCUAUUUUUUGUAAUAUUCCAAAACUGACAGAAAAUAUUUUUGCAGAUUUUUCGGAGUCCGUUUAUUUGCCGUAUCACGUACCUCCUCUUUUUUCAUGAUUCUGGAGUGUUCCGAAAGAUUUCUUUUAUGUGUUCCUCCGGUGUCAUGGUUUGAAUAAUAUUACUUUCAACAUUAAUAGGCGUACCUAAGAUAUAGUGUUUGAUUCUUUGCCCAUUGACCACCUUCGGGUUGGUACCUUUGGCAUUAUUUAUUUUGAUAGCUCUAGAGCGGUAAACUUCUUCGAUAAUAUACAGUCCUUCCCAUUUGGAGAGAAGUUUUCCUGCAAAGAAUCUGAAAUGAGAGUUGUACAAAAGAACAUAUUCUCCAACUUUGAACUCCCCCUUUUGGAUUCUUUUGUCAUGCCAUCUUUUAACUUUUUCUUUAAAUAAUUCGGCAUUUUCAUAAGCUUGGGUUCUCCAUUCAUCUAGUGAGCUAAUAUCAAAUAACCUCUUUUCAUCAACAAGUCUGAAAACAUAUUUGAGUUCUUUAAUUGCCCAAUAUGCUUUAUGUUAUAACUCAAGAGGCAAAUGACAAGCUUUCCCAUAAACCAUUUUAUAAGAAGACAUACCCAUAGGAUUGCUACUUCUUGAGCCUGCGUUGGUUUUUCCCUUGAAGAGGAAAGGGUGAUGCAGGAAAGUAGAGAUAAGUAUUUCCCUCAGUUAAGAACCAAGGUAUCAAUCCAGUAGGAGAAGAACGCAAAAAUCACCAAUACCCGCACAAUCAAUCAAACACUUGCACCCAACGCGAUAAAGGGGUUGUCAAUCCCUUCACGAUGACUUGCAAAGGUGAGAUCCGAUAGAGAUAGAUAAAUAAAAGAUAAAAUAUUUUUGGGUUUUCUGGUUUAUAGAUAUGAAAAUAAAAGAUUGCAAAAUAGUAGAUCAAAAACUAAUAUGAUGGAAAAUAGACCCGGGGGCCAUAACUUUCACUAGAGGCUUCUCUCAUGAACGCAAAUAAUACGGUGGGUGAACAAAUUACUAUCGAGCAAUUGAUAGAAAAGCGCAAAGUUAUGACGAUAUCUAAUGCAAUGAUUAUGCAAUAUAGGCAUCAUGCCCGUGUCAAGUAGACCGACUCUUCCCUGCAUCUACUACUAUUACUCCACACAUUGACCGCUAUCCAGCAUGCAUCUAGAGUAUUAAGUUCAUAAAGAAUGAAGUAACGCCUUAAGUAAGAUGACAUGAUGUAGAGGAAUAAACUCAUGCAAUAUGAUGUAAACCCCAUCUUUUUAUCCUCGAUGGCAACAAUACAAUACGUGUCUCGCUACCCCUACUUUGUCACUGGGUGAAAUCACGCAUGAUUGAACCUAAAGCUAAGCACCUCUCCUUUUGCAAGAAAAACCAAUCUAGUUGGCCAAACCAAACCGAUAAUUCAAAGAGAAAUACAAAGAUACCAAAUCAUGCAUAUAAGAAUUCAGAGAUAAGCUGAUCAUAAAUCCACAAUUCAUCUGAUCUCGACAAACACACCGCAAAAGAAGAUUACAUCGGAUAAAUCUCCAAGAACAUCGAGGAGAACAUGGUAUUGAGAAUCAAAGAGAGAGAAGAAGCCAUCUAGCUACUAGCUAUGGACCCAUAGGUCUGUGGUAAACUACUCACGCUUCGUCGGAAGGGAAAUAGGGUUGAUAUAGAUGCCCUUCGUGAUCGAAUCCCUCCCGACAGGAUGCCGGAAAGGCCCCAAGAUGGGAUCUCACAGGAACGGAAGGUUGCGGCGGUGGAAAGUGUUUUCGUGGAUGCCUCUUGUGGUUUGGGAAUAUACGUGAAUAUAUAGGAGGAAGAACUAGGUCAGGAAGGUCACGAGGGGCCCAUAAGGUAGGGGGUGAUACGUCUCCAACGUAUCUAUAAUUUUUGAUUGCUCCAUGCUAUAUUAUCUACUGUUUUGCACUAUAUUGGGCUUUAUUUUCCACUUUUAUAUUAUUUUUGGGACUAACCUAUUAACCAGAGGCCCAGCCCAGAAUUGAUGUUUUUUGCCUAUUUCAGUGUUUCAAAGAAACAGAAUAUGAAACGGAGUCCAAACAGAAAAAUCCUUUUUGGAACGUGAUUUUCUUCCUGGUUAUGACACAGGAGACUUGGACCCUACUCCAAGAAGUACCGGAGGCGGUCACAAGGGUGGGGGGCGCCCCCCCUACAGGGCGCGCCCCCCUGCCUCGUGGGCCCCUCAGUGCUCCACCGACGUACUCCUUCCUCCUAUAUAUACCCACGUACCCCCAAACGAUCAGAACAGGAGCCAAAAACCUAAUUCCACCGCCGCAACUUUCUGUAUCCACGAGAUCCCAUCUUGGGGCCUGUUCCGGAGCUCCGCCGGAGAGGACCGUAAUCACGGAGGGCUUCUACAUCAUCAUAGCCUCUCCGAUGAAGUGUGAGUAGUUUACCUCAGACCUUCGGGUCCAUAGUUAUUAGCUAGAUGGCUUCUUCUCUCUUUUCGGAUCUCAAUACAAUGUUCUCCCCCUCUCUUGUGGAGAUCUAUUUGAUGUAAUCUUCUUCUCUUGCGGUGUGUUUGUUGAGACCGAUGAAUUGUGGGUUUAUGAUCAAGUCUAUCUAUGAAUAAUAUUUGAAUCUUCUCUGAUUUCUUUUAUGUAUGAUUGGUUAUCUUUGCAAGUCUCUUCGAAUUAUCUGUUUGGUUUGGCCAACUAGAUUGGUAGUUCUUGCCAUGGGAGAAGUGCUUAGCUUUGGGUUCGAUCUUGCGGUGUCCUUUCCCAGUGACAUAAGGGGCAGCAAGGCACGUAUUGUAUCGUUGCCAUCGAGGAUAACAAGAUGGGGUUUAUUUCAUAUUGCAUGAAUUUAUCUCUCUAGCGUUACUCUGUUUUUAACUUAAUACUCUAGAUGCAUGCUGGAUAGCGGUCGAUGAGUGGAGUAAUAGUAGUAGAUGCAGAAUCGUUUCGAUCUACUUGUCACGGACGUGAUGCCUAUAUACAUGAUCAUGCCUAGAUAUUCUCAUAACUAUGCCACUAGUGAAACAUAUGGCCCCCGGGUCUAUUCUCAUCAUAUCAAUCUCCAUCACUUUAAUCUUGCUUUGUUUUUACUUUGCCUUUUACUUUUCACUUUGCAUCUUUAUAUCAAAAAUACCAAAAAUAUUAUCUCUAUUAGAUCUCACUCUCGUAAGAGACCGUGAAGGGAUUGACAACCCCUAAUCGCGUUGGUUGCGAGUUGCUAUCGAUUUGUGCAGGUACGAGGGACUUGAGCGUGGCCUCCUACUGGAUUGAUACCUUGGUUCUCAAAAACUGAGGGAAAUACUUACGCUACUCUGCUGCAUCAUCCUCUCCUCUUCGAGGAAAACCAACGCAAGCUCAAGAGGUAGCAAGAAGAAUUUCUGGCGCCGUUGCCGGGGAGUCUACGCAAAAAGUUAACGUACCAAGUACCCAUCACAAUCCCUAUCUCCUGCAUUACAUUAGUUGCCAUUUGCCUCUCGUUUUCCUCUCCCCCACUUCACCCUUGCCGUUUUAUUCUCCCUCUCUUUCUCCUUCUCCUCCUCCUUCUCCUUCUCCGUUUGCCUUUUUCUCGCUUGCCUUUUGUUUGCUCAUGUGUUGGAUUGCUUGUUCGUCGCGAUGGCUCAAGAUACUACCAAAUUGUGUGACUUCACCAAUACCAACAAUAAUGAUUUCCUUAGCACUCCGAUUGCUCCUCUUGCCAAUACUGAAUCUUGUGAAAUCAAUACUGCUUUGUUGAAUCUUGUUAUGAAAGAUCAAUUCGCCGGCCUUCCUAGUGAAGAUGUUGCUACUCAUCUGAAUAGCUUUGUUGAUUUAUGUGAUAUGCAAAAGAAAAAAGAUGUCGAUAAUGAUGUCGUUAAAUUGAAGCUAUUUCCUUUUUCUCUUAGAGAUCGUGCUAAAGCUUGGUUUUCGUCUUUGCCUAAAAAUAGUAUUGAUUCUUGGAACAAGUGCAAAGAUGCUUUUAUCUCUAAGUAUUUUCCUCCCGCUAAGAUCAUCUCUCUUAGAAACGAUAUUAUGAAUUUUAAGCAACUUGAUCACAAACAUGUUGCACAAGCUUGGGAGAGAAUGAAAUUAAUGAUACGUAAUUGCCCUACUCAUGUUUUAAAUUUGUGGAUGAUUAUACAAAAAAUUUAUGCCGUAUUGAAUUUUGCUUCUAGAAAUCUUUUAGAUUCGGCCGCGGGAGGCACUUUUAUGGAAAUCACUCUAGGAGAUGCUACUAAACUCCUAGAUAAUAUUAUGGUUAAUUAUUCUCAAUGGCAUACUGAAAGAUCUUCUACUAAAAAAGUGCAUGUGAUAGAAGAAAUCAAUGUUUUGAGUGGAAAGAUGAAUGAACUUAUGAAAUUAUUUGCUACUAAGAGUGUUUCUUCUGAUCCUAAUGAUAUGCCUUUGUCUACUUUGAUUGAGAAUAACAAUGAAUCUAUGGAUGUGGAUUUUGUUGGUAGGAAUAAUUUUGGUAACAACGCAUACAGAGGGAAUUUUAAUCCUAGGCCAUAUCCUAGUAAUCCUUCUAAUAAUUAUGGAAAUUCCUACAACAACUCUUAUGGAGAUUAUAAUAAGAUGCCCUCUGAAUUUGAGAAUAGUGUUAAAGAGUUUAUGAAUUCACAAAAGAAUUUUAAUGCUUUGCUUGAAGAGAAAUUGCUUAAAGUUGAUGAUUUGGCUAGGAACGUUGAUAGAAUUUAUCUUGAGGUUGAUUCUUUAAAGCUUAGAUCUAUUCCUCCUAAGCAUGAUAUCAAUGAGUCUCUCAAAGCUAUGGGAAUUUCCAUUGAUGAGUGCAAGGAAAGAACCACUAGGAUGCGUGCUUCCAAAGAUGCCUUUAUUAAAGCGUGUUCUUCCAAUACCUAUGAAAAUCAAUAUGAAGAUCUAAAAGUUAUUGAUGUGUCCCCUAUCAAAUCUUUGUUUUGCAAUAUGAAUCUUGAUGAAACUGAAUAUGAUCUUCCUUUACCUAGAAGGCGUUCCAAAAAUUCGGAGUAUUUAGAUCUUUAUGAUGAAAUUGAUGAAAGUGGGAUUGAAAGAAAUAAAAAUUUAGAUGUUGCUAAACCCAUUAUAUUGGAUUUCAAGGAAUUUAAUUAUGAAAGUUUCUCUUUGAAUGAUUGUAUUUCCUUUUUGCAAUCCGUGCUAAAUUCUCCACAUGCUUAUAGUCAAAAGAAAGCCUUCACCGAACAUAUUGUUGAUGCCUUGAUGCAAUCUUAUGAAGAAAAACUUGAGUUGAAAGUUUCUAUCCCUAGAAAACUCUAUGAUGAGUGGGAGCCAACCAUUAAAAUUAAAAUUAAAGAUCAUGAGUUUUAUGCUUUGUGUGAUUUGGGUGCUAGUGUCUCCACUAUCCCCAAGACUUUGUGUGAUUUGCUAGAUUUCCGCGAUCUUGAUAAUUGCUCUUUAAACUUACAUCUCGUGGAUUCUACUAUUAAGAAACCUAUGGGAAGGAUUAAUGAUGUUCUUAUUGUUGCAAAUAGGAAUUAUGUGCCCGUAGAUUUCAUUGUUCUUGAUAUAGAUUGCAAUCCUUCUUGCCCUAUUAUUCUUGGUAGACCUUUCCUUAGAACGGUUGGUGCGACUAUUGAUAUGAAGGAAGGGAAUAUUAGAUUCCAAUUUCCAUUAAAAAGGGCAUGGAACACUUUACAAGAAAGAAAAUAAAAUUGCCAUAUGAAACCAUCAUGAGAUCCACUUAUGGAUUGCCUUCCAAAGAUGGCAAUACCUAGAUCUAUCCUCGCUUUUAUGCCUAGCUAGGGGCGUUAAACGAUAGCGCUUGUUGGGAGGCAACCCAAUUUUAUUUUUAGUUUUUUUGUGUGUUUUUCUUCUGUUAGGGAAUAAAUAACCCAUCUACCUUCUGUUUGGAUGUGGUUUUAUGUUUUAAUUAGUGCUUGUGCCAAGCUAGACCUAUUGGAUCUUCUUGGAUGAUAGUUAUUUGAUCUUGAUGUAAUUUCCAGAAACUUUGCGUUCAGUGCCCGAAUUAUUAAAAAUCAUCCGAACGUGAUAAAAUACUGAUUCCAAUUGCUGCUGAUCAAUAAACAAAUUUUAUAGGUCUUCUAAUUUUGGUAGAUUUUUUGGAGUUCCAGAAGUUUGCGUUAGUUACAUAUUACUACAGACUGUUCUGUUUUUGACAGAUUCUGUUUUUCGUGUGUUGUUUGCUUAUCUUGAUGAAUCUAUGGUUAGUAAAAUAGUUUAUAAUCCAUAGAGAAGUUGGAAUACAGUAGGUUUAACACCAAAAUAAAUAAAUAAUGAGUUCAUUACAGUACCUUGAAGUGGUUUUAUGCUUUCUUUCUCUAACGGAGCUCACGGGAUUUCUAUUGAGUUUUGUGUUGUGAAGUUUUCAAGUUUUGGGUGAAUUCUUUUGAUGGAUUAUGGAACAAGGAGUGGCAAGAGCCUAAGCUUGGGGAUGCCCAUGGCACCCCCAACAUAAUCCAAGGACACCAAAAAGUCAAAGCUUGGGGAUGCCCCGGAAGGCAUCCCCUCUUUCGUCCACUUCCAUCGGUAAUUUACUUGGAGCUAUAUUUUUAUUCACCAACAUGAUAUGUGUUUUGCUUGGAGCGUCUUGUAUUAUUUGUGUCUUUAUUUGUUAGUGUGCCACAAUCAUACUUGCUGUACACACCUUUUGAGAGAGUCAUCUAUGAAUUAAAAUUUGUUAGAAUACUCUUUGUGCUUCACUUAUAUCUUUUGAGCUAUGCAGUUUUGCUCUAUGUGCUUCACUUAUAUCUUUUGAGCGUUAUAAUUUUGCUCUAUGUGCUUCACUUAGAUCUUUUAGAGCACAAUGGUGGUUUGUUUUAAAGAAACUAUUGAUCUCUCAUGCUUCACUUAAAUUAUUUUGAGAGUCGUAAUAGCAUGGUAAAUUACUUAAUAUUAAUAUGCUUGGUAUGCAUGAUUUGUGAAAUUUUCUUUUGAGUGUGUUGAAUACUAAGAAAAGAUUGAAGCAUGAUAAUUCUUUUGAGAUAUGAAGGUGAUAAUAUUAGAGUCAUGCUAGUUGAAGUAGUUGUGAAUUUAAAUAAUACUUGCGUUGAAGUUUGUGAUUCCCGUAGCAUGCACGUAUGGUGAACCGUUAUGUAACGAAGUCAGAGCAUGAAGUGUUUAUUGAUUGUCCUCCUCAUGAGUGGCGGUCGGGGACGAGCGAUGGUCUUUUCCUACCAAUCUAUCCCCCUAGGAUCAUGCACGUAAUACUUUGCUUUGAUAACUUCUAAAUUUUUGCAAUAAGUAUAUGAGUUCUUUAUGACUAAUGUUGAGUCCAUGGAUUAUAUGCACUUUUUCCCAUCCUUCCACCAUUGCUAGCCUCUCUAAUACCACGCACUUUUCGCCGGUAUCAUACACCCACCAUAUAUCUUCCUAAAAACAGCCACCAUACCUACCUAUCAUGGCAUUUCCAUAGCCAUUCCGAGAUAUAUUGCCAUGCAACUUUCCACCGUUCCGUUUACUAUGACACGCUCCAUCAUUGUCAUAUUGCUAGCAUGAUCAUGUAGUUGACAUCGUAUUUGUGGCAAAGCCACCAUUCAUAAUUCUUUCAUACAUGUCACUCUUGAUUCAUUGCAUAUCCCGGUACCCUGCCGGAGGCAUUCAUAUAGAGUCAUAUCUUGUUCUAAGUAUCGAGUUGUAAGAAAAAUAAAAGUGUGAUGAUCAUCAUUUUUAGAGCAUUGUCCAAAGUGAGGAAAGAAUGAUGGAGACCAUGAUUCCCCCACAAGUCGGGAUGAGACUCCGGACGAAAAAAAAGAGGCCAUAAAAAAGGCCCAAAUAAAAAUAAAAAAGAGAGAAAAAGAGAGAAGGGACAAUGCUACUAUCCUUUUACCACACUUUGCUUCAAAGUAGCACCAAGAUCUUCAUGAUAGAGAGUCUCCUAUGUUGUCACUUUCAUAUACUAGUGGGAAUUUUUCAUUAUAGAAUUGGCUUGUAUAUUCCAAUGAUGGGCUUCCUCAAAAUGCCCUAGGUCUUCGUGAGCAAGCGAGUUGGAUGCACACCCACUUAGUUUCUUUUGUUGAGCUUUCAUAUACUUAUAGCUCUAGUGCAUCCGUUGCAUGGCAAUCCCUACUCACUCACAUUGAUAUCUAUUAAUGGGCAUCUCCAUAGCCCGUUGAUACGCCUAGUUGAUGUGAGACUAUCUUCCCCUCUUUUUGUCUUCUCCACAACCACCUUCUAUUCCACAUAUAGUGCUAUAUACAUGGCUCGCGCUCAUGUAUUGCGUGAAGGUUGAAAAAGUUUUGAAAAUGUUAAAGUAUGAAACAAUUGCUUGGCUUGUCAUCGGGGUUGUGCAUGAUUUACAUACUUUGUGUGGUGAAGAUGGAGCAUAGCCAGACUAUAUGACUUUGUAGGGACAACUUUCUUUGGCCAUGUUAUUUUGAGAAGACAUAAUUGCUUUAUUAGUAUGCUUGAAGUGUUAUUAUUUUUAUGUCAAUAUGAAAUUUUGACUUGAAUCUUUCGAAUCUGAAUAUUCAUACCACAAUUAAGAAAUUUUGCAUUGAAAUUAUGCCAAGUAGCACUCCGCAUAAAAAAUUCUCUUUUUAUCAUUUACCUACUCGAGGACGAGCAGGAAUUAAGCUUGGGGAUGCCUGAUACGUCUCCAACAUAUCUAUAAUUUUUGAUUGCUCCAUGCUAUAUUAUCUACUGUUUUGGACUAUAUUGGGCUUUAUUUUCCACUUUUAUAUUAUUUUUGGGACUAACCUAUUAACCGGAGGCCCAGCCCAGAAUUGCUGUUUUUUGCCUAUUUCAGUGUUUCGAAGAAACAGAAUAUCAAACGGAUUCCAAACAGAAAAAUCCUUUUUGGAACGUGAUUUUCUUCCCAAUUAUGACACAGGAGACUUGGACCCUACUCCAAGAAGUACCGGCAGCGGUCACGAGGGUGGGGGCGCCCCCCCCCCCCUACAGGGCGCGCCCCCCUGCCUCGUGGGCCCCUCAGUGAUCCACCGACGUACUCCUUCCUCCAAUAUAUACCCACGUACCCCCAAACGAUCAGAACAGGAGCCAAAAACCUAAUUCCACCGCCGCAACAUUCUGUAUCCAUGAGAUCCCAUCUUGGGGCCUGUUCCGGGGCUCCGCCGGAGAGGGCCGUCAUCACGGAGGGCUUCUACAUCAUCAUAGCCUCUCCGAUGAAGUGUGAGUAGUUUACCUCAGACCUUCGGGUCCAUAGUUAUUAGCUAGAUGGCUUCUUCUCUCUUUUUGGAUCUCAAUACAAUGUUCUCCCCCUCUCUUGUGGAGAUCUAUUUGAUGUAAUCUUCUUCUUUUGCGGUGUGUUUGUUGAGACCGAUGAAUUGUGGGUUUAUGAUCAAGUCUAUCUAUGAAUAAUAUUUGAAUCUUCUCUGAAUUCUUUUAUGUAUGAUUGGUUAUCUUUGCAAGUCUCUUCGAAUUAUCCAUUUGGUUUGGCCAACUAGAUUGGUAGUUCUUGCCAUGGGAGAAGUGCUUAGCUUUGGGUUCGAUCUUGUGGUGUCCUUUCACAGUGACAGAAGGGGCAGCAAGGCACGUAUUGUAUCGUUGCCAUCGAGGAUAACAAGAUGGGGUUUAUUUCAUAUUGCAUGAAUUUAUCUCUCUACAUCAUGUCAUCUUGCUUAAAGUGUUACUCUGUUUUUAACUUAAUACUCUAGAUGCAUGCUGGAUAGCGGUCGAUGAGUGGAGUAAUAGUAGUAGAUGCAGAAUCGUUUCGAUCUACUUGUCACGGACGUGAUGCCUAUAUACAUGAUCAUGCCUAGAUAUUCUCAUAACUAUGCUCAAUUCUGUCAAUUGCUCAACAGUAAUUUGUUCACCCACCGUAGAAAACUUAUGCUCUCGAGAGAAGCCACUAGUGAAACCUAUGGCCCCCGGGUCUAUUCUCAUCAUAUCAAUCUCCAUCACUUUAAUCUUGCUUUGUUUUUACUUUGCCUUUUACUUUUCACUUUGCAUCUUUUUAUAAAAAAUACCAAAAAUAUUAUCUCUAUUAGAUCUCACUCUCGUAAGAGACCGUGAAGGGAUUGACAACCCCUGAUCGCGUUGGUUGCGAGUUGCUAUCGAGUUGUGCAGGUACGAGGGACUUGAGCGUGGCCUCCUACUGGAUUAAUACCUUGGUUCUCAAAAAAUGAGGGAAAUACUUACGCUACUCUGCUGCAUCAUCCUCUCCUCUUCGGGGAAAACCAACACAAGCUCAAGAGGUAGCAGGGGGCACGCCGUCCACCCUUGCCGCCGCCUCGUAGCUCUUCCGACUUGAACUCCAAGUCUCCUGGGUGUCUUCUGGUCCAAGAAAAACCAUCACGAAAGUUUUAUUCCAUUUGGACUCUGUUUGGUAUUCCUUUUCUACGAAGCUCAAAAACAAGGAAAAAACAGAAACUGGCACUGGCACUGGGCUCUAGGUUAAUAAGUUAGUCCCAAAAAUAAUAUAAAAUAGCAUAUUAAUGCAUAUAAAACAUCCAAAACAGAUAAUAUAAUAGCAUGGAACAAUCAAAAUUAUAGAUGCAUUGGAGACGUAUCAAGGAUUUUUAUAUGUUGUUCUGUAGGCCCAAUGUGCAUCAUCCAAUUUCUUAGACCAAUUCUUUCAGGACCUAUUAACAGUUUUUUGUAAUAUUAAUUUUAUUUCUCUAUUGCUAAGCUCAACUUGACCACUAGAUUGGGGAUGAUAGGGUGAUGCAAUUCUAUGGUUAACAUCAUAUUUAGCAAGCAUUUUAUGGAAAGCACCAUGAAUGAAGUGUGAACCACCAUCAGUCAUUAAGUAUCUAGAGACUCCAAACCUUGGGAAAAUAACUUCUUUAAGAAUUUUAAUAGAGGUGUUGUGAUCAGCACUACUAGUUGGAAUAGCUUCUACCCACUUAGUAACAUAAUCAACAACAACCAAAAUACGAGUAUACCUAAUAGAGGAAGGAAAAGGUCCCAUGUAAUCAAAACCCCAAACAUCAAAUGGUUCACCAGCAAGUGAAUAAUUCAUAGACAUUUCUUGACACUUACCAAUAUUACCAAUUCUUUGGCAUUCAUCGCAAGAUAAAACAUACUUACGAGAAUCCUUGAAGAGAGUAGGCUAGUAAAAAUCAUAUUGCAGUACCUUGUGAGCAGUUCUAUCUCCCGCAUGAUGUCCUCUAUAAGCUUCGGAGUGAAAUUUCCAUAGGAUUUGUUCAUGUUCCUCUUCAGGUACACAACGUCUAAUAAUACCAUCUACCCCUUCUUUAUAGAGGUGUGGGUCAUCCCAAAAGUAAUGUCUUAAGUCGUAGAAGAAUUUUUUUUCUUUUGUUGGAAUGUGAAACUAGGUGGUAUGUAUUUAGCAACAAUAUAAUUAGCAUAGUCAGCAUACCAAGGAGUAUUACGAUAAACAUUUAUUGCAGCUAAUUGUUCAUCAGGGAAACUAUCAUCCAUAGGUAGUGGGUCAUCAAGAAUAUUUUCUAACCUAGACAAGUUAUCAGCUAUGGGGUUCUCAGCUCCUUUCCUAUCAGUAAUAUGUAAAUCAAAUUCUUGUAGCAAGAGAACCCACCUAAUGAGUCUAGGUUUAGUAUCUUUCUGGUCCAUAAGAUAUUUUAUAGAAGCAUGAUCAGUGUGAAAAAUUAUUUUGGAAUCAACAAUAUAGGAUCUGAAUUUAUCAUAGGAAAACACAACUGCUAAAAAUUCUUUUUCAAUAGUAGCAUAAUUUCGUUGAGCACUGUCUACAGUUUUACCAGCAUAAUGGAUAACAUUUAAUUUUUUAUCGACUCUUUGUCCUAGAACAUCACCAACAACAUAAUCACUAGCAUCACACAUAAUUUCAAAAGGCAAGUUCCAUUCAGGUGGUUGUACUAUAGGUGCAGAAGUUAAGGCUUUCUUAAGUGUUUCAAAGGCUUCUACACAAUCAUCAUAAAAAACAAAUGGAACUUCCUUUUGUAAAAGAUUUGUAAGCGACCUAGAAAUUUUAGAGAAGUCUUUAAUAAACCUCCUAUAGAAACCAGCAUGACCAGGGAAACUACAAAUACCUUUAAUAUGUUUCGGACAUGGCAUUUUCUCAAUUGCAUCAACUUUAGCUUUAGCCACCUCAAUACCUCGUUCAGAAUUUUUUUGCCCCAAGACAAUACCUUCAUUAACCAUAAAGUGGCACUUCUCCCAAUUCAAGACAAGAUUAGUUUGCUCACAUCUCUGCAAAACUCGAUCAAGGUUGCUUAAGCAAUCAUCAAAAAAAAUUCCGUAAACAGAAAAAUCAUCCAUGAAAACUUCAACAAUCUUUUCACAGAUAUCAAAGAAUAUAGCAGUCAAACAUCUUUGAAAGGUAGCAGGUGCAUUGCAUAAACCAAAAGGCAUACGUCUAUAAGCAUAAGUUCCAAAAGGUCAAGUAAAGGUGGUUUUCUCUUGAUCAGGUUGUGAAACGGGUAUUUGAGAAAAACCAGAAUAUACAUCAAGAAAACAAAAGUGUGUGUGCUUAGAUAAUCUUUCUAACAUUUGAUCGAUAAAAGGCAAAGGGUAAUGAUCUUUUCUAGUUGCUUUAUUUAAUUUUCUGAAAUCAAUUACCAUUCUAUAACUAGUAAGAAUUCUCUAUGGAAUACGUUAAUUUCUAUCAUUAGGAACAACAGUAAUACCUCCCUUCUUAGGGAUACAAUGAACGGGACUUACCCAUCUACUAUCAGCUAUGGGAUAUAUUAUACCUGCUUCAAGAAGCUUUAAUAUUUCAGUUCUUACCACUUCUUUCAUCUUAGGAUUCAAACAUUGUUGGUGAUCAACUACAUGUUUAGCAUCAGGUUCCAUAUUAAUCUUGUGCUGACAUAGAGUGAGACUAAUGCCUUUAAGAUUACUAAGAGUAUACCCAAUAGCAGCUCGGUGCUUCUUCAGAAUUUUCAAUAAUCUUUCUUCUUCAUGUUCUGAAAGGUUAGCACUAAUAAUAAUAGGAUAUAUCUUUUUCUCAUCAAGAUAAGCAUAUUUCAAAGUGUAAGACCGUUGUUUUAAUUCAAAUACAGGAUCAUCUUUAGGUGGAGGAGGACCUCCUAGAGUUUCCGUAGGUAAAUUGAGUUUGAGCAGAGGUCGUUGUUCAAAGAAUAUUUUAUCUAUUUCAUUCCUUUCAUGCAUAUGCAUACCAUUUUCAUGGUCUAGGAAAUAUUGUUCUAGUGGCUCAGUAGGAGGCACGACAAUAGAAGCAAGACCAAUUAUUUCAUCCUUACUAGGUAAUUCUUUUUUAUGAUGUUUUCUACUAAACUUAGAAAAAUAAACUCAUGAGACUCAUCACCAAAACUAACACCGAUAGUUUGUUUUUCACAAUCUAUUUUAGCAUUAACGGUGUUCAAGAAAGGUCUACCAAAAAUAAUGGGACAAAAAAUCAUCUUGUGGGGAACCAAAAAUUAGAAAAACAGUAGGGUAUUUUACGUUCCCACACAAGACUUCAACAUCUCUAACAAUCCCAAGUGGUGUGAUAGUGUCUCUAUUAGCAAGUUUAAUAGUAACAUCUAUGUCUUCUAUUUCAGCGGGUGCUUUGUAUUCAUAAUUUCUUUAUAUAAGGUAAAAGGAAUAGCACUCACGCUAGCACCCAAGUCACAUAAACCAUGAUAACAGUGAUCUCCUAUUUUGACUGGGACAACAGGCAUGCCAACAACGGGUCUAUGUUUAUCUUUUUCAUCAAGUUUGGCAAUUCUAGCAGCUUCAUCACAGAAGUAAAUAACAUGCCCAUCAAUAUUUUCUACCAAGAGAUCUUUAACCAUAGCAACACUAGGUUCUAAUUUGAUUUCUUCUGAAGGUCUAGGUGCUUUGAUAUUACUUUUGCGGACCACAGUUGAAACCUUAGCAUGUUCCUUCAUCCUAUCAGGGAAAUGUGGUUUUUUCAAUAUAAGCAGUAGGAACAACUGGAUAAACAUUGUAAAUAAUAAUCUCUUCUUUAGAUAUUACCGAUUCUUUAAUUUCUUCUUCAAUAGGGAGAUGAUAUUUAAACCACUUUUCCUUAGGGAGAUCAACAUGUGUAGUAAAAUAUUCACAAAAGGAGGCUACUAUCUCAGAGUCAAGUCCAUAUUUAGUGCUAAACUUGUGAAAGGCAUCGGUAUUCAUAAAAUUAACACAACCAAACUUAAGCUUAAUACCUGACUCUUUACCUUCUCGAGUUCCCAAUCUUCAGAGUUGCGUUUAAUUCUUUCUAAAAGAUCCCACCUGAAUUCAAUAGUCUUCUUCAUAAAAGAACCAGUACAAGAAGUAUCGAGUAUGGAUCGAUCACCAUGAGAAAGCCGAGCAUAAAAAUUCUGAAUAAUAAUUUCUCUUGAGAGCUCAUGAUUGGGGCAUGAAUAUAACAUGGACUUAAGCUUCCCCCAAGCUAGAGCGAUACUUUCUCCUUCAUGAGGCCAAAAAUUAUAUAUAUAAUUCCGAUCACGAUGAACUAGAUGCAUAGAAUUUUUUUGAUGAAAUUCCAAUUUCAAUCGAUUCCAGUUCCAAGAUCCAAUAUCAUCGCAUAGCCUAUACGAUGCCAAUGCUUUUCCCUUUAAAGAUAAAGGGAAAACCUUCUUCUUAGCUUCAUCUCCGGGUAAACCUGCAAGCUUAAAUAAUCCACAAAUUUCAUCCACAUAUAUCAGGUGCGUAUCAGGAUGUUCAGUUCCAUCUCCUGCAUAAGGAUUAGCUAGCAGUUGUUCUAUCAUACCCGAAGGAAUUUCAUAACCAAUAUUUUCAGUAGGUUGAGGGGCAACUAAUUGUGGUUCCGGUCGAGGUGAAGAUACCCCAAACAAACCCCUCAAAGGAUUGUUUUCCAUAGUAGCAAGUGACAAUAAAUUUCAGCACGUAGUAAUAAUUUUCCCUUACCAAUUUCCACUUACCAAGAGCGCUUCACUCCCCGGCAACGGCGCCAGAAAAGAGUCGUGCUGACCCAAAAGUAUAGCGGAUCAAUCGUAGUCCUUUCGAUAAGUAAGAGUGUUGAACCCAACGAGGAGUAGAAGAAAAUGACAAGUGGUUUUCAGCAAGGUAAUUUCUGCAAGCACUGAAAUUGUCGGUAACAGAUAGUUUGGUAGCAAGCUAAUUUGUAAUGAGAAAGUAACGGUAACAGUAAGUAAAGUUCAGCAAGGUAGCCCAAUCCUUUUGUGGCAAAGGACAGGCCAAAACGGUUUCUUAUAAUAGGCAAAGCGUUCUUGAGGGUACACGAGAAUUUCAUCUAGUCACUUCACCAUGUUGGUUCGAUUCGUGUUCACUACUUUGAUAAUUUGAUAUGUGGGUGGAUCAGUGCUUAGGUGCUGUUCUUACUUGAAAAAAUCUCCUACUUAUGAUUAACCCCCUUGCAAGCAUCCACAACUACAAGAAAAGUAUUAAGAUAAAAUCUAAGCAUAUCAUUAAACUUUUGGAUCCAAAUCGAUCCCUUAUAAAGUAGCGCAUAAACUAGGGUUUAAACUUCUGUCACUCUAGCAAACCAUCAUCUAAUAACUACUCUACAUUGCCUUCCCUUAGACCCAAAUAUGGUGAAGUGCCAUGUAGUCGACGUUCGCAUGACACCACUAAGGGAAUCACAACAUACAUAUCAUGAAAAUAUCAAACAUAUAUCAGAUUCACAUGAUUACUUGCAACAAGAUUUCUCCAGUGACCUCAAGAACAAAUAUAAGUACUCACAAAUGAUAAUCAUGCCCAAGAUCAGAGGGGUAUUAAAUAGCAUAAUGGAUCUGAACAUAUAAUCUUCCACCAAAUGAACCAUAUAGUAAUCAACUACAAGAUGUAAUCAACACUGCUAGUCAUCCGCAGAGACCAAUCUGAUGUUCUGGUACAAAGAUUGAACACAGGAGAUGAACUAUGGUUUGUGAGGAGAUGGUGUUGUUGAAGAUGUUGAUGAAGAUUUCCCAAAGAUGAGAGGGUUAUUGGUGAUGACGAUGAUGAUGAUUUCCCCCUCUGGGAGGGAACUUCCCCCGGCGGAAUCGCUCCACCGGAGGACAAAAGUGCUCCUGCCCAAGUUCCGCCUCGAGAAGACGAUGCUUCGUCCCGAAAGUCCUCCUCUUAUUUUUUUUCUAGGUCAAAAUGACUUAUAUACCAGAAGGGGGGCACCGGAGGUGGGCCGAGGAGGGCACAACCCACCAGGGCGCUCUAGGUGGGUUGUGCCCACCUGGUGGGCUUCCAUCGGUAGUUAUUUGCUCCAUUAUUUUUCAUAUAUUCCGAAACAAUCCUCCGUAAAUUUUCAGCUCAUUUGGAGAUGUUCAGAAUAGGUGACUCUGACGUAGCUUUUUCAGGUCCAGAAUUCCAGCUGUCGGCAUUCUUCCUCUUUGUGUAAACCUUGCAUAUUAUGAGAGAAAAGACAUUAGAAUUACUUCAUAAAGCAUUAUUAUGCAUAAAAAUAUUAUAAAUAACAGUAGGUAAACAUGAUGCAAAAUGGAUGUAUCAUGGAGCGUCGACUAAGUAGUCGGAGUAGAGCAAGCAAUAGCCUUCCAGUUGAUGCCUCUGCUUUGCCUUCAGCCGGCCCGACGCCGAGCCACCUCGCCAUGACUUUGCAUUGCUCUCGAGCAGGCUGGCCAGGGCGGCGAUGACCAUGAGAUGCUCUUCAUUCUAGGCAUAGGCAUCGGCUUCCUCCUCCAGCAGCGCCGCGAGCGCCUCCUCAUCGUCCGAGUCCAUCUCGAGCAGACAAAUCGCUGAACAUCUGGCGGGCGUGGUAGGCGCGCAGCCGCCAGUAUUCCAGCCAGAAAGCUCGCGCAGAAACAGGGUGGAGGAUGCCGCUGCGGAACCCUCUCUUUCGGCGGGGGAAUGACCUAUCUAGCGGCGGUGAGUGGGUCGGCAACGCCAGGAUCGGCAAGACGGCGGGAGGGCGUGCGCGCGCCGGGGGGGAUCUGGACGUGCAAGAUGCGUUUUCGCCUGACAGUGGUGGUCCAGACGUGGUUUUUCCUUCCGCUGGAGCCCUCAAACGCCUCCAAUGCGCUAGGUUCGGCCUGGAAUCGCCGGGCCAAAAAACGGACCGACCGGCGAAUUUUGACGUCUUGAAAGCACGACUGAGGUUUUUUUGGCAUCGACGUGAAAAAAGUCGCCUUAAGGGACCUGUUGAAAACGCGAGGGGAGAUGCUCUAAUCCCAAAAAUCCCAAAAGAAGAAGCAUCAUUGCAUCGCGGAAUCGCGGGCUCCCGUACACCUCUCCCGCACGAGUACCGACCCACACCGCCUCCGCCGCCAAUCUCUGCUCCGCACACACUGCCGCCGUCGCUCUCUGCUUCAGCAUCCACCGCCGCCAGCCUAUCCACUCAUCAUCUACACAAAAGGGGAAAGAAAAGGGAAAUCCCACUCCCAUCCAGGCUGCCGCCGCCGCUUCUGAUCUGAUCUGCGUCCCCCCACGCCGGUCUAGCCCUAACGCCGUCGGUUUCUGCCGGCGGCGCGGUCAGAGGACAAGCAGUGAUGGCGGGGACCUCCGGAGCCCAGAUCUCCUCCCGGCGGCCGGCUAACCGACCGAGGGCCCUCCCCGAUCCGCGCCGCCCCUGCCCUUCCUCCAACAUCCGAUCCCACGCCCAAUCAGCUGGACGCAAGCGAAAAUACUCGGUGGCCAUCGACGUGGAUCCCGUCCGUGACUGGGCGAACAUCGGGGACGGGCCAGCCGGCCUGAUCGCCGAGCUUGCCCUCGCCAGCGACGUGGCCGACUAUAUCCGGUUCCGCGCCGUGUGCCAGCUGUGGCGGCGGUGCUCGCCGGACCCGUGCGCCGGCGGCCUGGACGGCCGCUUCCUCCCCCGCAAGUGGAUCAUGCUUGACAAGGCGCUUGCCGGGCCCCGCCGCCAUCGCUUCCUCAAUGUGUCUACAGGCGAGUGCAUACGUAUGGACCUCCCGGAGCUCGCGGAGCACACGUUGCUCUCGCUCACCCCAGAAGGCCUCCUCCUCCUGCUCCUCGAGACCACCCUGGUCGUCCGCCUGCUUAACCCACUCACGCGGCAGCUCACCAACCUUCCGCCGAUGACCGCGCUCCUGAGAUCAGGGCAGCAUCGGUCCAGGCAAUGUGGCUUCAAGAUAGGGAAAACAUUCAGUGUGUCUGGCGUGGGUCUUCUUGCCGACACCUCCAUGGUGGCAGUCAAUUUCUUUGAUCCCAGGGGGCUUUUUGUCGCUAAGCCCGGCGAUGAGAGUUGGACCAUGGUCGACACAAUGGUCGACAAGGAAUACAUAAAUUCGGUUUUGCCUUUUGCGGGGCGCUUCUACUGCGCCAACUACAGGGGCGUCAUGGUGCUGACGAUCGGCUCGGAUCAGCAGCCACCCCGGCUCCAGUUGGUCGCUGACCGGAGCGACUCAUUUAUUUCUCCCUGAUGACGCACAGCCUUCACCUGGUGGACAACGGCGGGGAGUUGAUGCUGGUGCACCGAGCGCUAAGCCGGGACAGUGAGUAUGACAUGAGGUAUGAUGCUUACAGAGUGGAUUUGGAAGCUGGGGUCCUGACCCAGGCCAAGGGCUUCAACGGGCGCGCCGUGUUCAUGGGCAUGUGCCGCUCAAUUUCUGUAUCGGCUGAGGCUGCUUACCCCUCUCUCGCUGCUGAUACCAUCUACCUGGGACACGAUUGUGAUGACCAGAUUCAGGGGUACAAUAUCGCGGAUGGAAGCAGAUGCAGUCUGAUUGAGGCAGUAUGUCCGCAUAGUGUUGUGGAUUGUCUCCGCCGUUGCAUCCAGGGAGUCGGCAAGCGACUUGCUUGAGCCUCAGCACAAAUGAUGGGUGUUUGACGAAUGACGGGUGUUGCUCUUUGCUAUGAUUCUGUUUCUGUGGUGGGUGUAGUGGUUGCCGUGAUUCUGGUCUUGGCCUACUGCUGGGUGUGGUGUCUGCCGUGAUUCUGGUCCUGGUCUUAUGCGUCAGUUGCUGUGUAUCAGACAGCAUUAAGAUAUGUACCUCAAAUAAUGUAAACGCUUAUUAAACAAAAAUUGUUACUGGUUUUCUGUUUCUGAUAUUUACAUAUGAUGUGGCAGUAUACUGAUGAAACAAAAUUAUCUGCAUCUUCCUACUUUUUACAUCCUUGAUGUUUUGUAUAGGCCGCUAGCCCUUCUCCUUCCAUGAUAUAUACUCCCUCCGUUUCUAAAUAUAAGACCUUUUAUAGAGAUUUCAAUACGGACUACAUACGGAUGUAUGUAGACGUAUUUUAGAGUGUAGAUUCACGUAUUUUGCUCCGUAUGUAGUCUGCAUUGGUGGAACAGAGUGAGUACCUCUAAUCUG